rnacentral:lncRNA from 1 species
GGAGCAGAGAUUUUUCUAUCAAAGCGUGUCCAGGAAAUGGUCCUCAAUGGUGAAGAACCGCCAGCACCAUAUAUUUGUAGAGAUGGUGAUUCAAUUCAAGAGGUUUCUGCUCCAUUAUCUCCGGUUCCGAUCAUUGAUCUCAGUCUGCUCUCAUCUUCAACACCAUACGCCAAGCAAGAAGAAGAACUGCAGAAAUUAAGAUCAUUGACCUCAGUCUCAUCUUUAACACCAUACUCCGGUUCCGAUCAUUGAUCAUUGACCUCAGUCACUCCUUCAUGACCACAUAAUAAGGGGUGGCUAUUUAUUUAAAAUAUGAAGUGGAAAAUUGAAUUAAUUUAUUUGAAAUAGAAAUGGUCACAUGAAAAAUUUGAAUUAAUUUCUUGAAACAGGAUCCUACAAAUGAAGUGUUUUAAUUUCGUAAUUUAAUAUUAUUAUUGUUAUUUUGUUUUUAAAUAUUAAAAAAAGAAAAAAAGAAAAAAAGAAAAAAUUGGGUUGUCUUUAGUUUCUAGCGGACAUCAGAUUCAUCAUAAUAAGCGUACCCUUGUCCAUGUAUAAAUUGCAUUUGCCUCUGAAUUCUUCAAUAAUUGAAAAAGAUGGGUGCUCGUUGGACAAUCUUAUUUAUGAUACAAUUUAGGAAUAAGAACUUAAUGACGCAACCAUCACCAGCAGCCUCUUUUUUGGAGGUACUCGGAUGGCCAUUAUUGCCAUUUAAAAGAUAACAUAAAUUUUGUAGAUUGCCAGCUAUGGCGGAGCUUUUAAAUUUAAUUUUUUUUUUUUUUUAGAGAAGAAGAAAAAUAGCCAUUCAAAAGAUAACAUAAAUUUUCUAGAUAGCUAGUUAUGUUUGAGUUUUCAAAUUUUUUUGAGAAAAAAGAUACUUAUGUCUUUGAAAUUUAGAAAAACGAUCACACAAAUUCUUAAAUUUUUAAUAAGAUAAAUCAAGACCUCGUUUUAUUAUAAUAUCUUUUAAUUCUAUAACUAAAAAAAUUGACUAUAAUAUUUUAUAAUAAAAAAAUAACUGAAAUGACCCGCCUCGAAUCCCCGGACGAGUCUAUCUAAUAUCGCCAAUCGAAUUAAUAAUAAUCUAAUAUUUAGAAUUUUACCAAAAAUUCAGCAGAGUCUCCUAUAUAAUUAUAACAUUCCCAAACUUGCAAUUUAUAAAAUUUAACACUCCUAAAAAAUGAUACAAUAUUCAAUCAACCUCCACAACGAACUUCUUCAAUCAAAUACCAAUAUCCUUCAAACAUAUAAUGUCAAGAAUACAAUAAUUUAUCUUUAAUCACAAAUAAGUAAUAAAUUAUACAAUUCAAAAUAUCCCAACAAAACAUCUAUGAUUCCUAACAUCAUCACAUGACCAUAAUUCUAAAUUUAACUAUCGUUGUUGGGUCGACUGAUGUACCUACAUAUCUCUUGUGGAGGGGGGGUAUAUAAUAAAAAAAAGAUGAGUAUAAAAUUCAGUGAGCUCAAUUGAGUAUAGUAUGAAAAAAAUAAAUUUACUUAAAAUAAUAUAAUCUUUCCCAAAUCAAUAUCAUCAAAAUAUCAUAAGAACUUAAAUAAACUUAUUUAAUUUAAAUCAUGUUUUGAUAUAACAAUAAUACAUAAUACGGCAUGAAAUCAAGGAAAACAUGAUACUUAUAAUAGCAAACACCAAAUACCGAAUCUAUCACCAAACAAGUACCCAGGAAAAUAUCUCAUCAUAUCCAGACCUCGACGGAUCUGCAAUCAGGGAACCAUCAUGGCCCGAAGCUACACGGAUAGACAAGGAAGUACUAUCUCAUAUCUCAUCAUAUCUGUGCAUGCAUAAUCUAGUCCCCAAAGGACAAGGCGCCCAAGAACACGGUCCAAAGCUUCUGUGUGUACUCAGAGGGGCCCCAAAGACCUAUAUUUCAUCCGUAUCAUCAUAUAUCAUAUGUAUCAUCUGUAUAUCAAUAUAUAUAUCUCUGUAAUCAUCAUACACAUAUGCCUUUAAAAGGCAAAAACACCCAAACACACGGCCCAAAACCUCUAUGUGUAUUCAAGCGGGCCCCAAAGUCCUCUCAUCUCAUAUGUAUCAAUGUAUCUUCUUUUUUUUUUUUGAGAGAAAGUAAUACUUUCAUUCCAUCAACUAUGUGAAUAAGUACAAAAAUUGGGCUGGAAUAUCAUCCACCCAAUAGACAAAAUCAUUUAGUUCUAGUGCUAGCUUUGCAAGCGAGUGAGCUACACUAUUACAAAUUCGUGGAGUAUAUUGCACUUUUACAUGCUUUAACCUUUUGAUCCGAUCCUGAACCUCUGCUACAACCCAGAACAUCUCAGUUCUUGUGCUUUUUUUACAAGACAUUAAGCUCACGACCUCUUGCGAAUCAGAUUCCAUAAUCACUGGAAUGCAACCUGCAUGCUCUGCUAUCUCCAACCCGAACUGAGUUGCUUUAGCUUCUGCAUAAUCCACUUUAUCCAAAAAGAUUGUGGUCUUCAUAGCUGCUGCUACAACCUUGCCCUCUGGAUUCCUUAUGACUACUCCCAAUCCAGUUCUUUGCUGAUCAGUCUUCACUGCUGCAUCCACGUUAGCUUUGAACCAGCCUGCUGGUGGAGGUUUCCACUUCUUUUGGACAGCAUCUUCAUGAUUUGAGCCUUCUUGCAUCAGUGGCAUUUGGAUUCUUCUGUAAGCUUGCACAACUGCUUCUGCUGCUGCAACUGAUGACUAGGAAUCUUCUCUUUUAUUUUUGAAAAUGAGGAGAUUCCUUGAGUGCCAUAUACUCCAGCACAAUGCAGCCAUCAGCUCCAUUUCAGCCUUGUUUUUUCUCCCUGUCAUAAAUCGAAAUAAACUGCAUACAUCCUUGCUUUUACACAGCCUAAUCUCUUUUUAAAAACAAGUCAACUGCCAUAUUUUUUUAGAAGCUUUACACACAAAAAGAGUAUGAAAGAUGGACUCUCCCAUUCUAUAACACCUUUGGCACCGAGGGAAUGGUACCACCUUCCUCUUCCAUAAAUUCUCCGCAGUUGGCAACAAGUUAUUAGAUGCUCUCCACAUGAAAAUUUUUACUUUUUCUGGAAUUUGAAGGUACCAGAUAGUGUUCCAAAAAUUCUGCUUCUCCUCUGAACAGCUAGCCAUGGCUGGGGUUUUCAUCUUUAACGCCAAUUGAUAGCCACUCUUCACCGAGUACUCCCCCUUCUUGUCAUAGUGCCAUACGACUUGAUCUGGAUUUGGUUGCCUUGGGAGAGGUAUUCUUGUAAUCUGCUCUGCAUCGACUCUCAAAAAAUUCUGUUGAAUCAGCUCUUCAUUCCAUUCAUGCUUUUCAUUAAUGAGCUCCGAAACAGCUAUCUCUAAGUGCAAUUUGGGGGGCGAUAUCAGCUUGAAAGUGUUAGGUCUUGGAAGCCAUGUACUCUGAUACACCUUCACUUGUUCACCAUUUCCAAUCCUCCACCUCAAUCCCUUCUCAGUCACAUCUCUUCCCCAAAGAAUGCUCAUCCAUAUGAAAGAUGGUUGAGAACUAGCUUUUGCCUCCAUAAAACUUGAGUGUUUAAAAUAUCUAGCUUUCAUUAUUCUCGCAACCAAAGAAUUCGGCUCUUGAAUAAUCCUCCAACCUUGUUUUGCAACAAGAGCUUGGUUGAAGCUAGACAAAUCUCGAAUACCCAUUCCCCCUCUACUCUUAGCUUGACACAUUUUCUCCCAUCUUCGCCAAUGAAUUGGCCUGUGGUCUUUGCUGUUCCCCCACAAAAAACGGGCUAUGGCUUUUUGCAUUUCUUCACAGAGACCUAAGGGGAGCUUAAACACACUCAUAGCAUAUGCCGGCACUGCUUGGGCCACGGCUUUUAUCAAAAUUUCCUUUCCACCACACGAGAACAACUUUGCCUGCCAGCUGGAAAUUUUACUGAGAAUUCUAAGCUUGAUAUCAUUGAAGAAAGUGGUCUUGUUUCUACCAAUCAUUGAGGGCAACCCAAGGUAUUUCUCAUGCCUAGAGACCACUGGCAGCUGGAAAGUGUCCUUUAUUACCGAGAUCAGCUCAUGCUUUGUGUUUUGACUAAAAAACAUGGAUGACUUUUCGAAAUUAAAGAUUUGGCCUGAAGCAUUAGUAUAACAGUCAAACACUCAUUUCAAUCUCCAACAAGCUUCUUUUGUGGCUCUUACGAAGAUCAAGCAGUCAUCCACAAAUAAGAGAUGGGUGAUAGAUAGCUCCUUGCCAAACUUGAUUCCAUGAAUGUGCUUGUUUAUUUCGGCUUGGCUUAGGAGAUUGGAAAAAACUUCUGCACAAAGAAUGAAUAAAUAUGGAGACAAAGGGCAUCCUUGCCUUAGCCCUCUUUGCGGCUUAAUCAACCCUUUAGCUACCCCAUUUAUCAACACCGAGAAGGAUGGUGUAGUUAUACAUCUCAUAAUCAGCCCUACAAAUUUUGAGGAAAAUCCCAUUUUUUCUAAAGUACACUGUAAGAACUUCCAUUCCACCCUAUCAUAGGCUUUGCUUACAUCUAGUUUCAAAGCUACAGUCCCAUGCUUCUUUCCUUUGCUAAGCCUUAUAUUGUGAAGGCAUUCAUAACCUAUGAUUAUGUUGUUAGUUAUGAGCCUAUUAGGAACAAAGGCGCUUUGAGUUGGGGAGAUAACAUGAUUCAAAAUCAGCUUCAACCUAUUUGCCACAGUUUUCACAAUAAUUUUGUAAAUAACAUUACAGAGGCUAAUAGGUCUAUAAUCCCCCACUUUCCUAGGCUUGUCAAUCUUCGGAAUUAAAGCAAUAAACGUAUGAUUCAAGGGGGUGAUAUUACCUUCAUCAUUAAGGACAUGCAGGCAGACAGCUAUGACUCCUUGGUUUACAGACUUCCAGUGCUUUUGAAAGAAGGCUGCUGGAAGACCGUCCGGGCCCGGAGCUUUUGUCGGGUGCAUUUGACUUAGAGCUUCUGUGAUCUCUGCUUCUGUGUAGGGCUGAUCGAGGUGUGCAUUCAUCUCACUUGAAAUUUUACAAGGCAUGCCUUUAAGUGCUGACUCCAGUUGAUGCAUCGUUGGGUUAUUAGAGGUGAACAUGUUGUCGAAAUAAUCAUAAAGGGUCCUCUUAAUUUCAUCAGCUUCUUCUGUCCAUUUGUUCCUUUCGUCAACGAUUCCUCUGAUCUUGUUUUUCCUCUUUCUUGCAGUAGCCUUGGAGUGGAAAUACUUUGUAUUUUUGUCUCCUUCCCGUAACCACACAGCCCUUGAUCUUUGUUUCCAGUAGAUUUCUUCAUCAAUGAGUAAAUCGUCUAUUUGUUUCUUAAUUGCCUUUAGUUCAACUCCAGUGCAAUAAUAUUUACUGCUCUCCCUGUAAAUCUUCAGCUCUUUUUCAGCUUCUCCAAUUUUUCCUCUCUGCCCCGAAAUUCCUCCUUGCUCCACAAUUUUAACUCGGCCAGUGAAUCUUUUGCUGUCUUUUUAAAUUGUGAAAUCGGAUCUUCGCAAUUCCAGCUUCUCUUUGCUUUCCACUCAUCAAAAACAAUCUCUUGACAUUUCUCAUAAGGGCUCCACAUAUCUUCGUAAUGGACCCUUGAGAAAGUUCUUUUACUGUACUGCUUCCUUCUGCCUCUUUCUUCCACAAUCAUCAGAACUGGACUGUGAUCUGACGUCCAUGUCUCAAGAUGUUAUGCAGCUAUUUCAUGAAACAUGCUUCCCCAAGUUUUGCAGCACAGAAACCUAUCUAACCUUUCUUCAACCAAGUUAGGGCCAAACCUCCUAUUAGACCAUGUAAACGGAUAGCCGUUGUAGCCUAAAUCUUUUAGAUCGCAUCCAUGGAUAGCUUCGUGGAAUUCAUUUAUAUUAGCCACACAUCUAUCCUUUCUUCCAGUCUUCUCAUCCAGCUUUAAAAUCUCGUUAAAAUCUCCAAAGCAAAGCCAUGGUAACGAGAGUAACCCACCUAAUCUUCGCAGUAAAGUCCAUGUAUGGCGUUUCUGAUCUGUUUCAGGAUGCCUGUAAAUCCCCGAGCACCUCCACAAGCUACCAUUUUCAGAGUGAACUACUGCAUCUAUAUGGUGCUGGCUAAAAGAUUUUAUAUCCACCACUACCUCCGAUUUCCAUAACAAAGCUAACCCACCACUCCUACCUCUACUACUCACAGCAAAACAAUUAUCAAAAUUGAGCUUCUUACCUUUAUCCUGCAUUUGCCCGGAUCUCAUUUUAGUUUCGCACAAAAACAUAAUCUCAGGCCUAUUCAUUUGGAGAAUCUUUUGGGUUUCACGGAACGCUCGGUCAUUCCCCAGUCCCCGAACGUUCCAGCUAAUGACUCUCAUUGCUGUCGGCGGGGCUGGCAACCAGCCUCUGCCGUUACUUUUUCCAUCUUUGUUGCUGCUGUCAUCUCCACAUCUCCAUACUGAAUCAUUUCCCUCCCAUUUGUUCUUGUUUCUGUUGAGGAGCAGAGAGUAAUAUUUUUUUUGCUGCACAUUCUCCUCCGUUUUUCAGCUGAAGUUCCUUCACAAUUGUCUUCCUUUGACCUCUUUAAUCUCUUUGACCCGUUGUCUGUAUCCAUUUUUCUUUCUACUGUCCGAGCCUGGAGCUUCCACUUCCGUUUCUUUGUCUUUGAACGUGUUGUAUUCGGCUCGUCACAUUCCCCAUAUUUUGCUUCAAGUUGGGUUUGUGUUGUGUUUUUUUCUAAUUGGGCCUAUUUAUCAUUUGGGUUAUGCACAAUUUUGUUUUAUUCCUUCCCAUUUUUUUGUUGUCCAGUACCUCUUUCAUCUUCCCUCUCAUUUGUGCACGUUUUUCCCGCCUCACCUCCACUUGUUUGAAAUACUAUGUCAACCCCCACUUGGUUGUAUCAGCUUUUGGCCGUAUUUUUUUGACUUUUUUGGGUUUCCCGCUGCUCCCAUCUUUGGCCCACCCGUAUUCUCCUCCUCUUGACUCCGGGUUAACCCGCCUUCGUUUUCUGGAUCACUGUUACUAUCUCUUGCUUGAUGCCGCUGUAAAUCUGUGCCGGCCUCGCCUCUUGUUUGUAUUUGCCCCUCGUUGCUCUGUUUAUUGGCCUCAUUCUUCCACCUUUCUCUCCCUCUGUUCAUUCUCAACUUUUCUGCCAUUGUAAUCGCUCUCAACCAUGGCCCAUACGCCAUUUCUUUUCUAGCUUGGUUUUUAUAUUGAACACAUUCUUUGUAUUGAUGUCCAAUACAGCCACAGACAAAACAAAAAUCUGGCAGCCUUUCGUAUAAAACUGGCAUGGGGAUGACUUUCUUUUUGGCUUGUUUUUGUCCACCUUCUCAUGUUGUUUCUGUGUCACCCAUGUUCUCAGCUUCUUCUUCCACCUCUUCCAAGUCCUCAGUUUCUGCAGCAUCCUCAUCUCUUAAUUCUACCACUUUUAUUAGAGGUUUAGUCACAUCCACCGAAAUUUUGAUUCUAAUAAACUUGCCAAAGCAUUCUCCAGCAGCAUUAGUCCCCACUUCCUCCACCUUUCCGAUUUCUUCACCAAUCUCCUUGAUAGUUUCUUCAUUCAUGCACAUAAUAAGGACAUUAUAUAGUUGGACCCAGAAGGAUACAUGGGUAAAAGAUUGUUUGGUUACUUCACCGAUACCACUUGGUUCAACAAGAGCUAUAAGAGCUCUAUCAAAAUGCCACGGCCCCCCAGCUAAGAUGUUCCUCUUAUCAGCCUCCGUUCCAAAUCUGAAAAUGAAGAUAUUGUCUCCCAUUUCUUCGAUUUGAACUUCUCUUAUGGUUCUCCACACUUGUUGCAGAGCAGCUUUCAGUCCCACAAUUUUUACUUCUCUGUUCACCAUGACUUUUCCAACUAAGCAUCCAUCUACAAUCUUCUUCCCUGCCACCUUCAUUUUGUUUUUCAGGGACAUACUUCCUCUCCUUUCUCCACUCAAAGAUAUUUCCUGACAUUUUCGAAUCAGUUCUUCCGUAUCCAUUCUUAACAGACUGCUAGAUUACGAAUAGAACCGAAGCUGAAUCCAAGCCAAUGAACAGUUUGGAGGAAAGAAAAAACAGAUGAACGAAAAUGAAAAACACCCAACCUGUGUGGGCGAUGAAAUUAGCCUCCAAAGGCUCACUUUUCAACUCUCAUUCUUUUUCUCAGAGAGAAAAAGAAAAGGACUAAUAGCCAUGUAGUUAGUAUUGCUUUCUUUGCAUAUGUAUCAAUGUAUCUAGAGGGAAAGGGUAUUGUCUAAUGAUUUUAAAAACAACAUCUUAUACACAUAUACAUAAACAUAAAAUGACACUUAAAUCUCAUUUCUUUUUCAUGCAACAUACUUUAAAUCACUUUAUUCUCUUUAAAACCAUUACCAUGCAUUUACUCAAAAAUGAUAAUAAAAUCAUUAAUCAAACUCAUUUUUUAUAAUAAUAAAUAUCAGCAUGUAGACAAAAAUCCAUUUUCUAGAAAGUUAUUAAAUUCGAGUAUUAAAUACUUAUUUAUCAAACAUGUUGUACUGUAUCGUAAAAUCAUAAUAUAUUAUGAAAAUAUGUUUUGUAUAUUCCACUCACAGUGACGAUGUUCGAGCUCGGUAUCGUCAACGUCUGUGGGUUGAUUCUCGUUCAUGGAUCCUCCUAAUAUAAGGAAAUAACAUAAUCAUUCUCCGUAAAUAUGAAAUACAACUAAUUUUAUGCAAUAAAUCUCGAAACGAAUAUCUAUCUGUAAUAAACUAUUCCCGUAUGCAUAAAAUUACCAAAAUACCCCCUGCAUGCUAAAAUCACCAAAAUGCUCCCGAUAUCAAUAUUUACCAAAUUAUCCUCAUAAUCUUAAAUUACCAAGCUGACGUCAAUUCAGAUCACAAUGUUAGAAAUUACGAAAUUACCCUUAGAGUAUAAAAUUACCAAAAUGCCCUUAAUUACAUAAAUUACUGAAUUACCCCUGAAAUCUCAAAUUACCUAACUGCCCUAGUCCAAAAUUACUAAAGUAUCCACCAAUUUUGAAAAUCACAAAAUUAUCCCCCACAGUUUUGUGAACUUACCGAACUACUCCCGCCGGGUAACGGUGACUGGACUUCGGUCAACGGUGACGAGAAGCUCAGAUAUGAUAGUUAUGAUCUCAGUGAGUCCAAUGGCGCCGACGAUGACCACCCACGCUCGGCGACGGCGGUAGAUUGAGCUUCUCUAGCUGCCGGCUUUCCGGUGGUCGAUCGGUGGAAUUCCAGCCGUUUUAGGCAGCGAGUUUGGUUGGAAAAUGAUGAGGGUAAGCUGAGGAACAAGAUCCAAGCCGUGGCACGGCCUAAUUCCGGCGAAAUCAAUAGCGACGAAAACGAGUUGAGCUGCGGGUUUUUCAAGCUUGAUUGCCGGCAUUCUACCCAUUUUCCGAUGAGGUGGUCGGAAUUGGUGGCUGGAGUUGGGUCGGGUUGCGCGAGUUCGGGUCGAGUCAGGUCAAAUUCGGUCAGCUUCUCUCUUUCUCUCUCUCCCUCUCAUUUUCUCAAUUUAUACAACCAGCUCCCUUUUUUUUUCAAAGCUUAAUACAAAUUAAGCUAAUACCGAACCCAUAUUGAAAAUAAAAUCUGACUACCCGACCUUUUAAUCGCGCUCAAUUUGUCUUGAUUUAUUGUCGUGACAAAUUUAAAAUAAUCCAAACACAAUAUAUAUUAAUAAACAUGUAACAUUUAACAACCAUCCCCCAUAAUAUCCCAAAAAAAUUGAGUUGCAUCAACUUCACCGUAAAAAUUCGUAACAAGUUUGCUAAAUUUAAAAUUAAUGCCGAAGGAGAAAAAUUAAAUGAUAAAUUAAUUAGGAAAUUUAAAGUGCAUAUAUUACAAUAACAUUAAAAUAAAUGAAAUAAUAUAUACAUUUAAAAAGUAUUUUAAUAUUUAAAAAUUAUUUUAAUAUGGGAAAAUGACAAACACACCCCCAACGUUUAGGCAAAGGGACAAAAACUCCCCCUAACGUUUCAAAAAAGACAUUUACACCCCAAUUUAUUAUAAUUUUACCAUUAUACCCUUCUAGCAUAUAAAAAGAAUUAUUAGAUUAUCCAAUUUGUCUAUAUUGUUAAUAAAAUUAUAAAUAGACAAGUUGGAUAUUAUAAAAAAAAAAUUAUAAAUAUACCCUCAUUGCCCAAUUCCUCUAUUUAAAUUUUUAUCAAUAACCAAUUUUUAAAAAAAAAUCUAUACACCUAAAAAAAUUGUAAAUAAAUUAUAAUUUUAAAAAUAAAAUUGGUUAUUAAUAACCUUUGUAUAUUUAACAAUUCUCCACAUGUCAAUCAUUUAAACUUGUAUAUUUAUAACUAAUUUUCUAUGUUAUUUAUUAUGGUAUUAACAACCAAUUUUAUUUUUAAAAUUAUAAUUUAUUUACAAUUUUUUUUAAAUUUUGAAAAUUGGUUAUUGAUAAAAAAACAAUUAAAUAGAAGAAUGAGGCAAUGAUGGUAUAUUUAUAAUUUUAUUAACAAUAUAUAGACAAAUUAGAUAACUAAUAAUUUUUUUUAUAUGCUAGAAGGGUAUAGUGGUAAAAUUAUAAUAAAUUGGGGUGUAAAUAUUUUUUUUGAAACGUUGGGGGUGUGUUUGUCCUUUUCCCUUUUAAUAUUUACAAUCUAUUAGAUAUAUUUUAUUAUAUUAAAGCAAAUUUUUAAUAAUAAGUAGAAACAUAAUAUUGAACAUUAUGUACAAUUUUAACAUUAUUAAUAAAGAGAUUUUUGUUAAUUUUAAAAUCUAUUUAACUCAAAUAUUUAUUUAAAAUCUUUGUAAUAAAUUCAAAUAUAUUAUUAAAAUAAAUAAUACAAUAAUUUUAAAUUUAAUACUAUUUUAAAUGUCAAAAAUAAUUUAAUAAUACUACUCUACUAGAUAUAUUUUAUUAUUUUAUAUUAUUUUUGUAUUAAUUAAAAAUUUUAAAGUCAAAUUUUUAGUUACUAUAUUCAAAGCGUAUUAUGAUUAAAAAAGGAUCCUGGAGUCUAUCUAAUUAUUUUUUCAAAAUCUUAGGAGUGUAAGUGUCGAUUUUUCUUUUUUUUUUUUAUAUAAUUCUUUUCGUGCAAAAAUUAUAUUCACGUUUUUUUUAACUUCUCAUUAAUGCAUUUUCAUUGCCAGGGUUUCUGCGUUUUCAAUAAAAAAUCUAGUGAAGAAACUGGAAAAUGUUGGAGGAAACGCUAAUGCAUAAUACGUACAACCUAAUAAACAAGUUGUUGGAGCGUACGGCUAUAGCAAUUUGUUUAUGGUCAUCUGUGCUUCUGUAUACUAUUAGUAAAUCUAUUUUGCAAUGAACCCAAAUAAUCAAAUUGUCCCGUGGCACUUACGGUCCAUGGAUCUAAUAAUUUUUGCUUCUUUUUAUUUAUUUAUUUAUUGCAUAUCAUAACCUGUCAGUCUCAUAAUAUUGUCCAACAAGAUUGCCUUUUUGAAAAAUUUCACAUAAAUCGGACACGGAUGAUUAUGUUAUCCUUUAAUUUUUCUAACGAAUAUAAUUUUCACUGUCAUUUUGUGUUUUGGAUAGGUGGAAUGACAGUGACCUGACUGAAAAAUAUGUUAUCUGGACGACGAACGACCAAGUCAAGGUCUUUUAAGUGUACAGUCCAACUCCUUUUAAAUAGCAAUUGAAUUCUGCACUUUAAGCAAUAAGUUACUCGGCCAAAUUUGCAGAAAUAUUUCAAAGUUUAAUUCUUCACUUGGAUUUUUCAUUGCUGAUCAUGUAAGUUAGUUGUUAUUAUUAUUAUUAUUUUUUCACCAAGGUAACUCUUGUGCUUACACUUUUCGCGGAGCUAGUUCUAUUUUCUUAAUGUUCUAAUUUUCAAUGAAUGUAUUUGGACAAAGCCACGAACUUGUCUUUUAGAGGACUUAAAUUGUAUUAAUAUUGCUGAUAUAUUCCUUAUAAAUAAAAAAGAGCAAACAAAGUUCUUAUAAAAAACGCAAGGAUAGCAGACAGUGAUUUUAAUUUUUUUUUGUUGAUGUUAUCUCUAUUUUAAUAAUAGAUGAUUGAUUGAUUCAAUCUUCUUCUUGUCCAUAAUUAAAAUAACUACUUUCUACUUCCUAAACGAAUCUCUAAUCUGUCGAAAUGACUUUAUACACAUUUGUAGAAAUCAAUAUCUUGAUUAUUUGGUUGUCAAGUGUAUAUAAGUUAUACCGUCUGUUAGUUUUUUUUAAUUGGCAUGUUUGAUAUUUUUCAACCAAAAUUCCCCUUGAUUGGGAAAAUAAACCAUUUCCUGCUCAUGUUUUUUAAUCCUACUCCAAAAUUCUCAUCUUAUUUGGUGAAAAUUUUAUUUUUGGGAUUUAUACGUGCAACCUAAUCAAGAAGUUGUUGGAAUGUGCUUGUGUAUUAUUUUAAUAAAUCUAUUUUGCAAUAAACCCAAAUAGUCAAAUUCUUAAUUCUCCCGUGCUAUAUAUAUGGUCUGUGGAUAUAUUAAUGUUUGCUUCUUUUAAUUAAUUUAUUUAUCUUUUGCAUAUCAUAACCUCUCAGAUUACUGUCUAACAAGAUUGCCUUUAAGUUUGAAAUUUUUCACAUAAAUUGGACGCGGGUGAUUAUGGUGUCCUUUCAUUUUCUGACGAAUUAAUUUUCACUGUCAAUUUGUAGUUUGGCUAGCUGGAAUGACAGUGGCCUGACUGAAAAAUAUGUUAUCUGGACAAAGCCAUGAACUAGUCUUUUAAAGGACUUAAACUUGUAUUAAUAUUGCUGAUAAAUUCCCUAUAAAUCAAAAGAGCAAACAAAGUUCUUAUAAAAACUGCAAGGAUAGCAGACAGUGAUUUAUUUAUUUAUUUUUUGAUGUUAUCUCAAUUUUAAUAAUAGAUGAUUGAUUGAUUCAAUCUUCUUCUUGUCCAUAAUUAAGAUACCUACUUUCUACUUCCUAAAAAAAUCACUAAUCUGUCGAAAUAAGUUUAUACACAUUUGUAGAAAUCAAUAUCUUGGGAUUGUUGCUUGUUAAUUAUAUGUAAGUUAUACCAUUUGUAUGUUUUUUUUAAUCUGCUCGGCAUGUUUGAUAUUUUUCAACCGAAAUCCCCCUUGAUUGGGAAAAUGAACAAUUUCCUGCUCAUAUUUUGAAAUCCUACUCCAAAAUUCUCAUUUUAUUUGGUGAAAAUUUUCUUGAUGUUGAUAAACUUAUGUUAACUGUCAACUAAUGUUAAAUUAAGUCAAUUUGUUUUUCAACUAUCAGAUUUGGUAAUUUUCCCCUUUUUCCAGUGUAUGCAAAUCCACGACAACCACCCUACGCCUCCUUCCCUUAUUUUUCAAGGAAGUAUGUGAUUUUUUAAACUGGGUUUUGAUUGCUGGCAACUGUAAUAUGUUGGACUUCCGUAAUUGGCUUGUUUGUACUGUACAGAUAUAUAUGUAUUAAAAAAAAAAGGAAAAAAAAUGACAAAACCUUAACUUGCGUUUCGAUCAUAUCAGGUCUCAGGAUCCAGAAGCAGGUUCAAAAGAUAAACGAUAUUCUAAAGUGUAUGGUACUGGAACGACGUCGGCCGAUAAAGAACAACCUACAUGCUUAGGUUGCGUUAAAAAUCUUCUAGGUGUCAUACUUCUUUGUGUGGCGCUAUUAUGCUUUAUAAUAUUUGGUGGGACAAUAAUGCUAGUACUUUAUUACCUGUUGAUUACAAUGAUUGUGUUAUAUCAUGAAACCGGUAAAGCGAUAGCGAGAGCAAUACUCAGGAUUAAAACAAUCAAGGAUAAAGAAUAUAUUGAUGGUCUAAUGAAUGUGACUGCAAUGAUCCUUGAUGUGACUGCAAUCAUCCUUGAUCCUUUAUUCUUCUACAUUCUGGUGCUGGAUGAUGAAAAGAAAUGCAUUCACUGGGACAAAACCUUGGGGAUUACAGCUACCGUCAUCCGUUCCGUCCUCGAUUUCCUUAAGCUAGGCCAUUUUAUCUCUCACUCUAAGCUGCAUAUGGCAAAGGGGAACCAAAGAGAAAAAUUUAAGUAUUUGUGGGGGCAGUUAAAAAUUUUCAAGGUGUAAUUUACUUUCGCUAACUAGUUGUUUCUUCAACUUCCAUAAUUUAUAUAAAUAUAGUCUCCGUUAUCUUCUUUGCUCCCUACGAAGUAUUUGCUUUUUUUUUUUUUUUUGCCUUAAAAGGGAGAAGGAGAAGUACCUGAAGAUCCAAUGGGACGAAUGCGGAAGCUCUUCCUCAUUGACUGUUUGGCCAUCCUUCCCAUCCCCCAGGUAAAGGCACUAUCUAAUUUACAAUUACGUAAAUUCUGUUUAUUGACAUAUUAUGUAGUUCAAUCCUUCCCAUCCCCCAUGUGCAUAUCGUAAUAGUCUGCUUGAUUCCUGUCAUAUGUACAUCACAAAGUGGUUUUGAUUGUGAUAAAGAUAGAUCUUCAUACGAUUCAUGUCAAGGAUAAUGAUUUCAAUGUCAUUUUUCCCUUUACUUUGAUUAAAGUUGUAUUUAGACAUACAACCCUAAAUGUUUUGCAUGGAUAUUAGGGGUGGCAAUUUUCGCUAGUGAGUAGUGUUAAAUUUCAGCUAUGGGAAUUCGAUACUUUAUUAAUCUUGUUAAUAAUUUCAAACACCAACUCCACCUGUCUAUUAAUAAUUAUGUCACAUGCUUAAUAUGCUUUGAAAGUAUAUUUUUAAAUUUGACUUGUUUACAAGUUUUUAAGAUAUUUGUUUAAUUAAGAUAUUUAUAGUACUGCCUCUCAAAUUCAAAUCAAUUCUAGUCUUAAUAUAACUAGAUAAUUUUGAAAUAUAUACAAAUAGAAAGUAGUUCAAUUGUAUCCAAAAUCUAGUCGUACAACCAUUAUUGAUCAAAUAGUUAAUUAUGUCAUAAUUAAAUAGGCUCACGUGACAGUAACUUAAAACCUGAAGAAGUGAAGAGAACAAAAAAUAUUUGUGUUCCUUUUCACCAACGCGAACAAACUAUUAUUUUCAUGCCAUUGGAAUCAGUUUCGCAGGUCAUUUCAAAAUUUGUCAUCCCAGCUAUACCAUCAUUUUGCACAAAAAUAAAUAAUCAAUUUUGUUCAUAUUCAAUAUCCUUCAAAAUAUUUAUUUCCAUUAUUCCAUAUCAACUAAUAGGACAAACCGUCCAGGUUUUGGUGAUUUUUGGAAUAAGAGGCCCAGGAUUUUCGACGGCAAUGACCUUCUUUAUUUUACAAUAUUCGCUAAGGGUUAUUCGAACGUACUUUCUCUUCACACAUGCUACACGGGUUUCAGGGAUACUUGCCGAUGCUACAUGGGCCAUUUUUGCCUUCUAUCUUCUUCUUUAUCUGCAAAGCGGUCAUGUAAGUUCAAAGUAUCAUCAUUUUACCGAAAUAUUUUUUGGGAAAUUACAAUUUUUCCACCAUAUAGAUCGCCAAAUUAAAGGCCAAAAACAUUACAAAAUUUUGAAAUUUACAUUUUUAUUCAAGAAGUUUCCACAAACACCUAUUUAUAUUAAUUUUUUUGGAAUCAGAAAAGCAUGAACUACGAUAUUCAGUAUUUUGUAAUUUAGAAAAGCAUAUUCUAAUAAAACUAGAAUUUUAGCAACGCCCAGUUAUUACACAUAUAUACGCACAGUCAGUUAGCUUUUUUUUAUGUAAAUUUUAGAUAUUGGAAUUGUCGAUGUAUGAUUUUCCCUCUACUCUGCAAAUUAAUUUUUCUGCUAAGCUAUCUUUCAGAUGUUUGGAGCCUUAUGGUACUAUAAUGCCAUAGAAAAAGUGACUGAAUGCUGGAGGGAAGCCUGCAAAAAUCAUACCGGAUGCAGCGGUCAUAGUUAUUUUUCCUGUAAUAAAAGUUCCAGAGACUACAAUUUUCUAAAUGAUUUUUGCCGUAUAAGUACAGGAAGUACUACCAGCUAUAGUUUUGGAAUAUAUAAUGAUGCUCUUCAGUCUGGUAUUGUGGGGGAGACAGAUUUUCCUAAGAAAUUGAUACGUUGUCUACGAUGGGGCCUGCAAAAUCUCAGGUUUGCUGUUUUUUAUAUGGCUUGGAUAAUGAUUAUUGUGCAUGUGAUCAGGUCCGUUACAGGUUCUCUUAGUCCGGUGCAGGUUUAUUUUGUAGUUCUUUUCGCAUCCAUGUAUUUUUUUUUUCCCCAAUUCUCUUUUAUUCUUUUCUUUGUAGCUUUAUGCAUAUUGUAAGGGCUAAAUUUUAUUAAAACCCACUAAUUAGCCAAUGCAGACCAAGACAUUUUAUUGAAAGGGGCUACAUCUAAUAAUACCAACAAUAUACAUAACAUAAGGGAUUAAUUAAGUUUAAAUGAUAAAAUUAAGUAAUUUCAUAAUUUUUAUUAAAUUAAGAUGACAUGUGAAAGUAAAUGAGGGAUAUUUUUAUUAUUUUUGAAAGGUUUAACAAGGAGAUUAAAAAUACUGUUUAAUUUUUUUAUAAAUUCAGAAUAAUUGAGGGGUAUGUUUUUAGGGGUUUAUUUCAAACGAACUCUUUUAUUCAGCUCAAAUAUUAAAAAAAUCAUUGGGGGUUUAACUAAUAUUUUCUGCUAAGGUCUCGAAUGAAAUUUCAGAGGGGUUAUAUGAAACAUUUCUUUUCUAUCGGCUGGUCAUUAGGUAAGUUCAAUCUUGUUUAUUCUCAUAAAAAGAGUACGAAUGUUUGGGCCACGCACAUUAUUUAAAUAUGUAAUUAUGGGCUUUAGUUAGCUUACAUUAUUAUGUAAGUUUUAUAAUUUUUUUAUCUAAUGGUUGUGGGAAUAAUGUGAUUUUAUUACUUCAUAUUUUCAUAACUAUUGAAUUUUCAUCAAAUGACUAUGAAAAAAUUAUACAAUUUACGUAAUAAUGUAAGGUAACAAGCUCCCGCAAGUAUGUAAUACUUAUGAAAUGUAUUGAACUUUUUGCAGUGCAUUUGGUCAGAACCUCGAAUCAAGUAACGAUGUCGGGGAAAAUAUCUUUGCAAUUUGCAUGACCAACUACGGCGUAGUUCUGUUUGUCUUUUUAAUUGGAAGGAUGCAGGUAACAUACAUUUUCUGUUUCUUCUCGAUUUCUCAAUUAACUCUCUCCUCGAGCUCUUAAUUACCUUUGAUCCUUUUAAAUCUUGGAACACGAUAUACAUAAGUUUUAAUUAGAUUUGAAAACACACAAGUUAAUUAUUUAGGUCAAAUUAAUUAAUGGCUAGAUGUACAGACUGAAAUUGCAAGGUCACAGAAGAUAAACCAGAAGUGGCAGGUGAUCAGGCAGUCGAAACACUAUGCGGAUAUCUCUCGUGAUCAAAAUGUCCGAGGGCAGUUCAAGAAAGCCAAGCGUGAAAAAUUGGCAAACAAACAUGUUGAUGUUCGCAUAGAUAGUUUUAUAAGCGAUCUCUCCCUCGACGCUGAAAAACAAGUAAAACGCCAUAUGGGCCGAAAACUGCUCAGAAAAGUGAGUUUCUAUUUCUCUGGAUAAUAAUAAUCCUUAGCUACGUACCUGCCUCUUAUUAAUUAGUUAUUCAUCAGAAGAUGUCGAAGGGGGAAUUUUGUUAGAAUUUUUUUGUGUUGACGUCUUAUAGCAACAUCUAGAAUGAUUCUUCAUUGUAUGUCCUUGAUUGUUAGAAAAUUAAUGGCAAAUGAAUUAGUAAAUAUGAACCAUAUAGGAGCAACAAUACAUAUAAUGACACAAAAUUUUUGAAUGCUGUCAAGAGGGCACCGAAUACGAAAGCAUUUUUAUCUUAUUAUCAUUUUCUUCUUAGUAAACGAUAAUUAAGGAAAAGAGUAAUGACAAAGAGUACUGAUCUGGUCCAAGAUUUUGAAUCUUAUUAAAGUUUGAGAAAAUUAUUAAGUUAUAAGGUCUAAUAGUAUAACACCAUUACACUCUUAAACAUAAGUUUUCACAAGUACGCAGUAGAUGGUGAGAUAAUGUGUAAUUAAUAGUGUAAUUGAGUAAUGAUGCUUCUUGAUGAGCCAUCAUCAAAUGGGUGAUUUUGACAAAAGUUAUAGAAUUUAUGUAUUUCAAUAUUCUAUAACUUUAUAAUCGUUGUAUAUAUUUGUAUUGACUCUGAUUCUCCUUUAUCAAGGUAGAAGAAUUACUUAAUGUAUUUCAAUAUUCUAUAACUUUAUAAUCGUUGUAUAUAUUUGUACUGACUCUGAUUCUCAUAUAUCAAGGUAGAAGAAUUUCAAAAUUGGGAUGAGUUCUAUUUGGACUAUCUGUUUGGUUGUCUGAAGCCAGUCGUCUUUAGUGAAAGGACUGUAAUUAUUCAGGAGGGAGAUCCAAUUAAUGUGAUGACCUUUGUGUUGCAAGGCAAGACUUGGGCCUACUCCAACAGCUUGCCGAUCACUAGACAGAGACAUCAAGAAGAUUGUGAUGUUCGCCGAAAAGAACUCAUAGACUGGGCUAAGAAUGAAAACUCGUACCAGCAGCUCCCUAUCUCAGACAGAACCAUUCGAGCACUUACCGACGUUGAAGCCUUUACUCUUAAGGCUGAUGACGUGAAAUGUGCAUUACUUUUCCGUCUUGUUUCCAAAGAGGCAGCAACUCUCAUACAAUCAUUCUGGCGUUUCAGGAAGCACAAACAUGCAACGCCAAGAACAUGCAUGGUCGGCUGUUUCAGGACACAGGACAAAGUUGUACUGCAUUAGAUUAACUAUUUGGGAUUGGACUUGAAGUAUUUAUUACACUAAUAUAUCUGUUAUUUAUGUUUGGUGUUUCUGUUUAGGUAUCAGAAAUAAACUACUUCUGUUGAGUGACAUAGUAGACUAAGGGUGUUCAUAAUCCAAUUCGAUCCGCUUAAUCCGUCCGAUCCGCUCAAUUCGAUCCGUAUAAAUCCAAUCCGUGGAUUGGAUAUGGAUUGAAAAUUUAAAAAUCUGCAGUCGAUGGAUUGGAUAUGGAUUUACUUCUGUAAAUCCGCAGAAAUCCGUGAAUCCGUAAAAAAAAAAAAAAAAAAAAAAAAAAAAAAAAAUAUAUAUAUAUAUAUAUAUAUAUAUAUAUAUAUAAUUAAAAAAUUAUUAUAAAUUUAAUUAAAAAAAUUAUAAAUGUGACAUUACAUAGUUACAUAAGCACUAUAACAUAUUUUAGCCAUUACCCAAUAAUAAUAAAAAAUAAAAAAUAAUUAAAUAAUCAAAUAUACAAAUAUAACUUGUAAAAAUUGUAAAACAAAAUAAAAGCAAAGUCACACGCACUAGCAAAAGCAAAGUCACACGCACUACCAAAGCAAAGUAACAUAACGCCAAAUCACCAACAAUUUGCAAAGUCACCCAAAAGCAAAGUAACAUGAUGCCAAGUCACCAACAAUCUGCAAACCCUAAGCUUUCCCGCCGUCACACACACUAGCAACACUCAAUACUGAUUGGAUACACUCUCGACACGGAUUUGAAGGACAUCGGCCGCGCGAUUCCAGCGAGAGCAAGCCAUCUUCUUUCCCAAGUCCAUCGAGCCACUUCACAUUCAUUGGUUCCAGCUGAACAAUUUCACUAUCACAACCUUCAAGAUCGCCACCCGUAGGGCUUCUCCUGGUUCCCAUCGUGGACGGCUCCGUAAUCACCACUUUUCGACAGGCGCAACAGCCCUGGUGAAGGAUCAGACUGUAUUUGGUUUCCGAAACUUCGCCAUUUCAAUUAAUUGUGACUUUAUUUGAACAAUUAAUUAAUUUCGGUGUUAUGUUAACAUAUUAUUGUAACUUUAUUUGAACAAUUAAGCUUAGUGUGUUAUAUUUUGAAACUUUGAACGUAUUAUUGUAGCUUUGUUUGAAUAAUUAAUCUCGAUGUGUUAUAUUUUGAAACUUUAAAUGUAUUAUUUUAGCUUUAUUUAAAUAAUUAAUUUAUUUAAAUUUUAUUCAAUUUUAAAUUUAAUUGGUAGCAAAAUUAUUUUUAUUUUAGAUUUUUUUUAUUUCAUUAGUUGGAGAGAACUAAAAAUUUUUAAUUCAAAAACUAAUGCGUAAAAUGGUGGAUUGGAUAUAGAUUAAGUCAAAUCCGUAUCCGAUCCGCAGACGUAUGGAUUGGAUAUGGAUUGAGUCAAAUCCACAUCCAAUCUGUAGAUGUAUGGAUUGGAUUUGGAUUGAAUUUUAUCAAUCCAUGAAUUAGAUUGGAUUGAAAAAUUAUAAUCCGCAAAAUCAUGAAUCAGAUAUGGAUUGAUGUCCAAUCCGUAAAAUCCGAUCCGCGAACACUCCUAUAGUAGACUAUAAUUAUCUGGUACAUGGUUUUGGAUGAAAAUAGUGUAAGGGAAAAUAUCCACCGUCCACCCAUUUUUUACACCUUUUUUAAAAAUACACAAUUCCUUCAUUUUUUGGCUGGAAUCCACCUAAAGUUACAUUUUGUUUCAUUUUUCCACUUCCGUUUAAAAUCCGUUAACAAAACUAACGGAAACUUAAAAAAAUGACCAUUUUACCCCCAAAAUGAAAAUUACAAUUUCACUAUAAAAAUGCCAAAAAAAAAACCUGCAUAUGAUGGUUGUGGAAUUAAUUUCUUUAUUGACCAAUGGGAAAAAUAAUUAGAUUUAAUCUGAUUAUUUUUUGUAAUUUUUAAGGCGAAAUUAUAAUUUUCGUUUUGGGGGUAAAAUGGUCAUUUUUUUAAGUUUCCGUUAGUUUUGUUAACGGAUUUUAAACGGAAGUGGAAAAGUGAAACAAAAUGUAACUUUAGGUGGAUUCCAGCCACAAAAUGAAAGAAUUGUGUAUUUUUGAAAAAUGUGUAAAAAACGGGUGGACGGUGGAUAUUUUCCCAUAGUGUAAAUAGCAAUAGAACAACCCAUAGAUCACAGUCUAGGGAAUGAACAAAUGCACAAUUCCAGUCAAGUGAAUAAUCACAGGAUAUUUUCAUCAACUUUUAAUAAAUAUAAAAAUGAAAACUACGCAGAGAAUAUUCUUAAACACAAGUACUAUGACUGUGAUUAUCAAUAUUAAGCAAUCAACCUCGUACAAUCAUCAACUUGUGAUAAACUAUUCAUGCCAGUAACAUGACUAUCUUAUUAAUUUCAGUUCACUGCAAAGUGAAAAAAAAUUAAUCACAUCCUCUUCGACUAAAAUUGAAGUUAAUUCUUGGCUCCCUUCAACAAAUUUUCUUUUCUAGUACUCUACUAUUCACGUUCAUCUCAUAAAAGAUAUGUAGAGAUUGUCAAGUUAUGUAAUCAACUUGAGCAACAUCUUCCCAAGAUUACUGGAUUAGAUUUACAAGAUGAAUUAAAGAUGAUCUGAACUUACAAUGAUUUUAAACAACUCAAUAUCACAACGAACCAACAGUAAGCAAUUAAAGAAACUAAAAGAAACCCAAGAAUUAACUCAGACACAGCAAGUUACGUGGUUCAGUCAAUUCAUCAUUGACUUACAUCCACGGAGGAACAAAUUGACCAGCUUUAUUGAUUGAACCAAGUCUCUUUUACAACCAGAUUUACAGAGCCCUAAUCAAGGAACAAGAACACUAUGUUUACACAAGCUCUCUCUCUCCUGAAUCCUCUGAAAUCCUCUCGGUUUGUUACACCAGAAUUAGCUUCAGCUUCUGUGUUUAUAACAACCCAGAAGCAGCCCAAGCUGAGCACGUGAGCAGCAGAUGUCUUUAACGGCUUUUAACAGCCUUCUUACGUCAUUAAAAACUCACGCGCAUUGCUCGUCAUUAUUAUAACCCAAAGCGCUAGAGUCUUAUGUCGUUUCUCAAAGAGGUAUUAAGAUAUCCUGAAACGUAGAUUGCUGUGCCGUUUUCCUUUUGACAUCAAAUGCCAAAACGCAGAGCUUCCUGUCAUCUCCUUAAAUCUCUUUUUGAUUUGUUUCAUUCUGGUCCAACAUAACUCCACCUUGAAGCAAAUCAACCCUGAUCUAAUUUUCUCCUCGUCCCUCUGUAUAAUUAGAGGCUAUCAACACCAGCCAUGUUCAAGCAAGCUUUGAACUUGGCUGUAGGAACAACUUUAGUAAGUAUGUCUGCUGGGUUAUCAUCUGUGUGAACCUUUACCAUCUUGAUUACUCCUUUUGACACUUCAUUUAUGAUAAAGUGUAGUUUGACAUCAAUAUGUUUGGUUCUUUUAUGAUGAGCUGGGUUUUUGCUUAGGUAGAUGGCACUUGAGCUAUCACAGUGGACUUCAACUGUUUUCUGACUCAUCCCCAACUCUUCGAUCAUCCCUUUGAGCCAUAAAGCUUCUUUGACAGCUUCUAUGGCUGCUGUGUAUUCAGCUUCUGUUGUUGAUAGAGCAACAACAUGUUGGAGACUUGCCUUCCAGCUGAUGAUGCAUCCAUUGAGCAUAAACAAGUACCUUGUUAAUGAUCUUUUUCUGUCAUUGUCUCCAGCAAAGUCUGAGUCUACAUAACCCCAUAGGCCACUAUUUCUCCCUUCUGAUCUUCCAUACAGCAGUCCAAGUUUCUCAGUACCAUUCAGAUACCUUAGUAUCCACUUAACUGCUUGCCAAUGCUCAUUCCCAGGUGUUGCCAUAUACCUACUAACAAUGCUUAUAGCAUAAGAAAUAUCAGGUCUUGUUAAGACCAUGACAUACAUCAUACACCCUAUAACAUUAGCAUAUGGAAACUUUGCCAUUUCAUGUCUCUCUUCAUCUAUCUUAGCACAUUGCAGAUUGGAGAGCUUGAAAUGGGAGGCUAGUGGUGUCAAUACUGACUUACAGGCUGACAUCCCAAAUGUCUUAAUUAUCUUCUUCGCAUAGCCUCAUUGUGACAGAAACAUUGUGCCUUCCUUCUUGUUCCUCCUUAUAUCUAUGCCUAAGAUCUUCCUAGCACGUCCUAAAUCCUUCAUAUCAAAUUCUGAACUCAGUAGCUCUUUCAACGCUUCAAUCUCAUCCCUUACCUUACAAGCAAUUAACAUAUCAUCUACAUACAUCAACAAGUAUAUGUAGUGAUGUGUCCUAAGUAUCUUGUAGUAGACACAACAAUCGAAACUGCAUCUUUUGAAUCCAUUUGUUGUAAUGAACUCAUCAAACCUGAGGUACCAUUACCUUGGGGACUGUUUUAAACCAUACAAUGAUUUCUUUAGCAAACACACAUGUUCUGGUCUCUCUAGAUCUACAUACCCCUCUGGCUGAACUAUUAGAAUUUCUUCUUGUAAUAUUCCAUGAAGGAAUGCUAUUUUGACAUCGAGUUGAUCAAGCUCCAUGUCAUAAACUGUAGUCAUAGCUAGCAAUACUCUGAUUGAAGUAUGUCUAACUACUGGUGAAAAAACUUCUUUAAAUCAACCCCUUCCUUUUGAGUGUAGCCCUUAGCCACUAACCUAGCUUUGAAUCUCCUAAGUUCUGAAGCUGUCAGGCCAUCCUUAAUUCUAUAGAUCCAUUUACAACCAAUGAGUUUUCUUUUUUCAGGUUUUGUUACUUGCUCCCAGGUGUUGUUUUUAUAGAGGGAUGAUAUUUCUUCAUCCAUUGCCUGUUGCCAAUCAGUUUUGUAUGAGCUUUGCAUUGCUUCUUUAUAGCUCAUUGGUUCUUCUUCAUCAACCUCUUGUGAGGUGGCCAGUGCAUAUGCUAUAAGAUCUGCAUAGCCAAACCUCUUUGGGGGUCUUAUUACUCUUCUCUUUCUGUCUCUAGCUAGAUGAUAAUCUUCUAUAUGGGAGGGUUUUGGGUGUUCUGAGCUUGUAUCCCUAUCACCAGCAACUUCUUUAUCUGAAUCUACAGCUUCACCAGAGGUUUUCUUUGCUGGAUGUUUCACCUCAAACUGUAUAACAUCAUCAGUUUUAUUUUGAGGUUUAGCAUUUUCAACAGGUUUUUCCUCACUUAGCACCAUCUGCUCAUUAAACACACAUCUCUGCUGACUAUACAUUUUGGAGGGGCCAAGUUUGUGUACCAAAUCUUAUAGCCUUUUACCCCUUCUGGAUAACCUAUAAACAGCCCCUUUAGAGCUCUAGGUGCUAGCUUUCCUUGGUUUGUAUGUGCAUUGGCAGUGCAACCAAACACUUUCAGCUUGCUGUAAUCUUCUAGUUUACCACACCACUUCUCAUGUGGUGUUUUGAAGUCUAAGACUGGGGAAGGGCUCAAAUUUACUAGCAUGCAAGCUGUCAGUAGUGUUUUUGCCCAUAGCCCUUUAGGUAAAUAUGAUUAUAUCAUCAUGCAUCUUACCUUCUCCAUCAAAGUUCUGUUCAUUCUUUCAGCCAAGCCAUUCUGUUGUGGUGUUAGCCUCACUGUUUUGUGUCUAGCAAUGCCUUCUUUUGAGCAGUAUUCAUCAAACAUAUGAUUACAAUAUUCUAGUCCAUUGUCAGUUCUAAGAAACCUUCAGCUUCUUCCCUGUUUGAUUUUCAACAAGUGCUUUCCAUUCUUUAAACCUCUCAAACACCUAAUCUUUGGUUCUAAGUACAUACACCCAAACCUUUCUAGAGUAGUCAUCUAUUAUAGACAUAAAGAACCUAUUGCCUCCUAAAAAUGGAACCUGUGAAGGUCCCCACAGAUCUGUAUGCACAUAGUCCAGGAUACUUUUGGUUUUAUGGACAUAUUUCUUAAAGCUAGCUCGUAUGGAUUUCCCUAGAACACAAUCCUCACAGAAAUCUAGUUCUUCAAUCUUGUCACCCCCCAAAACCCCCUGCUUUUCUAAUUCUUUAAGACCCUUUAGGCUUAUGUGUCCCAAUCUUAAAUGCCAAAGCCUGGUAUUAUCAGCAUUGGUCUUGACAGACACAUUGGAUUCACUAGUCACUACUUCCCCAUCCAGGACAUAAACCCCAUUUCUCCUUGUGCCUUUCAUAAUCAAUGUUGAGCCAUUUAGGAUUCUUAAGUCACCACACUCUAAUUUUAUACUACACCCAAUUUGGUCAAGCAUCCCUAGAGAGAUUAAAUUCCUUUUAAGGUCUGGUACAUGCCUGACCUGUCUUAUUAGCCUCACAAUCCCAUCAUGUAGUUUUAUAUGUAUGUUUCCUAUCCCAAUGACCUUACACAUUGUAUUGUUUCCCAUCAUUACCCUUCCCCCAUCAUAUUCAUGGUAAUCUGAAAAGUAACUCUUUACAGGACUCAUAUGAAAAGUACAGCCAGAAUCAAGGAUCCACUUACCUAUCUGCACUUCAUCAGUUGCCACACACACUCCAGCUGAUUCAUAUCCCUCAUCUUCAACUAUUGCUGCAUCUCCAAUCUUUUGUUUAUUUUUAGGGCAAUCUUUCUUGAAGUGUCAUUCCUUGUGACACUGAAAACACUUCAAGUUCUUGUUUUUGUUCUUCCCCUUUCUUUGCUUCUUUUUCUUUCCAUCAGUUCUUUCAUUUCUUCCUUUCGCAGUUAAUCCCACUCCACUCUCUGUGUUAACUUGCUUUUCUUGUAGACCUCUGGUAUUCAAUGCAGCCUUAACCUCAUCUAGAGACAAGGUUUGUCUACCAUACAUUAAAGCAUCCACAAAAUUGGAGUAUGACUGUGGUAAUGAACUUAUCAGAAGUAGAGCUUUUCCUUCAUCAUUCAGGCCCUCAUCAAUGGUCUCCAAGGUGUCACAAACUUUGUUGAACUCAUCGAUAUGUUCAUCAAGAGAGGAUCUCGCAGCCAUCUUUAAUGAAAACAUCAUCUUCUUGAUAUAGAGCCUAUUUGCUAGUGACUUUGUCAUGUACAGAUUCUCAAGUUUAGCCCAUAGCUCUGCCACUGUUCUCUCCUUUGCCACUUCUCUAAUAACUGAGGCACUCAAACUCAGAAUUAUCGUGCUUCUUGCUUUCUUGUCGAUCUCAGCAGCCAGUUCUAGAGAUUUUGAUGAAGAUACCUCAUUCCCUUCUUUCUUGGUUGUUGGUUCUAUGGCUUCACCUAGGCCUUGAGUAAUUAACAAUGCCUCCAUUUUCACUUUCCACAUAUUGAAGUCGUUCUUCCCAUUAAACUUUUCAAGAUCAACUUUAGGAGCAGCCAUACUUGUAUCUGAUCAAGAAACCGAGCUCUGAUACCAAUUGUAGAGAUUGUCAAGUUAUGUAAUCAACUUGAGCAACCUCUUCCCAAGAUUACUGGAUUAGAUUUACAAGAUGAAUUAAAGAUGAUCUUAAUUUACAAUGAUUUUAAACAACUCAAUAUCACAACGAACCAACAGUAAGCAAUCAAAGAAACUAAAAGAAACCCAAGAAUUAACCCAGACACAGCAAGUUACGUGGUUCAGUCAAUUCAUCAUUGACUUACAUCCCCGGAGGAACAAAUUGACCAGCUUUAUUGAUUGAACCAAGUCUCUUUUACAAACAGAUUUACAGAGCCCUAAUCAAGGAACAAUAACACUUUGUUUACACAAGCUCUCUCUCUCCUGAAUCCUAUGAAAUCCUCUCGGUUUGUUACACCAGAAUCAGCUUCAGCUUCUGUGUUUAUAACAACCCAGAAGCAGCCCAAGCCGAGCACAUGAGCAGCAGAUGUCUUUAACAGCUUUUAACAGCCUUCUUACGUCAUUAAAAACUCACGCACAUUGCUCGUGAUUAUUAUAACCCAAAACGGUAGAGUCUUAGGUCGUUUCUCAAAGAGGUAUUAAGAUAUCCUGAAACGCAGAUUGCUGUGCCUUUUUCCUUUUGACAUCAAAUGCCAAAACGCAGAGCUUCCUGUCGUCUCCUUAAAUCUCUUUUUGAUUUGUUUCAUUCUGGUCCAACAAGAUCAAUUUAUUAGAAGACGAUAUUCCUCCAUCAAAUUGAAAGAGAAAUUGAAAAUAUCAAAAAGGGAACAGUAAGACGAUACUAUAUAUAUUAUCAUGAUAUUUUUGGUUUUUGUUUUGGAAAUGGAACAUCAUGAAACCGAGUAGAGGUGCACAAAAAUGGUGAAGAUAUAUUUCAGCUUCAUCGAUUGUCUCGAAUAAAAACAUCAAUGAUGUGUUAAACAAUUAACUCAAAAAUAGAUUGCUUACCUUAAAGGUGUGCCCAAAUUAUAAAUUUCAGUUUCGACUAUUGACCUUGGUUCGUAACGCGAUAAACUAAUCCGUGGCAUUUCACAUACCCAACAAUCUUGUAAGAAUUGGUUGAACUCUCAGAUCCCAUUCCACAACAUGCAAAACUCCCUGAUAUUGCCAAUGGCGGUGAUAUGAUUCAUUUAAAGGGUUCCCCUUGUUGCCACUUACCUUUAAAGAACAAUAAACUAUUGCCAAUGUUCUCGACACGGUUCCAUCACUCUGAAAAACGAACGCAUGUGAGCAAAACAAAGGCAGUCAAUUAUGUCACUCCAGUAUUCAGAGACAGAUCGCCGACUCAUAAGUGAUUUAGUGGGCAAUCCAAGAAAGAUGUCAUAGAUGAUAUAAUCAGAAAUUUCUUCCUCCAUCAGUUUUAUACAAUUUUUAACAUCCCUUUGAGAUUCUGGUCAAUUAAGAACUUAAUCAGUUCCUGCAUGUCAAAGUUGUUUGAGUGUCAUAAAACCUGUAGCGAAUCUACAUUUUCUGGGAAUAAUUUAAUAUAAAACUUAGCAGAAAGCUAAUACAAAUAUGCAGUUUUUAUUCGAACAAAAUUUAUGUGAACCAAGAAACAGAGCAUAACAGGGUAGCUGCAACUAAUAACACACAAAUUAACUCGUAAAAGUGACCUAACAAGCGUCAGAAUCAAUGGAUUAAAGCACUAAUCAGAGAUUGUGAACAAAACGUUUGUUUUAUAAUCAUGGAAAUUUGAGAUUACAUCAGCUAUAUGAUCCAUGAAAGAUAAGAAGCUUAAAGUGAGUUUAUGUAGCAUUGAUAGGCCUGUAUGGUGUCGCCAGCGCAGUGGCGUCGUCGGCGUGAGUGCGAGUGAAUUUUGGGAGACCUCCGGCUCCGGUUCCGUUGACUUUGCAUUAAAUUUGGUAAUAAUUUUUUUUUAAAAUUUAAAGUGUUAAAAUAUUCUAUUUAGCAGAAAAUAGAAACAAAUUGCGAAUGAGAUUAGAAUCCAAAUUUCAUUGCUAUCAUUUGAUAUAGAGGCAUUUCAAGUAAACUUUGGUCGUUUUUCAUUACCCAUGAGAGUGAGAACAGAGAACUCGAGUUAUCAUAUUGAAAAAUGGUAAUGAGACAGAAUUUAAAUCCUUACAAACCAAUAAUUAAUUAAUCGGUGUUAGUUUAUCGUGUUUGCGGCUAUAUUUUAUUGGAAACCUUAAAAAAGAAAUGGAAUCUUUCAGUUCAUAAUGUAUUAUUAUAUUUAUUCCACUCUUGUUUAUGACAAUUUGCAUCUGAGCCAGCUGGAAUGCUAUAGACUGAAAAAAUUAACAAUGUUUUCUGAGGAUGACUGACCAAGUCAAAGUCUUUGAGGCGCACAAUUAAUCUAACCGGGGCGAGCAGAAAUUUCUGUAUUUAUAAAAUUUUGAUUCACUAGUUUCAAGUGAAAGAAAUAUUAAAAUAUAUAUCAUUCGCAUUUAUGAUGGAGCCUCUAACGAUUAUUAAAUCAUUUUAAGCAUUUAUGUAUGACUAUUACAUUUAAUUAAUUGUAUUGCAUAAUUUGCAUAGGCUCCUCCACUUUGAGGCAGUUACUUGGGUUCAAAUUUGCAGUUGCAGAGCACCAAAGUUUGCUUUUUCGAUCUACUUGGAUUUUUCUUUGUUGAUCAUGUAAGUUAUACAUACAGCACUGCAAAAUGCCUCUACAAUAUUGCCAGUUUUCGUAUAACAUGUCCUUAGGAGGACUCUUGUGUACAUAAAUAUGUUGUUCGGUUAAUGUCGGUCUCGUUUAAUUGUAAUUCAUUGUAGAUCCAAAAUUGUAAACUAUUGUUUCUUUAGCCUGAACUUGUGAACCAACUGAUUUGAUCAUCAGGUCUCAAGACUUGGAAGCAGAGGAAGGUCUUAAAAGAAGGCUUCUGCACGGAGAUGGUAGGCCCAGUGAUGGAACAAAAAACUUAUCAGUUGUGUCCGUAACCGGAAGAUCCGGAACGCAAGCAGUAAAGACAAGUUUUCUUCAGCUGGAAAAGAUGAGAAAUUAUGCAGCAAAUUACAGAAUCGAUUUACCAUGGUAUGUGAUUUCAAUAUUAUGGGAUCCUUUGUACUUCUACACUCUGGUGAUCAAUGAUGAAAAGCAGUGCAUUGAAAUGGACUUUUCUUUGGCUUCCUUGGUGAUUGAACUCCGCUUCUACUUUGAUUUGGCCAAGUUGAUCCACAGUUCGUUUGUGAUUUGUGUUGAAUAUUUUGAAAAUAGAAAGAUAAGCGUGUGGCUGAUGUUCGCAUGGCUCAUUGACUUUGUGUCCAGUAUAAUAUUUACCCAGGUGCGUAAUGGAUCUGAAUUUAAUUUAUUUAGUUGUCUAAUAUUUCAAUAUCAUUUAUAUGAUUACUAAUACUUCAAAUUCAUAAAACAACAUCCAGAUGGUGGUGGGAAUAACGGACAUUCUGUACUCGAGGAAUUUCUUUCUGUUUCAAUAUUUGCUGAAGAUUAUUCGAACCUACCACCUGCUUACAGCAGCAACAGGGGUUUCAGGGAUAUUUGGUGAAUCUACAUGGGCCAUUGUUGCGUUCAAUGUUCUUCUUUACAUGCACGGCAGUUACGUAAGUCAAAAGUACUAUCAUUUAUGUAAGUUAAUUUAUAAUAAAACCCUUCUCAGGCAAAAAGAAAAAUUAUAAUAGAACCACAUUCAUGCAUCCUGCUUUCUUCCUUCCUAAUUUUGAUAAAUGAAUUCUUUUAGUCCUUAAGAUUCGAGUUAAUUAUUCAGUUACUACUGUCGCAUAUAUUGUCAGACAGAAGAAAUGACAAAGACAUUUUUGUGUAAUUCUUAAAAAUAUGGAGAUUAACUGAAUAAUUAACCCAAGCCCUCGUGAAUGAAGGGAAAUUGACACUCGAAGCUUUUCUACUUUCUCAACCGCGCAUGUUUCUAAUCGAGUGGUCCUUUAGGUAUUUGGUGCCUUGUGGUACUUUUUUGCCAUAAACAAAGCGACCGCAUGCUGGAUGGAUACCUGCAUGAAGAAUACUGGUUGCUGGGGCGUCUUAAACAUUGAUGCCUAUUGUGAGGGCCGUUCAGGAGACUAUAAGUUUCUAAACGAUGUUUGCUCUGUAAAGACGGGAAACUCAACAAACAAUUUUUAUGGCUUAUAUGGUGAUGCUUUUCAGUUAGGAAUUGUGGGGUUGACUGAUGUUCCAAUGAAAAUCUUGCUUUGUUUACUAUGGGGACUGCAAAAUCUCAGGUUUGUGCCUUGCAUUGUCGUUACUGUGUGAUGUGAGGUCAGCCGUUAAUAACUUCGAAAAUUGUGAGUUCAUUGAAUUGCUUUUUGCAGUGCUUUUGGUCAGAGCCUCCAACCAAGUAACGAUUUCUGGGAAAUUAUCUUCGCAAUUUGCAUGACCAACUAUGGCAUCGUUCUGUUUGUCUUCUUAAUUGGAAAGAUGCAGGUUCACAUAUAUAAAUUCUAUAUCGUAAUUGUUAUGACAUAUGAUGAUAUAAUAAAUUAUCAUGCGUUAAUUAAUGACCGGCAUCUUACCAUCUCGCUGUUACAUAAAGAAAUAUUUUAGGGCUGUGAGAAUGCCAUGUCAAUUAGAAUUAAUACAAACUUUGCAUCCCAAUUCCUUAUAAAAUUAGCGUUACUCAUAAUUUUCUGUUUACGUCUAUAGAUUUGAAGAUUGAUGCACAAUUCAAUUAUUGACUCUGUUUCAUUUGAAAUAUCUGAUACAUAAAUAUAUAUGCAGUCUGACACAGAAAGAUCACAAAAGAUCAAACAGAUGUGGGAGGAGAUAAAGCAAUGGCAGCACUUUAAGGAUAUAUCUAAUAAAGUUCAAGAUCAAAUAAGGAAAGACAAGCGCAACAACUGGGAAGAAACCAAAGGAGUUGACAUAGAUAAUUUGGUGAAUAAUCUCCCUAAGGACACUGGAAAAAAAAUAAAACGCGAUCUCGGCCGAAAGCUGCUCAAGAAUGUGAGUUCUCAUCAUCCCUCUUUAUAAUUAUAAUAAUUGAUCACUUUUCUAUCCUGCCCGCUCUGAAGUUCAAAUGUCUCGAUGUUUCAAUCAUUUUCAUUCUUAACCUGAUCGGGCGAGCCAAAUUAAUCCUUCGUUACAUUAAAAUUACAGAUUCGUCUUAUUUUCCCUCUUUGAUUGGUACUCCUUCUGAAUCCAAGCAUCGAACCUAAGUCAUACCUCAUUGAAGUUCAUGGGCUUAACUAACACAUGGUCAAAAGCUAGCUAGCUCGUAGUUAGGUUGAGAUUUGCCUCAAGGUUAAAUACUUUAUUCAUGAUUUACUCUUAGCUGACAUGCAAUGUUUUACAUACGCAGAGAGAUAGAGAUGGUCAUUCUCAAAUGCACGCCCUCAUUUUUUUUAAUACGAAUACUCUGUUAACAGAAUUAAUUUCCAAUAAAUUGUAAACCCAUAGCAUUAAAAAUUGACUUUAUUAAACCGCAUAGUUUAGAUAUGUGUCCGCAAGAAAAAAAAAAAGAGGGCACCCGCACUUAAGAAUGAUUAAUAUAUAAUAUGGACGCCCUCAUUUUUUUAAUCAGAAUAUACUUUUAAACUGUGCAGUUUAGGAGAGUUAAAGACUAACUCUCUUAAACCUCAUGAUUUAAAAGCGUUUUUGUAUGAAAAAAAUGAGCGCGCUCGCACCAAAAAAGAACUCUCGGGUGUGUGUGUGUGUAUAACUUUUUAUAAAUGUAUUUUUAAAGUCACAUGACGAGGUGGGCUUUCAUUCUUAUAACUAAUCUUUGUUAUCUCGAUUUACCCAUGUAAUGGUUGGAUAUAUUUAUACUGUAAUUCUCAUUCUUGGAUAUGUGUAAAUAUAUAUGAAGGUAAAAGAGUUUCAAAAUUGGAGCGAAACAUCAUUAGAGGAACUAUGUGAUUGUUUGAAGCCAGUGUUCUUUAUUGAACGUACUCGAAUAAUUCGAGUAGGAGAUCCAAUUGAUGAGAUGCUCUUCGUGUUGAAUGGCAAGCUUUGGACUUACUCAUAUGACUUCAUGAAUGUAACAACAACUGCCUCUAUGUUGAUCCAUCGUCGUAGCCGGGAGAAUCUUCUAGAAGAUGGUGAUUUUUGCGGACAAGAACUUAUAGCUUGGUCUCAAAAUGAAAGCUCAUCACCCCACCUCCCUAUCUCAACCAGAACCAUUCAGGCACUUACUAACGUUGAAGCUUUUACUCUUAUGGCCGACGACUUGAAACGUGUAUCAUUACUUCGACAUUUUGAUCGGGCAGCUCUUUUGUUACAAUCACGCUGGCGUUUCAAAAGGCUGUUGCGUGCUAGAAGGAAUCCAGAGAAACGAUCACGCCUGGAAUCACUAAUGUAUAAAUUUAUAUAGAGAAACAUAUAUACGUUUGUUGCAGCAUUAUAAUUAGUCCCGAUUAUGUAAAAGCAAGUACAGAAAGCCAUUUAAAUAUGGGAAACCAACGUGCUGUUGCUCAUACUACACUAGGGGUGGCAAAACGAAUUGGCAAAUCGAAUUCGUGUAGAAUCCUAAAUGAAUCAAAUCAAAAUUCGAUGGAUUCAAAUUCGAUUUGUUUAUUAAACGAAUCGUAAUCUCAUGAUUUGGACUCAAUUCGUUUAGUAAACGAAUAUUCAUUUACAAUUUAUUUACUAUAUAAAGUUAAAUUAAAUAAUAAAUAAUGAAAGUUUUUAAUAAAGAAUCCAAUGGAUUAAUUUAAAUUUAUUUAAAAUCUAAUCACAAAAUCGAUUCAUUACAACUAGAUCCAAGCAAAACACAAAUACAAUUCAAAAACAAGAAGCUGAAGAAACUCAAAGGCAUGAGGACGGACGAAGCUAACAGUCCAAUCAGUGGUGGGUGUGGCUAUUCGAGACCUUGUCACUACCGUAACCAAGAGAAGUGAAGCUUGCCGAAAAAUUUUAAGUGAGAGCACUGAUCUAAUUUUUGGGAGUGUUUGGUUUGGCUUUCGUUUGGGGGAAUGAAGAAAAGGGUCACCAAAUUCAAGUGAAACAAUGGAGGAAGGACAAUGAAGAGUGGAGCUAGGCUCAAUUGAUGAGUGAUGAUGCCCUUGCUUUCAUUUUCUUUUUUGGUUUGUUUUCAUUUCAUAAUUUCAAAACUAACCUUAUACCUUGAAAUGUUAAAACAGAUUUUUUUUUUAAUUUUAAUGAUAUAUAAGUUUUUUAUUAAAAUCUAUUAUACUAUUUGGUUACAACCUAUUUAAUAAAUGAAUUAUAAACGAAUAAAUGAAUUGUUGGCCUCAAACUCAUAUUCGAUUCGUUUAUUUAACAAAUCAAAUUGAAUUCACCCAUUAAUCAAAUGAAUCAAUUUUUUCAACUCAGACCAAUUUAAUUCAACUCAAAUGAAUCAAUUUUUAGAGUGGCUUGCCUACAACGUUUCUUUCUACAUUUUUUCCUACACCCAUUUUGUGCCCGAUCUAGCUGAAGUACUUCUGAUGAUGUGAAGGAUCCUGCACUUGAAGGAAGUCAAUCGGCCAAUUUUGCAGAAACCCUAAUUUUGAUUCUUCUACUUGGUUUCUAACAUUAUCGAUCAUGUAAGUAACUGAUCUAGGUAUUGGUACAUAAUAUUCGUCGAUUAAUUUUGCCCUUGUCAUUCCUUGAACAUUUUGAUAAACAUUUUGGUUAGUCUUUGUUUUAGCAGUUGGUUAAUGUCUUGUUUCUGUCUCCAAAAUGGCUUUUAGAAUGGUACUUCAGGUGUUUCUAACUUUACAGUGGAUGUAUUUGGGCAAAGCUACGAAUUGAUCUUAAAGGACACACACGCACACAUACAUCUUUAUUUUUGAACAUCCAAAAAAGUUCAAAUGAGUGGAAAGCAAGUGUGAUGAUCAAGAAGAAAUUAUUAUUACUUUUGAUGUUUUGUUAGUCUUCAAAACAGAUGAUAGGAUGAUUCAAUCUUUCUAAAGAAAAUGCAAAUGAUGAAACUUAUGUAUAUUUUUCAUUUUGGAUUCUUCUUAAUUACCCAUUGUUGAUCAUGUAAGUAAAUGUUGUUGUUUCCAACAUUGAUCAUGGAAUUUUGCCAACUUGACACUUUUUAAACAGUUUUUCUUUGCCUGGAUAACUUGAAGAAGGGUUAAAUGCUCUUUAUAUCUCUGCAAUUGAUACCGCUCCUUUUCGUUUUCUUAGAUACGCUUAGAUUUACAUUGGAAAUCCUUUUACCCCACUGGAUAAGAAGUUUUAUAAUUCAGCGAAAUUUCAUUGUGAUUUAUUUUAAAACCUUGUUUUGUUAAAGUUAAUUUGCAAGGGAGUCGUAAUUUUUUUUUUUUGAGUUUUUAAAUAUUGUUAAUUAUACUCAUCUUGAAAAAAUUAAAAUUUUUAAUACGAAUGUAAAAUGUCCAACUUUUUAUUUUUUUCAAAUUAAAUUUUCGUAAAUUUGUAUAUUUAUCAAAAAUAAAUUCUAACAAAUAAAAAAGUAAUUUAAAUUAUUUUUCUACUUAAUAACAGUUAUAUUCCUAGCAAAAAAUUAUUUUCUAUUAGGGAUCAAAUAUUUUCCUUUACGGAAAAUGAGUUUUACAUGAUUAAUAAUUAGAGUGAUAUAUAAAAACUAAUUCGUGAGCACAACAAACAUUUUCCAGUAUUUAAACAAUGAUUUUUUUAAAAUAAUAAUGAAAAAUCAUUCAUUCAUUUGAAUUAAGUCUAAAUCAGAGGCAAUGAAGUCUAAAAUAUUGAGAGGCAAUGAUGUUGACGUAUUUUACAAAGAUGCCAAGAGUAUUUGUCUGUUGAGCUACUACAAUGUUGUCAUAAAAUUUACGCAUUGCUAAAAAAUUCUAAUUACUCAUAACGUGUCUUGAUCAGGUCUAGGAACCCGCAAUUAGAGCAAGGCACAGCAGCACAAGCUCUCGGAGAAGAUAGUGAACCACCACGUAAAUGGCCAUUGUUCUUCUUGGUUGGCCAAAUUUUAUACUGGUUACUCUAUGUGACAUACAAAAUUUUAUACUGGUUGCUUUAUUUGACUGCCAUAAGUUUAUUCGGGUGUUUUGCUGGGAUGUUUGAAAGCAUAGGGUUGAUUGUGGCGGUAGUGAUAUUGGAUAUUUUGAGGCCGAUGAUAAAGUUGGCUAUCAAAAAAAAGAUUUUUCUUCUACUGUCUGUUAUUGCAAUUAUAUUGGAUCCUUUGUUCUUCUACAUUCCGGUCAUAAAUGAUGAAAAGAAGUGCAUUGAAAUGGACAAGAUUUUGGGAACUACAGCCAUUUCUCUUCGUUCGGUAAUCGAUUUAUUUAAGAUAAUUCAUUUUAUCUUUGAGCUGCUCACUAAAUUACCCGUAAAAGGAAGGAUGCGUGUGUGGUUGGUCUUUCUCAUUGACAUUUUGGCCAUUCUUCCCCUCCCUCAGGUAUGACAAACUAAAUAUCCGGAUACUUAAGCUAGCACAUUUGUUAUUUUAUGAACUAUGACAGCAAAUAUAUAAUGCUGUGCAAAUGAUAUUCGGUGCUAUGUCCAUUCAGGAGGAGAGAGUCUUUCAUGAUCCUAGAGCAUUUCUAAUUAUAUAUUCACCUACUUCCUACCACGUGUAUAAAUAUUAUUACAAUUGGUUGAAGCAUACACGUGCCAAAGAAUGAAUGAAAAAGAAGCAGUUCUACUACAGCACCCAAGACUUUUCCCCAUUAUUUAUAGCCACUUUCAAGGUUUAAAUUCUUUUUUAGUUCCGAAUGGUUUGGCCAAUUACCUAUUUAGUCCCCUUUUUUGGGGAAAUUAAUUAAAAUUAUCUAUUGUUACUCUUAUAGCUAUUAGAUCUAAUCUUUUAAGAGUAAAUUAAUAUUUUUAUCUGAUGUAAUUAAAAUUUAAACAAAUAUGACAUGUCACAGGUGAAAAGUAAAGAAUAAUUGAGUAGAAUUUAAUUGAUACAUACAUACAAUAAGUACAUUUUGGAUAAUUUUCUAAAAUACCAGGAUAAACUUUAGAGGCUAUAGUAGAAUUUACCUCAGUUUCAAGCUAUACAUUGUACAAAGGGUUCAUAGUCCGGAUUUUGAAAACGUGCAGUCAUAUACAGAGGGGAAUUCUCAUACUAUGCAUUGUAUGAGGUAUUUAAUUAUCUACAUAUAGUACUGACUACCACUCAAUUGUCCAGGUGCUUUUGAACUUACAAAAAGUAAGAGGCACGGAAUUUCUAUACGCAAUGAGCUUCUCCCUUGUAUGUUAGAAAAUUGGUGGGUGAAGCAGACACGCAGCUAAAGUAAAAUUGAUAGAAAAAUAAAGAACAAGCACAAAAGAAAAUACCAGAAAUUACGUGGUUCGGCUUUUAGCCUACGUCCACGGGCGAAGACAGAAAGAAAUAUUAUACUAGUGAAAAGGAGUUACAAGUAUUGUAGUAUUUUAGUUCACUACCCAAAACCCCAAUACACCCAAACUCUCAAAUCACUAAGCACACAAAAUUCUUUGCUCUUGCAAGAAUCACUUCUCACAACUCUCAAUUCUCUCUACAAAAUUGGAUGCAAAUGAAUUAGGGAGUUCUCCCUUUUAUAGCCAAAAAUGGUAAUUAAAAUAAUAUAUACAUAUUUCAAAUGUUGUUGCCAACUUCUUCUUUUUCUCCAUUUGGACGGCACCAUUUUCUUUGGCCGGCUGCACCAUUUUCUUUGGCCGGCUUGUCAAAGCCAACUUGAAUUUGCCUUGUGGCCACCGACUUUGACAUUUCUCCCACUUGGAGAUUUGAUUGAGAAGCAAUCAAUCUCCACAUCAUCCUUUCUGCUUCGCCAUAAUCAUGUUGCCUACGUUUCUGCUAGGCCACAAGAGGAUCUACUCCAGACAAACUUAUCAAUAUUUAUCGGCUUGGUCAAAACAUCUGCUAGGUUCUCUUUGGUAUGGAUUUUCUGCAAAUCCACACUUCCAUCUUCCACUACUUCACGAACGAAGUGAUACUGAACUCCUAUGUGCUUUGUCCUGGAAUGAAAGGCUGGAUUCCUUGCAAUGUGCAAGGCACUCUGACUGUCACAAAACACAAGAAUUUUCUGUUGUUUGUGCCCGAGCUCCUCCAAUAACCUUUGUAUCCAAAUAGCUUCCUUGCAAGCUUGUGUAGCUGCCAUGUAUUCUGCUUCUGUUGUAGAUAAAGCCACAACGGUCUGCAGUUUCGAAACCCAGCUUACAGCUGCUCCCGCAAGUGUAAACACAUAACCAGUAGUGGAUUUUCUUUUAUCAAGGUCUCCUGCAAAAUCUGAAUCCACAUAGCCCCUGACAGUAAACUCUGAUCCUCCAUAACAUAAUGCAACAUCAGAGGUUCCUCUGAUGUAUCUCAGAAUCCUCUUCACAGCUAUCCAAUGCUCUCCACCAGGAUUCGCCAUGUAUCGACUGACUGCUCCCACUGCUUGUGCAAUGUCCGGUCUAGUACAUAUCAUAGCGAACAUCAAACUUCCCACUGCUGAUGCAUACGGUACUCGAGACAUCUCCUUCCUCUCUGCUUCAUUACUAGGACACAUACUUGAGGAUAAUUUGAAAUUAACAGGAAGUGGGGUAGAAAUUGACUUACAAUCUUGCAUGUUGAAGCGUCGCAAGAUUUUCUUCAAGUAAUUCUUCUGCGAAAGCCAAAUCUUCCUGUUAUUUCUGUCUCGGUGAAUUUGCAUCCCUAGAAUCUUGUUUGCUGGUCCCAAGUCCUUCAUUUCAAACUCCCUGGCCAACUGUGCCUUCAAUUUUUGGAUUCGAUCUUUGUUGGGACCUGUUACCAACAUGUCGUCCACAUACAACAACAAAAUAAUGAAAUCAUUAUCUUCAAACCUCUUGUAAUAUGCACAAUGGUCUGAACUCAGUCUGUUGUAUCCAAGGCUCAUGAUGAAGGAAUCAAAUCUCUUAUACCAACACCUCGGCGCCUGUUUGAGACCGUAUAGAGAUUUGUUCAACCUGCAAACCAAGUUCUCCUUUCCUGUUUCUGCAAAACCUUCUGGUUGGAGCAUAUAUAUUUCUUCUUCAAGUUCUCCAUGAAGAAAUGCAGUUUUCACAUCUAACUGCUCAAGAUGUAGGUCAAAUGUAGCACACAUCGCCAAGACUAUUCUGACUGUUGUGAGUCGAACCACUGGAGAAAAUAUCUCGUUGAAGUCAAUACCUUCUUUCUGAGCAUAUCCUUUCACCACCAGUCUUGCACGAUACCGCUCCACUUGGUCAUUGCCAUCACGUUUGAUCUUGUAGACCCAUUUGUUUCCAAUGGCUUUUCUUCCACGUGGUAGUGGUACAAGUUCCCAUGUCUUGUUCUUGUGUAGAGUUUCAAUUUCUUCCUGCAUUGCUGUCAUCCACAAAGCAACAUCUGAGCUGUUUAAAGCUUCAUGGAAAGUUGAAGGCUCUCCAUCUUCUGUUAGAAGACAGUAUGCAACGUUGAUCUCUGUGACAUACUCCGAGUGCCACGCCGGCGGUCGUCUCUCACGAGUUGACCGACGAACUUCUGGAGCCUCAGACUCGACUGGUUCUUGUUCUUCGUGCUCUGGUGCUGCUUCCGAAGAAUCUGAAUCUUCUGGAUUAUUUUCUACAUAUACCGGCACAAUCUCUGACUUUUCUUUUACAUUGCCAUCAUCUCCAUCUUUCAUUUGCAGUUGAUCUUUUACAAAAAUAACAUCUCUGCUGAUGACGAUCUUGUGGGCAGUGGGGUCCCACAGACGAUACCCCUUUACUCCAUCAGCAUACCCUAAGAAGAUACAUCUUCUAGAUUUUGGAUCCAGCUUUGUUCUUUCUUGGGCAUUGUACAUCACGUACACAGGACAUCCAAAUGCAUGUAGGUAGGAAUAAUCAGCUGGCUUUCCAGUCCACAUCUCCAUCGCCGUCUUCAACCCAAUUGCUGUAGAUGGCGACCGAUUUACUAUAUAACAGGCAGUUUUGGCUGCUUCUGCCCAAAAUGAAUUGGGUAGACCAGCAGUCUUCAACAUAGCUCUUAUUCUUUCUGUAAGAGUUCUGUUCAUCCGCUCCGCCACUCCAUUUUGUUGAGGAGUGUAUGCCACCGUGAACUGCCUCUGAAUACCUUCUUGCUUACAGAAAGUAAGAAACUCGCCGUCUGUAUACUCUCCACCAUUAUCCGUCCUUAAGCACUUGAUCUUUUUACUAGAUUCAAGUUCCAACCGCGCUUUGUAUUCUUUAAACACAGGAAAUACAUCUGACUUUUUCUUAAUUGGAUACACCCAACAUCUUCUGGAAUAAUCAUCAAUGAAAGUCACCAUGUACUUUGCACCUCCCAUAGAUAUAUCCGGUGAUUCCCAAACAUCAGAAUGAAUCAAGUCUAGAAUGCAUUUACUUCUAGCAAUAGAUCUACUGAAUUUUAAUCUAUGCUGCUUACUUGUAACACAAUGCUCGCAAAAUGGUAAACUUACCGAUUUGAGCCCCGGAAGCAAUUUUCGCUCAGAGAGAAUCUUCAAGCCUUGUUCUGACAUGUGGCCAAGUUUGAAAUGCCACAUCAUCGUUGAUUCUUCUCCAUUUGAUGCGACACACGCAUCAGCCUCCUGUAGUGUUUCUCCUUUAAGCAUGAAUAAAUUAGCACCGAUCUUUUCUGCCUUCAUCAAUACAAGCGCACCUUUAACGAUCUUCAUUAUUCCAUUUUCCACAUGAGUUUUGAACCCAUGACUAUCCAUUUGUCCCAAAGACAAUAGAUUUUUCUUCAGGCCAUUGACAUGUCGUACCUCCCCAAUUGUGCGAAUUGUACCAUCAAACAUUUUUAUUUUGAUAGUACCAAUACCAGCGAUCUCCAAGGCAUGAUCAUCUCCCAUAUAUACAGAUCCUCCUGAGAUAGGUUCAUAUGUGUGGAACCAUUCUCUCUUAGAGGUCAUGUGCCAGGUAGCUCCUGAGUCUAUAAGCCAGACAUCAGAUAGUCGUUUUCUGCCUUCUGAAACAGUUGUUGCCUCGCUGUAGAGAAUUUCACCAUCAUCUGAGGUACUUGCUACACAACCCUGAGCAUUUGAUGACUCAGGUUCUUUGCCCUCUUUUCUCUUCUGGUUACUCCAACACUCUUUCUUGACGUGCCCUUUCUUACCACAGUUGUAGCAUUUAACAUUCUUCUUACUUCUGGAUUUUGAUCUACCAUGACUUUGACUCCCAUUGGGGCCACGUUCUGUUGAUCUCCCUCUCGUCACCGAUAGCGCCUCCGCUUGCUGCGAACUUGCUUGUCUGUUUUCUUUAUUUUUCCGCCUGCUCUCCUCAUUUAAUACGGAAGCUGCAACAUCGUCGAAAACUAGACUCUCCACUGGAUUGUUGUUCGUCAGGUUGAUGAUGAGUUGAUCAUACGAAUCUGGUAGACUUUGAAGUAGAAGCUCUGCACGUUCAUUUUCCUCUAUAUUAUGACCCAACGUUGUGAGUUGUGAAAAUAGAGUCUUCAAUGUGUUGAUGUGGUCGGUCACCAUUGUAGAUUCCGCCAUUCGAAGAGUAUAGAGUUUUCUCUUCAAGAAGAUUUUGUUGUGUAGUGACUUGGCCUCAUACAAUUUUGUGAGAGUAUCCCAUAUUUCCUUCGCCGUAUUUUUCUCUGCCACACUAGAUAAUACUCCGUCUGCAAGUGCCAAGUGUAGAUCAGAAAUGGCAUUGCCGUCUACCUCGUUCCACUUGUCAUCAGUUAUCUCCAUGGGCCUUUCUCCAAUUGCUGCCAAGCAAUUAUUUUUCCUCAAUACAGCUUUCAUCUUCAUUUUCCACAACGAAAAAUUAUUUCCGUUAAAUUUCUCAAUUUCAUACUUUGCCGCCAUUUUGUUGAUAAAUACUGCACACAAGCUAGUAUACCACCUUGAAUAGUUGUGAGUAUGUGUGAGAAUGCACACCAGGAAAGUUCCCAGGAAAGACUGGAGGGGUCACAAUGGUCCCACUUAAAACCCAGACUCCUUAAGCUCUUAUCACCUUUGUGACAGAACUUUCCUAGACAUGUACAGAACCACACAGUUGCUUUACUCACACCACUAUUCCCUGCUUUGCACCGCAAAAUUCUUGGAUUGCUUCCACCGUUUCACAUGAAUAGUACCGUAUACGUGAAUAGUACCGUAUACCGUAUACGUGAAUAAUACCGUAUACCGUAUACAUGAAUAGUACCGUAUACCGUAUACGUGAAUAGUGCCGUAUGCCGUAUACGUGAAUAGUGCCGUACGCCGUAUACGUGAAUAGUGUCGUAUGCCGUAUACGUGAAUACAUGAACAAUUCCUGACUCCAAAAAUACAACCAAUAGCUCUGAUACCACUGUUAGGUAAUUGGUGGGUGAAGCAGACACGCAGCUAAAGUAAAAUUGAUAGAAAAAUAAAGAACAAGCACAAAAGAAAAUACCAGAAAUUACGUGGUUCGGCUUUUAGCUUACGUCCACGGGCGAAGACAGAAAGAAAUAUUAUACUAGUGAAAAGGAGUUACAAGUAUUGUAGUAUUUUAGUUCACUACCCAAAACCCCAAUACACCCAAACUCUCAAAUCACUAAGCACACAAAAUUCUUUGCUCUUGCAAGAAUCACUUCUCACAACUCUCAAUUCUCUCUACAAAAUUGGAUGCAAAUGAAUUAGGGAGUUCUCCCUUUUAUAGCCAAAAAAUGGUAAUUAAAAUAAUAUAUACAUAUUUCAAAUGUUGUUGCCAACUUCUUCUUUUUCUCCAUUUGGACGGCACCAUUUUCUUUGGCCGGCUGCACCAUUUUCUUUGGCCGGCUUGUCAAAGCCAACUUGAAUUUGCCUUGUGGCCACCGACUUUGACAUUGUACAAUAUUUGUUGAGGGUUAUUCGAACCUACUACUUGUUUACAGAAGCAACAGGUGUUACAGGAAUACUUGCCGAAGCUACAUGGGCCAUUGUUGGGUUCAACAUUCUUCUUUAUAUGCAAGGCGGUCACGUAAGUUAUAAAAGACCAUUCAUUCAAUUUAAUUCCUAAGAUAUGCACGAGCCGAAUGAACAUAUCUUUAUGCAUACUUUAUAUUGUUGGCACUGGGACAUACAGUUAUUUCUGAAUCAUGCACCCUUUUCAGGUAUUUGGAGCCUUAUGGUACUUCUAUGCCAUCGGAAAAUUGACAGGAUGCUGGAAGAAAGCGUGCCAAAAUAAUAUUGGAUGUCAUCAUAGUUCGUUUUAUUGUGAAGACAUGAUCAGUACAAGAGAUUACACGUUUCUAAAUGAUUUUUGCAGUAUAAAGUCAGGAAAUACAUCAGAUUACAAUUUUGGAUUAUAUAAUGAUGCUCUUGAGUCUGGUAUUGUGGAGGUGACGAAUUUUCCAAAGAAAUUGUUACAUUGUUUACAAUGGGGCUUGCAAAAUCUCAGGUUUGAGCAUAAUCCAAACUUUCUCUUUGUGAUGUUAUGGUUGAAAAGAAUGAAACAAUAUUGGUUCAAAAAAAAUAAAAUACUUUGGUCACUCUUAGACACUAUUUUACCACUUAGGUCCCUGGUAAAAUUUUAAUAUCUUAUUUCAUACUAGAAUUGGAAUAAAAGUAUAGAAAAAAACACAUUGUUGAAAGUUAAACGUCACAUUUUAACAAAUAGAUUAAAUAACUUUAAUUUGCAUUGAUCUAAAAUAAUCAUGUUUAUUCUGGUAUUGUUUUCAAGGAGCAAAGUAUUACAUAUUCCCCUUUCGAGAAAACUGCCGAUUCUUUUGCAUAGGAGAGUGACUUUAAUCUUUUGUGUAUAUCAUUUCAAAUAAAGCGUAUAGAUUGAACCCUUUGCAGUGCUUUUGGUCAGAACCUCCAAACAAGCACCGAUAUCUGGGAAAACGUUUUUGCAAUUUGCAUGACCAACUUUGGUGUGGUACUGUUUGUCUUUUUAAUUGGGAAGAUGCAGGUUCGUAUACAUUUUCUAUUUCUUAUAUCUGAAUUUACCUCAAUUCCAAGUGUUAUAAUUAAUAUUGAAGUACAUUUGAAAUUAAUGGAUUGUAACUGCAGUCGGACACAGCAAGAUCACAUAAGAUAAAAAAGAAGUGGAAGGAGAUAAAGCAGUGGCCGAAUUUUGGGGAAAUUUCUUCUGAUCUAAAAGAGCAGGUGAGGACAUACAAGCGAGAGAAAUGGGAAGAAACCAAGCGUGUUGAUGUUGAUAAUUUGGUGAAUGAUCUUCCCCACGAACUUGGCAUCAAAAUAAAGCGCAAACUUUGCAUUAAACUAAUCAAGAAUGUGAGUUCCUAUUACUUCUUUAUCCAGUAAUAAGUCACUUGUGGUUUCUUUAUCUAUUGAAAAAAAAAAAGGAAAAGAAAAAAUGCUAGGCAACAGUUACGAGUUCAUUGCCACAAAAUUGCCACUCCUUGUUUAUUACAAGAAAUUGAAACAACAUUUGUUAUAUUCCGUUACCCUUACUAAUCGUUUGGAUGCAUCUAAUGUAAUUCUCAUUUUUUUGGUCCGUACCUAUCUAUGUACACAGGUAAAAGAGUUCGAAAAUUGGAAUAAAAAAUCAUUGGAGUUUCUGUGUGAAUUUCUGAAGCCAGUCUUCUUUAUUGAGCGUACACGCAUUAUUCGGGAGGGAGACCCAAUUGAAGAGAUGCUAUUUGUGCUGAAAGGCAAUCUCUGGACUUACACUUCCGGGAAUGUAGCAACAACUAGCAGCAAUAGUAGUCGUUAUGGAAAGAAUCGUUUGAAAGGUGGUGACUUUUUUGGAGAAGAACUUAUUGGUUGGGCUGAGAGUGAGCACUCUUCCAAUUUGCCUAGCUCAACCAGAACUAUUCAAGCGCUUAGUGAGGUUGAAGCCUUUGUUCUUAUGGCAGAUGACUUGAAACAUGUAUUCUUACUUAGACAUUGUGACCGGGCAGCUCUUUUGUUACAAUCACGCUGGCGUUUCAGAAAGCUUUUGCGUGAUAGGAGGGCUAAGCAAAAAUCAAUCUUGAGAAGAAUGCGGAAUUGCGCAGCAGUACUACAGACUAUAGAAUAACAAUUUGAGACUGGAUUUGAAAUUAUUAUUUGUAUGAAUACUACCAAAAUGAAAAUAGGUGGUAAAAGCUGAAAAAUUAAGGGGAAAAUUGUCGAUCUCCCUUGUUCGAUUAUGCAGUCAACAAGAUCAGAAACAGUAAUCGCCAAGUUCGAUUUGGAAAUCUUAUCCAACCAAUGGUACCUUUUUCUUUUUUCUUUUUUUCCCUGAAUCAAGGACUUCACGCUUCGUUGAUGGGGAUACCAUUCCUAAAAUUAAAAGAUAUUGACCAUUACUAUCUCAAACAACAAUUAAUUAUACAUUGCCAGCACGCAAAAAUGAGCGACAAACUUCUUCAUUAACUAAUCUAUUUGAACAACUGCAUUUCUAAGCAUAUAUAUGAUCAUUUCAGAUGAAAAUAGUUUAAAGUGGUUAUAGAAGAACCGGUAGAUCACAGUUGAGAGAGUGAAGCAGAUCAUCAGGGGGCAAUCUUAAGUGUGUCACGCGGGUAGAGUGAUGUUUUGCGAAUGUUGUUGAGAUCGCAGAAAAGCAUCACCACACUCUUCAAUCCCACUUCACAUCCACUAUGUCUCGAAAGGAAUCCAAUGAUAACAUAAAGCUAACAGUUUUUAGAGGACCACACUGUUUUUCUAUUUGCGUACAAAUGGACAGUGGUUUCAGAAUAACCUUAGCAUUGUCAAGUUUAACCAGAGAGCAUGGAAACCAAAGCCAGAUCAAAAUUCAAAACCACUAUGGAGGAUGUGCAUGGAUUAAUGUAAAAUACUAUAUUCAAUUUGAACGAUAAACACAGUACAAAUAAAAAUUAUUAGAUUCCAUCUUCUAUUCUAUAAUUUUUAAUUCUUGCACUUCUUUUUCUGGGAAUCAGAUUUUUCUGAUACAGAACGUGAACCAACAAAAGCCAAAUUUUAUGAUAUUUGAUAAAAGCAACUUCCAAAAUAUACCAUAACCAUACCCAAUUAUUUUUUGUAUAAUAAUAUUUAAGCUUUUAUAGACACAGAUCGAGCUGUUAUGCUCUCAGCAUAAUAGGCUUGCGGCACUUGAUCAAACGAGAAAAAUCAGGGUAACAAUACCUGAAAUAUUCAAAGAUAUUUUCUUUACAUCAAUGCCACCUGCCUGUGCACGCUCCACCAAGAACCCUGGCAUAUCAAUACGUUGAGCACCCGAAAUUAUCUCUUCACCUAAAGAGGAGGAACAGAUGCUCAAAAAUCCGGUCAAAUGAACAAUCACAUGAUAUUUUCAUCCAACAAGUAUGAAGGGUUGCAAUGAAAAGAAAAAUGAAAACCCGACAGAAAAUUCUUCAAGACAAGGAUUUUGAAUGUGGUUAUCAUUAUAAUUAAGCAGUCAACCUAAUACAACCUUCAACCAGAGGUGAAUUCAUUUACGCCAGUCACAUGACCACUCCUAUCAACACCACUGCAAAAAAAGCACAUCCCCUUCAUUAAUAAAUGAAGUUUUGUUCCUGCUUUACUUCACCAUUCAUUUUCAUUCUCAUAAAAGAGCAAUUUAUUGGAAUGCAACAUACCUCGAUUAAACUGAAAGAGGAUUAAGAUAAUUUAAAAAAUGAAAACUGCGAGACAAUGCGAGUAGUAUCAUGAUAAACUUAACUCCAGACGGACAUCCAUUUUUUAAUCGUAAUUAAUGAAACAAAUGUAGAUCGAGAUUUCCCCAAAACACCACCACAAAUACAAGUAUAUGUGCAUCCAAAAUGAAGAAGAAAUGUUUCAGCUUCAUACAUUACCUCGAAUAAAGACAUCAAAUUAGUGUCUGUAAAGAGCAUUGUCAGGAGGGGGCGCCAAACAGCCCAAGGAUAACGAUGGAGUAUAUAAAAUUCGGCGCCAUACCUACAAUAGGAAGCAACAAUCAGGCACGUAUUGAUGAUAUACAUAGAAAUUUAGGCUUAAAAAUGAGAAAACACUUGUCAUGAGCUAAGAGCAAUGAGGCUCUUAAUUGUUUCAAAAUUUGAAACUAAUAAUAGAUGUAUGUUAUACAAACAAAUUCAUACUUCAAUACUUGUAACAAAAAUCAAGUCAGUAAAUAUGGAACCUACUUAUCUCCGUUCCAUAGGUUUGGUUGUCUUUUUUUUUUUUAAUUAAUGUUCAGAAUCGAUUAAAAAGUUUUUUAAUUCGAGUUCUUGCUAAUUUCAUUUUUUGAUUCCAUUGUGAAAUUCAAUUUUCUUAUUUAAUUUUAUUCCGAUCCUAUCUACCCAUUCGAAUUUUGGUUGCUUAAUUGUUCAGGAUGUUGGAGUUGAGAAUGAUCCUCUUGAAGACUUGAAUACUGAGGCAGAGAGGAAGUUGAUCCAACUAUUUUCCUACGAUUCUUGGGAACAGUAGAUACUACUUUUAAAGUAUUCAACCUACUAAAUGAUUCCUCCACACUACUGUUACCCUUAAAAAUCAUCUAAUUAUUUAUUCAUACACUAAUCUAAAUAAUGGCGUGAUAAAUCAGAAACCUUUCUUCAUGAAACAUGAACUGAGGGGAUGAAAGAAAUUAAGUUACCUUGAGCAUUUGAAUCCCUUUUCCGAAUGUAAGACAAAGAGUCUUUGCCUUGUACUGCAACAUUUAGAAAAUGCCACAAUCAGGUUCAAGAAUAGAGAAAAGUUGAGGUGAUAUAUAAUUUUCCAUAUUCCAAAUAUAUCUAAACUAUACAAGCACUUCAAAAAUUAUUAUGAUAACAGAAUUUUAAGAACAAUUCAAAAUAAAUAAUGACCUUCAGAGGUUCAAACGUACACUGAUUCGCCACAUAUUCAACUUCCUUGUUGCACCUCUCAUUCAAAUCAUCAAAAAUUGUGACAAAUAAGCGGUCCACAAUAUCCAUCACCUGUAUUCAGGUGUCAUUGAAAAAUCAACCAAUAAACCCCUCCAGCUAUACCUCCGAAUAAUGCUUCUUAAUCUCCAUUUCAACAUCAAGACCGGUAAAUUAACUCACACAAAUGCCUAUGAGUGUACGAGUCCUCUGGUCUAAAAACAGAACCGGUCUCAAAAACCCGCCCAAAAUCACCGCAUAUCGAUAUUUGCUUGUGACCUUCACUUGAACCAGCUAUCAGUUUUGGCAUGUGGAUCUCAACAAAAUCCUCAGAAAACAAGAAUUGUCUGAAUAUCUGUACAUUGAUGCAAUCAUUAAGGACCAACUCAAGGCCUUACUCAUAUUCCAAUCCAAGCUGGUUAAUGGGUUAAGGUUACUUAAACAUUUUAUAUUUUUGUCUAUUCUAAGAUAAUGUUGAAUAUUAUAUAUAUAAGAAAUUUUUUGUCUAUUCUUAUACAAAUUCUUGGCGGGAAUUUAACAAACUUCAAGCCUAAUAACACUUUGCAUAACAACAUGACAGCUUGGCAGUUGACUAAGCACUCUGCUUACAUGGCAAUAUGACUCAGCAGUUUACAUAGCAAUUUGGCUCAACAUAUAUACUCUUAACAGAACCAAAUAAAUAUUAACACGCGUCUCGGCGCAUACCUUGCAUAUCAUCACAUUUAUAUAUGUACGAUGAUAUCACCGCCACCUAAAUUUCUCAUUUAUUAUAUUUGAUUAUUUUCUUUUUUAUUUCAUUGAUUUUCUCGUAUAAAAGUAGAUUUACUACGAUUUACCAUUUUGUUGUUGUGCAAUGGUCACCCUUUUUGUUUGAGCUGCCUAUUGAUGUGUUGCUUUUAGAAAAACUCUCAGAAUAGCUUUACAUUAUACUUUUCUAAUUUGCAAUGAAUGCAUCCAGGAGUAUAGGAAAGAAAGAAAUAAAGGGGGAAAAAAAAAAGGAAAGAAAGAAAUACUCCCCGUGUAUCACCUAAACUAGUUUUAAAACUUCUUGAAUUGGACAAGAAUAAGUUGGCUGACAAACUUUCCUAACUUCUCACAACUUUUAUUAUUGUUACCUUAUAUUUUCAUAAUCGUUAGAUUUUUAUACUUGAAUUGGUACCAAUCUCUCUUUUAUCAAAUUUAAACAGAGAUAAUUGAUUGAAUGAUUCAGUCUCCGUCGUCCAAAAGAAUUUUUCUUAUCUACAACGUUCUUAUUUGCUCAAACAGAUGGAAUCCAGAAAACUCAUCCAUUUGAUUCUCUUCAAUUGAAAACUCAUCACUUCCUGCAUGUAAGAGCAAUUUGAGUGCCAUAAAGCCUGUAGUGAAUCUACGUAUUUAGGGAAUAAUUUAAAUAGAAAAGUUAACAUGAAGCUCAUACCCUAAUAAAAAGCUACUCUUAAAAUAACAUGAAUCAAGAAACAGAGCAAAACAGAGUAGCUACUAAGAAGAACACCCAAAUUAACUCCUAAAAUUGACCAAACAUAACAAGCAUCAAAUCAAAGCAUUAAAGCACUAAUCAGAGACUUUACACUAAAUUGUUUGUUUUUAAAUAAUGGGAUUUCAAGAUUAUACUUAAAAAGACCUCUUUUUUUUUCUUUUUUUUUUUGGGAAGAGAAAAAUCAUCUGCAUGGUUGAAGGAUCAGAAGCUCAUGGAUGGAACCAAUUUGCUUCAUUAAACCCAAAACGGUGUUUCCCGAAGUCGUUUCACCAUGCAAUACCAUCCAGUACGCAUCAAACGGCCGCAACUCAUGUCGUUUAGCUUAAGUGUCUUAAGCCCAAAAGGCGACACUCGAUGUCGUUUUGCUUAUUUCUGAUUUGCUUCACCCGUCACACAACAUGCAGUGUAGAUGCUGUUUUAACUUUUGAAUUUUAUAUGAUUUUAUUUUGUCUUCUUAAAAGAUAUCUUUUAGAACUGAAGGGCACUUUCGAUGUUUCUUAUUUAUUUUACAGUGACCUCUUCUGGCUCUUUCUGCUGAGGGAGGGUACAAACAAUGAAUCAUCAUCAGAUUAAUCAAAAUAUAACCCCACUCAUAAAAUAAAAAUUAUAAAACGUCUCUUCAGAUGAUUUGAGUCACACACAUCAACAAUCAGAAAUCGUUAACUAAGUAUACAAUUUCUUUUUGGACUCGUUUUUUCCCCAUUGUUGAUCAUGUAAGUUACUGCUAUAUAUGUUGUUUUGAUGAGUAAUUAAUGAUCAUGGAAUUUACUUAAUUUGCCAACUUAAAUCAAUCAUUAGUCUUAAACUUUUCCGUAACAAAACCCUGAAUUUAUAUUUUGAUCAGGAAUCAGGAUUCGCAAUUAGAGGAAGGUGCAGCAGGGCAAGUUCCUGGAGAACGAAUUAGCAGUGUUUAUGGAACUUUCUCCCUAAUAUUGGCUACAUUUUACUAUUUUUAGCAAUCGUCCUUAUAAGUGCAUUGAAAUAGACAAAAUUUUGGGAAACAAUGCAGCUUUUUUUCGUUCUGUGUUUGAUUUGCUCAAGAUACUUAAUUCAUUUUACCUUUGAGUUGCGUAAUUAUCAAUUUCGUUUUGAAGGAAGGAAAAGUUUGUGGCGCUGGCUGCUCUUCUACAUUGACAUUUUGGCCGCUGAUCUUCCCCUCCCUCAGGUAAGUCACAUCACGUAUUAUUAAUUUUAUCUUAAACCUUUAAAGUUUAUCGAACUGAAUGUGGUUAUUUAAUUACUUAGAUUUUCUCACAUUUGAUUAUUCCAGGUGCUGGUGAUCUCUCAAAGAAUGAGAGGCACAGAGUUUUUGUAUGCAAUGAUAUUCUCACUUCUGUAAUAUUUGCUAAGGGUUAUUCGAGCAUACAGCGUGUUUUCGGAGGCAAAAUUGGGCUCAGAAAUACUCGCUGAAGCUACAUGGGCCAUUAUUGGCUUCAAUAUUCUUCUGUACAAGAAAGGAGGUCAUGUGAGUUGAUAAAGCACCAUUCAUGUAAGUCCAUUUAUAUUGACUUAUAUGCACAAGCCUUUAAUACAAACAGCAUUAUUGUAAUACAAAUUUGUUUAGAAAUCCAUGGCCUAUAAUACACCAUUUAUGUCCUAGACUUACUUGUCAACCUUGCAAAAUUCUUGUGCUUGGCAACUGGUUUUGUUGAUGUCGUAAUCCGGAUGAGUUGGUUAGUGACUCGAUCUUAGAUCCCUACAUCAGCAUUAAAUUUGUUUGGUGGGAAGCUGCUGGUUGAUCUCCAAGAAGAUCUUCCGACUAUGAGCAGAACAUUCAUGAGUUGUUGAUCAGUGAGCACCGAGAGCAAAUAAUUGAUGAGCAAACGACCAAUGAGCAGAUGAUCCAUGAGUAGAUAAUCCGCGAGCCUGCGAGCACAAAGAACAGUCAGGGGGGGGGGCGGAAGAUUUCUAGCGUAAACCCUCCGACACUCAAGUCAGCGAUUUGGGUCUACUUGGAAAAACUCAUACCACAAUUCACAUGGUUUAAUUAUGAUUGUUUUAAACAAAAAGCUUUUAAGUAAAUUUAAAAGAAAAUAAUUGAAAAUAAUUAAUCUUAAAGAAAUCAUAAGCAAAAGAGAAAUUUCCUAGUGGUAGAGAGAGAAAAAGAUUCAAUGGAUUCAGUCACCCAAAGGGAUAGAGGAAAAGAAUCCCCCAUUUCCCCCAUUUUCCCAGGAUUUUUAUAGGAAAUUAUAGCAGUUUUUUCUACAGAGGAUGUAAGUGAGGAAUUUAUGAAACUUUUUGAUAAAAAGAAUUAUCUAGGAUAAGCAAUUGAGUAGAAUUCUUUUACAGUGCAUUUUUGCAAUUCACAUAACCAACGUAGGGGUGGUGCUGUUUGUGUUUUUAAUCGGCAAGAUGCAGUUUGACACAGCAAGAUCACAGAAGAUAAGACAGAAGUGGAAGGAGAUGAAGCAAUGGCCAAAUUUUGAGUAUAUUUCUUCUGAUGUGCGGGGGGCAGUUAAGGAAAUACAAGCUAUACAAAUGGCAAGAAACCAAACGUGUUCGUGUUGAUAAUUUGGUGAAUGAUCUUCCUGACGAACUUGGCAACAAAAUAAAAUGUCUGCAUUAAACUGCUCAAGAAUGUGACGUUGAACUAUUCAAUCACUCAGUGACGUUGAAGCCUUUACUCUUAUGGCUGAUGACUUUAAACAUGUAUUAUCUACCAUUCACACAUUUCGAUCCGACCGCUCUUUUGUUACAAUCAUACCGGCGUUUUGGGAAGCUUUUACUUGAUAGAAGGAAGGCUAAACAAAGAUAAUAAACAAAGUGUGAUACAACUCUGCAACUCAGAGUUUAUAUCACAUAGCUACACUUUUUGGAGUAAGUGCUGACUCCCGCAAAAAGAAUUGAAAUUAAUGGAGAAACAGAGAUUGCAGGAGAAGAUGGAGAGAGAAGAAGAAAUAUUUUCCAUUUCCUUGCUUUCUAUGACGUGUUCCCCUCUACAUAUAUCUUUUACCCCUCAACAUUACACGUGUAACUAACCAACAAAUGAAUGAUUCAAAGAAAAAACAGUCACAACAAAAUAACAAAAUCACAGCUGCCAUCUUUUCCACUCUCUUUGUGCCUUCUCGAAUAUUCCUUAGGUAAUGUAAUCUUUGAGGUAUGUUGGUGCCCUGCGCAUACGAACUGGACCUUUUGUGUGCUCCUCAACCAGCUGGGCUUCUUUCUCUGUUUCCCAUGCUGACUUGUCAUUAAUCUCGGGCAAGGUUGUAUCAUUCCCCAUCCCUUGAAAAUUUACCUUGUCCUCAAGGUGAAGCUCGGGAUAUAGCUUGUAAAACUCAUCAUAAGCCUCUCCCAGGACAUACUCAUCAUUAGUACCCAUCAACAACAAGAAUUUGCUGCGGCAGCGAUGGUUUGCACUAUAUUUCUGAUCACAAUUAUAACAUAACCCUUUUUCUCUUUUAUCCCGUAACUCAGCUGGAGUAAGUCGACGGAUUGGUAAAUUUAGGGUUGGUAAUAAUGGAGGUUGAGAUGGUGGUUUUGGUGUAGUAAUAACAGGGGCAGCAAGAGUAUUGGUAUUUUGAAAAGUGGAAGAGUUUGAUAAAACAGGGGAAAAAUUUUGUGGAGCUUGCGGUGUAGUAGGAGACCACUUUGACCAAGAACGACUGGUUGUUUUAGCUUAAUCAGAUCUAGCCUCAUAAGCUCUAGCAAGAGCAAAGGCUUCCAUGAGCGAAGUAGGUCGAGUAAACAACAACUCAUGACGGGUAUCAGGUUUUAAACCCGUGAUAAAGAAACUAAUUAACAAAGGCUCAGAUAUACCAGUAAUUUUGUUCAUUAAGUCUUCAAAAGCAGACUGAAAUUCGGCAACUGUGGUGGUCUGUGUUAACUUUGAAAGAUUCCCUUGAUGGUCUUCAUACAUGGAAGCUCCAAAGCGGCUCUUAAGACUGACCAAAAAACUUCACCAUGUGGUUAAGAGAUUGUUAGCUUUCAUCCAUUGAUACAAAGCAGCAGCUCUCCCUUCCAUGUGAAACGAUGCAAUGCAAAGACACAAAUUAUCUGGGGUCCCAUGGAGGUCAAAAAACUCGUUGAUGCGAAAAUCCCACCCGGUCGGAUUAGAGCCGUCAAACUUGGGAAUGUCCAUUUUCAUGGAACGUAAAAGCGGGGAAAAAUCUGUGCCCCCAGCAGAACCCUUUGUAAACGCUGACAUCAACUCCGAUGGUCGUGAAGGGCCACUCAAAACGCCGACAGACCCACGGAUUUGAGAUUGUAAUUCCUCAAAACGGGAAUCUACAGUGGACAUGUAUUGUUGUAAGGUCUGAUGCACAGAGAGUGUUUGCUUCUCAAGGAGCUCCUUCAUGGCGGAAAGAACUCCAGAAUCAAUCGUCUUUGUUGUCUCGGUCAUGGUGGAUUUUUUUUUUUUUGAAGAAGAAGAAGAAGGAGAAGAAGGCAAUGAAAGCACCAAUUGAUACAACUCUGCAACUCAGAGUUUAUAUCACAUAGCUACACUUUUUGGAGUAAGUGCUGACUCCCGCAAAAAGAAUUGAAAUUAAUGGAGAAACAGAGAUUGCAGGAGAAGACGGAGAGAGAAGAAGAAAUAUUUUCCAUUUCCUUGCUUUCUAUGACGUGUUCCCCUCUACAUAUAUCUUUUACCCCUCAACAUUACACGUGUAACUAACCAACAAAUGAAUGAUUCAAAGAAAAAACAGUCACAACAAAAUAACAAAAUCACAGCUGCCAUCUUUUCCACUCUCUUUGUGCCUUCUCGAAUAUUCCUUAGGUAAUGUAAUCUUUGAGGUAUGUUGGUGCCCUGCGCAUACGAACUGGACCUUUUGUGUGCUCCUCAACCAGCUGGGCUUCUUUCUCUGUUUCCCAUGUUGACUUGUCAUUAAUCUCGGGCAAGGUUGUAUCAAAGUGGGACAUGUAACAACGACACAAUACAAGAAAAUUUAACGGUACUUGUGACUAAAUCAUUGAUGACAAACUGUUUAUUCUUUAUAUUUACAUGUGAAACCGCAGAAAAGGGCCAAAUUUGUAGUUUGAAAUUUUACAUUUGAUUUUGUCGUCAAUUGAUGAGCUCAUAGCGACAUUAAUUUAUUGAAUGAUAAAAUAAUAAUUUUGUAUUCAGUAAACCUAUGAAAUAUGACUUAAAUUGAAAUUUUGAGAUCUUAAUACAUUGGAGUUGCAUUGAGUUGGGAGACGAACUUUGACUCUAAAUGUGAUAGCCCUUAAUGUGUCAUUUAUUUAUUAAAUUUGUUAAUGGUAUGAUAUUAUCUCAUUAGGACAGAAAUAUUAAAUUGCAAUGAGUCUAGUCAAUUGAGAAAACAAUUUUUGCGCGAGUAUUCUCAAUUUCCAAUAUAAAAAUUGCAAGACAAAAUUAAAAAGGAGAAUGAUACUUUAUACCUGUUUAGAAGCCAUUGGUUAUUUGGUCAUAUUCAAAACCUGUUUUAACCACGUAAGUCCAUGAUAAAAGUUACGAGACAAAAUUAAAAAGGGGAAUGAUACUUUAUACCUGUUUAGAAGCCAUUGGAUAUUUUGGUCAUAUUCAAAACCUGUUUUAACCACGUACGUAAGUCCAUGAUAAAAGUUUAAAAUACCUUUUGUGGAAAGGAUAAGUAUGAUAUUUUUAAUACAUAAAUUAAUAAAUAGAUCUAUUUAGUAAAUAUAUAUAUUUUUGAUACACUGAUAUAUUAUAAUUUUAAUAUUUAUAAUUAGAAAUUUGUUUGGAUUUAUCCUGAAUAAUUCUAUUACACCACAACUCGAAUAUCAAUCCUCACUAAACUGAAAGAAGAUUUGCCCUCACUAUUAAUUUAUACUCGGAACAAUUGUAUAUAAACAAAGGUUCACUUCCAGUUUCAUCUAAAGUGGAUUAAGCACAACAAACCAAUACAAUCCUCACUAUCUUUACGUUUUUGAAAUUAAAUACAAAUAUUCCAAUUGUUACUGUGAAAAUGUGAUAUUUUCAGCACUACAGCUACCACUUUAUUGCUUAUCGGAUCCGCAAGGAACUGAUGUGGUCCAAUCGUGUUCCGAUCGUAUUGGUUGCCGUCAUAAUCUGAUCACAUUUAGAUAACUUUUCAGUUUUGUCCAGGAGAAAGGCUGUCAAUUAUGUCUCCCUAAGAAAGACGUCACAUAGAUGAUGUAAUCGGAUUUUAUCAUGCGUUUGUUCCUCUCCAAUCGAGAACUUGUCACAUCCUGCCUGUACAAGGUUUUUUUUUUUUUGAUAAGCUGUAAAAUGUAUUUGAGUGUUUGUGAAUCUACAAUUAUUUUUUGGCUACUUAGGGGAAUCCUUUUUUUUUAAGGGUUUAUUGGAACCGCUUAACCACAUAAUUAGAGUUAUAAUAAUUUUUUAUUAUUUAUUAUAUGUGGUUUUUAUUAUUUAUUAUAUGUGGUUGAAAUUUAUGCUUCACCAUAAAUUAAUUUUUAUAUAGUUAUUGUCUUAUUUUUAAGGGAGUAAUAUAAAUAGAAACUAAUGGAAAGCUACAGUUACUAUUUGAACAAAAUUAACAUGAAUAACAAAAAAGGGGCAGCUGCAACUAAUAUCAUUAAAUCAAAGGAUUGAAGUACUAACUAGAGAUUUUAAACAAAACUGUUUGGUUUAAAAUUAUGGGAAUUUGAGAUUACACUUACAGUUUUCAUUUUUAUUUUAUUUUUAUUUUUUUGAAGAGAAGAAAGAAAAAAGAUCAGCUAUAUGAUUAAUGAAAGAGCACAUGGUUAUGCCUGGAAGGAGGGAGGUGGGGGGUGAAGAGUAAUUGGAGUCAGUUAUGUCAGGGCCGACUUAAUUAUAUUUGGGGUUUUAAACAAAUAAUUUUAAUUAGUUCUUCUUAAAAUUUAGGAUAAAAAAUAUAUAUAUAUUAGUUAUAUAUUAUUUAUUGAAUAUCAUUUCUUUAAACACUCUAAAAUGUAAAAUUAUUAAAUAAAAUUUUAUUCUACUAUUGCUAAUUCAUGGAAUUUUAAUUCAAUUAUAACAUUUUCAAUUAUUGUUUUUUAACUCAAAUCACAUCUUUUUUACUACUCCUUUUCUAGAUUAAAUUAAAUUUUAUAUUCUUCUAUUUUCUAAAGUUUUUUGAUAUAAUUUUAUUUCAAAAUAUAUAAAACAAGCACACAAAAAUAUAGUAGAUGAAUAAAAUAAUAUAUUAAAAAGAAAUAAGAAUAAAUAAAUAACACAACUAAUUAAAAGAAUGAUAAAAGGAUAAAAAUCGAAAAUUUGAGAUGAAAUUAUAAAUUAACUUUAUCUUUAUAUUAAUUGUUUGAUAAAUUGAGUAAUGACCAAUAACCAUAGAGAAUAGAGAAAACUAUUAGAUUUUUUCUUUUUUAAUUGAGUGGAAAGUAGAGGAAGCAAGAUUUUUUUCCCUCUCUCUUUCUUUCGCUCAAAUACCAAGAACAUAUCUUGUCUUGAUUGUUGGAGGAAAAUUUUAAUAGAUAAGUGAUAAAAUGUGGGGCUUUUAUAGAGGUUUAAAAUGAAUAUAAAACUUUUUAAGUAUAACAUAUUAAUUCUAACAUUGAAAUAGAGAAUUUGUAGGAUUGAAACUAUUAACUUAUCAGUUUUGUAGGAAUUAAAACUACUAAGUACUACAUUAAAUAAACUUUAUAAGAAUUUGAUAUUUUAUUUAGAAAAAGAUAAUUAUAAAAUAAUAAUAAAUUAAAUGAAUAAUAAUGACUUUUAAAUUCAUUUUUUCCUUUUACAUACAAAAUAAUCAUCUUAUUGGGCCUUCAUGUAAAGUGGGGCCCUAGGCAAUCACCUAAAUUACCUAGAGGUCGAGCCACUAUUGAGUUAUGUAACGAACUGCCGAAGCAUUGAUCGGCGUGUAUUGUAUCAAACUGCUAACAGGUAUGAAACAGUCUUAGAGUGCAAAUAAGAGAAUAGAAAUGGUCAUAAUACAGGAACAUUUGUUGGUUCAAAGGAGCAACAAUUAGGAAUGGCUAUUUAUUUAAAAUAUGAAGUGGAAAAUUGAAUUAAUUUAUUUGAAAUAGAAAUGGUCACAUGAUGAAGAAAAUUGUAAAACUGAAUAAAUGCUGCUGUUUGGCAGCUGAGAAAAUGCAGAGGAAAAUUCUUUAUUUCAGCAAUGAAUUGAUAUUUUGUACAUACAAACAAUCACGAAACGUGCAGCUAUUUAUACAUGCUACACUUGCUAACUAAUUGCUUACUAACUAAUUAUUAAUCACAAGCUCACUCAGCUAAUCAAAUAACAGAAUACAGAGUAUGCAUUGUGAUGUUAGUUAGGCUGGUAACUGCUGCUGACGUGGCACAAAUGACAGCUGGUAACUUGAUACGCUGACUCUUCUUCCUCACUUCUGCACAAUGAGCUAUCUUCACAGCCCCCCUCAAACUCAAAGGACAUGAAAAGACAUUGAGUUUGUCCCUUAAAUAAUUGAACUGAGGGGAAGAUAAAGGCUUGGUUAAGAUAUCUGCAAUCUGAUCUUCACUUGGCACAUAACAGAUUUUGAGAUCACCAGAUAACACUUUGUCUCGAAUAAAAUGAACAUCAAUCUCAAUGUGUUUGGUUCUUGAAUGGAACACAGGAUUCUUUGCUAGCUCUGUUGCACUUAUAUUAUCACACCAUAUUGUUGGUCUCUCUACACAGUAUACUUCCAUUUCCAGAAACAAUGACUUUAACCAAGCUAUCUCUGAAGCAGCUGAAGCAAGUGCUCUAUAUUCACUCUUAGCUGAAGACUUAGUGACUAUUGUUUGCUUCUUUGAAGACCAUGAAAUCAGAUUAUUUCCAAGAUACACACAGUAGGCUCCAAUCGACUUCCUAUCAUCCAAGUCACUUCCCCAAUCUGCAUCAGUGAAUGCAGUGAUUUUCAAAUCACCAUCCUUUACAAACUUUAAACCAUAAUCCUGUGUCUCCUUUAGGUAUUUAAGAACCCUUUUGCAAGCCAUAAGAUGUUGCAUAGUUGGUGCAGAAACAUAUUGGCUUAACUUGUGAACAAAAUAAGCAAUUUCUGGUCUUGUCAAUAUCAGAUACUGGAGACCACCUACAAUGCUUCUAUAAUGAGUUGCAUCUUCAACAUAGUAACCCAAUUCUCCUUUAACUACCUUCUGCAACUUUGAGUCUUUGCCACUGCACAUUGGUGUUGUCACUCCUUUGCACUCAAGCAUGUCUACUUUAGCAAGCAAAUCUCUGAUAUACUUCUUUUGAGACAAAUAAAUGCAAUCCUGACCAUACAACACUUCUAUACCAAGGAAAUAGGACAAUCUUCCUAAAUCUUUCAAUGCAAAAACAGUAUUAAACUGUUGAAUGAAGCUGUCCAAUUCUUCAUUGUUAGGUCCAGUAACUAAUAUGUCAUCAACAUAUAUCAAUACCAUAAUGAGUGACACUUUAGUUUUUCUUAAGAAUAAGGAAGAAUCAGAUUUUGAAUUUCUGAAACCCCAUUGAAGAAGACAUCCCCUGAGCUUUUCAAACCAGGCUCUAGGAGCUUGCUUAAGACCAUAUAAAGCUUUGUGUAAUCUGCAAACAUAGUGAUGGGUGUCGAAGCCAACAAAAAUAAAUUCCUACUCUAAAUAAAUUGUGUAUAGUGAUUGAGCAGGGUCGUGUCCACAGAGAUCGGUAAUUAUUUAAAUCCUUUUGAAACGUAAAACGUAAAAUGGGGGAAUUGUAGACAAUAAUAAAAAUCAAAUUAAAUAACAAGAAUGCAAAUUAAAGUUGUAAUUCAAAUUGGAGAAAGCUCUGGUUGAAGGAAUUAACUAAGCUUGAUUCGACUACUGAUCAUUGAUUCAAAUAUAGAUUAUUAUUACUCAUGAAUAGACCGGUUAUAGCUAUUGAGACCCUCUAAUAGCCAAUCUCUCCUUAACUAGUCGAUAACCAAGGUACGACCGUUGGAUAUUUCCCUAAUCAAUAGACAACCCUAGAUACAAUCAUAGGAUUUAAUCAAUUGACAGCCUGAAAAAUCAGAGAGACCCAAAUCCUAAUUAACACAUAUGAUGAUUCAUUUAAAUUAGAUUGUUUAUUCUCACAACACAACUCUCUGCUAUGUUAUUUGUCACAAACAUCAAAUUCUUCAUACGAUGAAUCCUUUAAUUGACAAUAGAUUAAGUUGAUAAUUAAAUAGUGGCCAAUUACCUAAUUAACAAACAUAAUCAUGAAAAUAAUUCAGAGAAUAAACAAAUACCCAAAAAGUAAUAAAACAAUUAAAGCACAAGAAAGAUCUCACAGUAGUGAUGAAUCAAAGCUUCAUUAACCUUCAACCAGAAAAAUGGGUUUAGUUCCUCAUAGAGAGAAGAGAAAAAUUAGAUCUAGGGUUUCUUUUUCUCCAAUCCAAAUCCCCCUUUUUCACAAUAAAUUCUUCCCUUAAAUACUCUCUCUCUCUUCUCUUUUAGAAUUCUAUUUAAAAUAAAAUACUAAUAUCUGAAAUAUUAAAUUCGUAAUUACAAAAAUAACCAAAAAUACAAAACACGUUAAACUAAAAACUGCAGGUCCGCAGUUGACAGCACGCGCCCACGCCUUAUCAACAAAGUUCUUCUGACGCUCAUAAUUUCUCCAAGAGAACAAUCCUCCUUAAACAUCAUCUUUUAGCUCAAUUUUAUCACCAAUCAAUAGAAUUGCACCUACAAAAGUAAAACAUAAGUAAAACAUUAUUAUUAAAUGCAAAACAUCGAUAUUAAGGGAAGUAAAUAAUGCAAAACUAGUGCAUAAAUUGCACUCUAACAAAUUCCCCCACACCAAGAUGAUGCUUGUCCUCAAGCAUAUAACUCAAGAUUAAUCCCAAAUCUCCACUCAAUUCUCAUCUCAACUCAUCCAAAAAUAAUUUUAAGCAAGCAUACCUCAAGAAAUUAAGUCGAUCAACAUUCGAGAGACAAGGACUUUUAAAGCAUAGAAUCUCAUAAGAUAGAAUAAGAACAUUUAACCACCAAGAAGAUCCAUUCAAAAUUCAAGUGCAACAAGAUUUAAUAGCCCUCUCAAUGACUUCACUCCAUGCACUCAAAGUGUUUAGGGUAUCAUCUAUGCACUCAAAUCAAAUCAAAGAAUGCUAUUACCAUAAGCUUGCUCAUAUAUCACAUCUCAAUCCACAAAACAUGAAUAAAAUGCAAAAAUCUAAGGGUCUUAAAAGGGUUGUAAUGGGGUUAAAUAGGUUAAAUGAAAAAGAAAGGUCUAUGAAAGAAAAAGAGAUCAAAAUGAGAAGAAUGAACUCAUUGAAUGAACUUAUGAUAUCAAAAUGCUUAUUUCUACUCAAGUCACCACGAAUGUAAACAUUUUUUUUUUCUUCUUUUUCUCUUUUUUUUUGAUUUUUUUUUUGAUUUUUUUUUCGAUUUUUCUUUUUCUUUUUUUUUCUUUUUCCUUUUUUUUUUUUUUGAAUCAAACAAAAGAAAUGAACCUUGCACAAUUUAAUUCAAGCAUAAUGCUUGUUGAUCUAAUUGAGAAACUUUAAUACAAGGUAGAAAAAGCAACAAAAUAUAUACAAAAUAUAUCCACACAAUGAGUCCAAAAAUCUCCUUAAAUUGAGGCUCAAAAAGAAGAAAAAUGGUUAAGUAGACAGAGAGAAUUAGAUGGGUAAUGGUUAAGGCUCAAACAAAGAUAGUAAAUCAAGGUCUUCGGGUAGAGAAAAAAAAAGAAAAUGCGAGAAUAGAAAAAUGGUAAAUGGUUUGCCCUUAUCAUUUUAAUGCAAAAAUUCCCGUAAUGUGGCUUCAACAUGCAUAACAAAGCAAGUUCUAGAAUAAACAAACUAAGAUUGAUAUUCACAUAAUAAAAAUAAUUAGAGCAAAGUGGUUGCUCAUAGGCUCAAAUCCUCACAAAGUUGGUAAAUUUGCCAUCAAAUCAUGUACACUCUUCAAAUGAAUCAACCAUCAAUAGUGGUGUAGAAUGGGAAGAAGGUAUGAGUGAAGGAAAGGUAAAAAUGAUAAGAAGUGAGAAAGAUGUAUGUAGUAAUAUGAAAAGUGAAAGAUAAAAUGUGAGUGAUGAAAGAGUAUGAUAGAAUAAAAAUAGAUGUAAAUAAUUUGAGAUAGAUGGGAAAAAAGUAGUGAGAAAGAAAAGAAAAGAAAAAUAAUAAUAUAUGAAGCAUACUAACUCCAAAAUCAUUUAAGGAUGAGUAGAAUGAAAAUAGAUGAGUAUAGUGAAAAUAAUACUUCCAGACAUCAAUAAUGCAAAAAUCCCUCCCCCACACCAAGAACUUACAUUGUCCCCAAUGUAAGAUAAUUAAAGCUCACAUAAAAAUUAAAGCGUAAGGAUAAAAGAUUAAGGGCAAAAAGAAACUUCCCUGAAUUGUGAGCUUUGAUCCACAUAACGUCUAUGGGCUUGGCGGAAAUGGUGGGGUAAAACCCACACUCUCGAAGUAUGCGGCCAAAUUCUGCUCCAUUUUGUUCAACUUGUGCUCCAUUUUCUCUAACUGAAUGCUCAAAGGUGGUGCGGAUGUAGAAGGAAUAGUUGGCGGGGCAACAGUGUCGUCGUCAAACUCGUCAUCAGAGGUAGCACCACUCCUAGCAUAAAGCUUCUUCGGAAGUUGAGUGGGUCCUGGUUCAGUAAACUGAAAUCUCCCCUCCUUGAAUUCGACCACACAUGUUCUUUCAAACACAAACAUAUCCAAAAAUUCAUUUUUGCAAGCAGGAUGCAAAUCAUUAUUGUCAGGAUCAAGCACACAUAGGUUUAUAGCUAACAGAGUAAUGUAUGGACCAAGAAAUAAAGUCUUAUACCGUUUAAGCACACUUUGAAAUUGAUCCGCUAACCAAAAACCUAAAUUAGGCCUCACAUCAUUUAACAUGCACCAGAUAAAAUAAAAUUCAGUUUUAGAGAAAAUUCCUGAGUGAUCUUUCUUGCCUAAAAAAUUAUAUGCUAAGAAUCGAUGCACACAUUUCAAAACAGGAUCACGUAAGAAAGAACUCUUUGGUUUACUCGGGUCAUAGGCAUUGUGAUCAACAGAUAAAUUACGCCAAAGACCAUAAGGCUCAAAAUUUUCGCUAAAGUCACAAGUUGUUCCUAAAUAUUCAUCACUAGUAGAAUAAUAAUCAUCAAUGAAUCCUAAAGCUAGGUUAAAAUGCGUGAUAGAGUGUGAAAAAUUUCGUCCCAUUAACCUAAACUUAAUGACAUCCGGGGUAUGCAAAGUAAAAUCAUUCGGCAUAGUGAAUUGAAAAGUAGCAUAAAACUCCCUAAUCAACUCAACAUAACCCAAGCAAUCAACAUCAACAAACUUACGCAACCCAAUCUUAUCUAUCAAAGAAUCAAAAUUAUCUUUAACAUUUAAUUUUUCAAGAGUCGGGUAAUGAAUAUACUUAGCUGGAAGUAUUUUGCGCGUGGAAAUAUCUUUGUACCUCUCUUUCUCUUGUUGAGUCGCGAAUGCGAGGCACCCUCCGAGAUUGGAUUCCGCAAGUGGCAAAACACUCAUGCCUUUUCCAUGCUUCGAUCUUUGUCUCACGGCUUGGCGUGAAUCUGAAAUUAUGUUCCAUGGAACCGUAGUGGGAGCGGCAAUCUUAGAUUUCUUUGCGACGGGUGUCUUUUUCGACGACUUGGAAGUAGAUGCUUUCCUAUUCGGCAUUGUUACAAUAAUUGCACUCACGGAUUUCGAUUUACCCGGCUGGAAUACAGGGCGUAGGCUGGUUGUGUUGCGCUUGCUGCUCGGCUGGAGCUUGUUGCGCGAGUUGGGGCUGGUUGUGCGCGCUGCUGAGGCUUGCUUUGCGGGUGCUGGUUCGUUGCUGUGUUGCGCGCGCGGGGCUGUUGCGCGCGAGAGCCAGUUCGCGUUGCGGGUCUGCGUUGCGGAUCUGUUGCGCUGCGCGCGCGGGACUGAUGUGCUGCGCUGAGGCUGAUUCGCGCUGCUGCUAGUUGCGGUGCGCGAUGCUGUGCGCGGCGGCUGGGGCUGAUUCGCGCUGCGCGCGCAACUGGGGCUUAUGUUGCGCGCUGCGCUGCUGGUUCUGGGCGUACUCGUCUGCUGCUGCUGGUUGCGCGGUGAAGGCUGGAGCUGAUGCUGCUGUAAAACGAUAAUCAACAGUAAUUUUUGAAUUAGGGAUUUGUGAACAGUGAUUUUCGAUUUUUGGUUUUUUUUUAUAUAUAUAAAUAAAUAUAUAAAAGAAAGAAAGGAACGAAAAUAAAUAAAUAAAUGAUGAUUUUCGAUUUUUGGUUUUUUUUUUUUUUUUUUUUUUUUUUUUUUAGUGAUGAAUCACUUUGAGACACUAAAAAUUUCAAAAGUACUUUUCUAAUAAGUACGUGGGCAUGCCUUAUCAAAAAUUUUCUUCUGACCAAAAUAAACAAACAAAUUAAAUUUCAGAAGUAUUUUUCUAAUAAGUACGUGGGCACGCCUUAAAACUUUGAGACAUUAAAAAUCACAGAAGUACUUAUUAGUUAAGACGUGGGCACGCCUUAUCAAAAAUUUUCUUCUGACCAAAAUAAGCAAACUCAUUUUUUUAAAUUUUUUUUUCUUUUUUAAAGAAGAUAAAACAAAAACCAAAAUAAACAAAUCAUUUGGGUUGCCUCCCAAAAAGCGCCUUUGUUUUAUGUCUUUGGCUAGACACAUUUAUGCAUCAAUCUCCAUAAUUGGGACUCUCGAGAGCCACAUCCUCCACAAUAUUCACCGAAAAACCUUCAUAAAAAGGUUUUAAGCGAUGACCAUUAACCUUAAAAACUUUGUCAGAGGUCGGACUCCGAAUCUCAACUGCACCAUGAGGAAAAAUAUUAGUAACAAUAAAAGGUCCAACCCAACAAGAACGUAAUUUAUUCGGAAAAAGUUUAAGCUUAGAAUGAAAAAGAAGAACUUUUUGACCAACAGAGAACUCCUUUCUCAAAAUCAUUGUAUCAUGAAAUGUCUUCGUCUUUUCCUUGUAAAAAACUUCCUGCACUAUAGGGUUAAUAACAUCCACAGAAAAUACCGAAUGUUCCUCACUAGGAUAUUUCAUGGCAUCAUUCAUAUUGAAUUCUAUAACCUCUCCAUCAAACUCCAUAGUGAGAGUCCCUUUAUGUACAUCCAUUUUAGUCCUAGCAGUCUUAAGAAAAGGUCUUCCUAGCAAAAUUGGGACAGAAUUAGAGGAGUUAUCAUCUUCCAUAUCAAGUACAUAAAAAUCAGCAGGAAAAACCAACUCAUUAACUUGUACUAAGACAUCUUCUAAUACCCCAUCAGGAUAUGCAUUAGACCUAUCAGCUAGUUGAAUUAUCACGCCAGUUUCUUUUAAUGGACCAACAUUCAAAGAUGAAUAAAUGGAACGAGGCAUGACAUUAAUAGAAGCUCCUAGAUCUAACAAAGCCUUUUCAAUUCUAACACUACCAAUUUUACAAGGGAUAGUAAACAUACCUGGAUCCUUGCACUUAGGAGGUAGUUUCUUUUGGAGAACUGCUGAAACAUUCUCCCCCAUGUGAACUUUUCCAUCUCCUGUUAAUUUUCUCUUGGAGGUGCACAGUUCCUUAAGGACUUUAGCAUAUCGAGGUAUUUGUUUUAUAGCAUCUAAUAAAUGAAUAUUUACCUCAACCUUGCGAAAUGUCUCAAGGAUGUCUUUCUCUUGUUCCUCCUUCUUGGAUUUUGCAAACCGGCUUGGAAAAGGAGGAGGUAUCACAAUAGGUAGGGGUUUAGCUCUGGUGGGUUCCGCAUCAUGAGAUUGAGGCAUCAAUUCAUUCUUCUCAAGUUCAUCUUCUACAUGCUUUGUCACUUUCUUACUAGGCUCUUGCAACUCCGUCCCACUUCUAAGGAUGACAGCACUAACGUUUUCCUUUGGAUUCACCUCAGAUUGUGAAGGCAAUCUCCCUAAUACUUGAGACUCCAGACGGCUCACUGUAGUCGCCAAUUGACUCAUUUGGUUCUCCAAGUUCUGAAUGCUUGCUGUAGUUGCCUGUUGAAAUUGUUGAGUGUUAGUUGCAAGUGAUUUAACAAUUUCUUCAAGAGAUAUACCUGACUUGGAGUUUGACUGUGGAGGUGCUGGUUGUCUUGGUGGAUACUGUUGUGGGAAUCCUGACGGCCUAACUCCAUAGCUGAAGUUAGGAUGAUCCUUCCAUCCCGGAUUGUAUGUUUGUGCAUAAGGAUCAUACCUCCUCUGAGGCAUGCUUGGAAAUCCUCCAACUGCAUUGGCUUGUUCAAUGGGUUCUUCUUGAAGUGUAGGACACAUAUCAGUUGAAUGACCCAUAUUGUAACAAAUGCCACAAGUCUUCACCUGUUGCACAUUGCCUACAACAAACUUUUCCACAAGAGAAGUAAGUUUAUCUAAACGUUGUUCAACAGAAGAAAUAUUUACCUCAUUCACCUUCCUUGAAGUAGGAUCUUGCCUGCUGCCAAAUUGUUGUGCGUUGGCAGCCAUAUUUGAUAUCAACUCCCUUGCUUGAGUAGGGGUCUUGUUCACUAACACGCCUCCACUAGCAGCAUCUAUCAUACUCCUAUCCAUCAAUGACAAUCCUUCGUAAAAAUACUGAAUAAGAAGUUGAUCAGAAAUCUGAUGCUGAGGACAGCUAGCACACAAUUGUUUGAAUCGCUCCCAAUACUCAUACAAAGUCUCCCCAGGAAGUUGUCUGAUCCCACAAAUGUCUUUUCGGAUGUUGGCAGCUCUUGAAGCAGGAAAGUAUUUCUCGAGGAACUGCUUCUUCAAACCAUUCCACGUUGUAAUCGAUCCAGGAGGCAAGUAAUACAACCAGUCUUUAGCUAGCCCAUCUACAGAGAACGGAAAAGCACGCAGCUUAAUCUGCUCUUCAGUCACGCCUUGUGGUCUCAUACUUGAACACACAACAUGAAACUCCUUAAGAUGUUUAUGAGGAUCUUCACCUGCAAAACCAUGAAACUUGGGUAAUAAAUGAAUAAGACCAGACUUUAAUUCAAAAUUUACCUCCAAGUCUGCAUAUUGAAUGCAGAGUGGUUGUUGAUUCAAGUCAGGUUCAGCUAACUCUCUAAGAGUUCUUUCUACAAGUGCAGCUCUAUCCAUCACUUGUUCUUCUGAAUCGCUAGAUGAUUCAACUAAAUCAGGCACCGUAUCUGUUUCAGAAAGCAAAGGCGACGAGGAUCGUUGCUUAGCUCGCUUUGUCUGCUGUCUCAGCUGGCGAGCUGUCUUCUCAAUUUCAGGAUCAAUCGAAAGUGUACCUGUACGAGAAGAACGAACCAUACACCAAGUAAAACGUAAAAAGGAUUAAAUAAAUGACACCAAUCCCCGGCAACGGCGCCAAAAUUUGAUGGGUGUCGAAGCCAACAAAAAUAAAUUCCUACUCUAAAUAAAUUGUGCAUAGUGAUUGAGCAGGGUCGUGUCCACAAAGAUCGGUAAUUAUUUAAAUCCUUUUGAAACGUAAAAUGGGGGAAUUGUUGACAAUAAUAAAAAUCAAAUUAAAUAACAAGAAUGCAAAUUAAAGUUGUAAUUCAAAUUGGAGAAAGCUCUGGUUGAAGGAAUUAACUAAGCUUGAUUCGACUACUGAUCAUUGAUUCAAAUAUAGAUUAUUAUUACUCAUGAAUAGACCGGUUAUAGCUAUUGAGACCCUCUAAUAGCCAAUCUCUCCUUAACUAGUCGAUAACCAAGGUACGACCGUUGGAUAUUUCCCUAAUCAAUAGACAACCCUAGAUACAAUCAUAGGAUUUAAUCAAUUGACAGCCUGAAAAAUCAGAGAGACCCAAAUCCUAAUUAACACAUAUGAUGAUUCAUUUAAAUUAGAUUGUUUAUUCUCACAACACAACUCUCUGCUAUGUUAUUUGUCACAAACAUCAAAUUCUUCAUACGAUGAAUCCUUUAAUUGACAAUAGAUUAAGUUGAUAAUUAAAUAGUGGCCAAUUACCUAAUUAACAAACAUAAUCAUGAAAAUAAUUCAGAGAAUAAACAAAUACCCAAAAAGUAAUAAAACAAUUAAAGCACAAGAAAGAUCUCACAGUAGUGAUGAAUCAAAGCUUCAUUAACCUUCAACCAGAAAAAUGGGUUUAGUUCCUCAUAGAGAGAAGAGAAAAAUUAGAUCUAGGGUUUCUUUUUCUCCAAUCCAAAUCCCCCUUUUUCACAAUAAAUUCUUCCCUUAAAUACUCUCUCUCUCUUCUCUUUUAGAAUUCUAUUUAAAAUAAAAUACUAAUAUCUGAAAUAUUAAAUUCGUAAUUACAAAAAUAACCAAAAAUACAAAACACGUUAAACUAAAAACUGCAGGUCCGCAGUUGACAGCACGCGCCCACGCCUUAUCAACAAAGUUCUUCUGACGCUCAUAAUUUCUCCAAGAGAACAAUCCUCCUUAAACAUCAUCUUUUAGCUCAAUUUUAUCACCAAUCAAUAGAAUUGCACCUACAAAAGUAAAACAUAAGUAAAACAUUAUUAUUAAAUGCAAAACAUCGAUAUUAAGGUAAGUAAAUAAUGCAAAACUAGUGCAUAAAUUGCACUCUAACACAUAGUUAGAUUUACUCUUAUCAACAAAGCCUUCAGGUUGCUGCAUAAACACUUCCUCUGAUAACUCACCAUUCAAGAAUGCAUUGUUGACAUCCACCUGUCUAACUAUCCACUGAUUCAUCACUGCAAGACUAAGAACUACUCUCACUGUUGCUGGCUUUAUCACUGGGCUAAAGGUAUCAAAGUAAUUCACACAUUCAAUCUGUUGAAACCCUUUUGCCACCAAUCGAGCCUUAUACUUAGCUACACUGCCAUCAGUGUUAUACUUUAUUCUAUACACCCACUUAUUCCCAACAACUUUCUAAUUUUCUGUUCUUGGUACUAGAGACCAAGUUCUGUUUUCAAUUAGUGCAUCAUACUCAUUUUUCAUAGCUGUAAACCAAUUUGUGUCUUGCAAAGCUUCACCAACUGAAUCUGGCUCUUUGUGAACGUACACUGCAGUAUACAUUUUUGGCUUAAAAAUACCUGCUUUUCCUCUUGUGGUCAUGGGGUGAUUGUUUUGAACAUGUUGAAUAUUGUUUGAGGUUAUUUGGGACUGAGAUGGUAAUGGAAUUUGAGUAGGAUCUGUAGUGUUUGGUGAGUCUAGAUCAUGAACAGGUUCAAGAGUAGGAUUGAGAUUUGGUGUUUGACAUUGUGUAGCUUCAUUUGCUUGUUGAUGAUCUGCUGAUGAGAACAGUUCUGUGCUGCUGGAACAUGCUGGAGAGUAGGAUUCAAAACUGCUGUUAUAAGGAUUUGACACAACAGGAAGAUUGGAUAAAUGGAAAACUUGAUGAGGGGACAAAGCAGAGCUGGAUAUUGAUUGUGUUUUGUUCUCAGAAUUGAAAGCAGGAUCUGAAGAAAAAGGAAAUGCAUUUUCAUCAAAUAUGACAUGCCUUGCUAUGUAUACACGACCAGAAUGAUGAAGGCAUUUAUAUUCUUUGUGAGCAGAGCUAUAACCAAUGAAUAUGCAUUUACUUGUGUGAAAAUCAAAUUUAUGCUUAUUGUAAUCUCUCAAAUAUGGAUAGCAAGCACAACCAAAACAUUUCAGCAUCUUAUAAUCAGCUUUAUGUUUGAAAAGUUUUUCAUAUGGUGUCAACAUUUUAAGAGCUGAAGUUGGUAACCUAUUGAUAUGAUAAACUGAAGCAUGGAAAGAAUCCCACCAAAAAUGCAAAGGAAGUUUGGCUUGAGCUAACAAUGUAAGACCCAAUUCUACCACUUGUCUAUGUUUUCUCUCAACUAAGCCAUUCUGAUGAUGAGUAUGAGGACAAGAGUGCCUAAAUAAAAUGCCACACUGAUUUAAAAAUUCAGUGAAUGAUCUGUAUUCUCCCCCCCAGUCAGAUUGCAGUAUCUUAAUGGUUGUUUGGAAUUGGUUUUCAACUUGUAACUUGUAUAGCUUAAAAACCUCUAAAGCUUCUGAUUUCAAUUUCAAUGGGUAGAUCCAAGUAUAUCUAGUGAAAUCAUCAACAAAACUAAUAUAAUAUCUAAAACCUUCUCUUGAAAUAACUGGUGAGGGACCCCAAAGAUCAGUGUGUAUGAGCUCAAGAGCUGAUUUGGUUUUGAUUUCUGUAAUUGGGAAAUGCAACUUGUGUAUCUUACCCAACUGACAUGCUUCACAGAAAUGUUGUGUUGCUUGCUUAACCAUAUUCAGAGAAAACUUAUUAGCAUGAUGGAGUUUAAGUAAAUGCAAUAAGCUUUGAGAAUUUGGGUGGCCAAAUCUUCUGUGUAGAAGAGCUAUUUUAUUAGGCUUAUCAGAACAUACAUCAAAACCAUUCUGUAAACAAUUGUUUGAAUUAUUUAUGUACUUUACAGAUGGCAUAUGAGAAGCAAGAUGACAGAAUGAUAACAUUGACAGAGGUUUAUUAGCUUGACUAUGAGACAUAGGAGAAUUCUUGGUAGAAGACAUAGGUUUGACUAGCAGUUUAUACAACCCUUUCUCAGCAAUGCCCUGCAUUAGAACUUGUCCCUUCAGCAAAUCCUUCACAACACAAAAUGAUCCAAGAAAUUCAACAGAAAUGUUAUUGUCAGUGGUAAGUUUUGAAAUGCUUAUUAAGUUCUUGGUGAUAGAGGGAACAAGCAAGAUAUCUUUAAGUGCAAUAUGUAAAUCUGCAGGUUGAGAUUUUGAAUUCUUGAAUGAAAAAUAAGAGUCACCAAUAUGAGUUAUUGACAAACCUUCACCAUUGCCAAUAAUGAGCUUCUCAUUACCUCUAAACUCAUCUCUGAUAUUCAGAUUUCCCAUGCUGUUUGUCAGAUGAUGAGUGGCACUACUGUCCAGGUACCAACCUUCAUCUGCAGGUCCUUCACAAUAUGCAGCAGAAGCAGUUCCAACCCAAGGCAUACCAGAAUUAUCAGAUGCACAAGGAUAUCCAGACUGUGACAUGUGUAAUCCAUUAUUGUUGACAGGCCAUGGAUCAUCAUUUAUUGGAUAGUAAAGUAUGUAUGCAGGUUCAUAGUUAGCUAUGUAGGCAAACUUUGAACCUUUUCCUCUCUGAAAUUGUCUUGGUGACUGAGGUAUGUAAUUUUCUUCAAAUCUAUGCCAGCAUUCAACAGUUGUAUGUCCUACUUUGAAGCAAAUCUGACAUGUAUUCAUAGAAUCAUCACUGUUGGAUACUUGUGACUCAAAAGGGGGUAAAUUUCCAGUACCAUUGAAACCAGUACUGCCAAAAGAGCCUCUUCCAGAAGAACCAAAUCUAUUGCUUCCCAUCAUCAUUUGAUUUCUUCCUUGAUUACCAAAAUGACCAGUUCCAGCAGGAAAACCCCUUGGAUGAGAAUUCAAAAACAUUCCUCUACUAUUAAACAUACAAUUUCUACCACCUGAGUGACCAUUAUAAUUACCCUGGACACCUCCUGUAUAUCCUCCUCUCCUAGUAUGACCUCUUAUUUGAGCAUAGUAUGCAUUCAUCAUACUAUUAUUAUUCCAGUUAGACAUAUUAGCAUAGUUUGCAUUAAUCAUGUGCUUUUCACUUUGAUUUUGUUCAAGCCUAGCCUCAUGAGUAAGUAAUAGGGCAUAAGCAUCAUCAUAAUCCAAUUUUCUUGUUGUGAUAAAGGUAGCUAAAUCCAAAUAGCCAGCUCCUAGACCAUUGAGGAUUUGCUGCAACAUAUCUCUAUCUGAUACAGGACUACCAGCACAUGCUAAUUUGUCUGUAAUUUGUUUCAUUUUUAAGCAAUAUUCUUCAAUACUUAGUGAAUCUUUUCUUAAGACACUCAUCUCAUACUUAAGUUGAAGAACUCUAGCCUCAGAUUGUACACCAAACCUUUUCUCUAGUGUUUUCCAUAUAUCGAAUGAAGUAGUGCAUGAGUGAACUAAACUGAAAAUACCUUCAGUUAUUGAGCUAAGAAGCCAGCUGAGUAAUGUUUGAUCUUGAGAUCUCCAGAUUGUGUAUUCAGGAUUCUCGAUAUGUUGAGAAGAGCUAGCAACUGAAGAUGCUAUGAAUUGGUUUGGUGCAAUCUUUUCUCCAUUAAUGUAUCCUUCAAGUCGAUUUCCUCUAAUGGAGGCCAGGACUUGAUUUUUCUAGAGCAUGUAAUUAGAUCUAUCCAAUUUGAUUGGUGUGAUGAAAGAAAAAGUUGUCUGAUUCGUAGCUACUGUAUUUUGAUUGUUUGUAAUAGCCAUGAUUGGCUCUGAUACCAUGAAGAAAAUUGUAAAACUGAAUAAAUGCUGCUGUUUGGCAGCUGAGAAAAUGCAGAGGAAAAUUCUUUAUUUCAGCAAUGAAUUGAUAUUUUGUACAUACAAACAAUCACGAAACGUGCAGCUAUUUAUACAUGCUACACUUGCUAACUAAUUGCUUACUAACUAAUUAUUAAUAACAAGCUCACUCAGCUAAUCAAAUAACAGAAUACAGAGUAUGCAUUGUGAUGUUAGUUAGGCUGGUAACUGCUGCUGACGUGGACCUUCUGACGUGGCACAAAUGACAGCUGGUAACUUGAUACGCUGACUCUUCUUCCUCACUUCUGCACAAUGAGCUAUCUUCACACAUGAAAAUUUUGAAUUAAUUUCUUGAAAUAGGAUCCUACAAAUGAAGUGUUUUAAUUUCGUAAUUUAUUAUUAUUAUUGUUAUUUUGUUUUUAAAUAUUAAAAAAAUUGAGUUUAUAAUACCUUAAGCAAAUCCCACAUUGACAAAGUACGAGAGAGAUGCUGAGUUUAUAAGGAGUAAUCUACACCUUAAGACGUAUUUUGGGGUGUAUGGGCGCCCUAGAACAAACUCAUGCGGGCCUUGUUAAGAGCCAAAGCGUAUGUAACAUCCUAGACAAAUCCCUCAUCGGCAAAUCACGAGAGAAAUAUUGGGUUUAUAAGAGGUGAUCCACACCUUAAGACGCGUUUUAGGAUAUAUAAGUGCCUUAAAAAUAAAUAUGUGCGGACCUUCUUAAGGACUAAAACGGAUAAUAUAUUAUCACACCUUAAGACGCAUUUUAAGAUAUAUAAGUGCCCCAAAAAUAAAUAUGUGCGGACCUUAUUAAGGACUAAAACGGAUAAUAUAUUAUCAAAUCUAAGUUAGAUCAUGACGGAAUUCGUUUUAGUUUCUAACGGACAUCCGAUUCAUCGUAAUACAAGUGCCCUUGUCCAUGUAUUAAUUGCAUUUGCCUAUGAAUUCUUCAAUAAUUGAAAAAGAUGGGUGCUUGUGGGACACUCUCCAUUUAUGAUUACAAUUUAGGAAUAAGAACUUAAUGACGCAACCAUCACUGACAGCCUCUUUUUUGGAGGUACUCGGAUGGCUAUUAUUGCCAUUUAAAAGAUAACAUAAAUUUUGUAGAUUGCCAGCUAUGGCCGAGCUUUUUUUUUUUUUGAAGAAAAAUAGCCAUUUAAAAGAUAACAUAAAUUUUGUAGAUAGCUAGUUAUGUUCGAGUUUUCAAUUAUUUUUGAAAAAAAAAUACUUAUGUCUUUUAGAUUUAGAAAAAUGAUCACAUAAAUUCUCAAAAUUUUAAUAAGAUAAAUCCAGACCUUUUUUAUUAUAAUAUUUUUUAAUUCUAUAACUAAAACAAAUUGAUUAUAAUAUUUUAUAAUAAAAAAAUAUAAGUGUAAUGACCCGCUCCGAAUCCUUAGGACGAGUUUAUCUAAUCUCACCAACCGAAUUAAUAAUAAUCUAAUAUCUAAAUUAUUUGGCAGUCUCCUAUAUAAUUAUGAUAUUCUCAAACCCGUAAUUUUUAAAAUUUAACACUCCCCAAAAAUGAUACAAUAUUCAAUCAACCUCCACAAUUAACUUUUUCAAUCAAAUACCAGUAUCCUUUAAAUAUAUAAUAUUAAGAAUACAAUAAUUUAUCUUUAAUUAUAAAUAAAUAAUAAAUUAUACAAUUCAAAAUAUCCCAACAAAACAUCUAUGAUUCCUAAUAUUAUACCAUAAUUCUAAAUUUAACUAUUGUUUCUGUGUCGAUUGAUGUAUCUCCAAAUCUAAUGUGGGGGAGGGGGUAAUAUAAAAAAAAAAAAGGAAUGAGUAUAAAACUCACUCAAUUAAAAACUCUAUAACAUAAUACUGUUUUUAGUUUUAAUAAUAUACAAAUUCAAUUAAAAACUAAAAUAAAGCAUUUAAAAGGGAAAAAAAGAACGUUUUUGAAAUUAAAUACAAAUAUUCCAAUUGUUACUGUGAAAAUGUGAUAUUUUCAGCACUAGAGCCACCACUUUAUUGCUUAUCGGAUACGAAAGGAACUGAUGUGGUCCAAUUGUGUUCCGAUCGGAUUGGUUGCCGUCAUAAUCUGAUCACAUUUAGAUAACUUUUCAGUUUUGUCCAGGAGAAAGGCUGUCCAUUAUGUCUCCCUAAGAAAGACGUCACAUAGAUGAUGUAAUCAGAUUUUAUCAUGCGUUUGUUCCUCUUCAAUCGAGAACUUGUCACAUCCUGCCUGUAAUUUUUUUUUUUUUAAUAAGCUGUAAUAUGUAUUUGAGUGUCUGUGAAUCUAAAAUUUUUUUUAGGUUAGUGUUACGUUACGUUUAACUUAACGGGAUACUUUUUUUUAAAGACUUGUUAAAAUUAAUCACAUAAUUAAAGUUAUAAUAAUUUUUUUUAUCUAUUGUAUACGGUUGAGAUUUGUGCUCCCGUAAAUCAACUUCUAUGUAGUUAUUGUCUUAUUUUUAAGGGAAUAAUAUAAAUAGAAACUAAUACAAAGCUACAGUUACUAUUUGAACAAAAUUAACAUGAAUUAAAAAAAAGGGCAGCUGCAACUAAUAUCAUUAAAUCAAAGGAUUGAAGUACUAACUAGAGAUUUUAAACAAAACUGUUUGGCUUAAAAUUAUGGGAAUUUGAGAUUACACUUACAGUUUUCAUUUUUAUUCUAUUUUUAUUUUUUUGAAGAGAAGAAAGAAAAAAGAUCAGCUAUAUGAUUAAUGAAAGAGCACAUGGUUAUGCAUGGAAGGCGGGAGGUGGGGGGGGGGGGGGGUGAUGAGUAAUUGGAGUGAGUUAUGUAACGGACCACCGGAGCAUUGAUCGGCGUGUAUUGUAUUAAACUGCGAACGGGUAUGAAACAAUCUUAGAGUGCAAAUAAGAGAAUAGAAAUUGUCAUAGUACAUGAACAUUUGUUGGUUCGAAGGAGCAACAAUUAGGAAUGGCUAUUUAUUUAAAAUAUGAAGUGGAAAAUUGAAUUAAUUUAUUUGAAAUAGAAAUUGUCACAAGAAAAUUUUGAAUUAAUUUCUUGAAAUAGGAUUCUACAAAUGAAGUGUUUUAAUUUUGUAAUUUAUUAUUAUUAUUGUUAUUUUGUUUUUAAAUAUUAAAAAAUAUUGAUUUUGUAACACCUUAGCCAAAUCCCACAUCGACAAAGUACGAGAGAAAUUCUGAGUUUAUAAGGAGUGAUCUACACCUUAAAACGUAUUUUGGAGUGUAUGGUCGUCCCGGAAACAAACUCAUGCGGGCUUUAUUAAGAGCCAAAGCGGGCAAUAUCUUGUAAGGUCUAGGUUGAAUUAUGACAUUAUGGUAUCAGAGUGGCUCUGCGUGUCCUCAUGAGUGAUGGUGGGGCAAACUUCAACGAGGACGCUGAGUCCCUAGGGAGAGUGUAUGUAACACCCUAGGCAAAUUCCUUAUCGACAAAACACGAGAGAGAUACUUGGUUUAUAAGAGAUGAUCCACACCUUAAAAUACGUUUUAUGGUGAAUGGGCGCCCCAUAAAUAAAUUUAUGCGGGUCUUAUUAAGGAUUAAAGCGGACAAUAUCCUAUUAAGUUUAGGUUAGAUCAUGACAGAAUUCCUUUUAGUUUCGAGCGGACAUCCGAUUCAUCAUAAUAAUCGUACCCUUGUCCAUGAAUUAUAAAUAGUCUAUAAUAAAAAAGAAGUGAGUAUAGUAGUUUUUGAAAAAAAUAAAUUUACUUAAAAUAAUCUAAUUUUUCCCAUAUUAAUUUCAUCAAAAUAUCAUAAGGACUUCUAGUAACUUUUCAGUUUUGUCCAGGAGAAAGGCUGUCAAUUAUGUCUCCGUAAGAAAGACGUCACAUAGAUGAUGUAAUCAGAUUUUAUAAUGCGUUUGUUCCCCUUCAAACGUCACAUAGAUGAUGUAAUCAGAUUUUAUAAGCCUCUUGUUCCUCUUCAAUCGAGUACUUGUCACAUCCUGAGUGUUUGUGAAUCUACAUUAUUUUUUAAAGAUCUGUUUAUGUUAGAAUCGCUCUAAGAUAGAAUACUCCUUCGUAAUUACAUUAUUAAAAAAUAUAGAUUAAUUUCAGAUUUAAAACAAAUGAAGCCUUUGUUUUUAUUUGCAAGACUUUUAUAAUACAUUAAUAUGUAACGCUUCAAAUUUCACGGCGGAUUAGAUACAAAUUUUUUAUCCUUAUACUAAACAUGUGUAGAGUAGUAAGAAACAAGUUAAAAAAUAAUAAAAACACACACUUUGAUGUUGUUAUUUUUAUCUUAAAGUAUUAAAAUUUAUAUUUCUUUUAAUCUUUUAACUUGUCUUUUACGAUAUUAAAAUAAGAAAAUCCUUACUAAAAGUAAAAGGGGACUUGCAUGUCAUGUGCACAGUGUACAAUAUGUUUCAAAUGUUACUUGAUAGAAAUUACUGAAAGCAUUGUAUCAUUGGAAAACUCUUGCUGCAUGCUACUAAUUUGACAGUUUAUCAAAUAUUUUUUUGCUGCUCGCUACUUAUGAAUCACGUUUAGUCCCCUUUGAAUUGUGUGCAUCCACCAUCUGUUAAAUUUAUCUUUGAAUUUUCUCGCUUCCAUAAGGGACACAAAUAAGAAACAGACAAGGACGUUCAAAUCCCCGAGUUGUAAAAUUUACAAGAUGCAUCGGGUAGAAAAAUCUUGUAGAAACCUCAGCUGAUGAACUCUGUAAAGAAUAUCCUCAUUCAUUCAGCUAACCCGUUGAACCAAAAUGCAAAAUCAUCCUCAAUAAGUACAAGAAACAAAAACUUUACAAGAAUAACUUAUGAAACUUGAUAAAUUUCUGCGGAGACUACAACGUCAUUUCAAUUUGUGAGGUAAUUAUUUGAUGCCAUGAUGCUGACUGAAUCUCAUUAAAUUAAUGAAAAUAAUACAACAAAUGGUACGAUAACUCCAAAUCAGCUAUCACAUUAUGUUUUUUUUUUUUAUAAGUAUCACAUUAUGUAUUUGAUUCAAAUAAGAGAACAAAAUUUGCAUUAUUGAUAGAUAUUAUAUUGUUUCUUGAAACUAUCCCUUGACAAAUCGCCCAUUAAUGCAGUCAUUGCUGACAAAACAACUUUGUGAAAAAGUUCACCAAGAUAGCAAGCUGAUAGAGAAAUCUGACAAUGCAAUGCAUGCCAUCCUCACACUUCAAUUUCAUCGAAAAUGGAUAAGCCAUUUUGUUCAACUUUCACCUCCGGAAGUUGAAAAGGACAUGAAUGCAAUUAUGCAAGUCCUUAUCAAAGAUGCAAUGAAUGACGCCUAAACUCCUAUAGAGUAGAGUUAAGCUAUUAAUCACUGCACCGAUACAUCAAAAAUUAAGUAUAUGGAUCAAAGACAUCUUCAUUCAAGAGUCGAGAAAUUUCAAAGCAAAGGGACCAAAGAUGGUGGUGCCAUUUUGUUCAACUUUCACCUCCGGAAGUUGAAAAGGACAUGAAUGCAAUUAUGCAAGUCCGUAUCAAAGAUGCAAUGAAUAACGCCUAAACUCCUAUAGAGUAGAGUUAAGCUACUCAUGUCUAAUUUUAGAGGUUUGAUAUGGAUAUGGAUUUUUGUUUAUAUUGAUAUUGAUACGCAUAGAUAUUCGGGAAAAAAAAUUCUACUUAACACUAUAACGAAUAGGAUACUUCUUUUAUUAGAGCGUUGUCAUGCUGACGAUAUGCAAGAUAUCAUAAAUAAAGGGGAUCGUAGGGAACGAAAUGAAAUAAGUUUAAAGAAUUUGAAAGAAACUGAUUAUUCUCUUAUUCAACAACUCGGUGUGCAAUUACAUUUUACACGAGGUCCAUGUAAUUAUAUUUGUCAUUAAGAAUGAGCGUUUGCCAAAAGAAGAGACACAUGUCAUGACAAUGAGUGAUUGACAAGUGACAAAAUUGAUAGACACCGGCCGAAUAUGUCAUAACACAAACUUCUGAAAUUGCUACAGGAAAUGAAAUAUAAUGAUGCACGAUGCCCAUCCAAGUUGUUUACUUGUAUUGUCCAACUGUAAAUGAGUACAGACAUGCUACCAUCAAUCGUUGUUAUUAGACUAGUCACCCACCACCUCGCAAAUCGCAGAUAGCAUUAGCAAGUCCUCAGUAAUUCUUACUGCCUGAAACAACAUGGCUGGAGCAGAGAUUUUUCUAUCAAAGCGUGUCCAGGACAUGGUCCUCAAUGGUGAAGAACCGCCAGCACCAAAUAUUUGUAGAGAUGGUGAUUCAAUUCAAGAGGUUUCUGCUCAUUAUCUCCGGUUCCGAUCAUUGACCUCAGUCUGCUCUCAUCUUCAACACCAUACGCCAAGCAAGAAGAAGAACUGCAGAAAUUAAGAUCAUUGACCUCAAUCUCAUCUUUAACACCAUACUCCGGUUCCGAUCAUUGAUCAUUGACCUCAGUCACUCCUUCAUGACCACAUAAUAAGGAGUGGCUAUUUAUUUAAAAUAUGAAGUGGAAAAUUGAAUUAAUUUAUUUGAAAUAGAAAUGGUCACAUGAAAAAUUUGAAUUAAUUUCUUGAAACAGGAUCCUACAAAUGAAGUGUUUUAAUUUCGUAAUUUAUUAUUAUUAUUGUUAUUUUGUUUGUAAAUAUUAAAAGAAAAAAAGAAAAAAUUGGGUUGUCUUUAGUUUCUAGCGGACAUCAGAUUCAUCAUAAUAAGCGUACCCUUGUCCAUGUAUAAAUUGCAUUUGCCUCUGAAUUCUUCAAUAAUUGAAAAAGAUGGGUGCUCGUGGGACACUCUCAUUUAAAAGAUAACAUAAAUUUUGUAGAUUGCCAGCUAUGGCCGAGCUUUUAAAUUUUAAAUUUUUUUUUUUAGAGAAGAAGAAAAAUAGCCAUUCAAAAGAUAACAUAAAUUUUCUAGAUAGCUAGUUAUGUUUGAGUUUUCAAUUUUUUUUUAGAAAAAAGAUACUUAUGUCUUUGAAAUUUAGAAAAACAAUCACACAAAUUCUCAAAUUUUUAAUAAGAUAAAUCAAGACCUCGUUUUAUUAUAAUAUCUUUUAAUUCUAUAACUAAAAAAAUUGACUAUAAUAUUUUAUAAUAAAAAAAUAACUGAAAUGACCCGCCCCGAAUCCCCGGACGAGUCUAUCUAAUAUCGCCAAUCGAAUUAAUAAUAAUCUAAUAUUUAGAAUUUUACCAAAAAUUCGGCGAGUCUCCUAUAUAAUUAUAACAUUCCCAAACCUGCAAUUUAUAAAAUUUAACACUCCUAAAAAAUGAUACAAUAUUCAAUCAACCUCCACAACCAACUUCUUCAAUCAAAUACCAAUAUCCUUCAAACAUAUAAUGUCAAGAAUACAAUAAUUUAUCUUUAAUCACAAAUAAGUAAUAAAUUAUACAAUUCAAAAUAUCCCAACAAAACAUCUAUGAUUCCUAACAUCAUCACAUGACCAUAAUUCUAAAUUUAACUAUUGUUGUUGGGUCGACUAAUGUACCUACAUAUCUCUUGUGGAGGGGGGGUAUAUAAUAAAAAAAAGAUGAGUAUAAAAUUCAGUGAGCUGAGUUGAGUAUAGUAUGAAAAAAAUAAAUUACUUAAAAUAAUAUAAUCUUUCCCAAAUCAAUAUCAUCAAAAUAUCAUAAGAACUUAAAUAAACUUAUUUAAUUUAAAUCAUGUUUUGAUAUAACAAUAAUACAUAAUACGGCAUGAAAUCAAGGAAAACAUGAUACUUAUAAUAGCAAACACCAAAUACCGAAUCUAUCACCAAACAAGUACCCAGGAAAAUAUCUCAUCAUAUCCAGACCUCGACGGAUCUGCAAUCAGGGAACCAUCAUGGCCCGAAGCUACACGGAUAGACAAGGAAGUACUAUCUCAUAUCUCAUCAUAUUUGUGCAUGCAUAAUCUAGUCCCCAAAGGACAAGGCGCCCAAGAACACGGUCCAAAGCUUCUGUGUGUACUCAAAGGGGCCCCAAAGACCUAUAUUUCAUCCGUAUCAUCAUAUAUCAUAUGUAUCAUCUGUAUCUCAAUAUAUGUAUCUCUGUAAUCAUCAUACACAUAUGCCCUUAAAAGGCAAAAACACCCAAACACACGGCCCAAAACCUUUAUAUGUGUUCAAGCGGGCCCCAAAGGCCUCUCAUCUCAUAUGUAUCACUGUAUCUAGAGGGAAAGGGUAUUGUCUAAUGAUUUUAAAAACAACAUCUUAUACACAUAUAAAUAAACAUAAAAUGACACUUAAAUCUCAUUUCUUUUUCAUGUAACAUACUUUAAAUCUACUUUAUUCUCUUUAAAACCAUUACCAUGCAUUUACUCAAAAAUGAUAAUAAAAUCAUUAAUCAAACUCAUUUUUUAUAAUAAUAAAUAUCAGCAUGUAGACAAAAAUCCAUUUUCUAGAAAGUUAUUAAAUUCGAGUAUUAAAUACUUAUUUAUCAAACAUGUUGUACUGUAUCGUAAAAUCAUAAUAUAUUAUGAAAAUAUGUUUUGUAUAUUCCACUCACAGUGACGAUGUUCGAGCUCGGUAUCGUCAACGUCUGUGGGUUGAUUCUCAUUCAUGGAUCCUCCUAAUAUAAGGAAAUAACAUAAUCCCUCCUAAUAUAAGGAAAUAACAUAAUCAUUCUCCAUAAAUAUGAAAUACAACUAAUUUUAUGCAAUAAAUCUCGAAACGAAUAUAUAUCCGUAAUAAACUAUUCCCGUAUGCAUCAAAUUACCAAAAUACCCCCUGCAUGCUAAAAUUACCAAAAUCCUCCCGAUAUCAAUAUUUACCAAAUUAUCCUCAUAAUCCUAAAUUACCAAGCUGACGUCAAUUCAGAUCACAAUGUUAGAAAUUACGAAAUUACCCUUAGAGUAUAAAAUUACCAAAAUGCCCUUAAUAACAUAAAUGACUGAAUUACCCUCGAAAUCUCAAAUUACCUAACUGCCCUAGUCCAAAAUUACUAAAAUAUCCACCAAUUUUACUCUUUUGAAUAACUAGAGAGUUUCCAUUAUCAGCAUAUGUAACUUCUCCAUCUUCAACAUCCUUUUCGACACUAGGAUUCUCAUGAUCUUCCGCAUUCUCGUCAUCGCUUUCCUCUUCAACAAGGGCAACCACCCUACGAUUAGGACACUCAGAAGCAAUGUGCCCAUAACCAAGCCAUUUAAAACAUUGACGAGAACUAGCAUUCGAACCACUUGCUCGCUGUUUAGAUCCUUCCCCGAUAUCAUUCCUAGUAAUUUUCUUUGCAGUCGAAUUUGAACCAGAAUUAUGCUUAGAAACGGAGUCACUCCCUCGAUUGACAUCACAAACUGUGAACCAAAUACCCCCACCACGAGCAUCCUUUUGUUGCUUUUCCACCUUAAGAGCAAGCCUGCAUACAUCACUAUAAGUCCAAUAUGGUUGGAGCUGGACCACAUUACCAAUCUCAGGUUUUAAACCACCCAGAUAGCGUGCGAUCGUAUGCUCUUCCGCCUCUACCAAAUCACACUUCAUCAUUAGGUUGUCGAACUCUGCUGUAUAGUCUUCCACUGACAAUUCCUUUUGCUUGAAGUUGUGGAACUUAAGGUAGAUAUCUUGCCUGUAGUUAUCGGGCAAAAACUUUCUCUUAAGCUCUUUUUUCAUUUUCUCCCAAGUAACAAUUUUCCUCCGUCCCUCUCGUUCCCUUUGCCUCUUAAGAUUUUCCCACCAUAAAGAAGCAUACUUUUUAAGUUUAAUGGCAAUGAGUUUCACUUUGCGAUCUUCAGGCACAUCUCUGUAUUCAAAAAUGCGUUCAACAGUAUCAAGCCAAUCAACAAACUCUUCUGGUUGCAUUCUUCCUUCAAAUUCAGGAAUUUCGACCUUGAAGUCGAAAGGCUGAUAAAAAUCGCGACGCCUAUGAAUUCGAGAACGAGAAGAGAAUUCACUAUUGGAGCUUUGUUCUUGAUGGAAGGGAUUAUAAUCUACCCCGUCAUUGAUUGAGCCUUCUUCUUCCGAACUACCAUUAGGAGCAGCUUCUCGAGUUCCUUCAAGGUGUUGUAAUCGUUGCUGAAGCUAUUCUACUUGUCUUCUAAGAUCAUCCCUUUCUAUAUCACCCAAGUCCCUCUCACGAACAGGAGGCUCUUCAACUCUUGCAUUACGCCGACGUCGUUGGGCCAUAAAUUUUCAGAACCCAAUGCUCUGAUACCAAAUUUGACACCGGACACAAUAGAUGAGAAAACACAAUGUCACACACCCAAGAAAUCACAAGCUCACCACCACAGCAAACAACAAAAGGAUACAGAAAAAUUCACCACCUAAAGUUGUUAAGCUAAGGAUACAGGGCUUGAAAAUACUCACCACUCAAUGGAAUCCACCAAAGAGAUACAGAGUUUGAUAAUAACUCAAAGUUCAUCUAAUUCCCAAAAUUAAUCUCCGUCCUUUGGUUACAACUACAUAAGCUUAAAUAGCUUUCUUGGAACAAUCCUCCAAGCAUAGAUUUACUACAAAGAAACCCUUCAAAUAAAUUGACUUUAAAGACCAACAUUAAAGCUAGACAUUAAUAAAACAUUGGUAUGCUUAAAACAUAACAAAGAACAUUAAAAAAAAAAAAUCCAAGUCCCGAAAUAUUCUUCUUGACUCAAAACUGAACAGUCUUCACUUAACUGAUCAUAACUUACUGUAUAAAACUCCAAAUUUAGAUUAGUAAAAUUCAUUGGAAAGCUAACAGAAAUAUCUUUCCAAUGAUGUAUGGCUCGAAAAUUAAUUCGAUCUCAUGCAGUACAGUUUAAUUCCCAAAGAUGCCCCUUCUGCACAGAAAUUCUGCUUACUUGAUUAAUGUAAGAACUUGAGCUGCACUUGGUAUAACUUGAUUACCAAAUAUUUCAAACACUCCUGUGUUAUAUAAUGAUGCUCUUGAGUCUGGUAUUGUGGAGGUGACGAAUUUUCCAAAGAAAUUGUUACAUUGUUUACAAUGGGGCUUGCAAAAUCUCAGGUUUGAGCAUAAUCCAAACUUUCUCUUUGUGAUGUUAUGGUUGAAAAGAAAAAAGAAUGAAACAAUAUUGGUUGAAAAAAAUAAAAUACUUUGGUCACUCUUAGACACUAUUUUACCACUAAGGUCCCUGGUAAAAUUUUAAUAUCUUAUUUCAUACUAGUAUUGGUAUAAAAGUAUAGAAAAAAACACAUUGUUGAAAGUUAAACGUCACAUUUUAACAAAUAGAUUAAAUAACUUUAAUUUGCAUUGAUCUAAAAUAAUCAUGUUUUAUGUGAAAAUGUACAUGGAAUAUUUAUUCUGGUAUUGUUUUCAGGGAGCAAAGUAUUACAUAUUCCCCUUUCGAGAAAACUGCCGAUUCUUUCGCAUAGGAGAGUGACUUUAUUCUUUUGUGUAUAUCAUUUCAAAUAAUGCAUAUAGAUUGAACCCUUUGCAGUGCUUUUGGUCAGAACCUCCAAACAAGCACCGAUAUCUGGGAAAACGUUUUUGCAAUUUGCAUGACGAACCUUGGUGUGGUGCUGUUUGUCUUUUUAAUUGGGAAGAUGCAGGUUCGUAUACAUUUUCUAUUUCUUAUAUCUGAAUUAACCUCAAUUCCAAAUGUUAUAAUUAAUAUUGAAGUACAUUUGAAAUUAAUGGAUUGUAACUGCAGUCGGACACAGCAAGAUCACAUAAGAUAAAAAAGAAGUGGAAGGAGAUAAAGCAGUGGCCGAAUUUUGGGGAAAUUUUUUCUGAUGUAAAAGAGCAGAUGAGGACAUACAAGCGAGAGAAAUGGGAAGAAACCAAGCGUGUUGAUGUUGAUAAUUUGGUGAAUGAUCUUCCCCACGAACUUGGCAUCAAAAUAAAGCGCAGACUCUGCAUUAAACUAAUCAAGAAUGUGAGUUCCUAUUACUACUUGUUUAUCCAGUAAUAAGUCACUUCUUUUUGUUAAACAAAAAAAAAAAAGGUUAGGCAAAGUACAAAGAGAACUGCUGAAAUUACCACUCAGCCAAAGCUCUAGGAGCAACAAUUACAACGAGUUCAUUGCCACAAAAUUGCCACUCCUUGUUUAUUACAAGAAAUUGAAACAACAUUUGUUAUAUUCCGGUACCCUUAUUAAUCGUUUGAAUGCAUCUAGUGUAAUUCUCAUUUUUUGGUCUGUACCUAUCUAUGUAUACAGGUAAAAGAGUUCGAAAAUUGGAGCGAAAAAUCAAUGGGGUAUCUGUGUGAAUUUCUGAAGCCAGUCCUUUUUAUUGAGCGUACACGCAUUAUUCGGGAGGGAGACCCAAUUGAUGAGAUGCUAUUUGUGCUGAAAGGCAAUCUCUGGACUUACACUUCCAGGAAUGUAGCAACAACUAGCAGCAAUAGUAGUCGUUGUAGAGAGAAUCGUUUGAAAGAUGGUGACUUUUUUGGAGAAGAACUUAUUGCUUGGGCUCAGAAUGAGCACCCUUCCAAUUUGCCUAUCUCAGCCAGAACUAUUCAAGCGCUUAGCGAGGUUGAAGCCUUUGUUCUUAUGGCAGAUGACUUGAAACAUGUAUUAUCACUCAGACAUUGUGACCGGGCAGCUCUUUUGUUACAAUCACGCUGGCGUUUCAGAAAGCUUUUGCGUGAUAGGAGGGCUAAGCAAAAAUCAAUCUUGAGAAAAGUGCGGAAUUGGGCAGUAGAACUACUGACUGUAGAAUAACAAUUUGAGACUGGAUUUGAAAUUAUUAUUUGUAUGAAUACUACAAAAAUGAAAAUAGGUGGUAAAAGCUGAAAAAUUAAGGGGAAAAUUGUCAAUCUCCCCGGUUUGAUUAUGCAGUCAACAAGAUCAGAGACAUUAAUCGCCAAGUUCGAUUUGGAAAUUUUAUCCAACCAAUGGUACCUUUUUUUUUUUUUUCCCUGAAUCAAGGACUUCACGCUUCGUUGAUGAGGAUACCAUUCCUAAAAUUAAAAGAUAUUGAUCACUACUAUCUCAAACAACAAUUAAUUAUACAUUGGCAGCACGCAAAAAUGAGCGACAAACUUCUUCAUUAACUAAUCUAUAUGAACAACUGCAUUUCUAAGCAUAUAUAUGAUCAUUGCAGAUGAAAAUAGUUUAAAGUGGCGAUAGAAGAACCGAUAGAUCACAGUUGAGAGAGUGAAGCAGAUCAUCAGGGGGCAAUCCUAAGUGUGUCACGUGGGUAGAGUGAUGUUUUGCGAAUGUUGUUGAGAUCGCAGAAAAUCAUCACCACACUCUCCAAUCCCACUUCAAAUCCACUAUGUCUCGAAAGGAAUCCAAUGAUAACAUAAUGCUAACAGUUUUUAGAGGACCAAACUAUUUUUCUAUUUGCGUACAAAUGGACAGCGGUUUCAGAAUAACCUUAGGAUUGCCAAGUUUAACCAGAGAGCAUGGAAAAACCUAAGCCAGAUCAAAAUUCAAUACCACUAUGGAGGAUGUGCAUGGAUUAAUGUUAAAUACUAUAUUCAAUUUGAACGAUAAACACAGUAAAAAUAAAAAUUAUUAGAUUCCAUCUUCUAUCCUAUAAUUUUUAAUUCUUGUACUUCUUUUUCUGGGAAUCAGAUUUUUCUUAUACAGAACGUGAACCAACAAAAGACAAAUUUUGUGGUAUUUGAUAAAAGCAACUUCCAAAAUAUACCAUAACCACACCCAAUUAUUUUUUGUAUAAUAUCUAAGCUUUUAUAGACAUAGAUCGAGCCGUUAUGCUCUCAGCAUAAUAGGCUUGCGGCACUUGAUCAAAUGAGAAAAAUCCGGGUAACAAUACCUGAAAGAUUCAAAGAUAUUUUCUUUACAUCAAUGCCACCUGCCUGUGCACGCUCCACCAAGAACCCUGGCAUAUCAAUACGUUGAGCACCUGAAAUUAUCUCUUCACCUAAAGAGGAGGAACAGAUGCUCAAAAAUCCGGUCAAAUGAACAAUCACAUGAUAUUUUCAUCCAACAAGUAUGAAGGGUUGCAAUGAAAAGAAAAAUGAAACCCGACAGAAAAUUCUUCAACACAAGGAUUUUAAAUGUGGUUAUCAUUAUUAUUAAGCAGUCAACCUAAUACAACCUUCAACCAGAGGUGAAUUCAUUUAUGCCAGUCACAUGACCACUCCUAUCAACACCACUGAAAAAAAAGCGCAUCCUCUUUAUUUAUAAAUGAAGUUUUGUUCCUGCUUUAUUUCACCAUUCAUUUUCAUCUCAUACAAGACCAAUUUAUUGGAAUACAACAUACCUCGAUUAAACUGAAAGAGGAUUAAGAAAAUUUAAAAAAUGAAAACUUCGAGACAAUACGAGUAGUAUCAUGAUAAACUUAACUCUAGAUGGACAGCCAUUUUUUAAUCGUAAGUAAUGAAACAAAUGUAGAUCGAGAUUUCCGGAAAACAACACCACAAAUACAAGUAUAUGUGCAUCCAAAAUGAAGAAGAAAUGUUUCAGCCUCACACAUUACCUCGAAUAAAGACAUCAAAUUAGUUUCUGUGAAGAGCAUUGUCAGAAGGGGGCGCCUAACAGCCCAAGGAUAACGAUGGAGUAUAUAAAAUUCGGCAUUGAUGAUAUACAUAGAAAUUUAAGCUUAAAAAUGAGAAAACACUUAUCAUGAGCUAAGAGCAAUGAGGCUCUUAAUUUUUUCAAAAUUUGAAACUAAUAAUAGAUGUAUGUUAUACAAACAAAUUCAGACUUCAAUAUUUGUAAGAAAAAUCAAGUCAGUAAAUAUGCAACCUACUUAUCUCUGUUCCAUAGGUUGGUUGUCUUUUUUUUUUUUUUUUUAAUGUUCAGAAUCGAUUAAAAAUUAUUUUAAUUCGAGUUCUUUCUAAUUUGAUUUUUUGAUUCCAUUGUGAAAUUCAAUUUUCUUAUUUAAUUUUAUUCCGAUCCUAUCUACCCAUUCGAAUUUUGGUUGCUUAAUUGUUCAGAAUGUUGGAGUUGAGAUUGAUCCUCUUGAAGACUUUAAUACUGAGGCAGAGAGGAAGUUGAUCCAACUAUUUUCCUACGAUUCUUGGGAACAGGAGAUACUACUUUUAAAGCAUCCAAUCUACUAAAUGAUUCCAGGCUUCCAGCACGCUAGUGUUAUCCUUAAAAAUCAUCUAAUUAUUUAUUCAUACACUAAUCUAAAUAAUGGCGUGAUAAAUCAGAAACCUUUCUUCAUGAAACAUGAACUGAGGGGAUGAAAGAAAUUAAGUUAUCUUGAGCAUUUGAAUCCCUUUUUCAAAUCUAAGACGAAGAGUCAACAUUUAGAAAAUGACACAAUCAGGUUCAAGAAUAGAGAAAAGCUGAGGUGAUAUAUAAUUUUCCAUAUUCCAAAUAUAUCUAAACUAUACAAGCACUUCAAAAAUGAUAAUGAUAACAGAAUUUUAAGAACAAAUCAAAAUAAAUAAUGACCUUCAGAGGUUCAAACGGACACUGACUCGCCACAGCUUCAACUUCCUUUUUGCACCUCUCAUUCAAACCAUCAAAAAUUGUGACAAAUAAGGGGUCCACAAUAUCCAUCACCUGUAUUCAGGUGUCAUUGAAAAAUCAACCAAUAAAACCCUCCGGCUAUACCACCAAAUAAUGCUUCUUAAUCUCCAUUUCAACAUCAAGACCGGUAAAUUAACGCACACAAAUGCCUAUGAGUGUACGAGUCCUCUGGUCUAAAAACAGAACCGGUCUCAAAAACCCGCCCAAAAUCACCUCAUACCGACAUUUGCUUGUGACCUUCACUUGAGCCAGCUAUCAGUUUUGGCAUGUGGAUCUCAACAAAAUCCUCAGAAAACAAGAAUUGUCUGAAUAUCUUUACAUUGAUGCAAUCAUUUAAGGACCAGAAUCAUCAGCUCAGAAAUACAAGACAAAGUUAUACAUCUUCAAACCAAACGCAAUGAAAACUAAGUUUAACUUCUCCAGCAUGCAAUUAGAUUCAAGGAAACUCCAGGUUACCUUUGCCAUCUCACUACAAAUAAAAAUUCUAAUUAUUAGAUUAACCAGGAUGCUGAAUGCAGUGUGUUAGGUGUUCGAGAAAAUGCCAAGGUACACCAUCAGCUAGAAUCGAAGCAUCCAGCAGGGCAAUGACAUGUCACAAAGUCAGAGAUGUUGCUGAGUCAUUGUGAUGAUUCAGCAGGUCUCUGAAGAACAAUCUAGAUAGUUAAGUGCCAAGGAUGAGGCAUGGCAUAAGACAAAUAUCCGCUGACACAGUGCAAGGACAUUCGAUACAACCAGUAGAUUCAAGUGAUAUCAGCCGUUAGAUCAUUAGCGACAGCUGUAACUGUACCGAGAAAAGCUUGUAAAGCACGCAUGCAAUUUUCGUUUAUUGUGACAUCAAAUCAAUAACAAGUAUGCGGUGCCAAGUUUCAAAUUUAUUGUUAAUUCUAUAUCAAUAGCUUUAGUUCUUAUUUAUUUUCUCUCUAAUAAAUGGGUACCACAAAGGCACAAACCUUCGGAGGAGAAGCUGAAUGAAUGAUAAUAUAAGCAUCCAUAACCAAGGAAGUAAAAAUUUACAUUCCUAACUUGACUCUCAAUACUGAAAAUAUGAUAUCUGUACGAGUAUUUUAUUCUCAGUUCUGAGUAUAUAAUUAAGGAUUACUUCCGAAUCCGGACAAAAAUGGAAAAGGAUUAUGCAUUUGUUGAAAGAAGCUGCUUUGCAGGAAACAUCUGCUCACGGAUCCCUGAAUUCCCAUUAUUUUUCAAUUUGUUUCCAUUUAAUUUUCAAUCUCGACUAAGUCUAAAGACUUUGGAUGACUAUGAUUGCACCAAGUCAAAGUCUUUGUGGCGUAAAGUCAACCAUUAAGAGAAAGUCUCUGGGGUGCUGCCGCAACAUAAAAAUUUAGAACCCCAACUCAAGGCCUUACUCAUAUUCCAAUCCAAGCUGGUUAAUGGGUUAAGGUUACUUAAACAUUUUAUAUUUUUGUCUAUUCUUAGAUAAUGUUGAAUAUUAUAUAUAUACGAAAAUUUGUGUCUAUUCUUAGACAAAUUCUUGGCGGGAAUUUAACAAACUUCAAGUCUAAUAACACUUUGCAUAACAGCAUGACAGCUUGGCAGUUGACUAAGCACUCUGCUUACAUGGCAAUCUGACUCAGCAGUUUACAUAGCAAUUUGGCUCAACAUAUAUACUCUUAACAGAACCAAAUAAAUAUUAACACGCGUCUCGGCGCAUACCUUGCAUAUCAUCACAUUUAUAUAUGUACGAUGAUAUCACCGCCACCUAAAUUUCUCAUUUAUUAUAUUUGAUUAUUUUCUUUUUUAUUUCAUUGAUUUUCUCGUAUAAAAGUAGAUUUACUACGAUUUACCAUUUUGUUGUUGUGCAAUGGUCACCCUUUUUGUUUGAGCUGCCUAUUGAUGUAUUGCUUUUAGAAAAACUCUCAGAAUAGCUUUACAUUAUACUUUUCUAAUUUGCAAUGAAUGCAUCCAGGAGUAUAGGAAAGAAAGAAAUAAAGGGGGGAAAAAAAAAGGAAAGAAAGAAAUACUCCCCGUGUAUCACCUAAACUAGUUUUAAAACUUCUUGAAUUGGACAAGAAUAAGUUGGCUGACAAGCUUUCCUAACUUCUCACAACUUUUAUUAUUGUUACCUUAUAUUUUCAUAAUCGUUAGAUUUUUAUACUUGAAUUGGUACCAAUCUCUCUUUUAUCAAAUUUAAACAGAGAUAAUUGAUUGAAUGACUCAGUCACCUUCGUCCAAAGGAAUUUUUCUUAUCUACAACGUUCUUAUUUGCUCAAACAGAUGGAAUCCAGAAAACUCAUUCAUUUGAUUCUCUUCAAUUGAAAACUCAUCACUUCCUGCAUGUAAGAGCAAUUUGAGUGCCAUAAAGCCUGUAGUGAAUCUACGUAUUUAGGGAAUAAUUUAAAUAGAAAAGUUAACAUGAAGCUCAUACCCUAAUAAAAAGCUACUCUUAAAAUAACAUGAAUCAAGAAACAGAGCAAAACAGAGUAGCUACUAAGAAGAACACCCAAAUUAACUCCUAAAAUUGACCAAACAUAACAAGCAUCAAAUCAAAGCAUUAAAGCACUAAUCAGAGACUUUACACUAAAUUGUUUGUUUUAAAAUAAUGGGAUUUCAAGAUUAUACUUAAAAAGACCUCUUUUUUUUUCUUUUUUUUUUGGGAAGAGAAAAAUCAUCUGCAUGGUUGAAGGAUCAGAAGCUCAUGGAUGGAACCAAUUUGCUUCAUUAAACCCAAAACGGUGUUUCCCGAAGUCGUUUCACCAUGCAAUACCAUCCAGUACGCAUCAAACGGCCGCAACUCAUGUCGUUUAGCUUAAGUGUCUUAAGCCCAAAAGGCGACACUCGAUGUCGUUUUGCUUAUUUCUGAUUUGCUUCACCCGUCACACAACAUGCAGUGUAGAUGAUGUUUUAACUUUUGAAUUUUAUAUGAUUUUAUUUUGUCUUCUUAAAAGAUAUCUUUUAGAACUGAAGGGCACUUUCGAUGUUUCUUAUUUAUUUUACAGUGACCUCUUCUGGCUCUUUCUGCUGAGGGAGGGUACAAACAAUGAAUCAUCAUCAGAUUAAUCAAAAUAUAACCCCACUCAUAAAAUAAAAAUUAUAAAACGUCUCUUCAGAUGAUUUGAGUCACACACAUCAACAAUCAGAAAUCGUUAACUAAGUAUACAAUUUCUUUUUGGACUCGUUUUUUCCCCAUUGUUGAUCAUGUAAGUUACUGCUAUAUAUGUUGUUUUGAUGAGUAAUUAAUGAUCAUGGAAUUUACUUAAUUUGUCAACUUAAAUCAAUCAUUUAAACUUUUCCGUAACAAAACCCUGAAUUUAUAUUUUGAUCAGGAAUCAGGAUUCGCAAUUACAGGAAGGUGCAGCAGGGCAAGUUCCUGGAGAACGAAUUAGCAGUGUUUAUGGAACUUUCUCCCUAAUAUUGGCUACAUUUUACUAUUUUUAGCAAUCGUCCUUAUAAGUGCAUUGAAAUGGACAAAAUUUUGGGAAACAAUGCAGUUUUUUUUCGUUCUGUGUUUGAUUUGCUCAAGAUACUUAAUUCAUUUUACCUUUGAGUUGCGUAAUUAUCAAUUUCGUUUUGAAGGAAGGAAAAGUUUGCGGCGCUAGCUGCUCUUCUACAUUGACAUUUUGGCCGCUGAUCUUCCCCUCCCUCAGGUAAGUCACAUCACGUAUUAUUAAUUUUAUCUUAAACCUUUAUAGUUUAUCGAACUGAAUGUGGUUAUUUAAUUACUUUGAUUUUCUCACACUUGAUUAUUCCAGGUGCUGGUGAUCUCUCAAAGAAUGAGAGGCACAGAGUUUUUGUAUGCAAUGAUAUUCUCACUUCUUCUUUUUUUUUAUAUUAAUCACGAGGUAUCCUGGGGAGGGCCCCAACUGUGGGAGGCACCUUUAAGCCCGUACCACAACCCAGACUAGAAGUCCCCGCUCGAACCGGGAGGCACAGGUUCUCCCAACAAAGGCGACUUCCCUGCGACUCGAACUGGGGAGCAAACCCAGUCAAGACACUUAAGGGGACUCCAUUACUAGUGGAGCCAACACUUUGUUGGUAUGAUAUUCUCACUUCUUAAUAUUUGCUAAGGGUUAUUCGAGCAUACAGCGUGUUUUCGGAGGCAACAUUGGGCUCAGAAAUACUCGCUGAAGCUACAUGGGCCAUUAUUGGCUUCAAUAUUCUUCUGUACAAGAAAGGAGGUCAUGUAAGUUGAUAAAGCACCAUUCAUGUAAGUCCAUUUAUAUUGACUUAUAUGCACAAGCCUAUAAUACAAACAGCAUUAUUGUAAUACAAAUUUGUUUAGAAAUCCAUGGCCUAUAAUACACCAUUUAUGUCCUAGACUUACUUGUCAACCUUGCAAAAUUUUUGUGCUUGGCAACUGGUUUUGUUGAUGUCGUAAUCUGGAUGAGUUGGUUAGUGACUCGAUCUUAGAUCCCUACAUCAGCAUUAAAUUUGUUUGGUGGGAAGCUGCUAGUUGAUCUCCAAGAAGAUCCUCCGACUAUGAGCAGAACAUUCAUGAGUUGUUGAUCAGUGAGCACCGAGAGCAAAUAAUUGAUGAGCAGACGACCAAUGAGCAGAUGAUCCAUGAGUAGAUAAUCCGCGAGCCUGCGAGCACAAAGAACAGUCAGGGGGGGCGGAAGAUUUCCAACGUAAACCCUCCGACACUCAAGUCAGCGAUUUGGGUCUACUUGGAAAAACUCAUACCACAAUUCACAUGGUUUAACUAUGAUUGUUUUAAACAAAAAGCUUUUAAGUAAAUUUAAAAGAAAAUAAUUGAAAAUAAUUAAUCUUAAAGAAAUCAUAAGCAAAAGAGAAAUUUCCUAAUGGUAGAGAGAGAAAAAGAUUCAAUGGAUUCAAUCACCCAAAGGGAUAGAGGAAAAGAAUCCCCCAUUUUCCCAGGAUUUUUAUAGGAAAUUAUAGCAGUUUUUUCUACAGAGGAUGUAAGUGAGGAAUUUAUGAAACUUUUUGAUAAAAAGAAUUAUCUAGGAUAAGCAAUUGAGCAGAAUUCUUUUACAGUGCAUUUUUGCAAUUCACAUAACCAACGUAGGGGUGGUGCUGUUUGUGUUUUUAAUCGGCAAUAUGCAGUUUGACACAGCAAGAUCACAGAAGAUAAGACAGAAGUGGAAGGAGAUGAAGCAAUGGCCAAAUUUUGAGUAUAUUUCUUCUGAUGUGCGGGGGGCAGUUAAGGAAAUACAAGCUAUACAAAUGGCAAGAAACCAAACGUGUUCGUGUUGAUAAUUUGGUGAAUGAUCUUCCUGACGAACUUGGCAACAAAAUAAAAUGUCUGCAUUAAACUGCUCAAGAAUGUGACGUUGAACUAUUCAAUCACUCAGUGACGUUGAAGCCUUUACUCUUAUGGCUGAUGACUUUAAACAUGUAUUAUCUACCAUUCACACAUUUCGAUCCGGCCGCUCUUUUGUUACAAUCAUACCGGCGUUUUGGGAAGCUUUUACUUGAUAGAAGGAAGGCUAAACAAAGAAAAUAAACAAAGUGGGACAUGUAACAACGACACAAUACAAGAAAAUUUAACGGUACUUGUGACUAAAUCAUUGAUGACAAACUGUUUAUUCUUUAUAUUUACAUGUGAAACCGCAGAAAAGGGCCAAAAUUGUAGUUUGAAAUUUUACAUUUGAUUUUGUCGUCAAUUGAUGAGCUCAUAGCGACAUUAAUUUAUUGAAUGAUAAAAUAAUAAUUUUAUAUUCAGUAAACAUAUGAAAUAUGACUUAAAUUGAAAAUUUGAGAUCUUAAUACAUUGGAGUUACAUUGAGUUGGGAGACGAACUUUGACUCUGAAUGAGACAGCACUUAAUGUGUCAUUUAUUUAUUAAAUUUGUUAAUGGUAUGAUAUUAUCUCAUUACGACAGAAAUAUUAAAUUGCAAUGAGUCUAGUCAAUUGGGAAAACAAUUUGUGCGCGAGUAUUCUCAAUUUCCAAUAUAAAAAUUACAAGACAAAAUUAAAAAGGAGAAUGAUACUUUAUAUCUGUUUAGAAGCCAUUAGUUAUUUGGUCAUAUUCAAAAUUUGUUUUAACCACAUAAGUCCAUGAUAAGGGUUUGCCUACCUUACGUUUAACGUAAGGUGCAUCUCUUCCCAUUGCUGUAGAGAAGACUGUACCUUACGUUAAACAUAAGGUAGCAGCUCCCCAUAAUAAAAGUUAUAAGACAAAAUUAAAAAGGAGAAUGAUACUUUAUACUUGUUUAGAAGCCAUUGGAUGUUUUGGUCAUAUUCAAAACCUGUUUUAACCACGUAAGUUCAUGACAAAAGUUACAAGACAAAAUUAAAAAGGAGAAUGAUACUUUAUACCUGUUUAGAAGCCAUUGGAUAUUUUGGUCAUAUUCAAAACAUGUUUUAACCGCGUACGUAAGUCCAUGAUAAAAGUUUAAAAUACCUUUUGUGGAAAGGAUAAGUAUGAUAUUUUUAAUAAAUAAAUAAAUAAAUAGAUCUAUUAAGUAAAUAUAUAUUUUUUUGAUACAUUGAUAUAUUACAAUUUUGAUAUUUAUAAUUAGAAAUCCAUCGGAACUUAUCUUGAAUAAUCUUAUUACAGCACAACUCGAAUAUCAAUCCUCACUAAAUUAGAGAAAUAUUUACCUUCACUAUUAAUUUAUACUCGGAGGCAAGUCCUAGCGCUGACCCUGCGCUGGGACUUGAAUCCAUGCCCUCAAGGUUGUUGAGGGCAUAGGCGUGCCAAUGGAUUACAGGCCCAUUGGCUAGAUUUAUUUAAUAAAUAGAUUAGGUGGAUAAUUUAGUGAGUUCAAAUAAUUUCGAUUAAUGUAUACCCGAAGAGUGAAGCUAUUGGCACCCUUCAUUAUAAAACUCCACUUUAAAUAAAAUUACAUUUAAGGACAAAUAAGAUUUAAACACACUUAAAAAUUUUCGCAACAAAUUACUUUCAUAAUCAAAUUUUUUUUUUGCAUUCAUAAUCAAUUCAUUUUUUCUUUUUAUUUUUUACUUGUCACUUCUCUCUAAUUAAAAUAAAUUACAAAAAUUUAGAAUAAUUUAUUUUUCUUUUCUUAUUUCUUAAUAAUAGAGAAUUUUUAUACCUAAUACUUUCAAAUUAUAAUUUAAAAUGUGUCAUAUCUAUAACAUAAUACUGUUAUGAGUUUUAAUAAUAUACAAAUUCAAUUAAAAACUAAAAUAAUGCAUUUAAAAGGGAAAAAAAGGACGUUUUUGAAAUUAAAUACAAAUAUUCCAAUUGUUACUGUGAAAAUGUGAUAUUUUCAGCACUAGAGCUACCACUUUAUUGCUUAUCGGAUCCGAAAGGAACUGAUGUGGUCCAAUCGUGUUCGGAUCGGAUUGGUUGCCGUCAUAAUCUGAUCACAUUUAGGUAACUUUUCAGUUUUGUCGAGGAGAAAGGCUGUCAAUUAUGUCUACCUAAGAAAGACGUCACAUAGAUGAUGUAAUCAGAUUUUAUCAUGCGUUUGUUCCUCUUCAAUCGAGAACUUGUCACAUCCUGCCUGUAAAAGUUUUUUUUUUUUUUUGAUAAGCUGUAAAAUGUGUUUCAGUGUUUGUGAAUCUACAAUUAUUUUUUAAGGGCUUAUUGGAACCGCUGAACCACAAGUUACAAUAAUUUUUUAUUAUUUAUUGUGUGUGGUUGAAAUUUAUAUUUCACCGUAAAUUAAUUUUUAUAUAGUUAUUGUCUUAUUUUUAAGGGAGUAAUAUAAAUAGAAACUAAUGCAAAGCUACAUUUACUAUUUGAACAAAAUUAACAUGAAUUAAAAAAAAGGGGCAGCUGCAACUAAUAUCAUUAAAUCAAAGGAUUGAAUUACUAACUAGAGAUUUUAAACAAAACUGUUUGGUUUAAAAUUAUGGGAAUUUGAGAUUACACUUACAGUUUUCAUUUUUAUUUUAUUUUUAUUUUUUUGAAGAGAAGAAAGAAAAAAGAUCAGCUAUAUGAUUAAUGAAAGAGCACAUGGUUAUGCCUGGAAGAAGGGAGGUGGGGGGUGAAGAGUAAUUGGAGUCAGUUAUGUCAGGGCCGACUCAAUUAUAUUUAGGGUUUUAAGCAAAUAGUUUUAAUUAGUUCUUCUUGAAAUUUAGGAUAAAAAAUAUAUAUAUUAGUUAUAUAUUAUUUAUUGAAUAUCAUUUCUUUAAACACUCUAAAAUGUAAAAUUAUUAAAUAAAAUUAUAUUCUACUAUUGCUAAUUCAUGGAAUUUUAAUUCAAUUAUAACAUUUUCACUUAUUGUUUUUUAACUCAAAUCACAUCUUUUUUACUACUCCUUUUCUAGAUUAAACUAAUUUUUCUAUUCUUCUAUUUUCUAAAGUUUUUUGAUAUAAUUUUAUUUCAAAAUAGAUAAAACAAGCACAAAAAAAAAAAUAGUAGAUGAAUAAAAUAAUAUAUUAAAAAGAAAUAAGAAUAAAUAAAUAACACAACUAAUUAAAAGAAUGAUAAAAGGAUAAAAUCAGGAAUUUGAGAUGAAAUCAUAAAUUAACUUUAUCUUUAUAUUAAUUGUUUGAGAAAUUGAGUAAUGACCAAUAACCAUAGAGAAUAGAGAAAACUAUUAGAUUUUUUUUUUCUUGAGUGGAAAGUAGAGGAAGCAAGAUUUUUUUCCCUCUCUCUUUCUUUCUCUCAAAUACCAAGAACAUAUCUUGUCUUGAUUGUUGGAAGAAAAAUUUAAUGGAUAAGUGAUAAAAUGUGGGGCUUUUAUAGAGGUUUAAAAUGAAUAUAACACUUUUUAAUUAUAACAUAUUAAUUCUAACAAUAAAAUAGAGAAUUUGUAGGAUUGAAACUAUUAAUUUAUCGGUUUUGUAGGAAUUAAAACUAUUAAGUACUAUAUUAAAUAAACUUUAUAAGAAUUUGAUAUUUUAUUUAGAAAAAGAUCAUUAUAAAAUAAUAAUAAAUUAAAUGAAUAAGAAUGACUUUUAAAUUCAUUUUUCCCUUUUACAUACAAAAUAAUCAUCUCAUGAGGUCUUCAUGUAAAGUGGGGCCCUAAGCAACCACCUAAAUUGCCUAGAGGUCGAGCCACUAUUGAGUUAUGUAACGAACCGCCGGAGCAUUGAUCGGCGUGUAUUAUAUCAAACUGCUAACAUGUAUGAAACAGUCUUAGAGUGCAAAUAAGAGAAUAGAAAUGGUCAUAAUACAGGAACAUUUGUUGGUUCGAAGGAGCAACAAUUAGGAAUGGCUAUUUAUUUAAAAUAUGAAGUGGAAAAUUGAAUUAACUUAUUUGAAAUAGAAAUGGUCACAUGAAAAUUUUGAAUUAAUUUAUUGAAAUAGGAUCCUACAAAUGAAGUGUUUUAAUUUCGUAAUUUAUUAUUAUUAUUGUUAUUUUGUUUUUAAAUAUUAAAAAAAUUAAGUUUAUAAUACUCUAAGCAAAUUCCACAUUGACAAAGUACGAGAGAGAUGUUGAGUUUAUAAGGAGUGAUUUACACCUUAAGACGUAUUUUGGAGUGUAUGGGCGCCCCGGAAACAAACUCAUGCGGGCCUUGUUAAGAGCCAAAGCGAAUGUAACACCCUAGGCAAAUCCCUCAUCGGUAAAGUAUGAGAGAAAUACUGAAUUUAUAAGGGGUGAUUCACACCUUAAGAAGCAUUUUAGGAUAUAUGAGUAUCCCAAAAAUAAAUCUAUGCGGGCCUUAUUAAGGAUUAAAACGGACAAUAUAUUAUCAAAUCUAAGUUAGAUCACGACGGAAUUCGUUUUAGUUUCUAGCGGACAUCCGAUUCAUCGUAAUAAACGUGCCCUUGUCCAUAUAUAAAUUGCAUUUGCCUAUGAAUUCUUCAAUAAUUGAAAAAGAUGGGUGCUUGUGGGACACUCAUUUAUGAUACAAUUUAGGAAUAAGAACUUAGUGACGCAACCAUUACUAACAGCCUCUUUUUUGGAGGUACUCGGAUGGCUAUUAUUGCCAUUUAAAAGAUAACAUAAAUUUUGUAGAUUGCCAGCUAUGGCCGAGCUUUUUUUUUUUUUUUUUGAGAAAAGAAGAAAAAUAGCCAUUUGAAAGAUAACAUAAAUUUUGUAGAUAGCUAGUUAUGUUUGAGUUUUCAAUUUUUUUUGAGAAAAAAAGAUACUUAUGUCUUUGAGAUUUAGAAAAAUGAUCACAUAAAUUCUCAAAUUUUUAAUAAGAUAAAUCCAGACCUCUUUUUAUUAUAAUAUUUUUUAAUUCUAUAACUAAAAAAAAAUUGACUAUAAUAUUUUAUAAUAAAAAAAUAUAAGUGUAAUGAUCCGCCCCGAAUCUCUAGGACGAGUUUAUAUAAUCUCGCCAACCGAAUUAAUAAUAAUCUAAUAUCUAGAAUUCUACCAAAAAUUUGGCAGUCUCCUAUAUAAUUAUGAUAUUCUCAAACCUGCAAUUUUUUAAAUUUAACACUCCUAAAAAAUGAUAAAAUAUUCAAUCAACCUCCACAACUAACUUUCUCAUUCAAAUACCAGUAUCCUUUAAAUAUAUAAUGUCAAGAAUAUAAUAAUUUAUCUUUAAUCACAAAUAAGUAAUAAAUUAUACAAUUCAAAAUAUCCCAACAAAACAUCUAUGAUUCCUAACAUCAUCACGUGGCCAUAAUUCUAAAUUUAAUUAUAGUUGCUGGAUCGAUUGAUGUACCUCCAAAUCUAAUGUGGGAGAGGGGGGAAUAUAAAAAAAAAGGAAUGAGUAUAAAACUCACUCAAUUAAAAACUCUAUAACAUAAUACUAUUUUUAGUUUUAAUAAUAUACAAAUUCAAUUAAAAACUAAAAUAAUGCAUUUAAAAGGGGAAAAAAGGACGUUUUUGAAAUUAAAUAUAAAUAUUCCAAUUGUUACUGUGAAAAUGUGAUAUUUUCAGCACGAGGGCUGCCACUUUAUUGCUUAUCCGAUCGGAAAGGAGCUAAUGUGGUCCAACCGUGUUCGGGUCGGAUUGGUUGCCGUCGUAAUCCGAUCAGAUUUAGGUAACUUUUCAGUUUUGUCGAGGAGAAAGGCUGUCAAUUAUGUCUCCCUAAGAAAGACGUCACAUGGAUGAUGUAAUCAGAUUUUAUCAUGCGUUUGUUCCUCUUCAAUCGAGAACUUGUCACAUCCUGCCUGUAAAGUUUUUUUUUUUUUUUUUUUUGAUAAGCUGUAAUAUGUAUUUGACUGUUUGUGAAUCUACAAUUUUUUUUAAGGACUUGUUAGAACCGUUGAAUCACAUAAUUAAAGUUAUAAUAAUUUUUUUAUUAUUUAUUGUAUACGGUUGAGAUUUGUGCUCCCGUAAAUCAACUUCUAUGUAGUUAUUGUCUUAUUUUUAAGGGAAUAAUAUAAAUAGAAGGGUAAUGUUAAGUUACAUGCAUGUACCUUACAUCCCUCUCACAUGAAUAGUGUAUGAAUACUAUUCAUGUGAGAGGGAUGUAAGGUACAUGCAUGUAACUUAGAGGGAUCCUAAAUAGAAACUAAUACAAAGCUACAGUUACUAUUUGAACAAAAUUAACAUGAAUUAAAAAAAAGGGCAGCUGCAACUAAUAUCAUUAAAUCAAAGGAUUGAAGUACUAACUAGAGAUUUUAAACAAAACUGUUUGGCUUAAAAUUAUGGGAAUUUGAGAUUACACUUACAGUUUUCAUUUUUAUUUUUUUUGAAGAGAAGAAAGAAAAAAGAUCAGCUAUAUGAUUAAUGAAAGAGCACAUGGUUAUGCAUGGAAGGCGGGAGGUGGGGGGGGGGGGGGGGGUGAUGAGUAAUUGGAGUGAGUUAUGUAACGGACCACCGGAGCAUUGAUCGGCGUGUAUUGUAUUAAACUGCGAACGGGUAUGAAACAAUCUUAGAGUGCAAAUAAGAGAAUAGAAAUGGUCAUAGUACAGGAACAUUUGUUGGUUCGAAGGAGCAACAAUUAGGAAUGGCUAUUUAUUUAAAAUAUGAAGUGGAAAAUUGAAUUAAUUUAUUUGAAAUAGAAAUUGUCACAAGAAAAUUUUGAAUUAAUUUCUUGAAAUAGGAUCCUACAAAUGAAGUGUUUUAAUUUUGUAAUUUAUUAUUAUUAUUGUUAUUUUGUUUUUAAAUAUUUAAAAAAAUUGAGUUUGUAACACCUUAGCCAAAUCCCACAUCGACAAAGUACGAAAGAAAUUCUGAGUUUAUAAGGAGUGAUUUACACCUUAAGACGCAUUUUGGAGUGUAUGGGCGUCCCAGAAACAAACUCAUGCGGGCUUUAUUAAGAGCCAAAGCGGACAAUAUCUUGUAAGGUCUAAGUUGAGUUAUGACAUUAUGGUAUCAGAGCGGCUCCGCGUGUCCUCAUGAGUGAUGGUGGGGCAAACUUCAACGAGGACGCUAAGUCCCUAGGGAGAGUGUAUGUAACACCCUAGGCAAAUUCCUUAUCGACAAAACACGAGAAAGAUACUGGGUUUAUAAGAGAUGAUCCACACCUUAAAAUGUGUUUUAUGGUGAAUGGGCGCCUCAUAAAUAAAUUUAUACGGGUCUUAUUAAGGAUUAAAGCAAACAAUAUCCUAUUAAGUUUAGGUUAGAUCAUGACAGAAUUCCUUUUAGUUUCUAGCGGACAUCCGAUUCAUCAUAAUAAUCGUACCCUUGUCUAUGAAUUAUAAAUAGUCUAUAAUAAAAAAAAAGUGAGUAUAGUAGUUUUUGAAAAAAAUAAAUUUACUUAAAAUAAUCUAAUUUUUCCCAUAUUAAUUUCAUCAAAAUAUCAUAAGGACUUCUAGUAACUUUUCAGUUUUGUCCAGGAGAAAGGCUGUCAAUUAUGUCUCCGUAAGAAAGACGUCACAUAGAUGAUGUAAUCAGAUUUUAUAAUGCGUUUGUUCCCCUUCAAACGUCACAUAGAUGAUGUAAUCAGAUUUAUCAGGCGUUUGUUCCACUUCAAUCGAGUACUUGUCACAUCCUGAGUGUCUGUGAAUCUACAUUAUUUUUUAAAGAUCCGUUUAUGUUGCAAUCGCUCUAAGAUAGAAUACUCCUUCAUAACUACAUAAUUAAAAAAUAUAGAUUAAUUUCAGAUUUAAAACAAAUGAAGUCUUUGUUUUUAUUUGCAAGACUUUUAUAACACAUUAAUAUGUAACGCUUCAAAUUUCACCGGCGGAUUGGAUACAAAUUUUUUAUCCUUAUACUAAACAUGUGUAGAGUAGUAAGAAACAAGUUAAAAAAUAAUAAAAACACACACUUUGAUGUUGUUAUUUUUAUCUUAAAGUAUUAAAAUUUAUAUUUCUUUUAAUCUUUUAACUUGUCUUUUACGAUAUUAAAAUAAGAAAAUCCUUUGAAAAUAAGAAAAUCCUUACUAAAAGUAAAAGGGGACUUGCAUGUCAUGUGCACAGUGUACAAUAUGUUUCAAAUGUUACUUGAUAGAAAUUACUGAAAGCAUUGUAUCAUUGGAAAACUCUUGCUGCAUGCUACUAAUUUGACAGUUUAUCAAAUAUUUUUUUGCUGCUCGCUACUUAUGAAUCACGUUUAGUCCCCUUUGAAUUGUGUGCAUCCACCAUCUGUUAAAUUUAUCUUUGAAUUUUCUCGCUUCCAUAAGGGACACAAAUAAGAAACAGACAAGGACGUUCAAAUCCCCGAGUUGUAAAAUUUACAAGAUGCAUCGGGUAGAAAAAUCUUGUAGAAACCUCAGCUGAUGAACUCUGUAAAGAAUAUCCUCAUUCAUUCAGCUAACCCGUUGAACCAAAAUGCAAAAUCAUCCUCAAUAAGUACAAGAAACAAAAACUUUACAAGAAUAACUUAUGAAACUUGAUCAAUUUCUGCGGAGACUACAACGUCAUUUCAAUUUGUGAGGUAAUUGCCAUGAUGCUGACUGAAUCUCAUUAAAUUAAUGAAAAUAAUACAACAAAUGGUACGAUAACUCCAAAUCAGCUAUCACAUUAUUAUUUUUAUUUUUAUAAGUAUCACAUUAUGUAUUUGAUUCAAAUAAGAGAACAAAAUUUGCAUUAUUGAUAGAUAUUAUAUUGUUUCUUGAAACUGUCUCUUGACAAAUCGCCCAUUAAUGCAGUCAUUGCUGACAAAACAACUUCGUGAAAAAGUUCACCAAGAUAGCAAGCUGAUAGAGAAAUCAGACAAUGCAAAGCAUGUCAUCCUCACACUUCAAUUUCAGCGAAAAUGGAUAAGCCAUUUUGUUCAACUUUCACCUCCGGAAGUUGAAAAGGACCGGAAGUUGAAAAGGACAUGAAUGCAAUUAUGCAAGUUCUUAUCAAAGAUGCAAUGAAUGACGCCUAAAAUAGGGAUAGCAAUGGCGAGGGGAGGGGAGGGGACGCACUUAUUUAUGAUGUUCUUUAUAUAUCUGUCUCCUCCUCGUCCCUAUUAGAAUGGUUUGAGGGGAUUUUUGUUUCCUCCCUGAAUAAUAAGAGGGGAUUCCUAAGGGAUCUCCGAUCCCUGAAUAACUGAUACAUUUUUUAUUUCUGAACUUAAUUUAAUAAUAUUAAAAUAAAAUUUUAAACAAAGGUAAUGUUUGAUAAUAUAUCUUAGAUUAACAUUAAUUCAAUACAAAAAUUACACUACAAAAUACAAAUAAUUAGAAUAAUUAUCUUCCUCAACCUUUAUAAUCCUAUAACAAAAAGAAAUUACUCUUAUAUUAAUAAUGAAAUAAAUGAAAUGGGUAUAGAUAUUGAAAUUAAUAUCUAUAUCUAUAUCUAUAUAUAUAUAUAAAGCUAGGACUUGAGGAGGUGAUGUGGCAUCACCAUUUUGCUUCUUUGUAUAUUCUCUAUUAUCUAAUAAAUAGAGAUUUUUUUUUAGAUUUGACUUUUCAUCUCCUUAUAAUUAAUUUGAUUGUAUUUAACACAUUUAAUAAAUAGUAACUUUAUUAAUAUAUAUCAUUCAUCAUCUUUUUAUAUUUUCUUUUAUCUAAAAUAUCUAAAAUAUUGGUGGAUAUUCUUUGUACUUUUUUUUCUCUUUCUAUUUAAAUUCAACAAUAUGUAAUCAUUAAUAAUAAUUAAUUAUAAGUCUUUUGAAACAUUUAUUUAUUUUAUUAUGCUGGCAAUUAAACUUUAGUAGAUUAAAAUACAUGAAUUAAUUAACAUAGGAAGAGAGGUUCUUUCAUUUUCCCUCAACAAUGCCACUAAGGCCUAAUUUUAAUGCCAUAAUCCCAUAUUUAAUUAUGCAACCUUUUGUUGAGUGUCUUUUGGCUUCUUCAAAAUUUAUUAUACUAUCAAUUAAACUUUAGUGCCUUAAAAUACAUCACCUAAUCUAUCUCUCUCUCUCUCUCUCUCUCUCUCUCUCUCUCUCUCUCUAUAUAUAUAUAUAUAUAUAUAUAUAUAUAUAUAUAUAUAUAUAAAGUUGGGACUACAAGAGGUGAUGUGACAUCACCAUUUCUCAUCAUUUCAUAUUCUCUAUUAUCUAAUAAAUUGGUUGAAAUUAAAAAAUAAUUACAUUACAAAAUAUUAAAAUAGAAAAUAAUUAUUAGAUUAUAAAUGAUUACAUGUCUUUUCCUCUUUCUAUUUAAAUUCAACAAUAUGUAACCAUUAAUAAUAAUUAAUUAUAAGUCUUGAAACAUUCAUUUAUUUUAUUAUGCCAACAAUUAAAUUUUAGUGGAUUAAAAUACAUCAAUUAAUUAAUAUAGGAAGGAAGGUUCCUUCAUCUUCCCUCAACAAUGCCAUUAGAGCCUAAUUUUAAUGUCAUAAUCCCAUAUUUAAUUAUUCAAUCUUUUAACAAUGCCAUUAGAGCCUAAUUUUAAUGUCAUAAUCCCAUAUUUAAUUAUUCAAUCUUUUGUUUAGUGCCUUUUGGCUUCUUCAAACUCCAUAAACAUUAAAUAUUUAAGAUUUGUGGUAUCAUUAUUUCUCAUCUUUUUUUAUUCUCUAUCAUCUAAUAUAUUGGUUGAGAUUAAAAAAUAAUUACAUUACAAAAUAUUAAAAAUCUAUAUCUAUCUAUAUAUAUAUAUAUAUAUAUAUAUAUAUAUAUAUAUAUAUAUAAAGUUGGGACUAGAGGAGGUGAUGUGGCAUCACUAUUUCUCAUCUUCUUGUAUUCUCUAUUAUCUAAUAAAUUGGUUGAUAUUAAAAAAAUAAUUACAUUACAAAAUAUUAAAAAUAAAAAAUAAUUAUUAGAUUAUAAAAGAUUACAUGUCUCUUCCUCUUUCUAUUUAAAUUCAAUAAUAUUUAACCAUUAAUAAUAAUUAAUUAUACAUCUUGAAACAUUUAUUUAUUUUAUUAUGCCAACAAUUAAACUUUAGUGGCUUAAAUAUAUCAAUUAAUUAAUAUAGGAAGGAAUGUUCCUUCAUCUUCCCCCAACAAUGCCAUUAGGGUCUAAUUUUAAUGCUAUAAUCUCAUAUUUAAUUAUGCAACCUUUUGUUUAGUGCCUUUUGGCUUCUUCAAACUCUAUAAAUAUUAAGUAGUUAAGAUUUGUGGCAUUAUUAUUUCUCAUCUUUUUAUAUUCUCUAUUAUCUAAUAUAUUGGUUGAGAUUAAAAAAUAAUUACAUUACAAAAUAUUAAAAAUAGAAAAUAAUUAAUAGAUUACAAAAGAUUACAUGUCCCUUCCUCUUUCUAUUUAAAUUCAACAAUAUGUAACCAUUAAUAAUAAAUUAAUUAUAAGUUUUGAAACAUUCAUUUAUUUUGUUAAGCCAACAACUAAACUUUAGUGGUUUCAAAUACAUCAACUAAUUAAUAUAGGAAGGAAGGUUCAUUCAUCUUCCCUAACCAAUGCCACUAGGACCUAAUUUUAAUGUCAUAAUCCCAUAUUUAAUUAUGCAACCUUUUAUUUAGUGUCUUUUGCCUUCUUCAAACUCUAUAAAUAUUAAGCAUUUAAGAUUUAUUAUGUUUGGGGUUUUUUUUUAUUUAACCAACAUCCUCUUUAGAAAUGUUCUUGUCUUUUUAUUUUUUGACUUAUUUAAAUUUUUAAUAUUGUGUGCUUCAUGGAGUACUCUUUUCUUUAUGAGUUAAACAAUGAUAAAGAUAAUUGGAUGAUAAGGGUUAGGUUUUUUAAGAUGUGAGAGUCUGUUAAUACCAAGAAAAAUAGAGAGUUGAUUAGUAUGAACAUAAUUUUUAUUGAUGAAAAGGUUGUGUACAUUUAACUAUACACAUUAAUAUAUAUUUUUAAUGUUAACAAAAAAAUAAUUAACUUUCAUAAAUAACAUUAGUUUUAUAAGGCUGCGUCAUCUUAAAAAAAAUAAUUAAUAUUUUUUAUCAGUUUCAUCAAGUGCAAAGUAAUAAAAAAAGAUAAUACUAAAUUAUUUUUUUAAAGCCGCACGAAGUGCGGUUCUAUUUCCUAGUAUAUAUAUAAAGCUAGGACUUGAGGAGGUGAUGUGGCAUCACCAUUUUGCUUCUUUGUAUAUUCUCUAUUAUCUAAUAAAUAGAGAUGUUUUUUUUAGAUUUGCUUUUUGAUCUUCUCAUAAUUCAUUUGAUUGUAUUUAACUCAUUUAAUAAAUAGUAACUUUAUUAAUAUAUAUCAUUCCUCAUCUUUUUAUAUUUUCUAUUAUAUAAAAUAUCUAAAAUAUUGGUGGAUAUUCUUUGUACUUUUUUUUCUCUUUCUAUUUAAAUUCAACAAUAUGUAAUCAUUAAUAAUAAUUAAUUAUAAGUCUUUUGAAACAUUUAUUUAUUUUAUUAUGCUAGCAAUUAAACUUUAGUGGCAUAAAAUACAUGAAUUAAUCUAUCUAUCUAUCUAUACAUAUAUAUAAAGUUGGGACUACAAGAGGUGAUGUGGCAUCACCAUUUCUCAUAAUUUCAUAUUGUCUAUUAUUUAAUAAAUUGGUUGAAAUUAAAAAAUAAUUACAUUACAAAAUAUUAAAAUAGAAAAUAAUUAUUAGAUUAUAAAUUAUUACAUGUCUUUUCCUCUUUCUAUUUAAAUUCAACAAUAUGUAACCAUUAAUAAUAAUUAAUUAUAAGUCUUGAAACAUUCAUUUAUUUUAUUAUGCCAACAAUUAAAUUUUAGUGGCUUAAAUAUAUCAAUUAAUUAAUAUAGGAAGGAAGGUUCCUUCAUCUUCCCUCAACAAUGCCAUUAGAGCCUAAUUUUAAUGUCAUAAUCUCAUAUUUAAUUAUUUAAUCUUUUGUUUAGUGCCUUUUGACUUUUUAAAACUCUAUAAAUAUUAAGUAGUUAAGAUUUGUGGCAUCAUUAUUUCUCAUCUUUUUUUAUUCUCUAUUAUCUAAUAUAUUUGUUGAGAUUAAAAAAUAAUUACAUUACAAAAUAUUAAAAAUAGAAAAUAAUUAAUAGAUUACAAAAGAUUACAUGUCUCUUCCUCUUUCUAUUUAAAUUCAACAAUAUGUAACCAUUAAUAUAAAUUAAUUAAAAGUUUUGAAACAUUCAUUUAUUUUAUUAAGCCAACAACUAAAUUUUAGUAGUUUAAAAUACAUCAACUAAUUAAUAUAGGAAGGAAUGUUCCUUCAUCUUCCCUCACCAAUGCCAUUAGGACCUAAUUUUAAUGUCAUAAUCCUAUAUUUAAUUAUGCAACUUUUUAUUUAGUGUCUUUUGGCUUCUUCAAACUCUGUAAAUAUUAAGCAUUUAAGAUUUGUUAUGUUUAAGUUUUUUUUUUAUUAUUUAACGAACAUCCUCUUUAAAAAUGUUAUUGUGUUUUUAUUUUUUGACUUAUUUAAAUUUUUAGUAUUAUGUGCUUCAUUGAGUACUCUUUUCUUCAUGAGUUAAACAAUGAUAAAGAUAGUUGGAUGAUAAAGGUUAGGCUUUGUAAGAUGUGGGAGUCUGUUAAUAUCAAGAAAAAUAGAGAGUUGAUUAGUAUGAACAUGAUUGUUAUUGAUGAAAAGGUUGUGUACACUUAACUAUACACAUUAAUAUAUUUUUUUAAUGUUAACAAAAAAAUAAUAAACUUUCAUAAAUAACAUUAGUUUUCUAAGGCUGCGUCAUCUUAAAAAAAAAAUUCAUAUUUUUUAUCAGUUUCAUCGAAUGCAAAGUAAUAAAAAAAGAUAAUAUUAAAUUCUUUUUUUAAAACCGCACGAAGUGCGGUUCUAUUUCCUAGUAUAUAUAUAAAGCUAGGACUUGAGGAGGUGAUGUGGCAUCACCAUUUUGCUUCUUUGUAUAUUCUCUAUUAUCUAAUAAAUAGAGUUUUUUUUUUAGAUUUGUUUUUUCAUCUUCUCAUAAUUAAUUUGAUUGUAUUUAACUCAUUUAAUAAAUAGUAACUUUAUUAAUAUAUAUCAUUCCUCAUCUUUUUAUAUUUUCUAUUAUAUAAAAUAUCUAAAAUAUUGGUGGAUAUUCUUUGUACUUUUUUUUCUCUUUCUAUUUAAAUUCAAAAAUAUGUAAUCAUUAAUAAUAAUUAAUUAUAAGUCUUUUGAAACAUUUAUUUAUUUUAUUAUGCUAGCAAUUAAACUUUAGUGGCAUAAAAUACAUGAAUUAAUCUAUCUAUCUAUCUAUACAUAUAUAUAAAGUUGGGACUACAAGAGGUGAUGUGGCAUCACCAUUUCUCAUAAUUUCAUAUUGUCUAUUAUUUAAUAAAUUGGUUGAAAUUAAAAAAUAAUUACAUUACAAAAUAUUAAAAUAGAAAAUAAUUAUUAAAUUAUAAACGAUUACAUGUCUUUUCCUCUUUCUAUUUAAAUUCAACAAUAUGUAACCAUUAAUAAUAAUUAAUUAUAAAUCUUGAAACAUUCAUUUAUUUUAUUAUGCCAACAAUUAAAUUUUAGUAGCUUAAAAUACAUCAAUUAAUUAAUAUAGGAAGGAAGGUUCCUUCAUCUUCCCUCAACAAUGCCAUUAGAGCCUAAUUUUAAUGUCAUAAUCUCAUAUUUAAUUAUUCAAUCUUUUGUUUAGUGCCUUUUGGUUUCUUCAAACUUCAUAAACAUUAAAUAUUUAAGAUUUGUGGCAUUAUUAUUCCUCAUCUUUUUUUAUUCUCUAUUAUCUAAUAUAUUGGUUGUGAUUAAAAAAUAAUUACAUUACAAAAUAUUAAAAAUCUAUAUCUAUCUAUAUAUAUAUAAAGUUGGGACUAGAGAAAGUAAUUUGACAUCACUAUUUCUCAUCUUCUUGUAUUCUCUAUUAUCUAAUAAAUUGGUUGAUAUUAAAAAAAUAAUUACAUUACAAAAUAUUAAAAAUAAAAAAUAAUUAUUAGAUUAUAAAAGAAUACAUGUCUCUUCAUCUUUCUAUUUAAAUUCAAUAAUAUGUAACCAUUAAUAAUAAUUCAUUAUAAAUCUUGAAACAUUUAUUUAUUUUAUUAUGCCAACAAUUAAAUUUUAGUGGAUUAAGUAUAUCAAUUAAUUAAUAUAGGAAUGAAUGUUCCUUCAUCUUCCCUCAACAAUGCCAUUAGGGUCUAAUUUUAAUGUUAUAAUCUCAUUUUUAAUUAUGCAACCUUUUGUUUAGUACAUUUUAACUUCUUCAAACUCUAUAAAUAUUAAGUAGUUAAGAUUUGUGGCAUUAUUAUUUCUCAUCUUUUAUAUUUUCUAUUAUCUAAUAUAUUGGUUGAGAUUAAAAAAUAAUUACAUUACAAAAUAUUAAAAAUAUAAAAUAAUUACUAGAUUACAAAAGAUUACAUGUAUCUUCCUCUUUCUAUUUAAAUUCAACAAUAUAUAACCAUUAAUAAUAAAUUAAUUAUAAGUUUUGAAACAUUCAUUUAUUUUAUUAAGCCAACAACUAAACUUUAGUGGUUUAAAAUACAUUAACUAAUUAAUAUAGGAAGGAAUGUUCCUUCAUCUUCCCUCACCAAUACCCUAUGACCUAAUUUUAAUGUCAUAAUCUCAUAUUUAAUUAUGCAACCUUUUAUUUAGUAUCUUUUGGCUUUUUCAAGCUCUAUAAAUAUUAAGCAUUUAAGAUUUGUUAUGUUUGAGUUUUUUUUAUUAUUUAACCAACAUCCUCUUUAGAAAUGUUCUUGUGUUUUUAUUUUUUGACUUAUUUAAAUUUUUAGUAUUGUAUGCUUCAUGGAGUACCAUUUUCUUUAUGAGUUAAACAAUGAUAAAGAUAGUUGGAUGAUAAAAGGUUAGGCUUUGUAAGAUGUGGGAGUAUGUUAAUACCAAGAAAAAUGGAGAGUUGAUUAGUGUGAAUAUAAUUUUUAUUGAUGAAAAGGUUGUGUAAACUUAACUAUACACAUUAAUAUAUAUUUUUAAUGUUAACAAAAAAUAAUUAACUUUCAUAAAUAACAUUAGUUUUAUAAGACUGCGUCAUCUUUAAAAAAAAAUUCAUAUUUUUUAUCAAUUUCAUCAAUUACAAAGUAAUAAAAAAAUAAUACUAAUUUUUUUUUAAAGCCGCACAAAGUGCGGUUCUAUUUCCUAGUUUUUAAUAAAAGAAUUUACUCUUGUAUCUCAUACUCAUUCUAUUCUUCCUCGAGGAAUGUUGGAAAUUGAGAGAUAGCAUCAGGUUUCAAAUCUAAAACAAUAAAAAUAAUAUAAGCAAUAUAACUCAUAAUCUAAAAUAAUUUUGGGUCAAGACCAUUGAAAUAAGGUAUGAUCAAAUAAUAAUUUAGGACUACAACUACUUAACCAGGCUUGAAAUUUUUAUAGUAGAUGCGUAUAAAUAUUUUGAUAUUUGUUAUUUAUACUAAUAUUUAAUAUUUUAUAAUUUAAAUUUUAUAAUUCAUUUAUUAAUAAUUCUAAAAAAUAAAAUCAAAAUAAAAAAAUUAAUAUGAGGAAAUGGGGAAAUGGGUAGGGGAUGGGGAUUCCAUCUCAUCUUCGUCCCUUCCCCGAAUAAGAAAUUUGAUAUAAAAUUAUUCUCAUAUCCUCCCCGAAUAGAAAAAAAUCUCCAAGGGUCCCCGUCCCCGUGAGGAGUUUUGCCAUCCCUAGCCUAGACUCCUAUAGAGUAGAGUUAAGCUAUUAAUCACUGCACCGAUACAUCAAAAAUUAAGUAUAUGGAUCAAAGACAUCUUCAUUCAAGAGUCGAGAAAUUUCAAAGCAAAGGGGCCAAAGAUGGUGGUGCCAUUUUGUUCAACUUUCACCUCCGGAAGUUGAAAAGGACAUGAAUGCAAUUAUGCAAGUCCGUAUCAAAGAUGCAAUGAAUGACGCCUAAACUCCUAUAGAGUAGAGUUAAGCUAUUAAUCACUGCACCGAUACAUCAAAAAUUAAGUAUAUGGAUCAAAGACAUCUUCAUUCAAGAAUCUCGAAAUUUCAAAGCAAUGCUUGUCAUUUACAUAUCAAGCAAAGGGACCAAAGAUGGUGGUGCUCUAAUAUUUUGUCUAGUCAGAUUUCAGAUUUACCUUGUUCAUGUCUUUUUCUUUGGUGCAGAAGUUGACCGUGGCCUAUUUCAACAUCAUUCAUCAUCCUCUCAAUCUCCUCCUUUUUCACUGGCAGAACCAAAAAUAUCUUGCACCUCAGUGAAAUAUCAUUGGAGACAAAAAAGUUUCUCCAGCUUAUUCAACAACCAAAACCAGCCAAAUAUCAUCUCCAACCACAAAGCAAUGAGCCAAGUAAUUAAAUUUCCUUGAUGCAGGCUGAGGAAAGCCAAUAAGCAAUCAAAGGAGAUGGAAGAAUAGCACUAUUAAUUCAAGACCAACAAAGUUUGCAGCAAAACUGAUAGUAUUUAUGAUCUUGCAAAAGUCAAUCUUGUCUGGUUAUCAACACUGCAAUUAUAGCUUUUGUGCACCUCAGUUAGCCUUAAAUUGUGAAAGUUUCAGCCAAACCAACAAUUUCUAACCUACUUCUCAUGGUUAUACAAGCUAACUAGCAUCUGCUUCACUGCAUUAUGCUUAAAAAACAAUCAUACUAAAUGUCACAAUUCUGGUAUAUAAAAGUUCAGCCGUCUACACCAUUCAAGUUGAGCAUUUGACUGCAUCUCUAUGGGUACUAUUAAGGGAUGGCAAUAAUCAGUUAUGAUACGAAUAAUUGACAUCCAUAAUCCGAUAUAUCCGUCCACACCCAUGUCUAAUUUUAGAGGUUUGAUAUGGAUAUGGAUUUUUGUUUAUAUGGAUAUUGAUAUGCAUAGAUAUUCGGGAAAAAAAAUUCUACUUAACACUAUAACGAAUAGGAUACUUCUUUUAUUAGAGCUUUGUCAUGCUGAUGAUGUGCAAGAUAUCAUAAAUAAAGGGGAUCGUAGGGAACGAAAUGAAAUAAGUUUAAAGAAUUUGAAAGAAACUCUGAUUAUUCUCUUAUUCAACAACCCGGUGUGAAAUUACAUUUUACACGAGGUCCAUGUAAUUAUAUUUGUCAUUAAGAAUGAGCAUUUGCCAAAAGAAGAGACACAUGUCAUGACAAUGAGUGAUUGACAAGUGACAAAAUUGAUAGACACCCGCCGAAUAUGUCAUAACACAAACUUCUAAAAUUGCUACAGGAAAUGAAAUAUAACGAUGCACGAUGCCCAUCCAAGUUGUUUACUUGUAUUGUCCAACUGUAAAUGAGUACAGACAUGGUACCAUCAAUCGUUGUUAUUAAACUAGUCAUUGACCUCAGUCACUCCUUCAUAACCACAUAAUAAGGAGUGGCUAUUUAUUUAAAAUAUGAAGUGAAAAAUUGAAUUAAUUUAUUUGAAAUAGAAAUGGUCACAAGAAAAUUUUAAAUUAAUUUCUUGAAACAGGAUCCUACAAAUGAAGUGUUUUAAUUUCGUAAUUUAUUAUUAUUAUUGUUAUUUUGUUUUUAAAUAUUAAAAAGAAAAAAAGAAAAAAAUUGGUUUGUCUUUAGUUUCUAGCGGACAUCAGAUUCAUCAUAAUAAGCGUACCCUUGUCCAUGUAUAAAUUGCAUUUGCCUCUGAAUUCUUCAAUAAUUGAAAAAGAUGGGUGCUCGUGGGACACUCUCAUUUAUGAUACAAUUUAGGAAUAAGAACUUAAUGACGCAACCAUCACCAACAGCCUCUUUUUUUGGAGGUACUCGGAUGGCUAUUAUUGCCAUUUAAAAGAUAGCAUAAAUUUUGUAGAUUGCCAGCUAUGGCCGAGCUUUUAAAUUUUUUUAUUUUUUUUAGAGAAGAAGAAAAAUAGCCAUUUAAAAGAUAACAUAAAUUUUCUAGAUUGGCAGUUAUGUUUGAGUUUUCAAAUUUUUUUCAGAAAAAAAGAUACUUAUGCCUUUGAGAUUUAGAAAAACAAUCACACAAAUUCUCAAAUUUUUAAUAAGAUUAAUCAAGACCUCUUUUUAUUAUAAUAUCUUUUAAUUUUAUAACUAAAAAAUUUGGCUAUAGUAUUUUAUAAUAAAAAAUAACUAAAAUGACCCACCUCGAAUCUCCAGGACAAAUCUAUCUAAUCUCACCAACCGAAUUAAUAAUAAUCUAAUAUCUAAAAUUCUACCAAAAAUUCGGCAAAAUCUCUUAUAUAAUUAUGACAUUCCCAAACUUGCAAUUUAUAAAAUUUAACACUCCUAAAAAAUGAUACAAUAUUCAAUCAACCUCCACAACCAACUUGUUCAAUCAAAUACCAAUAUCCUUCAAACAUAUAAUGUCAAGAAUAUAAUAAUUUAUCUUUAAUCACAAAUAAGUAAUAAAUUAUACAAUUCAAAAUAUCCUAACAAAAUAUCUAUGAUUCCUAACAUCAUCACAUGACCAUAAUUUUAAAUUUAACUAUCGUUGUUGGGUCGACUGAUGUACCUGCAUAUCUUUUGGGAGGGGGGGGGGAGGGAAUAUAAUAAAAAAAUGUGAGUAUAAAAUUCAGUGAGCUCAGUUGAGUAUAUUAUGAAAAAAAAAAUUUACUUAAAAUAAUCUAAUCUUUCCCAAAUCAAUUUCAUCAAAAUAUCAUAAGAACUUAAAUAAACUUAUUUAAUUUAAAUCAUGUUUUAAUAUAACAAUAAUACAUAAUACGGCAUGAAAUCAAGGAAAACAUGAUACUUAUAAUAGCAAACACCAAAUACCGAAUCUAUCACCAAACAAGUACUCGGGGGAAUAAUCUCAUCAUAUCCGGACCUCGACGGAUCGGCAAUCAGAGAACCAUCAUGGCCCGAAGCUAUACGAAUAGACGGGGAAGUACUAUCUCAUAUCUCAUCAUAUAUGUGCAUGCAUAAUCUAGUAUCCAAAGGACAAGGCGCCCAAGAAUGCGGUCCAAAGCUUGUGUGUGUACUCAGAGGGGCCCCAAAGACCUAUAUUUCAUCUGUAUCAUCAUAUCUCAUCUGUAUUUCAAUAUCUAUAUCUCUGUAAUCAUCAUACUACAUGCAUAUGCCCCUAAAAGGCAAAAAUGCCCAAACACAAGACCCAAAGCCUCUAUUUGUGUUCAAACGGGCCCUAAAAGCUUCUCAUCUCAUCUGUAUCACUGUAUUUAGAUGGAAAGAGUAUUGUUUAAUGAGUUUAAAAACAACAUCUUAUACAUAUAUACAUAAACAUAAAAUGACACUUAAAUCUCAUUUCCUUUUCAUGUAACAUACUUUAAAUCUACUUUAUUCUCUUUAAAACCAUUACCGUGCAUUUACUGAAAAAUGAUAAUAAAAUCAUUAAUCAAACUCAUUUUUUGUAAUAAUAAAUAUCAACAUAUAGAUAAAAAUCCAUUUUUUAGAAAGUUAUUAAAUUCGACUGUUAAAUACUUAUUUAUCAAACAUGUUGUACUGUAUCAUAAAAUCAUAAUAUAUUAUGAAAAUCGAUUUUGUAUAUUCCACUCAUAGUGACUAUGUUCGAGCUCGAAAUCGUCAAUGUCUGUGGGUUGAUUCUUGUUCAUGGAUCCUCCUAAUAUAAUGAAAUAACAUAAUCAUUCUCUUAAAUAUGAAAUACAACUAAUUUUACGUAAUAAAUUUCGAAACGAAUAUCUAUCAAUAAUAAACUAUUCCCGUAUGCAUAAAAUUACCAAAAUACCCCAUGCAUGCCAAAAUUACCAAAAUGCCCCUUAUAUCAAUAUUUACCAAAUUAUCCUCAUAAUCCUAAAUUACCAAGCUGACGUCAAUUCAGAUCACAAAAAUAACCACAAUGUUAGAAAUUAUGAAAUUACCCUUAGAGAAUGUCCUUAACAACGUAAAUUACUAAAUUACCCCCGUAAUCUCAAAUUACCUAACUGCCCUAGUCCAAAAUUACUAAACUAUCCACCAAUUUUGGAAAUCACAAAAUUAUCCCCCACCGUUUUGUGAAAUUACCGAACUACUCCUGGCAGUUAAUGGUGACCGGACUUCGGUCGACGGCGACGAGAAGAUCAGAUCUGAUAGUUCUUAUCUCAGUGAGUCCAAUGGUGCCGGCGGUGACCAGCCACGCGCGCCGACGGUGGUAGAUCGAGCUUCCCUAGUCGCGAGCUUUUCGGUGGUCGAUCGGUGGAAUUCCAACCGUUUCAGGCAGCGAGUUUGGUUGGAAAAUGAUGAGGGUGAGCUGAGGAACAAGAUCCAAGCAGUGGCGCGGCCUAAUUCCGGCGAAAUCAAUGGCGACGAAAACGAGUUGAGAUGUGGGUUUUUCAAGCUUGAUCGCCGGCAUUCUACCCAUUUUCCGAUGAGGUGACCGGAAUCGGUGGCUGGAGUUGGGUCGGGUUGCGCGAUUUCGGGUCGGGUCAGGUCAAACUCGGUCAGCUUCUCUCUUUCUCUCUCUCCCUCUCCCUUUCUCAAUUUAUACAACCAAUUCUCUUUUUUUUUUUUCAAAGCUUAAUACAAAUUAAGCUAAUACUGAACCCAUAUUGAAAAAAAAAUCCGACUACCCAACCUUUUAAUCACGCUCAAUUUGUCUUGAUUUAUUGUCGCGACAAAUUUAAAAUAAUCCAAACACAAUAUAUAUUAAUAAAUAUGUAACAUUUAACAACCAUCCCCCAUAAUAUCGGGAAAAAAUUGAGUUGCAUCAACUUCACUGUAAAAAUUCGUAACGAGUCUACUAAAUUUAAAAUUAAUGCCAAAGGAGAAAAAUAAAAUGAUACACUUAAUUAGCAAAUUUAAAGCGCAUAUAUUACAAUAACAUUAAAAUAAAUGAAAUAAUAUAUACAUUUAAAUAUUUUAAUAUUUACAAUCUAUUAGAUAUAUUUUAUUAUAUUAAAGCAAAUUUUUAAUAAUAAAUAGAAACAUAAUAUUGAAUAUUUUGUACAAUUUUAACAUUAUUAAUGAAGAGAUUUUGUUAACUUUAAAAUCUAUUUAACUCAAAUAUUUAUUUAAAAUCUUUGUAAUAAAUCCAAAUAUAUUAUUAAAUUUAAUAAUUUUAAAUGUAAAAAUAUUUUAAUAUUACUACUCUAUAGAUAUAUUUUAUUCUUUUAUAUUAUUUUUGUAUUAAAUAAAAAUUUUAAAGUUAAUUUUUUAGUUACUAUAUUCAAAGUGUAUUAUGAUUAAAAAAGGAUCCUAAAGUCUAUAUAAUCAUUUUUUAAAAUUUUAGGAGUGUAAGUGUUGAUUUUUCUUUUUUUUAAAUAAUUCUUUUCGUACAAAACUUAUAUUCACGUUCUUUUAACUUCUCAUUAAUGCAUUUUCAUUGCCAGGGUUUCUACGUUUUCAAUCAAAAAUCUAGUGAAGAAACUGGAAAAUGUUGGAGGAAACGCUAAUGCAUUAUACGUACAACCUAAUAAACAAGUUGUUGGAGUGUACGGCUAGAGCAAUUUGUUUAUGGUCAUCUGUGCUUGUGUAUACUAUUAGUAAAUCUAUUUUGCAAUGAACCCAAAUAAUCAAAUUGUCCCGUGGUACUUACGGUCCAUGGAUCUAAUAAUUUUUGCUUCUUUUUAUUUAUUUAUUUAUUGCAUAUCAUAACCUGUCAGUCUCAUAAUAUUGUCCAACAAGAUUGCCUUUUUGAAAAAUUUCACAUAAAUCGGACACGGGUGAUUAUGUUAUCCUUUAAUUUUUCUAACGAAUAUAAUUUUCACUGUCAUUUUGUGUUUUGGAUAGGUGGAAUGACAGUGACCUGACUGAAAAAUAUGUUAUCUGGACGACGAACGACCAAGUCAAGGUCUUUUAAGUGUACAGUCCAACUCCUUUUAAAUAGCAAUUGAAUUCUGCACUUUAAGCAAUAAGUUACUCGGCCAAAUUUGCAGAAAUAUUUCAAAGUUUAAUUCUUCACUUGGAUUUUUCAUUGCUGAUCAUGUAAGUUAGUUGUUAUUAUUAUUAUUAUUUUUUCACCAAGGUAACUCUUGUGCUUACACUUUUCGCGGAGCUAGUUCUAUUUUCUUAAUGUUCUAAUUUUCAAUGAAUGUAUUUGGACAAAGCCACGAACUUGUCUUUUAGAGGACUUAAAUUGUAUUAAUAUUGCUGAUAUAUUCCUUAUAAAUAAAAAAGAGCAAACAAAGUUCUUAUAAAAAACGCAAGGAUAGCAGACAGUGAUUUUAAUUUUUUUUUGUUGAUGUUAUCUCUAUUUUAAUAAUAGAUGAUUGAUUGAUUCAAUCUUCUUCUUGUCCAUAAUUAAAAUAACUACUUUCUACUUCCUAAAGGAAUCUCUAAUCUGUCGAAAUGACUUUAUACACAUUUGUAGAAAUCAAUAUCUUGAUUAUUUGGUUGUCAAGUGUAUAUAAGUUAUACCGUCUGUUAGUUUUUUUAAUUGGCAUGUUUGAUAUUUUUCAACCAAAAUUCCCCUUGAUUGGGAAAAUAAACCAUUUCCUGCUCAUGUUUUUUAAUCCUACUCCAAAAUUCUCAUCUUAUUUGGUGAAAAUUUUAUUUUUGGGAUUUAUACGUGCAACCUAAUCAAGAAGUUGUUGGAAUGUGCUUGUGUAUUAUUUUAAUAAAUCUAUUUUGCAAUAAACCCAAAUAGUCAAAUUCUUAAUUCUCCCGUGCUAUAUAUAUGGUCUGUGGAUAUAUUAAUGUUUGCUUCUUUUAAUUAAUUUAUUUAUCUUUUGCAUAUCAUAACCUCUCAGAUUACUGUCUAACAAGAUUGCCUUUAAGUUUGAAAAUUUUCACAUAAAUUGGACGCGGGUGAUUAUGGUGUCCUUUCAUUUUCUGACGAAUUAAUUUUCACUGUCAAUUUGUAGUUUGGCUAGCUGGAAUGACAGUGGCCUGACUGAAAAAUAUGUUAUCUGGACAAAGCCAUGAACUAGUCUUUUAAAGGACUUAAACUUGUAUUAAUAUUGCUGAUAAAUUCCCUAUAAAUCAAAAGAGCAAACAAAGUUCUUAUAAAAACUGCAAGGAUAGCAGACAGUGAUUUAUUUAUUUAUUUUUUGAUGUUAUCUCAAUUUUAAUAAUCGAUGAUUGAUUGAUUCAAUCUUCUUCUUGUCCAUAAUUAAGAUACCUACUUUCUACUUCCUAAAAAAUCACUAAUCUGUCGAAAUAAGUUUAUACACAUUUGUAGAAAUCAAUAUCUUGGGAUUGUUGCUUGUUAAUUAUAUGUAAGUUAUACCAUUUCUAUGUUUUUUUUAAUCUGCUCGGCAUGUUUGAUAUUUUUCAACCGAAAUCCCCCUUGAUUGGGAAAAUGAACAAUUUCCUGCUCAUAUUUUGAAAUCCUACUCCAAAAUUCUCAUUUUAUUUGGUGAAAAUUUUCUUGAUGUUGAUAAACUUAUGUUAACUGUCAACUAAUGUUAAAUUAAGUCAAUUUGUUUUUCAACUAUCAGAUUUGGUAAUUUCCCCCUUUUUCCAGUGUAUGCAAAUCCACGACAACCACCCUACGCCUCCUUCCCUUAUUUUUCAAGGAAGUAUGUGAUUUUUUAAACUGGGUUUUGAUUGCUGGCAACUGUAAUAUGUUGGACUUCCGUAAUUGGCUUGUUUGUACUGUACAGAUAUAUAUGUAUUAAAAAAAAAAGGAAAAAAAAUGACAAAACCUUAACUUGCGUUUCGAUCAUAUCAGGUCUCAGGAUCCAGAAGCAGGUUCAAAAGAUAAACGAUAUUCUAAAGUGUAUGGUACUGGAACGACGUCGGCCGAUAAAGAACAACCUACAUGCUUAGGUUGCGUUAAAAAUCUUCUAGGUGUCAUACUUCUUUGUGUGGCGCUAUUAUGCUUUAUAAUAUUUGGUGGGACAAUAAUGCUAGUACUUUAUUACCUGUUGAUUACAAUGAUUGUGUUAUAUCAUGAAACCGGUAAAGCGAUAGCGAGAGCAAUACUCAGGAUUAAAACAAUCAAGGAUAAAGAAUAUAUUGAUGGUCUAAUGAAUGUGACUGCAAUGAUCCUUGAUGUGACUGCAAUCAUCCUUGAUCCUUUAUUCUUCUACAUUCUGGUGCUGGAUGAUGAAAAGAAAUGCAUUCACUGGGACAAAACCUUGGGGAUUACAGCUACCGUCAUCCGUUCCGUCCUCGAUUUCCUUAAGCUAGGCCAUUUUAUCUCUCACUCUAAGCUGCAUAUGGCAAAGGGGAACCAAAGAGAAAAAUUUAAGUAUUUGUGGGGGCAGUUAAAAAAUUUCAAGGUGUAAUUUACUUUCGCUAACUAGUUGUUUCUUCAACUUCCAUAAUUUAUAUAAAUAUAGUCUCCGUUAUCUUCUUUGCUCCCUACGAAGUAUUUGCUUUUUUUUUUUUUUUUGCCUUAAAAGGGAGAAGGAGAAGUACCUGAAGAUCCAAUGGGACGAAUGCGGAAGCUCUUCCUCAUUGACUGUUUGGCCAUCCUUCCCAUCCCCCAGGUAAAGGCACUAUCUAAUUUACAAUUACGUAAAUUCUGUUUAUUGACAUAUUAUGUAGUUCAAUCCUUCCCAUCCCCCAUGUGCAUAUCGUAAUAGUCUGCUUGAUUCCUGUCAUAUGUACAUCACAAAGUGGUUUUGAUUGUGAUAAAGAUAGAUCUUCAUACGAUUCAUGUCAAGGAUAAUGAUUUCAAUGUCAUUUUUCCCUUUACUUUGAUUAAAGUUGUAUUUAGACAUACAACCCUAAAUGUUUUGCAUGGAUAUUAGGGGUGGCAAUUUUCGCUAGUGAGUAGUGUUAAAUUUCAGCUAUAGGAAUUCGAUACUUUAUUAAUCUUGUUAAUAAUUUCAAACACCAACUCCACCUGUCUAUUAAUAAUUAUGUCACAUGCUUAAUAUGCUUUGAAAGUAUAUUUUUAAAUUUGACUUGUUUACAAGUUUUUAAUAUAUUUGUUUAAUUAAGAUAUUUAUAGUACUGCCUCUCAAAUUCAAAUCAAUUCUAGUCUUAAUAUAACUAGAUAAUUUUGAAAUAUAUACAAAUAGAAAGUAGUUCAAUUGUAUCCAAAAUCUAGUCGUACAACCAUUAUUAAUCAAAUAGUUAAUUAUGUCAUAAUUACAUAGGCUCACGUGACAGUAACUUAAAACCUGAAGAAGUGAAGAGAACAAAAAAUAUUUGUGUUCCUUUUCACCAACGCGAACAAACUAUUAUUUUCAUGCCAUUGGAAUCAGUUUCGCAGGUCAUUUCAAAAUUUGUCACCCCAGCUAUACCAUCAUUUUGCACAAAAAUAAAUAAUCAAUUUUGUUCAUAUUCAAUAUCCUUCAAAAUAUUUAUUUCCAUUAUUCCAUAUCAACUAAUAGGACAAACCGUCCAGGUUUUGGUGAUUUUUGGAAUAAGAGGCCCAGGAUUUUCGACGGCAAUGACCUUCUUUAUUUUACAAUAUUCGCUAAGGGUUAUUCGAACGUACUUUCUCUUCACACAUGCUACACGGGUUUCAGGGAUACUUGCCGAUGCUACAUGGGCCAUUUUUGCCUUCUAUCUUCUUCUUUAUCUGCAAAGCGGUCAUGUAAGUUCAAAGUAUCAUCAUUUUACCGAAAUAUUUUUUGGGAAAUUACAAUUUUUCCACCAUAUAGAUCGCCAAAUUAAAGGCCAAAAACAUUACAAAAUUUUGAAAUUUACAUUUUUAUUCAAGAAGUUUCCACAAACACCAUUUUUAUAUUAAUUUUUUUGGAAUCAGAAAAGCAUGAACUACGAUAUUCAGUAUUUUGUAAUUUAGAAAAGCAUAUUCUAAUAAAACUAGAAUUUUAGCAACGCCCAGUUAUUACACAUAUAUACGCACAGUCAGUUAGCUUUUUUUUAUGUAAAUUUUAGAUAUUGGAAUUGUCGAUGUAUGAUUUUCCCUCUACUCUGCAAAUUAAUUUUUCUGCUAAGCUAUCUUUCAGAUGUUUGGAGCCAUAUGGUACUAUAAUGCCAUAGAAAAAGUGACUGAAUGCUGGAGGGAAGCCUGCAAAAAUCAUACCGGAUGCAGCGGUCAUAGUUAUUUUUCCUGUAAUAAAAGUUCCAGAGACUACAAUUUUCUAAAUGAUUUUUGCCGUAUAAGUACAGGAAGUACUACCAGCUAUAGUUUUGGAAUAUAUAAUGAUGCUCUUCAGUCUGGUAUUGUGGGGGAGACAGAUUUUCCUAAGAAAUUGAUACGUUGUCUACGAUGGGGCCUGCAAAAUCUCAGGUUUGCUGUUUUUUAUAUGGCUUGGAUAAUGAUUAUUGUGCAUGUGAUCAGGUCCGUUACAGGUUCUCUUAGUCCGGUGCAGGUUUAUUUUGUAGUUCUUUUCGCAUCCAUGUAUUUUUUUUUUCCCCAAUUCUCUUUUAUUCUUUUCUUUGUAGCUUUAUGCAUAUUGUAAGGGCUAAAUUUUAUUAAAACCCACUAAUUAGCCAAUGCAGACCAAGACAUUUUAUUGAAAGGGGCUACAUCUAAUAAUACCAACAAUAUACAUAACAUAAGGGAUUAAUUAAGUUUAAAUGAUAAAAUUAAGCAAUUUCAUAAUUUUUAUUAAAUUAAGAUGACAUGUGAAAGUAAAUGAGGGAUAUUUUUAUUAUUUUUGAAAGGUUUAACAAGGAAAAAAUACUGUUUAAUUUUUUUAUAAAUUCAGAAUAAUUGAGGGGUAUGUUUUUAGGGGUUUAUUUCAAACGAACUCUUUUAUUCAGCUCAAAUAUUAAAAAAAUCAUUGGGGGUUUAACUAAUAUUUCCUGCUAAGGUCUCGAAUGAAAUUUCAGAGGGGUUAUAUGAAACAUUUCUUUUCUAUCGGCUGGUCAUUAGGUAAGUUCAAUCUUGUUUAUUCUCAUAAAAAGAGUACGAAUGUUUGGGCCACGCACAUUAUUUAAAUAUGCAAUUAUGGGCUUUAGUUACCUUACAUUAUUAUGUAAGUUUUAUAAUUUUUUUAUCUAAUGGUUGUGGGAAUAAUGUGAUUUUAUUACUUCAUAUUUUCAUAACUAUUGAAUUUUCAUCAAAUGACUAUGAAAAAAUUAUACAAUUUACGUAAUAAUGUAAGGUAACAAGCUCCCGCAAGUAUGUAAUACUUAUGAACUGUAUUGAACUUUUUGCAGUGCAUUUGGUCAGAACCUCGAAUCAAGUAACGAUGUCGGGGAAAAUAUCUUUGCAAUUUGCAUGACCAACUACGGCGUAGUUCUGUUUGUCUUUUUAAUUGGAAGGAUGCAGGUAACAUACAUUUUCUGUUUCUUCUCGAUUUCUCAAUUAACUCUCUCCUCGAGCUCUUAAUUACCUUUGAUCCUUUUAAAUCUUGGAACACGAUAUACAUAAGUUUUAAUUAGAUUUGAAAACACACAAGUUAAUUAUUUAGGUCAAAUUAAUUAAUGGCUAGAUGUACAGACUGAAAUUGCAAGGUCACAGAAGAUAAACCAGAAGUGGCAGGUGAUCAGGCAGUCGAAACACUAUGCGGAUAUCUCUCGUGAUCAAAAUGUCCGAGGGCAGUUCAAGAAAGCCAAGCGUGAAAAAUUGGCAAACAAACAUGUUGAUGUUCGCAUAGAUAGUUUUAUAAGCGAUCUCUCCCUCGACGCUGAAAAACAAGUAAAACGCCAUAUGGGCCGAAAACUGCUCAGAAAAGUGAGUUUCUAUUUCUCUGGAUAAUAAUAAUCCUUAGCUACGUACCUGCCUCUUAUUAAUUAGUUAUUCAUCAGAAGAUGUCGAAGGGGGAAUUUUGUUAGAAUUUUUUUGUGUUGACGUCUUAUAGCAACAUCUAGAAUGAUUCUUCAUUGUAUGUCCUUGAUUGUUAGAAAAUUAAUGGCAAAUGAAUUAGUAAAUAUGAACCAUAUAGGAGCAACAAUACAUAUAAUGACACAAAAUUUUUGAAUGCUGUCAAGAGGGCACCGAAUACGAAAGCAUUUUUAUCUUAUUAUCAUUUUCUUCUUAGUAAACGAUAAUUAAGGAAAAGAGUAAUGACAAAGAGUACUGAUCUGGUCCAAGAUUUUGAAUCUUAUUAAAGUUUGAGAAAAUUAUUAAGUUAUAAGGUCUAAUAGUAUAACACCAUUACACUCUUAAACAUAAGUUUUCACAAGUACGCAGUAGAUGGUGAGAUAAUGUGUAAUUAAUAGUGUAAUUGAGUAAUGAUGCUUCUUGAUGAGCCAUCAUCAAAUGGGUGAUUUUGACAAAAGUUAUAGAAUUUAUGUAUUUCAAUAUUCUAUAACUUUAUAAUCGUUGUAUAUAUUUGUAUUGACUCUGAUUCUCCUUUAUCAAGGUAGAAGAAUUACUUAAUGUAUUUCAAUAUUCUAUAACUUUAUAAUCGUUGUAUAUAUUUGUACUGACUCUGAUUCUCAUAUAUCAAGGUAGAAGAAUUUCAAAAUUGGGAUGAGUUCUAUUUGGACUAUCUGUUUGGUUGUCUGAAGCCAGUCGUCUUUAGUGAAAGGACUGUAAUUAUUCAGGAGGGAGAUCCAAUUAAUGUGAUGACCUUUGUGUUGCAAGGCAAGACUUGGGCCUACUCCAACAGCUUGCCGAUCACUAGACAGAGACAUCAAGAAGAUUGUGAUGUUCGCCGAAAAGAACUCAUAGACUGGGCUAAGAAUGAAAACUCGUACCAGCAGCUCCCUAUCUCAGACAGAACCAUUCGAGCACUUACCGACGUUGAAGCCUUUACUCUUAAGGCUGAUGACGUGAAAUGUGCAUUACUUUUCCGUCUUGUUUCCAAAGAGGCAGCAACUCUCAUACAAUCAUUCUGGCGUUUCAGGAAGCACAAACAUGCAACGCCAAGAACAUGCAUGGUCGGCUGUUUCAGGACACAGGACAAAGUUGUACUGCAUUAGAUUAACUAUUUGGGAUUGGACUUGAAGUAUUUAUUACACUAAUAUAUCUGUUAUUUAUGUUUGGUGUUUCUGUUUAGGUAUCGGAAAUAAACUACUUCUGUUGAGUGACAUAGUAGAUUAGGGGUGUUCAGAAUCCAAUUCGAUCCGCUUAAUCCGUCCGAUCCGUUUAAUUCGAUCCGUAUAAAUCCAAUCCGUGGAUUGGAUAUAGAUUGAAAAUUUAAAAAUCUGCAGUCGAUGGAUUGGAUAUGGAUUUACUUCUGUAAAUCCGCAGAAAUCCGUGAAUCCGUAAAAAAAAAAAAAAAAAAAAAAAAUAUAUAUAUAUAUAUAUAUAUAUAUAAUUAAAAAAUUAUUAUAAAUUUAAUUAAAAAAAUUAUAAAUGUGACAUUACAUAGUUACAUAAGCACUAUAACAUAUUUUAGCCAUUACCCAAUAAUAAUAUAAAAUAAAAAAUAAUUAAAUAAUCAAAUAUACAAAUAUAACUUGUAAAAAUUGUAAAACAAAAUAAAAGCAAAGUCACACGCACUAGCAAAAGCAAAGUCACAUGCACUAGCAAAGUAAAGUAACAUAACGCCAAGUCACCAACAAUUUGCAAAGUCACCCAAAAGCAAAGUAACAUGAUGCCAAGUCACCAACAAUCUGCAAACCCUAAGCUUUCCCGCCGUCACACACACUAGCAACACUCAAUACUGAUUGGAUACACUCUCGACACGGAUUUGAAGGACAUCGGCCGCGCGAUUCCAGCGAGAGCAAGCCAUCUUCUUUCCCAAGUCCAUCGAGCCACUUCACAUUCAUUGGUUCCAGCUGAACAAUUUCACUAUCACAACCUUCAAGAUCGCCACCCGUACGGCUUCUCCUGGUUCCCAUCGUGGACGGCUCCGUAAUCACCACUUUUCGACAGGCGCAACAGCCCUAGUGAAGGAUCAUACUGUAUUUGGUUUCCGAAACUUCGCCAUUUCAAUUAAUUGUGGCUUUAUUUGAACAAUUAAUUUCGGUGUUAUGUUAACGUAUUAUUGUAACUUUAUUUGAACAAUUAAGCUUAGUGUGUUAUAUUUUGAAACUUUGAACGUAUUAUUGUAGCUUUUUUUGAAUAAUUAGUCUUGAUGUGUUAUAUUUUGAAACUUUAAAUGUAUUAUUUUAGCUUUAUUUAAAUAAUUAAUUUAUUUAAAUUUUAUUCAAUUUUAAAUUUAAUUGGUAGCAAAAUUAUUUUUAUUUUAGAUUUUUUUUAUUUCAUUAGUUGGAGAGAACUAAAAAUUUUUAAUUCAAAAACUAAUGCGUAAAAUGGUGGAUUGGAUAUAGAUUAAGUCAAAUCCGUAUCCGAUCCGCAGACGUAUGGAUUGGAUAUGGAUUGAGUCAAAUCCACAUCCAAUCUGUAGAUGUAUGGAUUGGAUUUGGAUUGAAUUUUAUCAAUCCAUGAAUUAGAUUGGAUUGAAAAAUUAUAAUCUGCAAAAUCAUGGAUCAGAUAUGGAUUGAUGUCCAAUCCGUAAAAUCCGAUCCGCGAACACUCCUAUAGUAGACUAUAAUUAUCUGGUACAUGGUUUUGGAUGAAAAUAGUGUAAAUAGCAAUAGAACAACCCAUAGAUCACAGUCUAGGGAAUGAACAAAUGCACAAUUCCAGUCAAGUGAAUAAUCACAGGAUAUUUUCAUCAACUUUUAAUAAAUAUAAAAAUGAAAACUACGCAGAGAAUAUUCUUAAACACAAGUUCUAUGACUGUGAUUAUCAAUAUUAAGCAAUCAACCUCGUACAAUCAUCAACUUGUGAUAAACUAUUCAUGCCAGUAACAUGACUAUCUUAUUAAUUUCAGUUCACUGCAAAGUGAAAAAAAAUUAAUCACAUCCUCUUCGACUAAAAUUGAAGUUAAUUCUUGGCUCCCUUCAACAAAUUUUCUUUUCUAGUACUCUAUUAUUCACGUUCAUCUCAUAAAAGAUAUGUAGAGAUUGUCAAGUUAUGUAAUCAACUUGAGCAACAUCUUCCCAAGAUUACUGGAUUAGAUUUACAAGAUGAAUUAAAGAUGAUCUGAACUUACAAUGAUUUUAAACAACUCAAUAUCACAACGAACCAACAGUAAGCAAUUAAAGAAACUAAAAGAAACCCAAGAAUUAACUCAGACACAGCAAGUUACGUGGCUCAGUCAAUUCAUCAUUGACUUACAUCCACGGAGGAACAAAUUGACCAGCUUUAUUGAUUGAACCAAGUCUCUUUUACAACCAGAUUUAUAGAGCCCUAAUCAAGGAACAAGAACACUAUGUUUACACAAGCUCUCUCUCUCCUGAAUCCUCUGAAAUCCUCUCGGUUUGUUACACCAGAAUUAGCUUCAGCUUAUGUGUUUAUAACAACCCAGAAGCAGCCCAAGCUGAGCACGUGAGCAGCAUAUGUCUUUAACGGCUUUUAACAGCCUUCUUACGUCAUUAAAAACUCACGCGCAUUGCUCGUCAUUAUUAUAACCCAAAGCGCUAGAGUCUUAUGUCGUUUCUCAAAGAGGUAUUAAGAUAUCCUGAAACGCAGAUUGCUGUGCCGUUUUCCUUUUGACAUCAAAUGCCAAAACGCAGAGCUUCCUGUCGUCUCCUUAAAUCUCUUUUUGAUUUGUUUCAUUCUGGUCCAACAUAACUCCACCUUGAAGCAAAUCAACCCUGAUCUAAUUUUCUCCUCGUCCCUCUGUAUAAUUAGAGGCUAUCAACACCAGCCAUGUUCAAGCAAGCUUUGAACUUGGCUGUAAGAACAAUUUUAGUAAGUAUGUCUGCUGGGUUAUCAUCUGUGUGAACCUUUACUAUCUUGAUUACUCAUUUUGACACUUCAUUUAUGAUAAAGUGUAGUUUGACAUCAAUAUGUUUGGUUAUUUUAUGAUGAGCUGGGUUUUUGCUUAGGUAGAUGGCACUUGAGCUAUCACAAUGGACUUCAACUGUUUUCUGACUCAUCCCCAACUCUUCGAUCAUCCCUUUGAGCCAUAAAGCUUCUUUGAUAGCUUCUAUGGCUGCUGUGUAUUCAGCUUCUGUUGUUGAUAGAGCAACAACAUGUUGGAGACUUGCCUUCCAACUGAUGAUGCAUCCAUUGAGCAUAAACAAGUACCUUGUUAAUAAUCUUUUUCUGUCAUUGUCUCCAGCAAAGUCUGAGUCUACAUAACCCCAUAGGCCACUACUUCUCCCUUCUGAUCUUCCAUACAGCAGUCCAAGUUUCUCAGUACCAUUCAGAUACCUUAGUAUCCACUUAACUGCUUGCCAAUGCUCAUUCCCAGGUGUUGCCAUAUACCUACUAACAAUGCUUAUAGCAUAAGAAAUAUCAGGUCUUGUUAAGACCAUGGCAUACAUCAUACACCCUAUAACAUUAGCAUAUGGAAACUUUGCCAUUUCAUGUCUCUCUUCAUCUGUCUUAGCACAUUGCAGAUUGGAGAGCUUGAAAUGGGAGGCUAGUGGUGUCAAUACUGACUUACAGGCUGACAUCCCAAAUGUCUUAAUUAUCUUCUUCGCAUAGCCUCAUUGUGACAGAAACAUUGUGCCUACCUUCUUGUUCCUCAUUAUAUCUAUGCCUAAGAUCUUCCUAGCACGUCUUAAAUCCUUCAUAUCAAAUUCUGAACUCAGUAGCUCUUUCAACGCUUCAAUCUCAUCCCUUACCUUACAAGAAAUUAACAUAUCAUCUACAUACAUCAACAAGUAUAUGUAGUGAUGUGUCUUAAGUAUCUUGUAGUAGACACAACAAUCGAAACUGCAUCUUUUGAAUCCAUUUGUUGUAAUGAACUCAUCAAACCUGAGGUACCAUUACCUUGGGGACUGUUUUAAACCAUACAAUGAUUUCUUUAGCAAACACACAUGUUCUGGUCUCUCUGGAUCCACAUACCCCUCUGGCUGAACCAUUAGAAUUUCAUCUUGUAAUAUUCCAUGAAGGAAUGCUGUUUUGACAUCGAGUUGAUCAAGCUCCAUGUCAUAAACUAUAGUCAUAGCUAGCAAUACUCUGAUUGAAGUAUGUCUAACUACUGGUGAAAAAACUUCUUUAAAGUCAACCCCUUCCUUUUGAGUGUAGCCCUUAGCCACUAACCUAGCUUUGAAUCUCCUAAGUUCUGAAGCUGUCAGGCCAUCCUUAAUUCUAUAGAUCCAUUUACAACCAAUGAGUUUUCUUUUUUCAGGUUUUGUUACUUGCUCCCAGGUGUUGUUUUUAUAGAGGGAUGAUAUUUCUUCAUCCAUUGCCUGCUGCCAAUCAGUUUUGUAUGAGCUUUGCAUUGCUUCUUUAUAGCUCAUUGGUUCUUCUUCAUCAACCUCUUGUGAGGUGGCCAGUGCAUAUGCUAUAAGAUCUGCAUAGCCAAACCUCUUUGGGGGUCUUAUUACUCUUCUCUUUCUGUCUCUAGGUAGAUGAUAAUCUUCUAUAUGGGAGGGUUUUGGGUGUUCUGAGCUUGUAUCCCUAUCACCAGCAACUUCUUUAUCUGAAUCUACAGCUUCACCAAAGGUUUUCUUUGCUGGAUGCUUCACCUCAAACUGUAUAACAUCAUCAGUUUUAUUUUGAGGUUUAGCAUUUUCAACAGGGUUUUUCCUCACUUAGCACCAUCUGCUCAUUAAACACCACAUCUCUGCUGACUAUACAUUUUGGAGGGGCCAAGUCUGCGUACCAAAUCUUAUAGCCUUUUACCCCUUCUGGAUAACCUAUAAACAGCCCCUUUAGAGCUCUAGAUGCUAGCUUUCCUUGGUUUGUAUGUGCAUUGGCAGUGCAACCAAACACUUUCAGCUUGCUGUAAUCUUCUAGUUUACCACACCACUUCUCAUGUGGUGUUUUGAAGUCUAAGACUGGGGAAGGGCUCAAAUUUAAUAGCAUGCAAGCUGUCAGUAGUGUUUUUGCCCAUAGCCCUUUAGGUAAAUAUGAUUAUAUCAUCAUGCAUCUUACCUUCUCCAUCAAAGUUCUGUUCAUUCUUUCAGCCAAGCCAUUCUGUUGUGGUGUUAGUCUCACUGUUUUGUGUCUAGCAAUGCCUUCUUUUGAGCAGUAUUCAUCAAACAUAUGAUUACAAUAUUCUAGUCCAUUGUCAGUUCUAAGAAACCUUCAGCUUCUUCCCUGUUUGAUUUUCAACAAGUGCUUUCCAUUCUUUAAACCUCUCAAACACAUGAUCUUUGGUUCUAAGUACAUACACCCAAACCUUUCUAGAGUAGUCAUCUAUUAUAGACAUAAAGAACCUAUUGCCUUCUAAAGAUGGAACCUGUGAAGGUCCCCACAGAUCUGUAUGCACAUAGUCCAGGAUACUUUUGGUUUUAUGGACAGAUUUCUUAAAGCUAGCUCGUAUGGAUUUCCCUAGAACACAAUCCUCACAGAAAUCUAGUUCUUCAAUCUUGUCACCCCUCAAAACCCCCUGCUUUUCUAAUUCUUUAAGACCAUUUAGGCUUAUGUGUCCCAAUCUUAAAUGCCAAAGCCUGGUAUUAUCAGCAUUAGUCUUGACAGACACAUUGGAUUCACUAGUCAUUACUUCCCCAUCCAGGACAUAAACCCCAUUUCUCCUUGUGCCUUUCAUAAUCAAUGUUGAGCCAUUUAGGAUUCUUAAGUCACCACACUCUAAUUUUAUACUACACCCAAUUUGGUCAAGCAUCCCUAGAGAGAUUAAAUUCCUUUUAAGGUUUGGUACAUGCCUGACCUGUUUUAUUAGCCUCACAAUCCCAUCAUGUAGUUUUAGAUGUAUGUUUCCUAUCCCAAUGACCUUACACAUUGCAUUGUUUCCCAUCAUUACCCUUCCCCCAUCAUAUUCAUGGUAAUCUGAAAAGUAACUCUUUACAGGACUCAUAUGAAAAGUAUAGCCAGAAUCAAGGAUCCACUUACCUAUCUGCACUUCAUCAGUUGCCACACACACUCCAGCUGAUUCAUAUCCCUCAUCUUCAACUAUUGCUGCAUCUCCAAUCUUUUGUUUAUUUUUAGGGCAAUCUUUCUUGAAGUGUCAUUCCUUGUGACACUGAAAACACUUCAAGUUCUUGUUUUUGUUCUUCCCCUUUCCUUGCUUCUUUUUCUUUCCAUCAAUUCUUUCAUUUCUUCCUUUCACAGUUAAUCCCACUCCACUCUCUGUGUUAACUUGCUUUUCUUGUAGACCUCUGGUAUUCAAUGCAGCCUUAACCUCAUCUAGAGACAAGGUUUGUCUACCAUACAUUAAAGCAUCCACAAAAUUGGAGUAUGACUGUGGUAAUGAACUUAUCAGAAGUAGAGCUUUUCCUUCAUCAUUCAGGCCCUCAUCAAUGGUCUCCAAGGUGUCACAAACUUUGUUGAACUCAUCGAUAUGUUCAUCAAGAGAUGAUCUCGCAGCCAUCUUUAAUGAAAACAUCAUCUUCUUUAUAUAGAGCCUAUUUGCCAGUGACUUUGUCAUGUACAGAUUCUCAAGUUUAGCCCAUAGCUCUGCCACUGUUCUCUCCUUUGCCACUUCUCUAAUAACUGAGGCACUCAAACUCAGAAUUAUCGUGCUUCUUGCUUUCUUGUCGAUCUCAGCAGCCAGUUCUAGAGAUUUUGAUGAAGAUACCUCAUUCCCUUCUUUCUUGGUUGUUGGUUCUAUGGUUUCACCUAGGCCUUGAGUAAUUAACAAUGCCUCCAUUUUCACUUUCCACAUAUUGAAGUCGUUCUUCCCAUUAAACUUUUCAAGAUCAACUUUAGGAGCAGCCAUACUUGUAUCUGAUCAAGAAACCGAGCUCUGAUACCAAUUGUAGAGAUUGUCAAGUUAUGUAAUCAACUUGAGCAACCUCUUCCCAAGAUUACUGGAUUAGAUUUACAAGAUGAAUUAAAGAUGAUCUUAAUUUACAAUGAUUUUAAACAACUCAAUAUCACAACGAACCAACAGUAAGCAAUCAAAGAAACUAAAAGAAACCCAAGAAUUAACCCAGACACAGCAAGUUACGUGGUUCAGUCAAUUCAUCAUUGACUUACAUCCCCAGAGGAACAAAUUGACCAGCUUUAUUGAUUGAACCAAGUCUCUUUUACAACCAGAUUUACAGAGCCCGAAUCAAGGAACAAUAACACUCUGUUUACACAAGCUCUCUCUCUCCUGAAUCCUAUGAAAUCCUCUCGGUUUGUUACGCCAGAAUCAGCUUCAGCUUCUGUGUUUAUAACAACCCAGAAGCAGCCCAAGCCGAGCACAUGAGCAGCAGAUGUCUUUAACAGCUUUUAACAGCCUUCUUACGUCAUUAAAAACUCACGCACAUUGCUCGUGAUUAUUAUAACCCAAAACGGUAGAGUCUUAGGUCGUUUCUCAAAGAGGUAUUAAGAUAUCCUGAAACGCAGAUUGCUGUGCCUUUUUCCUUUUGACAUCAAAUGCCAAAACGCAGAGCUUCCUGUCGUCUCCUUAAAUCUCUUUUUGAUUUGUUUCAUUCUGGUCCAACAAGAUCAAUUUAUUAGAAGACGAUAUUCCUCCAUCAAAUUGAAAGAGAAAUUGAAAAUAUCAAAAAGGGAACAGUAAGACGAUACUAUAUAUAUUAUCAUGAUAUUUUUGGUUUUUGUUUUGGAAAUGGAACAUCAUGAAACCGAGUAGAGGUGCACAAAAAUGGUGAAGAUAUAUUUCAGCUUCAUCGAUUGUCUCGAAUAAAAACAUCAAUGAUGUGUUAAACAAUUAACUCAAAAAUAGAUUGCUUACCUUAAAGGUGUGCCCAAAUUAUAAAUUUCAGUUUCGACUAUUGACCUUGGUUCGUAACGCGAUAAACUAAUCCGUGGCAUUUCACAUACCCAACAAUCUUGUAAGAAUUGGUUGAACUCUCAGAUCCCAUUCCACAACAUGCAAAACUCCCUGAUAUUGCCAAUGGCGGUGAUAUGAUUCAUUUAAAGGGUUCCCCUUGUUGCCAAUUACCUUUAAAGAACAAUAAACUAUUGCCAAUGUUCUCGACACGGUUCCAUCACUCUGAAAAACUAACGCAUGUGAGCAAAACAAAGGCAGUCAAUUAUGUCACUCCAGUAUUCAGAGACAGAUCGCCGACUCAUAAGUGAUUUAGUGGGCAAUCCAAGAAAGAUGUCAUAGAUGAUAUAAUCAGAAAUUUCUUCCUCCAUCAGUUUUAUACAAUUUUUAACAUCCCUUUGAGAUUCUGGUCAAUUAAGAACUUAAUCAGUUCCUGCAUGUCAAAGUUGUUUGAGUGUCAUAAAACCUGUAGCGAAUCUACAUUUUCUGGGAAUAAUUUAAUAUAAAACUUAGCAGAAAGCUAAUACAAAUAUGCAGUUUUUAUUCGAACAAAAUUUAUGUGAACCAAGAAACAGAGCAUAACAGGGUAGCUGCAACUAAUAACACACAAAUUAACUCGUAAAAGUGACCUAACAAGCGUCAGAAUCAAUGGAUUAAAGCACUAAUCAGAGAUUGUGAACAAAACGUUUGUUUUAUAAUCAUGGAAAUUUGAGAUUACAUCAGCUAUAUGAUCCAUGAAAGAUAAGAAGCUUAAAGUGAGUUUAUGUAGCAUUGAUAGGCCUGUAUGGUGUCGCCAGCGCAGUGGCGUCGUCGGCGUGAGUGCGAGUGAAUUUUGGGAGACCUCCGGCUCCGGUUCCGUUGACUUUGCAUUAAAUUUGGUAAUAAUUUUUUUUUUAAAAUUUAAAGUGUUAAAAUAUUCUAUUUAGCAGAAAAUAGAAACAAAUUGCGAAUGAGAUUAGAAUCCAAAUUUCAUUGCUAUCAUUUGAUAUAGAGGCAUUUCAAGUAAACUUUGGUCGUUUUUCAUUACCCAUGAGAGUGAGAACAGAGAACUCGAGUUAUCAUAUUGAAAAAUGGUAAUGAGACAGAAUUUAAAUCCUUACAAACCAAUAAUUAAUUAAUCGGUGUUAGUUUAUCGUGUUUGCAGCUAUAUUUUAUUGGAAACCUUAAAAAAGAAAUGGAAUCUUUCAGUUCAUAAUGUAUUAUUAUAUUUAUCCCACUCUUGUUUAUGACAAUUUGCAUCUGAGCCAGCUGGAAUGCUAUAGACUGAAAAAAUUAACAAUGUUUUCUGAGGAUGACUGACCAAGUCAAAGUCUUUGAGGCGCACAAUUAAUCUAACCGGGGCGAGCAGAAAUUACUGUAUUUAUAAAAUUUUGAUUCACUAGUUUCAAGUGAAAGAAAUAUUAAAAUAUAUAUCAUUCGCAUUUAUGAUGGAGCCUCUAACGAUUAUUAAAUCAUUUUAAGCAUUUAUGUAUGACUAUUACAUUUAAUUAAUUGUAUUGCAUAAUUUGCAUAGGCUCCUCCACUUUGAGGCAGUUACUUGGGUUCAAAUUUGCAGUUGCAGAGCACCAAAGUUUGCUUUUUCGAUCUACUUGGAUUUUUCUUUGUUGAUCAUGUAAGUUAUACAUACAGCACUGCAAAAUGCCUCUACAAUAUUGCCAGUUUUCGUAUAACAUGUCCUUAGGAGGACUCUUGUGUACAUAAAUAUGUUGUUCGGUUAAUGUCGGUCUCGUUUAAUUGUAAUUCAUUGUAGAUCCAAAAUUGUAAACUAUUGUUUCUUUAGCCUGAACUUGUGAACCAACUGAUUUGAUCAUCAGGUCUCAAGACUUGGACGCAGAGGAAGGUCUUAAAAGAAGGCUUCUGCACGGAGAUGGUAGGCCCAGUGAUGGAACAAAAAACUCAUCAGUUGUGUCCGUAACCGGAAGAUCCGGAACGCAAGCAGUAAAGACAAGUUUUCUUCAGCUGGAAAAGAUGAGAAAUUAUGCAGCAAAUUACAGAAUCGAUUUACCAUGGUAUGUGAUUUCAAUAUUAUGGGAUCCUUUGUACUUCUACACUCUGGUGAUCAAUGAUGAAAAGCAGUGCAUUGAAAUGGACUUUUCUUUGGCUUCCUUGGUGAUUGAACUCCGCUUCUACUUUGAUUUGGCCAAGUUGAUCCACAGUUCGUUUGUGAUUUGUGUUGAAUAUUUUGAAAAUAGAAAGAUAAGCGUGUGGCUGAUGUUCGCAUGGCUCAUUGACUUUGUGUCCAGUAUAAUAUUUACCCAGGUGCGUAAUAGAUCUGAAUUUAAUUUAUUUAGUUGUCUAAUAUUUCAAUAUCAUUUAUAUGAUUACUAAUACUUCAAAUUCAUAAAACAACAUCCAGAUGGUGGUGGGAAUAACGGACAUUCUGUACUCGAGGAAUUUCUUUCUGUUUCAAUAUUUGCUGAAGAUUAUUCGAACCUACCACCUGCUUACAGCAGCAACAGGGGUUUCAGGGAUAUUUGGUGAAUCUACAUGGGCCAUUGUUGCGUUCAAUGUUCUUCUUUACAUGCACGGCAGUUACGUAAGUCAAAAGUACUAUCAUUUAUGUAAGUUAAUUUAUAAUAAAACCCUUCUCAGGCAAAAAGAAAAAUUAAAAUAGAACCACAUUCAUGCAUCCUGCUUUCUUCCUUCCUAAUUUUGAUAAAUGAAUUCUUUUAGUCCUUAAGAUUCGAGUUAAUUAUUCAGUUACUACUGUCGCAUAUAUUGUCAGACAGAAGUAAUGACAAAGACAUUUUUGUGUAAUUCUUAAAAAUAUGGAGAUUAACUGAAUAAUUAACCCAAGCCCUCGUGAAUGAAGGGAAAUUGACACUCGAAGCUUUUCUACUUUCUCAACCGCGCAUGUUUCUAAUCGAGUGGUCCUUUAGGUAUUUGGUGCCUUGUGGUACUUUUUUGCCAUAAACAAAGCGACCGCAUGCUGGAUGGAUACCUGCAUGAAGAAUACUGGUUGCUGGGGCGUCUUAAACAUUGAUGCCUAUUGUGAGGGCCGUUCAGGAGACUAUAAGUUUCUAAACGAUGUUUGCUCUGUAAAGACGGGAAACUCAACAAACAAUUUUUAUGGCUUAUAUGGUGAUGCUUUUCAGUUAGGAAUUGUGGGGUUGACCGAUGUUCCAAUGAAAAUCUUGCUUUGUUUACUAUGGGGACUGCAAAAUCUCAGGUUUGUGCCUUGCAUUGUCGUUACUGUGUGAUGUGAGGUCAGCCGUUAAUAACUUCGAAAAUUGUGAGUUCAUUGAAUUGCUUUUUGCAGUGCUUUUGGUCAGAGCCUCCAACCAAGUAACGAUUUCUGGGAAAUUAUCUUCGCAAUUUGCAUGACCAACUAUGGCAUCGUUCUGUUUGUCUUCUUAAUUGGAAAGAUGCAGGUUCACAUAUAUAAAUUCUAUAUCGUAAUUGUUAUGACAUAUGAUGAUAUAAUAAAUUAUCAUGCGUUAAUUAAUGACCGGCAUCUUACCAUCUCGCUGUUACAUAAAGAAAUAUUUUAGGGCUGUGAGAAUGCCAUGUCAAUUAGAAUUAAUACAAACUUUGCAUCCCAAUUCCUUAUAAAAUUAGCGUUACUCAUAAUUUUCUGUUUACGUCUAUAGAUUUGAAGAUUGAUGCACAAUUCAAUUAUUGACUCUGUUUCAUUUGAAAUAUCUGAUACAUAAAUAUAUAUGCAGUCUGACACAGAAAGAUCACAAAAGAUCAAACAGAUGUGGGAGGAGAUAAAGCAAUGGCAGCACUUUAAGGAUAUAUCUAAUAAAGUUCAAGAUCAAAUAAGGAAAGACAAGCGCAACAACUGGGAAGAAACCAAAGGAGUUGACAUAGAUAAUUUGGUGAAUAAUCUCCCUAAGGACACUGGAAAAAAAAUAAAACGCGAUCUCGGCCGAAAGCUGCUCAAGAAUGUGAGUUCUCAUCAUCCCUCUUUAUAAUUAUAAUAAUUGAUCACUUUUCUAUCCUGCCCGCUCUGAAGUUCAAAUGUCUCGAUGUUUCAAUCAUUUUCAUUCUUAACCUGAUCGGGCGAGCCAAAUUAAUCCUUCGUUACAUUAAAAUUACAGAUUCGUCUUAUUUUCCCUCUUUGAUUGGUACUCCUUCUGAAUCCAAGCAUCGAACCUAAGUCAUACCUCAUUGAAGUUCAUGGGCUUAACUAACACAUGGUCAAAAGCUAGCUAGUUCGUAGUUAGGUUGAGAUUUGCCUCAAGGUUAAAUACUUUAUUCAUGAUUUACUCUUAGCUGACAUGCAAUGUUUUACAUACGCAGAGAGAUAGAGAUAGUCAUUCUCAAAUGCACGCCCUCAUUUUUUUUAAUAUGAAUACUCUGUUAACAGAGUUAAUUUCCAAUAAAUUGUAAACCCAUAGCAUUAAAAAUUGACUUUAUUAAACUGCAUAGUUUAGAUAUGUGUCCGCAAGAAAAAAAAAAAAGAGGGCACCCGCACUUAAGAAUGAUUAAUAUAUAAUAUGGACGCCCUCAUUUUUUUAAUCAGAAUAUGCUCUUAAACUGUGCAGUUUAGGAGAGUUAAAGACUAACUCUCUUAAACCUCAUGAUUUAAAAGCGUUUUUGUAUGAAAAAAAUGAGCGCGCUCGCACCAAAAAAGAACUCUCGGGUGUGUGUGUGUGUAUAACUUUUUAUAAAUGUAUUUUUAAAGUCACAUGACGAGGUGGGCUUUCAUUCUUAUAACUAAUCUUUGUUAUCUCGAUUUACCCAUGUAAUGGUUGGAUAUAUUUAUACUCUAAUUCUCAUUCUUGGAUAUGUGUAAAUAUAUAUGAAGGUAAAAGAGUUUCAAAAUUGGAGCGAAACAUCAUUAGAGGAACUAUGUGAUUGUUUGAAGCCAGUGUUCUUUAUUGAACGUACUCGAAUAAUUCGAGUAGGAGAUCCAAUUGAUGAGAUGCUCUUCGUGUUGAAUGGCAAGCUUUGGACUUACUCAUAUGACUUCAUGAAUGUAACAACAACUGCCUCUAUGUUGAUCCAUCGUCGUAGCCGGGAAAAUCUUCUAGAAGAUGGUGAUUUUUGCGGACAAGAACUUAUAGCUUGGUCUCAAAAUGAAAGCUCAUCACCCCACCUCCCUAUCUCAACCAGAACCAUUCAGGCACUUACUAACGUUGAAGCUUUUACUCUUAUGGCCGACGACUUGAAACGUGUAUCAUUACUUCGACAUUUUGAUCGGGCAGCUCUUUUGUUACAAUCACGCUGGCGUUUCAAAAGGCUGUUGCGUGCUAGAAGGAAUCCAGAGAAACGAUCACGCCUGGAAUCACUAAUGUAUAAAUUUAUAUAGAGAAACAUAUAUACGUUUGUUGCAGCAUUAUAAUUAGUCCCGAUUAUGUAAAAGCAAGUACAGAAAGCCAUUUAAAUAUGGGAAACCAACGUGCUGUUGCUCAUACUACACUAGGGGUGGCAAAACGAAUUGGCAAAUCGAAUUCGUGUAGAAUCCUAAAUGAAUCAAAUCAAAAUUCGAUGGAUUCAAAUUCGAUUUGUUUAUUAAACGAAUCGUAAUCUCAUGAUUUGGACUCAAUUCGUUUAGUAAACGAAUAUUCAUUUACAAUUCAUUUACUAUACAAAGUUAAAUUAAAUAAUAAAUAAUGAAAGUUUUUAAUAAAGAAUCCAAUGGAUUAAUUUAAAUUUAUUUAAAAUCUAAUCACAAAAUCGAUUCAUUACAACUAGAUCCAAGCAAAACACAAAUACAAUUCAAAAACAAGAAGCUGAAGAAACUCAAAGGCAUGAGGACGGACGAAGCUAACAGUCCAAUCAGUGGUGGGUGUGGCUAUUCGAGACCUUGUCACUACCGUAACCAAGAGAAGUGAAGCUUGCCGAAAAAUUUUAAGUGAGAGCACUGAUCUAAUUUUUGGGAGUGUUUGGUUUGGCUUUCGUUUGGGGGAAUGAAGAAAAGGGUCACCAAAUUCAAGUGAAAGAGAACAAUGGAGGAAGGACAAUGAAGAGUGGAGCUAGGCUCAAUUAAUGAGUGAUGAUGCCCUUGCUUUCAUUUUCUUUUUUGGUUUGUUUUCAUUUCAUAAUUUCAAAACUAACCUUAUACCUUGAAAUGUUAAAACAGAUUUUUUUUUUUAAUUUUAAUGAUAUAUAAGUUUUUUAUUAAAAUCUAUUAUACUAUUUGGUUACAACCUAUUUAAUAAAUGAAUUAUAAACGAAUAAAUGAAUUGUUGGCGUCAAAUUCAUAUUCAAUUCGUUCAUUUAACAAAUCAAAUUGAAUUCACUCAUUAAUCAAAUGAAUCAAUUUUUUUAACUCAGACCAAUUUAAUUCAACUCGAAUUAAAUCAAAUUAACAAAUCCUGACCCGGCUUGUCACCCCUAAUAAUAUGCAAAGGUAAUAAUUGAGUAUUAUGUAAAUAGUCGAGGUUAAAUGGUAAAAGAUGAAAACUAUAGGGGGUAUGUGUCAAUAUCGUUUUUUAUUAAUUUAACAACCGAUGGUUGAAUGAUUCAACCUUCUUCAUCCAAAUGGAAUUUUUCUUAUGUAUAAUGUUCAUUUAUGCUGAGACAAAUAGGUUAUCUCUUUCCACGUUGUUUUUUUCACCCAUUUUGGGCCCGAUAUAGCUGAGUAAUUGUGAUGAUGUGAACGGUCUUACACUUGAAUGAAGUCACAAUGUGAGUCAUACACUUGUAAUUUUUUGAACAUUUGUAGUUAGCUAGCCUUUGAUUGUGCUGUUAUUAAAUUUCCAAUUUUCGUCUUUUAAACGAUGACUUUUAGAAUGGUACCACAAUAAACGUUCUGGUUAGCCUUUGUUUGAUCAGCUGUUGCUAAAUGCCUUGUUUUUAUCUUUUAAUUUAAUAACUUUUAAAAUGGUACUUUAGAUGUUAUGAUACCAUUUCGAAACAACAUCGUUGUUAGUCUUUGGUUGAGUUGUUAAAUAUCUUGUCUUUGUCUUUAAGACGAUAACUUUUAAGAUGGAAUUUUGAAUGAUAACUUAAAGCUUGGACGUUAUUUUGUCUAUUUUGGCCGGCCAUUACCCAUUAAAACAACACUUUAAAUGAUUAAAUUUAUUAUUUUACUUUUAAAACUCACAACACUCUCUAAACAUGGUUUACUAAAUAACCUAAUAAUUUUUUUUUUUGUUUAGCUGAUUAUUUUUGUAAACACGACAUAAGCAGAAUAUUUUGUGAGCACCAACAAUCUCCAAUAAAUAAACUUUUAGAGUGGCUUGCCUACAACGUUUCUUUCUACAUGUUUUUCUACACCCAUUUUGUGCCCGAUCUAGCUGAAGUACUUCUGAUGAUGUGAAGGAUCCUGCACUUGAAGGAAGUCAAUCGGCCAAUUUUGCAGAAACCCUAAUUUUGAUUCUUCUACUUGGUUUCUAACAUUAUCGAUCAUGUAAGUAACUGAUCUAGGUAUUGGUACAUAAUAUUCGUCGAUUAAUUUUGCCCUUGUAAUUCCUUGAACAUUUUUUUCUUCCUGGACAAAUCAAAAGCACAGACUGCAUGAUAAACAUUUUGGUUAGUCUUUGUUUUAGCAGUUGGUUAAUGUCUUGUUUCUGUCUCCAAAAUGGCUUUUAGAAUGGUACUUAAGAUGUUUCUAACUUUACAGUGGAUGUAUUUGGGCAAAGCUACGAAUUGAUCUUAAAGGACACACGCACACAUACAUCUUUAUUUUUGAACAUCCAAAAAGGUUCAAAUGAGUGGAAAGCAAGUGUGAUGAUCAAGAAGAAAUUAUUAUUACUUUUGAUGUUUUGUUAGUCUUCAAAACAGAUGAUAGGAUGAUUCAAUCUUUCUAAAGAAAAUGCAAAUGAUGAAACAUAUGUAUAUUUUUCAUUUUGGAUUCUUCUUAAUUACCCAUUGUUGAUCAUGUAAGUAAAUGUUGUUGUUUCCAACAUUGAUCAUGGAAUUUUGCCAACUUGACACUUUUUAAACAGUUUUUCUUUGCCUGGAUCACUUGAAGAAGGGUUAAAUGCUCUUUAUAUCUCUGCAAUUGAUACCGCUCCUUUUCGUUUUCUUAGAUACGCUUAGAUUUACAUUGGAAAUCCUUUUACCCCACUCGAUAGGAAGUUUUAUAAUUCAGCGAAAUUUCAUUGUGAUUUAUUUUAAAACCUUGUUUUGUUAAAGUUAAUUUGCAAGGGAGUCGUAAUUUUUUUUUGAGUUUUUAAAUAUUGUUAAUUAUACUCAUCUUGAAAAAAUUAAAAUUUUUAAUACGAAUGUAAAAUGUCCAACUUUUUAUUUUUUUAAAUUAAAUUUUCGUAAAUUUGUAUAUUUAUCAAAAAUAAAUUCUAACAAAUAAAAAAGUAAUUUAAAUUAAUUUUCUACUUAAUAACAGUUAUAUUCCUAGCAAAAAAUUAUUUUCUAUUAGGGAUCAAAUAUUUUCCUUUACGGAAAAUGAGUUUUACAUGAUUAAUAAUUAGAGUGAUAUAUAAAAACUAAUUCGUGAGCACAACAAACAUUUUCCAGUAUUUAAACAAUGAUUUUUUAAAAUAAUAGUGAAAAAUCAUUCAUUCAUUUGAAUUAAGUCUAAAUUAGAGGCAAUGAUGUUGACGUAUUUUACAAAGAUGCCAAGAGUAUUUGUCUGUUGAGCUACUACAAUGUUGUCAUAAAAUUUACGCAUUGCAAAAAAAUUCUAAUUACUCAUAACGUGUCUUGAUCAGGUCUCGGAACCCGCAAUUAGAGCAAGGCACAGCAGCACAAGCUCUCGGAGAAGAUAGUGAACCACCACGUAAAUGGCCAUUGUUCUUCUUGGUUGGCCAAAUUUUAUACUGGUUACUCUAUGUGACAUACAAAAUUUUAUACUUGUUGCUUUAUUUGACUGCCAUAAGUUUAUUCGGGUGUUUUGCUGGGAUGUUUGAAAGCAUAGGGUUGAUUGUGGCGGUAGUGAUAUUGGAUAUUUUCAGGCCGAUGAUAAAGUUGGCUAUCAAAAAAAAGAUUUUUCUUCUACUGUCUGUUAUUGCAAUUAUAUUGGAUCCUUUGUUCUUCUACAUUCCGGUCAUAAAUGAUGAAAAGAAGUGCAUUGAAAUGGACAAGAUUUUGGGAACUACAGCCAUUUCUCUUCGUUCGGUAAUCGAUUUAUUUAAGAUAAUUCAUUUUAUCUUUGAGCUGCUCACUAAAUUACCCGUAAAAGGAAGGAUGCGUGUGUGGUUGGUCUUUCUCAUUGACAUUUUGGCCAUUCUUCCCCUCCCUCAGGUAUGACAAACUAAAUAUCCGGAUACUUAAGCUAGCACAUUUGUUAUUUUAUGAACUAUGACAGCAAAUAUAUAAUGCUGUGCAAAUGAUAUUCGGUGCUAUGUCCAUUCAGGAGGAGAGAGUCUUUCAUGAUCCUAGAGCAUUUCUAAUUAUAUAUUCACCUACUUCCUAACACAUGUGUAUAAAUAUUAUUACAAUUGUUUGAAGCAUACACGUGCCAAAGAAUGAAUGAAAAAGAAGCAGUUCUACUAGAGCACCCAAGACUUUUCCCCAUUAUUUAUAGCCACUUUCAAGGUUUAAAUUCUUUUUUAGUUCCGAAUGGUUUGGCCAAUUACCUAUUUAGUCCCCUUUUUUGGGGAAAUUAAUUAAAAUUAUCUAUUGUUACUCUUAUAGCUAUUAGAUCUAAUCUUUUAAGAGUAAAUUAAUAUUUUUAUCUGAUGUAAUUAAAAUUUAAACAAAUAUGACAUGUCAUAGGUGAAAAGUAAAGAAUAAUUGAGUAGAAUUUAAUUGAUACAUACAUACAAUAAGUACAUUUUGGAUAAUUUUCUAAAAUACCAGGAUAAACUUUAGAGGCUAUAGUAGAAUUUACCUCAGUUUCAAGCUAUACAUUGUACAAAGGGUUCAUAGUCCGGAUUUUGAAAACGUGCAGUCAUAUACAGAGGGGAAUUCUCAUACUAUGCAUUGUAUGAGGUAUUUAAUUAUCUACAUAUAAUACUGACUACCACUCAAUUGUCCAGGUGCUUUUGAACUUACAAAAAGUAAGAGGCACGGAAUUUCUAUACGCAAUGAGCUUCUCCCUUGUACAAUAUUUGUUGAGGGUUAUUCGAACCUACUACUUGUUUACAGAAGCAACAGGUGUUACAGGAAUACUUGCCGAAGCUACAUGGGCCAUUGUUGGGUUCAACAUUCUUCUUUAUAUGCAAGGCGGUCACGUAAGUUAUAAAAGACCAUUCAUUCAAUUUAAUUCCUAAGAUAUGCACGAGCCGAAUGAAUAUAUCUUUAUGCAUACUUUAUAUUGUUGGCACUGGGACAUACAGUUAUUUCUGAAUCAUGCACCCUUUUCAGGUAUUUGGAGCCUUAUGGUACUUCUAUGCCAUCGGAAAAUUGACAGGAUGCUGGAAGAAAGCGUGCCAAAAUAAUACUGGAUGUCAUCAUAGUUCGUUUUAUUGUGAAGACAUGAUCAGUACAAGAGAUUACACGUUUCUAAAUGAUUUUUGCAGUAUAAAGUCAGGAAAUACAUCAGAUUACAAUUUUGGAUUAUAUAAUGAUGCUCUUGAGUCUGGUAUUGUGGAGGUGACGAAUUUUCCAAAGAAAUUGUUACAUUGUUUACAAUGGGGCUUGCAAAAUCUCAGGUUUGAGCAUAAUCCAAACUUUCUCUUUGUGAUGUUAUGGUUGAAAAGAAAAAAGAAUGAAACAAUAUUGGUUGAAAAAAAUAAAAUACUUUGGUCACUCUUAGACACUAUUUUACCACUUAGGUCCCUGGUAAAAUUUUAAUAUCUUAUUUCAUACUAGAAUUGGAAUAAAAGUAUAGAAAAAAACACAUUGUUGAAAGUUAAACGUCACAUUUUAACAAAUAGAUUAAAUAACUUUAAUUUGCAUUGAUCUAAAAUAAUCAUGUUUAUUCUGGUAUUGUUUUCAAGGAGCAAAGUAUUACAUAUUCCCCUUUCGAGAAAACUGCCGAUUCUUUUGCAUAGGAGAGUGACUUUAUUCUUUUGUGUAUAUCAUUUCAAAUAAAGCGUAUAGAUUGAACCCUUUGCAGUGCUUUUGGUCAGAACCUCCAAACAAGCACCGAUAUCUGGGAAAACGUUUUUGCAAUUUGCAUGACCAACUUUGGUGUGGUACUGUUUGUCUUUUUAAUUGGGAAGAUGCAGGUUCGUAUACAUUUUCUAUUUCUUAUAUCUGAAUUAACCUCAAUUCCAAGUGUUAUAAUUAAUAUUGAAGUACAUUUGAAAUUAAUGGAUUGUAACUGCAGUCGGACACAGCAAGAUCACAUAAGAUAAAAAAGAAGUGGAAGGAGAUAAAGCAGUGGCCGAAUUUUGGGGAAAUUUCUUCUGAUCUAAAAGAGCAGGUGAGGACAUACAAGCGAGAGAAAUGGGAAGAAACCAAGCGUGUUGAUGUUGAUAAUUUGGUGAAUGAUCUUCCCCACGAACUUGGCAUCAAAAUAAAGCGCAAACUUUGCAUUAAACUAAUCAAGAAUGUGAGUUCCUAUUACUUCUUUAUCCAGUAAUAAGUCACUUGUGGUUUCUUUAUCUAUUGAAAAAAAAAAAGGAAAAGAAAAAAUGCUAGGCAACAGUUACGAGUUCAUUGCCACAAAAUUGCCACUCCUUGUUUAUUACAAGAAAUUGAAACAACAUUUGUUAUAUUCCGUUACCCUUACUAAUCGUUUGGAUGCAUCUAAUGUAAUUCUCAUUUUUUGGUCCGUACCUAUCUAUGUACACAGGUAAAAGAGUUCGAAAAUUGGAAUAAAAAAUCAUUGGAGUUUCUGUGUGAAUUUCUGAAGCCAGUCUUCUUUAUUGAGCGUACACGCAUUAUUCGGGAGGGAGACCCAAUUGAAGAGAUGCUAUUUGUGCUGAAAGGCAAUCUCUGGACUUACACUUCCGGGAAUGUAGCAACAACUAGCAGCAAUAGUAGUCGUUAUGGAAAGAAUCGUUUGAAAGGUGGUGACUUUUUUGGAGAAGAACUUAUUGGUUGGGCUGAGAGUGAGCACUCUUCCAAUUUGCCUAGCUCAACCAGAACUAUUCAAGCGCUUAGUGAGGUUGAAGCCUUUGUUCUUAUGGCAGAUGACUUGAAACAUGUAUUCUUACUUAGACAUUGUGACCGGGCAGCUCUUUUGUUACAAUCACGCUGGCGUUUCAGAAAGCUUUUGCGUGAUAGGAGGGCUAAGCAAAAAUCAAUCUUGAGAAGAGUGCGGAAUUGGGCAGCAGUACUACAGACUAUAGAAUAACAAUUUGAGACUGGAUUUGAAAUUAUUAUUUGUAUGAAUACUACCAAAAUGAAAAUAGGUGGUAAAAUCUGAAAAAUUAAGGGGAAAAUUGUCGAUCUCCCUUGUUCGAUUAUGCAGUCAACAAGAUCAGAAACAGUAAUCGCCAAGUUCGAUUUGGAAAUCUUAUCCAACCAAUGGUACCUUUUUCUUUUUUCUUUUUUUCCCUGAAUCAAGGACUUCACGCUUCGUUGAUGGGGAUACCAUUCCUAAAAUUAAAAGAUAUUGACCAUUACUAUCUCAAACAACAAUUAAUUAUACAUUGCCAGCACGCAAAAAUGAGCGACAAACUUCUUCAUUAACUAAUCUAUUUGAACAACUGCAUUUCUAAGCAUAUAUAUGAUCAUUUCAGAUGAAAAUAGUUUAAAGUGGCGAUAGAAGAACCGGUAGAUCACAGUUGAGAGAGUGAAGCAGAUCAUCAGGGGGCAAUCUUAAGUGUGUCACGCGGGUAGAGUGAUGUUUUGCGAAUGUUGUUGAGAUCGCAGAAAAGCAUCACCACACUCUUCAAUCCCACUUCACAUCCACUAUGUCUCGAAAGGAAUCCAAUGAUAACAUAAAGCUAACAGUUUUUAGAGGACCACACUGUUUUUCUAUUUGCGUACAAAUGGACAGUGGUUUCAGAAUAACCUUAGCAUUGUCAAGUUUAACCAGAGAGCAUGGAAACCAAAGCCAGAUCAAAAGAGGAGGAAGAGAUGCUCAAAAAUCCGGUCAAAUGAACAAUCACAUGAUAUUUUCAUCCAACAAGUAUGAAUGUUUGCAAUGAAAAGAAAAAUGAAAACCCGACAGAAAAUUCUUCAACACAAGGAUUUUGAAUGUGGUUAUCAUUAUAAUUAAGCAGUCAACCUAAUACAACCUUCAACCAGAGGUGAAUUCAUUUAUGCCAGUCACAUGACCACUCCUAUCAACACCACUGCAAAAAAAGCGCAUCCUCUUUAUUAAUAAAUGAAGUUUUGUUCCUGCUUUACUUCACCAUUCAUUUUCAUCUCAUAAAAGAGCAAUUUAUUGGAAUACAACAUACCUCGAUUAAACUGAAAGAGGAUUAAGAUAAUUUAAAAAAUGAAAACUGCGAGACAAUACGAGUAGUAUCAUGAUAAACUUAACUCCAGAUGGACAGCCAUUUUUUAAUCGUAAUUAAUGAAACAAAUGUAGAUCGAGAUUUCCCCAGAACAACACCACAAAUACAAGUAUAUGUGCAUCCAAAAUGAAGAAGAAAUGUUUCAGCUUCAUACAUUACCUCGAAUAAAGACAUCAAAUUAGUUUCUGUAAAGAGCAUUGUCAGGAGGGGGCGCCUAACAGCCCAAGGAUAACGAUGGAGUAUAUAAAAUUCGGCGCCAUACCUACAAUAGGAAGCAACAAUCAGGCACGCAUUGAUGAUAUACAUAGAUAUUUAAGCUUAAAAAUGAGAAAACACUUAUCAUGAGCUAAGAGCAAUGAGGCUCUUAAUUGUUUCAAAAUUUGAAACUAAUAAUAGAUGUAUGUUAUACAGACAAAUUCAGACUUCAAUACUUGUAAGAAAAAUCAAGUCAGUAAAUAUGGAACCUACUUAUCUCCGUUCCAUAGGUUUGGUUGUCUUUUUUUUUUUUUAAUUAAUGUUCAGAAUCGAUUAAAAAGUUUUUUAAUUCGAGUUCUUGCUAAUUUCAUUUUUUGAUUCCAUUUUGAAAUUCAAUUUUCUUAUUUAAUUUUAUUCCGAUCCUAUCUACCCAUUCGAAUUUUGGUUGCUUAAUUGUUCAGGAUGUUGGAGUUGAGAAUGAUCCUCUUGAAGACUUGAAUACUGAGGCAGAGAGGAAGUUGAUCCAACUAUUUUCCUACGAUUCUUGGGAACAGUAGAUACUACUUUUAAAGUAUUCAACCUACUAAAUGAUUCCUCCACACUACUGUUACCCUUAAAAAUCAUCUAAUUAGUUAUUCAUACACUAAUCUAAAUAAUGGCGUGAUAAAUCAGAAACCUUUCUUCAUGAAACAUGAACUGAGGGGAUGAAAGAAAUUAAGUUACCUUGAGCAUUUGAAUCCCUUUUCCGAAUGUAAGACAAAGAGUCUUUGCCUUGUACUGCAACAUUUAGAAAAUGCCACAAUCAGGUUCAAGAAUAGAGAAAAGCUGAGGUGAUAUAUAAUUUUCCAUAUUCCAAAUAUAUCUAAACUAUACAAGCACUUCAAAAAUUAUUAUGAUAACAGAAUUUUAAGAACAAUUCAAAAUAAAUAAUGACCUUCAGAGGUUCAAACGGACACUGAUUCGCCACAUAUUCAACUUCCUUUUUGCACCUCUCAUUCAAAUCAUCAAAAAUUGUGACAAAUAAGCGGCCCACAAUAUCCAUCACCUGUGUUCAGGUGCUUACCUUAAUAGAACCAAAUAAAUAGUAACACGCGUCUCGGCGCAUACCUUUCAUAUAAUCACAUUUGUAUAUGUACGAUGAUAUCACCGCCACCUAAAUUUCUCAUUUAUUAUAUUUGAUUAUUUUCUUUUUAUUUCAUUGAUUUUCUCGUAUAAAAGUAGAUUUACUACGAUUUACCAUUGUGUUGUUGUGCAAUGGUCACCCUUUUUGUUCGGGCUGCCUAUUGAUUUAUUGCUUUUAGAAGAACUCUCAGAAUAGCUUUACAUUAUACUUUUCUAAUUUGCAAUGAAUGCGUCCAGGAGUAUAAAGCCAUGAACUGAUUUUUGAACAACUUAUAUCUUACUUGCUAAUGUCGAUGGAAUUCAUAAAUUCAUAAUACAUCCAAUAAAGGGGGAGAAAAAUAGGAAAGAAAGAAAUACUCCCUGUGUAUCAUCUAGACUAGUUUUAAAACUUCUUGAAUUGGACAAGAAUAAGUUGGCUGACAAGCUUUCCUAACUUCUCACAACUUUUAUUAUUGUUACCUUAUAUUUUCAUAGUCGUUAGAUUUUUAUACUUUGAAUUGGUACCAAUCUCUUUUUUAUCAAAUUUAAACAGAGAUAAUUGAUUGAAUGAUUCAGUCUCCUUCGUCGAAACAACGUUCUUAUUUGCUCAAACAGAUGGAAUCCAGAAAACUCAUCCAUUUGAUUCUCUUCAAUUGAAAACUCAUCACUUCCUGCAUGUAAGAGCAAUUUGAGUGCCAUAAAGCCUGUAGUGAAUCUACCUAUUUAGGGAAUAAUUUAAUUAGAAAAGUUAACAUGAAGCUCAUACGCCCUAAUUACAAAGCUACUCUUAAAAUAACAUGAAUCAAGAAACAGAGCAAAACAGAGUAGCUACUAAGAAGAACACCCAAAUUAACUCCUAAAAUUGACCAAACAUAACAAGCAUCAAAUCAAAGCAUUAAAGCACUAAUCAGAGACUUUACACUAAAUUGUUUGUUUUAAAAUAAUGGGAUUUCAAGAUUAUACUUAAAACUCAAGUAAAAUCAUCUGCAUGGUUGAAGGAUCAGAAGCUCAUGGAUGGAAUAAUAGAGAAAUUAAAGUAAACAAUGUAACUAACCGGUUCCUUGAAGAAGUUGGUUAUCGACGGAGGCCCAGUGACUUUGUCGGAGUGGUGGCAUCGCUGGCUUAGGCGUGAGUGAAGAGUGAAUAUUGGGAGAUCUCUGGCUUCGGUUCUUUGACCUUACGUUAUUUUAUUUAUUCAUUAUUUUUUUUUUCUAGUGUAUGCAGAUGCUCCGCUCACUUUAAACUCUAGUGGAUGCAGUGUGGCAACUGAAGUGAUCAGUUGCUGCCCAAGAUCACAAACCAAAUCUGCCAAGAUGCUUCCAAGAUCAAACUGAUUUGAAGCUUAAUUGAUAUGAAAUGCAAACGAUGAUGAUGAUGAAGAACAUAAAUCAAUUUAGAGAUGAAUAGAAUCAACGAAUCAAAAGAAAAACGGAGGAUAAAUCGAUUUGCGUGGUUCAGCUAAUUUUUGGUGUUUUUAAAUAAUUACCUCAGCGGGUGGAAAUUUCUGUUCAGCUUUUAUUGAUUGUUCAAGAUGUAUUACAGGGUUUUUACAAAGUACAAAGCAACGAACAAGAGUGCUUCAAUUCUCUCAGCAAUCUCUCCCUAUAAAGCUCACACAAUCCCCCCUUUUUGUUGCACCAGAGCGAGCGGUUUAACGGCUUUGUAACCAACCCAGAUGAAACCCAGAAAACCACGUGACAUGCAUGUGCGUUAACAAACUAUAACGAACAUAAGCAGCUUUCUUUAAGCACGUGAAGCGUCCGCGCUUCAUUAAACCCAAAACGGUGUUUCCCGAAGUCGUUUCACCAUGCAAUACCACCCAGUACGCAUCAAACGGCCGCAACUCAUGUCGUUUAGCUUAAGUGUCUUAAGCCCAAAAGGCGACACUCGAUGUCGUUUUGCUUAUUUCUGAUUUGCUUCACCUGUCACACAACAUGCAGUGUAGAUGCUGUUUUAACUUUUGAAUUUUAUAUGAUUUUAUUUUGUCUUCUUAAAAGAUAUCUUUUAGAACUGAAGGGCACUUUCGAUGUUUCUUAUUUAUUUUACAGUGACCUCUUCUGGCUCUUUCUGCUGAGGGAGGGUACAAACAAUGAAUCAUCAUCAGAUUAAUCAAAAUAUAACCCCACUCAUAACAUAAAAAUUAGAAAACGUCUCUUCAGAUGAUUUGAGUCACACACAUCAACAAUCAGAAAUCGUUAACUAAGUAUACAAUUUCUUUUUGGACUCGUAUUUUCCCCAUUGUUGAUCACGUAAGUUACUGCUGUAUAUGUUGUUUUGAUGAGUAAUUAAUGAUCAUGGAAUUUACUUAAUUUGCCAACUUAAAUCAAUCAUUAGUCUUAAACUUUUCCGUAACAAAACCCUGAAUUUAUAUUUUGAUUAGGAAUCAGGAUUUGCAAUUAGAGGAAGGUGCAGCAGGCCAAGUUCCUGGAGAACGAAUUAGCAGUGUUUAUGGAACUUUCUCUCUAAUAUUGGCUACAUUUUACUAUUUUUAGCACCAAUAAGAAUGAUAGGGACGAUUAUCGGGACAAUUAUAAAGAUUUUUCUUGUAUCGUGUGUGAUUGCAAUCAUAUUGGAUCCUUUGUUCUUCUACAUUCCGAUAAUGGAUGAUGAAAAUAAGUGCAUUGAAAUGGACAAAUUUUUAGGAAACAAUGCAGCUUUUUUUCGUUGUGUGUUUGAUUUGCUCAAGAUACUUAAUUCAUUUUACCUUUGAGUUGCGUAAUUAUCAAUUUCGUUUUAAAGAAAGGAAAAGUUUGUGGCGCUGGCUGCUCUUCUACAUUGACAUUUUGGCCGCUGAUCUUCCCCUCCCUCAGGUAAGUCACAUCACGUAUUAUUAAUUUUAUCUUAAACCUUAUAGUUUAUCGAACUGAAUGUGGUUAUUUAAUUACUUUGAUUUUCUCACAUUUGAUUGGUGAUCUCUCAAAGAAUGAGAGGCACAGAGUUUUUGUAUGCAAUGAUAUUCUCACUUCUGUAAUAUUUGCUAAGGGUUAUUCGAGCAUACAGAGUGUUUUCGGAAGCAACAUUGGGCUCAGAAAUACUCGCUGAAGCUACAUGGGCCAUUAUUGGCUUCAAUAUUCUUCUGUACAAGAAAGGAGGUCAUGUAAGUUGAUAAAGCACCAUUCAUGUAAGUCUAUUUAUAUUGACUUAUAUGCACAAGCCUAUAAUACAAACAGCAUCAUUGUAAUACAAAUUUGUUUAGAAAUUCAUGGCCUAUAAUACACCAUUUAUGUCCUAGACUUACUUGUCAACCUUGCAAAAUUUUUGUGCUUGGCAACUGGUUUUGUUGAUGCCGAAAUCCGGAUGAGUUGGUUAGUGACUCGAUCUCAGAUUCCUACAUCAACAUUAAAUUUAUUUGGUGGGAAGCUACUGGUUGAUCUCCAAGAAAAUCCUCCGACUAUGAGCAGAACAUUCAUGAGCUGUUGAUUAGUGAGCACCGAGAGCAGAUAAUUGAUGAGCAGACGACCAAUGAGCAGAUGAUCCAUGAGUAGAUAAUCCGCGAGCCUGCGAGCACAAAGAACAGUCAGGGGGCGCCGGAAGUUUUUCCGACAUAAACCCUCCGACACUCAAGUCAGCGAUUUGGGUCUACUUGGAAAAACUCAUACCACAAUUCACAUGGUUUAACUAUGAUUGUUUUAAACAAAAAGCUUUUAAGUAAAUUUAAAUGAAAAUAAUUGAAAAUAAUCAAUUUUAAAGAAAUCAUAAGCGAAAGAGAAAUUUCCCAGUGGUAGAGAGAGAAAAAGAUUCAAUGGAUUCAGUCACCCAAAGGGACAGAGGAAAAAGAAUCCCCCAUUUCCCCUAUUUUCCCAUGGUUUUUAUAGGAAAUUAUAGCGGUUUUUAUCCUCUUAUUUAGAAUUCUCAAGAAAAUUACUAAUUUUGAGCCCAUUAGAAUAUGGUUCCUAAUAUUUCGGAGAAAAUAAGUGAGAUUUGUUUUAACUGAGUCGUGUUUUCUAAUAACAUCCUGGUCGAGUGUUUUCUAAUAACAUCCUGGUCGAGGUGAUGUGGUCGAGAUGACCAAAUAACAUCCUGAUCGAAGUGUUGCUCAUUUUUUACUUAGAGGGGAGCACAAUAAUGUAUGAACAAACACCUUAUCUUGGUCACCUUAUUCUAUUCCCCAAACAGGUUUGUCGGUCCUCCAGGUAUUUGGAGCCUUAUGAUACCUUUUUGCCAUGGAAAAAGUUCGAGGAUGUCGGAAGGAAGCCCGCAUAAUUAAUCGAGCUGGAUGCAAACACAGUUCGUUUUACUGUGAAGACAGAGUUUAGGAGACGACAGAAAAUUCUAAAUGACUUGUGCGGCAUAAAUAAUUUUGGAUAAUUUAAUGAUGCUCUUGAGUCUGGCAUUGUGGAGGUGACUGAUUUUUCAAAGAAAUUGUUACAUUGUUUACAAUGGGGCCUGCAAAAUCUCAGGUUAAUUUGCUCAUACAAUAAUAUAUUUUCCUUGUGUGUGUUGCAUAAUAUGAUUAAUUCUUGCGUUGCAGGUUCUUCAUUUUGGAAAAUUGAGUUAAAGAAGUAAUGCUAACAGUACAUUAUAUCUCUUUCAGAUAUUUAAUAACACUUAGGGGCAAAAAUUUUAACUGAUAGUUGUGUUAACGGCACAAUCAAUUUGUUUGAAUGUCAAAGGUAGUCAAGGACUUGAGUGAUAGAAGUUUUUUCUACAGAGGAUGUAAGUGAGGAAUUUAUGAAACUUUUUGAUAAAAAGAAUUAUCUAGGAUAAGCAAUUGAGCAGAAUUCUUUUACAGUGCAUUUUUGCAAUUCACAUAACCAACGUAGGGGUGGUGCUGUUUGUGUUUUUAAUCGGCAAUAUGCAGUUUGACACAGCAAGAUCACAGAAGAUAAGACAGAAGUGGAAGGAGAUGAAGCAAUGGCCAAAUUUUGAGUAUAUUUCUUCUGAUGUGCGGGGGGCAGUUAAGGAAAUACAAGCUAUACAAAUGGCAAGAAACCAAACGUGUUCGUGUUGAUAAUUUGGUGAAUGAUCUUCCUGACGAACUUGGCAACAAAAUAAAAUGUCUGCAUUAAACUGCUCAAGAAUGUGACGUUGAACUAUUCAAUCACUCAGCGACAUUGAAGCCUUUUUACUCUUAUGGCUGAUGACUUUAAACAUGUAUUAUCUACCAUUCACAAAUUUCGAUCGGGCCGCUCUUUUGUUACAAUCAUACCGGCGUUUUGGGAAGCUUUUACGUUGAUAGAAGGAAGGCUAAACAAAAAUCAUGCCUGAAUUGUUGGACUUGGGCAACCAAAGGAAAUAAACAAAGUGGUACAUGUAACAACGCACAAUACAAGAAAAUUUAACAGUGCUUGUGACUAAAUCAUUGAUGACAAACUGUUUAUUCUUUAUAUUUACAUGUGAAACCGCAGAAAAGGGCCAAAAUUGUAGUUUGAAAUUUUACAUUUGAUUUUGUCGUCAAUUGAUGAGCUCAUAGCAACAUUAAUUUAUUGAAUGAUAAAACAAUAAUUUUAUAUUCAGUAAAUAUAUGAAAUAUGACUUAAAUUGAAAUUUUGAGAUCUUAAUACAUUGGAGCUACAUUGAGUUGGGAGACAAACUUUGACUCUGAAUGAGAUAGCACUUAAUGUGUCAUUUAUUUAUUAAAUUUGUUAAUGGUAUGAUAUUAUCUCAUUACGCAGAAAUAUUAAAUUGCAAUGAGUCUAGUCAAUUGGGAAAACAAUUUUUGCGCGAGUAUCUCAAUUUCCAAUAUAAAAAUUACAAGACAAAAUAAAAAAGGAGAAUGAUACUUUAUACCUGUUUAGAAGCCAUUGGUUAUUUGGUCAUAUUCAAAACCUGUUUUAACCACGUAAGUCCAUGAUAAAAGUUACAAGAGAAAAAGAAGAAUGAUACUUUAUAGUUUAUACCUGUUUAGAAGCCAUUGGAUAUUUUGAUCAUAUUUGAUAAAAGUUACGGGACAAAAUUAAAAAGAAGAAUGAUACUUUAUACUUGUUUAGAAGCCAUUGGAUAUUUUUAUCAUAUUUGAUAAAAGUUACGAGACAAAAUUAAAAAGAAGAAUGAUACUUUAUACCUGUUUAGAAGCCAUCGGAUAUAUUGGUCAUAUUCAAAACCUGUUUUAAUCACGUAAGUCCAUGAUAAAAGUUUAAAAUACCAUUUGUGGAAAGGAUAAGUAUGAUAUUUUUUAAUAAAUAAAUAAAUUUAUUUAGUAAAUAGAUUAGGUGAAUAAUUUAGCGAGUUCAAAUAAUUUCGAUUAAUUUAUACGUGAAGAGUGAAGCUAUUGGCAUCCUUCAUUAUUCUUAUAAAUCUCCACUUUAAAUAAAAUUACAUUGAAGGACAAAUAAGAAUUAAACACAUUUAAGAAUUUUCAUAAUAAAUUACUUUCAUAAUCAAUUCUUUUUUUUUUUUUGCAUUCAUAAUCAAUUCUUUUUUGCUUUUUCUUUUCUACUUGCCACUUCUCUCUAAUUAAAAUAAAUUACAAAAAUUUAUAAUAAUUUAUUUUUCUUUUCUUAUUUCUUAAUAAUUGAGAAUUUUUAUACCUAUUACUUUCAAAUUAUAAUUUAAAAUGUGUCAUAUCUAUAACAUAAUAAUGUUUUGAGUUUUAAUAAUAUACAAAUUCAAUUAAAAAAUAAAAUAAUGUAUUUAAAAGGGAAAAAAGGACGUUUUUGAAAUUAAAUACAAAUAUUCCAAUUGUUACUGUGAAAAUGUGAUAUUUUCAGCACUAGAGCUACCACUUUAUUGCAUAUCCGACCCGAAAGGAACUGAUGUGGUCCAACCGUGUUCGGAUCGGAUUGGUUGCCGUCAUAAUCUGAUCACAUUUAGGUAGCUUUUCAGUUUUGUCCAGGAGAAAGGCUGUCAAUUAUGUCUCCAUAAGAAAGACGUCACAUAGAUGAUGUAAUCAGAUUUUAUCAUGCGUUUGUUCCCCUUCAAACGUCACAUAGAUGAUGUAAUCAAAUUUUAUCAUGCGUUUGUUCCUCUUCAAUCGAGUACUCGUCACAUCCUGAGUGUUUGUGAAUCUACGUUAAGGGUAUGUUUAUGUUGGAACCGCUUUACGGUGGAGUAUUUUUUUGUAACCACAUAAUUAAAAAAUAUAGAUUAACCUCAGAUUUAAAAUAAAUGAAGUCUUUGUUUUUAUUUGUAAAACUUUUAUAACACAUUAAUAUGUAACUGGAACAUCCCAGUCCAAAAUUUAAGGACAAAUAUGUCCACAACUCAUAUAUGAUUUAAAUAACUCUUUUCUAAAAUUAUCUCAUAAAUAACCUUUAUUUAUAGUUUAGUAUCCAUUUUCUUAAUAAGGGUUAUAGGCACCUAUAAUUCCCAAUGAAAACCCAAUUUCCUUAAUUUAAUAUUAUGAAAAUUUGUGGCGUUACAGUAACGCUUCAAAUUUCACAGCAGAUUAGAUACAAUUUUUUUAUCCUUAUACUAGACAUGUGCAGAGUAGUAAGAAACAAGUUAAAAAAUAAUAAAAACACACACUUUGAUGUUGUUAUCUUUAUCUUAAAGUAUUAAAAUCUAUAUUUCUUUUAAUCUUUUAACUUGUCUUUUACGAUAUUAAAAUAAGAAAAUCCUUUGAAAAUAAGAAAAUCCUUACUAAAAGUAAAAGGGGACUUGUCAUGUGCACAGUGUACAAUAUGUUUCAAAUGUUACUUGAUAGAAAUUACUGAAAGCAUUGUAUCAUUGGAAAACUCUUGCUGCAUGCUCUACUAAUUUGACAGUUUAUCAAAUAUUUUUUUGCUGCUCGCUACUUAUGAAUCACGUUUAGUCCCCUUUGAAUUGUGUCCAUCCACCAUCUGUUAAAUUUAUCUUUGAAUUUUCUCCCUUCCAAAAGGGACACAAAUAAGAAACAGACAAGGACGUUCAAAUCCCCGAGUUGUAAAAUUUACAAGAUGCAUCGGGUAGAAAAAUCUUGUAGAAACCUCAGCUGAUGAACUCUGUAAAGAAUAUCCUCAUUCAUUCAGCUAACCCGUUGAACCAAAAUGCAAAAUCAUCCUCAAUAAGUACAAGAAACAAAAACUUUACAAGAAUAACUUAUGAAACUUGAUAAAUUUCUGCGGAGACUACAACGUCAUUUCAAUUUGUGAGGUAAUUAUUUGAUGCCAUGAUGCUGACUGAAUCUCAUUAAAUUAAUGAAAAUAAUACAACAAAUGAUACGAUAACUCCAAAUUAGCUAUCACAUUAUGUAUUUGAUUCAAAUAAGAGAACAAAAUUUGCAUUAUUGAUAGAUAUUAUAUUGUUUCUUGAAACUGUCUCUUGACAAAUCGCCCAUUAAUGUAGUCAUUGCUGACAAAACAACUUUGUGAAAAAGUUCAACUAGAUAGCAAGCUGAUAGAGAAAUCUGACAAUGCAAUGCAUGUCAUCCUCACACUUCAAUUUCAUCGAAAAUGGAUAAGCCAUUUUGUUCAACUUUCACCUCCGGAAGUUGAAAAGGACAUGAUUGCAAUUAUGCAAGUCCUUAUCAAAGAUGCAAUGAAUGACGCCUAAACUCCUAUAGAGUAGAGUUAAGCUAUUAAUCACUGCACCGAUACGUCAAAAAUUAAGUAUAUGGAUCAAAGACGUCUUCAUUCAAGAAUCUCAAAUUUCAAAGCAGUGCUUGUCAUUUACAUACCAAGCAAAGGGACCAAAGAUGGUGGUGCUCUAAUAUUUUGUCUAGUCAGAUUUACAUUAUUCAUGUCUUUUUCUUUGGUGCAGAAGUUGACCGCGGCCUAUUUCAACAUCAUUCGUCAUCCUCUCAAUCUCCUCCUUUUUCACUGGCAGAACCAAAAAUAUCUUGCACCUCAGUGAAAUAUCAUUGGAGACAAAAAAGUUUCUCCAGCUUAUUCAACAACCAAAACCAGCCAAAUAUCAUCUCCAGCCACAAAGCAAUGAGCCAAGUAAUUAAAUUUCCUUCAUGCAGGCUGAGGAAAGCCAAUAAGCAAUCAAAGGAGAUGGAAGAAUAGCACUAUUAAUUCAAGACCAACAAAGUUUGCAGCAAAACUGAUAGUAUUUAUGAUCUUGCAAAAGUCAAUCUUGUCUGGUUAUCAACACUGCAAUUAUAGCUUUUGUGCACCUCAGUUAGCCUUAAAUUGUGAAAGUUUCAGCCAAACCAACAAUUUCUAACCUACAUCUCAUGGUUAUACAAGCUAACUAGCAUCUGCUUCACUGCAUUAUGCUUCAAAAACAAUCAUACUAAAUGUCACAAUUCUGGUAUAUAAAAGUUCAGCCGCCUACACCAUUCAAGUUGAGCAUUUGACUGCAUCUCUAUGGGUACUAUUAAGGGAUGGCAAUAAUCAGUUAUGAUACGAAUAAUUGACAUCCAUAAUCCGAUAUAUCCGUCCGCACCCAUGUCUAAUUUUAGAGGUUUGAUAUGGAUAUGGAUUUUUGUUUAUAUGGAUAUUGAUAAGCAUAGAUAUUCGGGAAAAAAAAUUCUACUUAACACUAUAACGAAUAGGAUACUUCUUUUAUUAGAGCGUUGUCAUGCUGAUGAUGUGCAAGAUAUCAUAAAUAAAGGGGAUCGUAGGGAACGAAAUGAAAUAAGUUUAAAGAAUUUGAAAGAAACUGAUUAUUCUCUUAUUCAACAACUCGGUGUGCAAUUACAUUUUACACGAGGUCCAUGUAAUUAUAUUUGUCAUUAAGAAUGAGCAUUUGCCAAAAGAAGACACACAUGUCAUGACAAUGAGUGAUUGACAAGUGACAAAAUUGAUAGACACCCGCCGAAUAUGUCACAACACAAACUUCUAAAAUUGCUACAGGAAAUGAAAUAUAACGAUGCACGAUGCCCAUCCAAGUUGUUUACUUGUAUUGUCCAACUGUAAAUGAGUACAGACAUGGUACCAUCAAUCGUUGUUAUUAAACUAGUCAUUGACCUCAGUCACUCCUUCAUAACCACAUAAUAAGGAGUGGCUAUUUAUUUAAAAUAUGAAGUGGAAAAUUGAAUUAAUUUAUUUGAAAUAGAAAUGGUCACAAGAAAAUUUUGAAUUAAUUUCUUGAAACAGGAUCCUACAAAUGAAGUGUUUUAAUUUUGUAAUUUAUUAUUAUUAUUGUUAUUUUGUUUUUAAAUAUUAAAAAGAAAAAAAGAAAAAAUUGGUUUGUCUUUAGUUUCUAGCGGACAUCAGAUUCAUCAUAAUAAGCGUACCCUUGUCCAUGUAUAAAUUGCAUUUGCCUCUGUUGUGAUGUGAAGCAAAUCUGUUGGUGAAAACGUCAGCUGAUGCUGCGUUUUGGGAAGUCAAACUCGUGCUUCCUGGAACGACGUGAAUGAAGGUCGUUUUGGUUAAGUGAUGCACGAGAGUUUCACGUGCACGAAUAAGUUGUGUUCUAGGUUCGUUAGAAUCAGUUAACUCACAUGAUUGUCACGUGAUUUUCUGGGUUGGUUGCUGAUUCGUUAACGAGCUGUUAUAUACAGCUGAUUCUGGCAACAGAGAGCGAGGACGUGAGAGCUACUGUGAGUUGAGAAGAUUGAAAACCAAAGGCUUCUUGAGAGACUCUGUAACAAGCUUGAUAAACUCUCUGUAACUUCUUUGAACAAUCAAUAUAAUUGGGUUCUGUUUCUCCCGUGGAUGUAAGCUAGACUGAAACUAGCUGAACCACGUUAAUUCUUGUUCUUUUCUUUAAUUCUUUCAGUUCUAAUAAUCUAUGUGUAUUCUGCUGGAUUGAUUCUUGGUGCAUCUUGUUUGUUUGAUUGUGAUCUUGGGAAGUGUUUUGAGUUGAUUGGGAUAGUUAGUCACUCUUAAACACUACAAUUGGUAUCAGAGCCUGGAUUACAAAUCAGACACAAGUAUGGCUGGUUCAAAGAUCGAUCUAGAGAAGUUUACAGGGAAGAAUGACUUCAAUAUGUGGAAGGUUAAGAUGGAGGCACUACUGAUCACUCAAGGGCUAGGUGAUGCCUUAGAACCUAUCAUCAAGAAAGAAGGAUUAGAAGCCUCCACAUCAUCAUCAUCACUAACACCACAACAAGCUGCUGAGAUUGACAAAAAGGCAAGGAGUACCAUAAUCUUGAGUCUUGGAGACUCGGUGAUCAGGGAAGUUGCUAGAGAAAGAACAGUGGCUGAUCUGUGGGCAAAACUUGAAAGGGUGUAUAUGACUAAAUCAUUAGCCAACAGACUUUACAUCAAGAAGAGGAUGUUCACGCUAAAAAUGGCUGAAGGAUCAUCUCUUGAAGACCACAUUGAUGAAUUCAACAAAGUCUGUGAUACACUGGAAAUAAUUGAUGAAGGUUUAGAUGAUGAAGGUAAAGCAUUGCUUCUGGUCAGUUCACUUCCACCCUCAUAUUCAAACUUUGUCGAUGCACUCAUGUAUGGGAGACAAACUUUAUCAUUGGAUGAAGUUAAGGCUGCCCUAAAUACUAGAGGGCUGCAAGAAAAGUCAAGGAAUAUGAACUCUGGAGAAGUGCUGGCAGUAAAAGCAAGAACUGAUAAGUAUGAUGGAAAAAAAAAGAAGCAAGGGAACAACAAACAAAAGACUAAAGGCAAGAAAUGUUUUCAAUGCCAGAAAGAAGGGCAUUUCAAGAGAGAUUGCCCAGAACUCAAGAACAAGAAAAGGGAACAAAAUGGAGCUGCUGCUACUGCUGAGGAAGAAGGGUAUGAGUCAGCAGGAGUAUGUGUGGCUACAGAUCAUGUGCAAAAAGGUACCUGGAUUCUAGACUCAGGUUGUACAUUUCAUAUGUGCCCCUUUAAAGACUACCUAUUAAACUAUCAUGAAACUGAUGGUGGAAAAGUUAUGAUGGGUAACAAUGCUGUCUGUAAGAUUGUGGAGAUAGGAAAUGUAAACCUAAAACUGCAUGAUGGAACAAUUAGAGAAUUAAAGGAAGUUAGGUAUGUGCCUGAACUUAAAAGGAACUUAAUAUCUCUAGGUAUGCUUGACCAAAUGGGGCUUAGUAUUAAGCUUGAAUCUGGUGAGCUGAGAAUCUCAAAUGGAGAUGGGGUAGUUAUGAAAGGUUACAAGAGAAAUGGAGUUUAUAUUUUGAAUGGGGAAACUAUAACUGGUGUGUCAGGAGUAUCAAUAAGUUCAAGUUGUGAUAACACUUUGCUGUGGCACCUUAGAUUAAGACAUAUGAGCUUGAGAGGUCUGAAAGAAUUACAGAAGCAAGGGGUUCUAGGCAGCAGUCAAAUCUCAGAACUGGAUUUUUGUGAAGACUGUGUACUAGGCAAAGCUACAAGAAAUAGCUUUGGGAAAUCAGUUCAUUCCACCAAGGGCAUCCUUGAAUACAUACACUCAGAUUUAUGGGGACCAGCACAGACAGUUUCACUAGGCGGCAACACCUAUUUCUUGUCUUUAAUAGAUGAUUAUUCAAGGAGAGUAUGAGUUUAUGUCUUAAAACACAAAGAUCAGGUAUUUGGCAAAUUCAGAGAGUGGAAAUCCCUGGUUGAAAAUCAAACUGGAUUGAAGGUGAAGAAACUCAGAACUGACAAUGGUCUUGAGUUUUGCAAUCAGGAGUUUGAUAGCUACUGUGCAGAUAAUGGCAUUGCAAGGCAUAGAACUGUAAGGUUGGCUCCUCAACAAAAUGGAUUAGCCGAAAGAAUGAACAGAACCCUGAUGGACAGAGUAAGAAGCAUGAUGAUCCAGUCACAACUUCCCAAAGGAUUGUGGGCUGAGACUCUGUUAACAGCAAGCUAUCUGGUAAAUCUAAGUCCCUCUGCAGCACUUGACUUCAAAACCCCAUUUGAGAAAUGGCAUGGAAAACCAGCAGACUAUGGCAGCCUCAAAGUAUUUGGAUGUCCAGCCUAUGCACAUGUGAGUUAAGGGAAGUUAGCUCCAAGAGCCCUUAAAGGAAAGUUCAUUGGGUAUCCUGAAGGUGUUAAGGGAUUCAAACUAUGGUGUACAGACCUUAAUCCUCCCAGGUGUAUUAUCAGUAGAGAUGUAAUAUUCAAUGAGAAAGCUGCACUGGAAAUGAAGAAAUCUACUGACACAGAUGCACAAAAGGAUAAGGAGAGAACCAAGGUUCAGUUUGAGGUGGAGCCCUACACUAGAGAAGCUUCAAAAGAUAAUGAGGAAUCUUAUCAAGGAGCUGCUGAUGAAGAAACUGAUCAUGGAAAGCAGACUGAAGCUCAACAUCAGGAGUACCAACUAACAAGAGACAGAGAAAGAAGGAAAGCAAAAGCACCUGUCAGAUAUGGAUAUGCAGAUCUGAUAGCCUAUGCAUUGACAGCAUCUCACCAAAUUGAUGAUGAACCCAAGAACUACAAAGAGGCUAUCCAAGGACCAUACAAAGAUGAGUGGAAAAAGGCCAUGGAUGAAGAAAUAUAUUCACUGAAGAAGAACAAUACAUGGGAGCUGGUUAAAAGACCUGCCAACAGCAGAACAGUAGGAUGUAAAUGGAUUUACAAAGUCAAAGAUGGACUAACAGCUAUUGAACCUAGAAGAUUCAAAGCUAGGUUAGUAGCUAAGGGUUACACACAGAGGGCUGGAGUGGAUUUCAAAGAGGUGUUUUCACCAGUAGUCAGACACACAUCAAUCAGAGUGCUACUGGCUUUAACAGCUGUAAAAGACAUGGAGCUUGAUCAACUCGAUGUCAAGACAGCCUUUCUACAUGGAAGACUAAAUGAGGACAUCUUAAUGACACAGACUGAAGGGUACACAAGUCCUGAAUCUGUUGACUGUGUGUGUCUGCUAAAGAGGUCACUGUAUGGGCUAAAACAAUCACCCAGACAGUGGUACCUUAGGUUUGAUGAGUUUAUGGUCACUCAUGGGUAUCUAAGGUGCAGCUAUGAUGUAUGUGUUUACUACAAGAUCAUACAAUCAGGUAACUACAUAUAUCUGCUGUUAUAUGUAGAUGAUAUGUUGAUUGCUUGUAAUGAAAGGGAAGAGAUUGAGGCUUUGAAGCAACUGCUCAAUUCAGAAUUUGAUAUGAAAGAAUUGGGUCCAGCUAGGAAGAUUUUGGGUAUGGAAAUAAUAAGGAACAUGAAGAAGGGUACUAUGAUUCUGUCUCAAGAGAAGUAUCUAGAGAAGGUACUGGGAACUUUUGGGAUGUCAAACAGCAAGUCAGUAGUAACCCCUCUUGCAUCUCACUUCAAGCUGUCAUGUUCACAAUGCCCCAGUACAGAUGAAGAGAGAAAUGAAAUGACAAAGGUUCCUUAUGCAAAUGUUGUUGGUUGCAUGAUGUAUGCAAUAGUACUUACAAGACCAGACUUAGCUCAUGCUUUAAGUGUUGUAAGUAGGUUUAUGGCUACACCUGGAAAGGAGCACUGGAAGGCUGUUAAAUGGGUGCUGAGGUAUCUGAAGGGUACACAACAGUAUGGGCUGGUAUACGGAAAAUCAGCUGGGAAGGUUGCAGGUCUCUGUGGUUAUGUUGACUCAGACUAUGCUGGGGACUUAGACAGAAGGAGAUCUUUAACUGGCUAUAUGUUUUUCCUGAAUGGUUGCCUUGUUAACUGGAAGGCAAGUUUGCAGCAUGUUGUUGCCUUGUCAACAACAGAGGCUGAAUAUACUGCUGCAACAGAAGCUGUCAAGGAAGCUCUGUGGCUGAGAGGGUUGAUAACAGAACUGGGGAUGACGCAGGAGACUGUGGAAGUUCAUUGUGACAGCUCAAGUGCAAUUUACUUGAGUAAGAACCCAGCUCACCAUGAAAAAACUAAACACAUAGAUAUCAAGUUACAUUUUAUCAGAAAUGUGAUCUCUAAAGGUGUGCUUAGCAUGGUGAAAGUGCAUACAGAUGAUAAUCCUGCUGACAUGCUUACUAAGGUUGUAACUACAGCUAAGUUCAAGAGUUGCUUGGACAAAGCUGGGCUGAGUGAAUUCUAAAUACUCAGGUUGGAGAAAUCAGGAUCAGGAAGUGAUUUGUUCAAGGUGGAGAAUUGUUGUGAUGUGAAGCAAAUCUGUUGGUGAAAACGUCAGCUGAUGCUGCGUUUUGGGAAGUCAAACUCGUGCUUCCUGGAACGACGUGAAUGAAGGUCGUUUUGGUUAAGUGAUGCACGAGAGUUUCACGUGCACGAAUAAGUUGCGUUCUUGGUUCGUUAGAAUCAGUUAACUCACAUGAUUGUCACGUGAUUUUCUGGGUUGGUUGCUGAUUCGUUAACAAGCUGUUAUAUACAGCUGAUUCUGGCAACAGAGAGCGAGGACGUGAGAGCUAUUGUGAGUUGAGAAGAUUGAAAACCAAAGGCUUCUUGAGAGACUCUGUAACAAGCUUGAUAAACUCUCUGUAACUUCUUUGAACAAUCAAUAUAAUUGGGUUCUGUUUCUCCCGUGGAUGUAAGCUAGACUGAAACUAGCUGAACCACGUUAAUUCUUGUUCUUUUCUUUAAUUCUUUCAGUUCUAAUAAUCUGUGUGUAUUCUGCUGGAUUGAUUCUUGGUGCAUCUUGUUUGUUUGAUUGUGAUCUUGGGAAGUGUUUUGAGUUGAUUGGGAUAGUUAGUCACUCUUAAACACUACAGCCUCUGAAUUCUUCAAUAAUUGAAAAAGAUGGGUGCUCGUGGGACACUCUCAUUUAUGAUACAAUUUAGGAAUAAGAACUUAAUGACGCAACCAUCACCAACAGCCUCUUUUUUGGAGGUACUCGGAUGGCUAUUAUUACCAUUUAAAAGAUAGCAUAAAUUUUGUAGAUUGCCAGCUAUGGCCGAGCUUUUAAAUUUUUUUUAUUUUUUUUAGAGAAGAAGAAAAAUAGCCAUUUAAAAGAUAACAUAAAUUUUCUAGAUUGGCAGUUAUGUUUGAGUUUUCAAAUUUGUUUCAGAAAAAAAGAUACUUAUGCCUUUGAGAUUUAGAAAAACAAUCACACAAAUUCUCAAAUUUUUAAUAAGAUUAAUCAAGACCUCUUUUUAUUAUAAUAUCUUUUAAUUUUAUAACUAAAAAAUUUGGCUAUAAUAUUUUAUAAUAAAAAAUAACUAAAAUGACCCGCCUCGAAUCUCCAGGACAAGUCUAUCUAAUCUCGCCAACCGAAUUAAUAAUAAUCUAAUAUCUAGAAUUCUACCAAAAAUUCGGCAAAAUCUCUUAUAUAAUUAUGACAUUCCCAAACUUGCAAUUUAUAAAAUUUAACACUCCUAAAAAAUGAUACAAUAUUCAAUCAACCUCCACAACCAACUUGUUCAAUCAAAUACCAAUAUCCUUCAAACAUAUAAUGUCAAGAAUAUAAUAAUUUAUCUUUAAUCACAAAUAAGUAAUAAAUUAUACAAUUCAAAAUAUCCUAACAAAAUAUCUAUGAUUCCUAACAUCAUCACAUGACCAUAAUUUUAAAUUUAACUAUCGUUGUUGGGUCGACUGAUGUACCUGCAUAUCUUUUGGGAGGGGGGGGGAGGGAAUAUAAUAAAAAAAUGUGAGUAUAAAAUUCAGUGAGCUCAGUUGAGUAUAUUAUGAAAAAAAAUAAAUUUACUUAAAAUAAUCUAAUCUUUCCCAAAUCAAUUUCAUCAAAAUAUCAUAAGAACUUAAAUAAACUUAUUUAAUUUAAAUCAUGUUUUAAUAUAACAAUAAUACAUAAUACGGCAUGAAAAUCAAGGAAAACAUGAUACUUAUAAUAGCAAACACCAAAUACCGAAUCUAUCACCAAACAAGUACUCAGGGGAAUAAUCUCAUCAUAUCCAGACCUCGACGGAUCGGCAAUCAGAGAACCAUCAUGGCCCGAAGCUAUACGGAUAGACGGGGAAGUACUAUCUCAUAUCUCAUCAUAUAUGUGCAUGCAUAAUCUAGUCUCCAAAGGACAAGGCGCCCAAGAAUACGGUCCAAAGCUUGUGUGUGUACUCAGAGGAGCCCCAAAGACCUAUAUUUCAUCUGUAUCAUCAUAUCUCAUCUGUAUCUCAAUAUCUAUAUCUCUGUAAUCAUCAUACUACAUGCAUAUGCCCCUAAAAGGCAAAAAUGCCCAAACACAAGACCCAAAGCCUCUAUGUGUGUUCAAACGGGCCCUAAAAGCUUCUCAUCUCAUCCGUAUCACUGUAUUUAGAUGGAAAGAGUAUUGUUUAAUGAGUUUAAAAACAUCUUAUACACAUAUACAUAAACAUAAAAUGACACUUAAAUCUCAUUUCCUUUUCAUGUAACAUACUUUAAAUCUACUUUAUUCUCUUUAAAACCAUUACCGUGCAUUUACUGAAAAAUGAUAAUAAAAUCAUUAAUCAAACUCAUUUUUUGUAAUAAUAAAUAUCAACAUAUAGACAAAAAUCCAUUUUUUAGAAAGUUAUUAAAUUCGAGUGUUAAAUACUUAUUUAUCAAACAUGUUGUACUGUAUCAUAAAAUCAUAAUAUAUUAUGAAAAUCGGUUUUGUAUAUUCCACUCAUAGUGACGAUAUUCGAGUUCGAUAUCGUCAAUGUCUGUGGGUUGAUUCUUGUUCAUGGAUCCUCCUAAUAUAAUGAAAUAACAUAAUCAUUCUCUUAAAUAUGAAAUACAACUAAUUUUACGUAAUAAAUUUCGAAACGAAUAUCUAUCAAUAAUAAACUAUUCCCGUAUGCAUAAAAUUACCAAAAUACCCCAUGCAUGCCAAAAUUACCAAAAUGCCCCUGAUAUCAAUAUUUACCAAAUUAUCCUCAUAAUCCUAAAUUACCAAGCUGACGUCAAUUCAGAUCACAAAAAUAACCACAAUGUUAGAAAUUAUGAAAUUACCCUUAGAGAAUGUCCUUAACAACGUAAAUUACUGAAUUACCCCCGUAAUCUCAAAUUACCUAACUGCCUUAGUCCAAAAUUACUAAACUAUCCACCAAUUUUGGAAAUCACAAAAUUAUCCCCCACCGUUUUGUGAAAUUACCGAACUACUCUUGGCAGUUAACGGUGACCGGACUUCGGUCGACGGCGACGAGAAGAUCAGAUCUGAUAGUUCUUAUCUCAGUGAGUCCAAUGGUGCCGGCGGUGACCACCCACGCGCGCCGACGGUGGUAGAUCGAGCUUCCCUAGUCGCGAGCUUUUCGGUGGUCGAUCGGUGGAAUUCCAACUGUUUCAGGCAGCGAGUUUGGUUGGAAAAUGAUGAGGGUGAGCUGAGGAACAAGAUCCAAGCAGUGGCGCGGCCUAAUUCCGGCGAAAUCAAUGGCGACGAAAACGAGUUGAGAUGUGGGUUUUUCAAGCUUGAUCGCCGGCAUUCUACCCAUUUUCCGAUGAGGUGACCGGAAUCGGUGGCUGGAGUUGGGUCGGGUUGCGCGAUUUCGGGUCGGGUCAGGUCAAACUCUGUCAGCUUCUCUCUUUCUCAAUUUAUACAACCAAUUCUCUUUUUUUUUUUUCAAAGCUUAAUACAAAUUAAGCUAAUACUGAACCCAUAUUGAGAAAAAAAUCUGACUACCCAACCUUUUAAUCACGCUCAAUUUGUCUUGAUUUAUUGUCGCGACAAAUUUAAAAUAAUCCAAACACAAUAUAUAUUAAUAAAUAUGUAACAUUUAACAACCAUCCCCCAUAAUAUCGGGAAAAAUUUGAGUUGCAUCAACUUCACUGUAAAAAUUCGUAACGAGUCUACUAAAUUUAAAAUUAAUGCCAAAGGAGAAAAAUAAAAUGAUACACUUAAUUAGCAAAUUUAAAGCGCAUAUAUUACAAUAACAUUAAAAUAAAUGAAAUAAUAUAUACAUUUAAAUAUUUUAAUAUUUAAAAAUUAUUUUAAUAUUUACAAUCUAUUAGAUAUAUUUUAUUAUAUUAAAGCAAAUUUUUAAUAAUAAAUAGAAACAUAAUAUUGAAUAUUUUGUACAAUUUUAACAUUAUUAAUGAAGAGAUUUUGUUAACUUUAAAAUCUAUUUAACUCAAAUAUUUAUUUAAAAUUAUUUUAAUAUUUACAAUCUAUUAGAUAUAUUUUAUUAUAUUAAAGCAAAUUUUUAAUAAUAAAUAGAAACAUAAUAUUGAAUAUUUUGUACAAUUUUAACAUUAUUAAUGAAGAGAUUUUGUUAACUUUAAAAUCUAUUUAACUCAAAUAUUUAUUUAAAAUCUUUGUAAUAAAUCCAAAUAUAUUAUUAAAUUUAAUAAUUUUAAAUGUAAAAAUAUUUUAAUAUUACUACUCUAUAGAUAUAUUUUAUUCUUUUAUAUUAUUUUUGUAUUAAAUAAAAAUUUUAAAGUUAAAUUUUUAGUUACUAUAUUCAAAGUGUAUUAUGAUUAAAAAAGGAUCCUAAAGUCUAUAUAAUCAUUUUUAAAAAUUUUAAAAGUGUAAGUGUCGAUUUUUCUUUUUUGUUUUAUAAUUCUUUUCAUGCAAAAAUUAUAUUCACGUUUUUUUAACUUCUCAUUAAUGCAUUUUCAUUGCCAGGGUUUCUGCGUUUUCAACAAAAAAUCUAGUGAAGAAACUGGAAAAUGUUGGAGGAAACGCUAAUGCAUAAUACGUACAACCUAAUAAACAAGUUGUUGGAGCGUACGGCUAUAGCAAUUUGUUUAUGGUCAUCUGUGCUUCUGUAUACUAUUAGUAAAUCUAUUUUGCAAUGAACCCAAAUAAUCAAAUUGUCCCGUGGCACUUACGGUCCAUGGAUCUAAUAAUUUUUGCUUCUUUUUAUUUAUUUAUUUAUUGCAUAUCAUAACCUGUCAGUCUCAUAAUAUUGUCCAACAAGAUUGCCUUUUUGAAAAAUUUCACAUAAAUCGGACACGGAUGAUUAUGUUAUCCUUUAAUUUUUCUAACGAAUAUAAUUUUCACUGUCAUUUUGUGUUUUGGAUAGGUGGAAUGACAGUGACCUGACUGAAAAAUAUGUUAUCUGGACGACGAACGACCAAGUCAAAGUCUUUUAAGUGUACAGUCCAACUCCUUUUAAAUAGCAAUUGAAUUCUGCACUUUAAGCAAUAAGUUACUCGGCCAAAUUUGCAGAAAUAUUUCAAAGUUUAAUUCUUCACUUGGAUUUUUCAUUGCUGAUCAUGUAAGUUAGUUGUUAUUAUUAUUAUUAUUUUUUUCACCACGGUAACUCCUGUGCUUACACUUUUCGCGGAGCUAGUUCUAUUUUCUUAAUGUUCUAAUUUUCAAUGAAUGUAUUUGGACAAAGCCACGAACUUGUCUUUUAGAGGACUUAACUUGUAUUAAUAUUGCUGAUAUAUUCCUUAUAAAUCAAAAAGAGCAAACAAAGUUCUUAUAAAAACGCAAGGAUAGCAGAGAGUGGUUUUUAUUUUUUAUUUUUAAUGUUAUCUCAAUUUUAAUAAUAGAUGAUUGAUUGAUUCGAUCUUCUUCUUGUCCAUAAUUAAAAUAACUACUUUCUACUUCCUAAAGGAAUUUCCUGCUCAUGUUUUUUAAUCCUACUCCAAAAUUCUCAUCUUAUUUGGUGAAAAUUUUCUUGAUGUUAACAAACUUAUGUUAACUGUCAACUAUUGUUAAAUUAAGUCAGUUUGUUUUUCAACUAUCAGACCGGAAAAGAGUACCUAAUAACAUGUAACUUUAGGAGAGUUUUGGUGAGGUUUAAAGCAUGAAAGGAAAUGGCUAAUUGCCUAAUUCCAAUAAGAAGGAAGAUUUGGUAAUUUUCUCCUUUUCCAGUGUAUGCAAAUCCACGACAGCCACCCUACGCCUCCUCCCCUUAUUUUUUAAGGAAGUAUGUGAUUUUUUAAAUUGGGCUUUGACUGCAAGCAACUGUAAUAUGUUGGACUUCCGUAAUAGGCUUGUUUCUACUGUACGGAUAUUUAUGUACUAUAAAAAUAAAAUAAAAAACAUUAUGACAAAACCUUGACUUGCGUUUCGAUCAUAUCAGGUCUCAGGAUCCAGAGAAAGGUUCAAAACAUGAACAACCUGAAGUGCAUUGUAAUGGAACGAACUCGGCCGAUAAAAAACGAACAACAUGCUUCCGUUGGGCUAAAAAAUUUCUCGGUAUCAUACUUCUGUGUGCGCCGCUAUUAUGCCUGCCUGCGGUAUUGCUAGUGCCAUGCCUGUUGAUUAUAAUAAUUAUAAUAAUUACAAUAAUUUGGUUAUAUCGUAAAGCGAUAGCGGCUGCAAUCAAGAAUACAAGAUAUCUUCUACUGAAUGUGAUUGCAAUGAUCCUUGAUCCUUUUUUCUUCUACAUUCCGGACCUGAAAGAUGAAAUUAAAUGCAUUCGCUGCAACGUUACCUUGGGGAUUACCGCUACUGUCAUCCGUUCCAUCCUCGAUUUCCUUAAGCUACUACAUAUUAGCUCUGAGCUUCAGGAGGCGGAUAAAAAAGAGAACCAAAGAAAAAAAUUUAAACAUUUAUGGCAGCAAUUAAAAAAUUUCAAGGUAUAAUUUACUUUCGCUAACUAGUUGUUUCUUCAACUUCCAUAAUUUAUAUAAAAAUAGUCUCCGUUAUCUUCUUUGCUCCGUACGAAGUAUUGAUUCUUUUUUUUUUUUUUUUUUUGCCUUAAAAGGGAGGAAGAGAAUUUCUUGAAGAUCCAAUGGUACGUAUGUGGACGCUAGUCUUCAUUGAUCUUUUGGCCAUCCUUCCCAUCCCCCAGGUAAAGGCACUGUCUAAUUUACUAUUACGUAUAUAUUGUUUAUUGAUUUCUUAUGUAGUUCAAUCCUUCCCAUCCCCCAUGUGCAUAUCGUAGUAGUAGUUUUGAUUGUGAUAAAGAUAGAUCUUUAUAUGAUUCAUGUCAAGAAUAAUGAUUUCAAUGUCAUUUUUCCCUUUUCUUUGAUUAAAGUUGUAUUUACACGUAAAACCCUAAAUGUUUUGCAUUGAUAGUAAUUUUGGUUAGUGUGUAGUGUUAAAUUUCAGCCAUAUGAAUUCGAUACUUUUAUUAAACUUGUUUAAUAAUUUCAAACACUAACUCAACCUGUCUAUUAAUAAUUAUGUCACAUGCUUAAUAUGCUUUAAAAAUAUAUUUUUAAAAUUUGACUUGUUUACAUGGGUUUAAUGUAUUUGUUUAAAAUAUUUAGAGUACUACCUCUCAAAUUCAAAUCAAUUCUAGUCUUAUCAUAACUGGAUAAUCUUGAAAUAUAUACAAAUAUAAACUCGGUUCAAUCGCAUCCAAAAUCUAGUCAAUGCAACAUCUUUAUUAAUCAAAUUGUUAAUUAUGUCAUAAUUAAAUAGGUUCACGUGACAGGAACUUUAAACUCACAAGAUACUAAUUUGUGUCUCUUUUCGCCAACGUGAACAAACUAUUAUUUUCAUGCCAUUAGGAUCAAUUUCGCGGGUUGUUUCAAAAAUUGCCAUCCCGCCUAUACCAUCGGUUUGCGCAAAAAUAAAUAAUCAAUUUUGUUCGUAUUCAAUAUCAUUCAAAAUGUUUAUUUACAUUAAUUAUUCCAUAUCAUCUAAUAGGACUUCAAUUAAUAUCGUUCAGGUUUUUGUGAUUUUCCCAAUAAGAGACACAGCAGGAAUCUCGACGGCAAUGACCUUCUUUGUUUUUCAAUAUUUGCUAAGGGUUAUUCGAACGUAUUUCCUGUUCACAGAUGCUAUAGAGGUUUCAGGGGUGAUUGCCAAUUCUACAUGGGCCAUUGUUGGCUUCUAUGUUUUUCUUUACUUGCAAAGCGGUCAUGUAAGUUCAAAGUAUCAUCAUUUUACCGACAUAUAUAUUUUUAGGGAGAUUACAAUUUUUCCACCCUACAGAUGGCAAAAAUUUCAAAUUUACCAUUUUUAUGCCAAAAGUUUUCAAAAUACCAUUUUUAUAUUCAAUUUUUGGAAUCAGAAAAGCAUGAAUUAUGAUAUUCACUAUUUUGUAAUUUAGAAAAGCACACUCAAUUAGUUUUUUUGGAUGUAAAUUUUAGAUAUUGGAAUCGUCGAUGUACGAUUUUCCCUCUGCUUUGCAAAUUAAUUUUUCUGAUAAGUGAUCUUUCAGACGUUUGGAGCCCUAUGGUACUAUUACGCCAUAAAAAAAGCGACUGAUUGCUGGAGGGAAGCCUACGAAAAUCAUACCAGACGCAGUCAUAGUUACUUUUUUUGUAAGAUUUGUUUCGCAGACUACAAUCUUCUAAAUGAUUCUUGCCCUAUAAGUACAGGAAGUACUACCAACUAUAGUUUUGGAAUAUAUGAAGAUGCUCUUCAGAAUGGGAUUGUGGUGGAGACAGAUUUUCCUAAGAAAUUGUUGCGUUGUUUACAUUGGGGCCUGCAAAAACUCAGGUUUGCCGUUUUUCAUUUGGCUUGGAUAAUCAUUACCGUGCAUGUUCAUUUUGUAGUUCUUUUUGCAUGCAUGUGUUUUUCUCUUUCUCUUCAUCAAUUUAUUCUUUUCUUUGUAGCUAUAUGCAUACUCUAAUGGGAACAUUUCACUGAGAGAGGGCUAUAUCUGAUAACACCAAUUAAAUCAAAACAUAUAAGAUUAAUCAAGUUUAUAUAAAAUUGAAGCAAAUUUGUUAUUUUUAUUAAAUUAAGAUGAUAUGUGAAAGUUAACAUGGGGCGUAAAAAAUAUUGGUUAAAAGUAAAAUGGAAACUAAAUUAAAGAGUAUUGAUUACUCAACCUUAUUUAAAUAAUUUUUAAUUGAAAAAAAGUAUGUCAAUGUAAUAUAACAUUGUCACUAGUAUUAAAAAUACUUAAAAAACAUAUAAUAACAAUUAUUAACAAUUUCAUAAAAAUUUUAUGUGAAUGUUGAGAUUUAUUUAUUAGUUACAUUAACUAAGAGGAUAAGUUAGAAAGUAAAAUUUGAUAGAAGAAUCAUUAGCAUCUGAGUUUUCAAAGAGAGUCAAAGUGCUUGGCAAAGAAAAAUAACGGCACACAAAUACAUUUUUGUUGGGUUAGAGUUUAGUUUAUUAUUGAAACUCUUGACUAAUAAUAUUUUUAUAAUUUAAAAAGAUGAAUAGAUUUUAAUUGUUUAAUUUAUUUAAGCUUGGUAUUUAAGUACUUUUAAGAAUAAAAGUUCUACUUGCAAUUUUUAAUUGAUUAUAAUUACAUGUAUUGAUUUAUUUAUUCUAACUUGAAAUUAUUAAUUAUUUAUUAAUUAUUUAUUAAUUCUUAUAUAAUUCGAUGUUAUUAUAGGUUGUAGUGUUAGAUUCCAUAAUUGAAAAAUAAUAUUUCUAUAUUUGAAUUAUUUUUUGUUUUCUACUCUUUUUGUAUCAUUAUUUUUGUUUAGAGUUCAUAUUCAUAGGGUUUUUCGUAUCCACCUUAUUUGAUGUACUUUUUUUUUACUCAUGAAUGUUUAUGUUCAUUUCAAAAUAUAAAAUUUUUAAUUUAGCCUGGGAUAAUAUAAAGUUAUGGGUCCACUCAUGUAUAGGGGUUUAUUUCAACCAAAACUCUUUUAUUCAACCAGAAGGGGAAAAAAAAAAGUAAUAUUUUUGCUAAGGUCUCAAAUAAAAAUUUCACGGGUUAUACUGAAAAUUUUCUUUCCACCGGACUGGUCAUUAGGUAGGUCCUCAACGUAACAAGGUGUUCAAUCCUGUUGAUCGUGUUAAAAAAAAAAAAAAUGAUGUCUGCAUUGGAAAGAAACUCUAUUAUUUGUUUUCUAUCAUUUCAAUUGUUGUUAAAUACGCAGGAAAAUAUAUAUAAUAAUUUUCAACUGAAUGAACCUUUUGCAGUGCGUUUGGUCAGGACCUUGAAACAAGUGAUGAUGUCGGGGAAAACAUCUUUGCAAUUUGCAUGACCAUCUACGGCGUACUGCUGUUUGUCUUUUUAAUUGGAAGGAUGCAGGUAAUUCGCAUUCAUUUUUCUGUUUCUUAUCGAUCCAUCAAUUUAUAUAGUUGCUCACCUCUAAAAAUCCCUGAUUUUUAUAAAAUCUGGAAUGAGUUGACAAUGAUGUUAACAGACUUUUUUACCGUUUCACAAUAUUGUCAAACAGUUUACAACAUUAUAACAUUAUGUUCACAUUGGUGUCAACUCGUCUUGGAUUUUAUGUUCUAAUUGAAAAAAUUUCAUAUGUAUAGUUUUUAAUUAGAUUUUAAACCUAGAAGUUACUUGUGUCAAUGUAUUAAUGACUAUAUGUACGUACAGUCUGAGACUACAAGAGCACAAAAGAUAAACCAGAAGUUGCGGCAGAUCAAGCAGUGGAAACACUUUAAGGAUAUCUCCACUUUUGUCCGUGCCAAGAUAAGGGAAGCCAAGCGUGAAAAUUUGCUAUUCAAACAUGAUAUUCACAUAGAUAGUUUGGUAAGCGAUCUCCCCGAUGACACUGCAAAGCAAGUAAAACUCCAUUUCGGCAGAAAUCUGCUUGGCCAGGUGAGUUUCUAUUGCUUUCUGUACAAUUAAUAAUCCUUAUAGUUAUUUAUCAAAAAAGAUGUCAAUUUUGUUACAAAUAUUUUGAAUGGGCGUCUUAUAGCAACAUCCAGAGUCUUCGUUGUAUGUGCUUGAUUGUUAGGAAAAAAAAUUAGAAAAUUUAUAAUAAAUUAAUUAAUUAGUACCUAUUAACCAUAUGUAUUAAAUGAUUAUUAAAGAAAAAAUGGGGCUAUUUGCAUUUUAAACAUUACUUUAAAUACUCUUAUUAAAAUAUUUUAUUACAAAAAUCUAUUAUAACUGAUAAAAUAGUUUAUAAUUCUUAAACCUUAAAUCCUAAAACUUCUUGUUCUAAUAAUAACUAAAUUUGUAUUACAUUUUUUUUUUUUACUUUUUUACAAAUUGUAAACAAUUAUCUCCUGAUUCAAGGGAAUGAAUAAACCCAACGGCUGGAAAAAAUUUCUUGGGAGAAGUCGUUUGAUCUCAUCAUGUAAACGGGAAAGAAUUUUGAAAGUCAAAAUUAUCAGGAGGUAUGCUUGGCAUAUUUUAAAGAGUGUAUAAAUUAAGUAAAACUUAAUUUUCAGAAUUUAUUGAAUGAUUGUAAGUGUUUAGAGUAAUAUAUAUAUAGAGUGCAAAUAGCCUCACCCAUUACAAAAAUACUUAUAAUGUAUUUUAUAUUUAAGGACAAUUUAUUAGUAUAUUAAAUAUAAUAUUAUUAUUUUAGACACCCAUCAAAUACACCCAUUUAUUUAUAAUUAUUCUUUAUUUAAACCCUAAAACUUGCUUCUUCAUGUCUAAUAAAACAAUUUGAAAAUUGUUCACAGUGCAUGUAUGAAAAAAAAAGAAAAAAAAAGGUAGUACAAUUGUCGUAGUACAAAAUGGAAUAGUGAAAACGAAAAAAAGAAAAAAAAAAGAAAGCAAUUAUAUGAACGAAAUGAAAGAAAAUGCUAAAUAGCAAUGGAUUGAAAUUAGUUAAGAAAAAUGUGAUUGAAAUUGGAGUCCUCUCAAUAUAGAUGUAAAGAUGUACCGAAUAUUCUCAUAGGUAUAUAGCGUAAAUAAAGAUGAUUAAAUUAAAGAUUUAAGUAAGGACUUUUUUGGUGUUUUAAAAUAGUGGAUAGAGCUAAGCUCAAAUAUAUAAAUUUUAGAGAUAAGUGUACAAAGUAAUAAUCGAGUACUCAAAAGUAAUAUUUAGAGUACAAAUAGCCUCACCAUUAAAGAAAAGAUUAACAAUAAACAUCUCUAAUGAUGAGAGUUCUAAGUAAAUUAAUUAAUUAUAUAUUAUCUCACAAUCGACAAUCCACUUCAUACUAUGCGACUAGCCAUGCAUUAUCAAAUUGGUGAUUAUGACGAGUUGUGAUUUUUAAGUAGUAACUUAGUUAUUUAUAACCUUAUGAUAUAAUCGUUGCAUGAGUAUUGACGGCUCUGAUUCUCAUUAUCAAUUCUCAUUCAUUCUUGGAUGUACAUCAAGAUGCAAAAAUUUGAAAAUUGGGAAGACUACUCGUUGGAUCAUCUAUGUGGUUGUCUAAAGCCAGUCUUCUUUAGUGAACGUUCUACAAUUAUUUCGGAGGGAGAGUCAAUUCAUGAGAUGCUCUUUGUGUUGGAAGGCCAGAUUUGGAUCUACUCAAAAUUUAAGUUGAUUGGAUUGAAACGUCAGGAAGAUGGUAACUAUUGCGGAGAAGAAAUUAUAGAUUGGGCUGAGAAUCAGAGCUCGUCUCACGGCCACCUCCCUAUCUCAACCAGAACCAUUAUAGCACAUACUAAUAUUGAAGGUUUUACUCUCAAGGCUGAUGACUUGAAACAGGGUGUAGCACUUCACCGGCGUUUCGAUCAGUUAGUAAGAUUCGUACAAUCAUCCUGGCGUUCUAAGAAGUCCAAGCAAAUGCAGAUGAAGAGAAGGCAAAGCCGAAGUCAUGAGUAACUAUUUGGGAUUGGACUUGUAGUUCUUAUUAUACUACUAUGUCUACUGUUUACGUUGGGUUUCUGUUUACUUGCUUAGGUACCAGAAAAUAAUCUACUUUUGUUGUGACAUAUUAGACUAUAAUUAUCUGGUACAUGAUUUUAGAUGAAAAUAAUAAGUAGCACCAGGACAACCUAUAGAUCACAGUGAAGAGCUGAAGCAGAUCAUCUCAGGGCAAUCCUAAGUGGGUCACGUGGGUAAAGUGAUGUUUUGCCAACGGUGUUGAGGCCACAGAAAAGCAUCACCAUGAAGAGGUGCACCGUAUCCGAAAAUCAGUAUCAAUCAUAACACAAGGUUAAACAGAUUUUAAAGAUUAACAGAAUGCUUAUGCAAACAUAAAGCGACACAUCAAGCAACAAACUAUAUUUCUUCUCGCUUAAGUACAAACUGAUAACUGUUUCAGAAUAAUCCAGCAUGAUCAAGAUUAAAAUCACUCAGAAAAAUCUAAGCCAAAUGCAUGUGAAAGCUUUUAGAGGAACACGGGUUGAGCUGAUAUGCCCUUCGCGUAAUAGGCUCGCGGUUGUUAGCAACAAGAUCGAAGAGGUAAAAUCAAGGUGACAAGGUAACAAUACCUGAAAGGAUCAAUAAAUGUUGUUGAUAUUGUCUUGACAUAUGAAUGCCACAUGCCUGCACGUUCGCUCUGCCAAGAACUCUGGUAGAUGAGUACAUUGAGCACCUGAAAUUAUCUUUUCACCUGAAAGGAAGGAACAUAUGCACAAAUUCCAAUCAACUGAAUAAUCACUGGAUAUUUUCAUCCAACAAGUGAUAGUGAUUAUAAAAAAUAUAAAAAUGAAAACCAAGCAGAAAAUUCUUAAACACAAGUAAGAUGACUGUGAUUAUCAUUAUUAAGCAAUCAACCUAGUACAACCUUCAACCAGUGUUUGAGACAAUGCAAGUAGUAUCAUGAUAAUAAAUCUUUACUUCCAAACAGAACAUCAUUUCUUCAUGUAAUAAAAUGAAUGAAGAUAGAUUUCAGGAAGACAGCAGCACGAAAUCAAAUAUAUGUGCACAAAAAAAGUAGAAGAAAUAUUUCAGCGUCAUCUAUUAGCUCGAAUAAAAACAUCAAUGCGGUGUAAAACAAACUGAUGAAGAGAUUACUGGGCAUGAAAGUGUACCCAAAGUGUAAACAUGAGUUUCAACUUUUGAUUUUGGUCGCUUCACAUUCCGGAAUGCUCUUGUGAGAAUUAGUUGUACAAUCAAAUCCCAUUCCAUAAAAUAUCAGAUACUCCCUGAAAAUGCCAUGCCACUUGAUACAGCCAAUGGCCGUGGUAUCUCUAAAACUUUUCCCCUUUGAGGAUUGCAUAUAAAGAGUUCCACUAGAUGCCAUUUAUUUCAAAAGAUCAAUAAACAUUAACACUGUUUUCGCCAGCAUUACAUCCCUCAGAGAUCUCAAGAUCCUUGAUGACAUUACCAUUGCAUAUAAAUGAAUGCAUGGCGUCCUCAAGAACAAGAAGCAGAAUUUGAGGUUCUUCAGCAGCAGCCGCAGCCUGUGUUGAUAAACGCUUGUUAGCAAAAGAAUGGCUGUCAAUUAUGUCAUUCUAGAAUUUAGAAACAGAUCACAAACGCAACUGAUUAUGCGGGGAAUCUCAGAAAGAUACCAUAGAAAAGAUAAUCAGAAACUUCUUCCUUCAUGUGUCUUAUACAAUUUUUAGCAUCCUUUCGAUUAUCUUCGAUUGAAAAUUUAUUACUUCCUGCAUGUGAAAGUUAUUUGAGUGUCAGAAAGCCUGCAUUGAAUAUAGAUUUGAGGGAAUAAUUUUGACAUAAAAAUUAACAUGAAAGCUAAUACAAAGAAACAGUUCUUAUAUGAACAAAAUUAACAUGAAUCGAGAAACAGAGCGUAACAGGGUAGCUGCAACUAAUAACUCACAAACUAACUUCUAAAGUGACCUACUGGGCAUCAAAUCUAAGGAUUAAAGCACUAAUUAUAGGAUUUAACAAAAGAUCAGCCAAACAUUAUUUAUUUAUUUUCUCUUUUAAAAAAAAAGGUCAGCUUUUUCGAGAUUUCAGGAAGACAACAACAUAAGAUCAAGUAAGUAUAUGUGCACAAAAAAUGAAGAAGAAAUAUUUCAGCUUCGUCGAUUACCACAAAGAGAACAUCAAUGCUGUGUAGAACAAACUGAUAAAGAGAUUACUCACCAUGGAGGUGUGCCCAGAGUGGAAACUUCAGUUUCCACUCUUGACCUCGUAAGCGACGCGAUAAACCAGUCCUUUGCAAUUCACGUACCUGAAAAAUCUUGAAAGAAUUGGUUGAACUAUCAAAUCCCAUUCCAAACAUGUUGGUGUUAAUAAGUUGGUUAAUGAUCUUCCUGACGAACUUGGCAACAAAAUAAAGCGCAAUGUCUGCAUUAAACUGUUCAAGAAUGUGAGUCCCUUCAUCAUAUAUUAAUUGUUAAAUAAAGUUCCGGAUGUACCCUUUAUUGGUCAAAUAUUCUACCCUUUUAGUUGUUUGAUGUCUGUGACACAACUUAAAAGUAAUUUUUAACUUCCAAGUAUAAGAGUGUCUUGUUGUAUUAUAACUCGGUGAGUCCGAGGUCGAUCCACAGAGAAAAGAUUUAAUUUGUUUAUUUUAUUUUAACUAAAAAUUGAAAUUAAAACUUAAAUAUAAACAACUUAAUUUAAAUGAAACUAUGAAAUUAAACUAGUUAGGGUUAUGGAUCCACUCAUAGAAGUAAAUAAAAUUUAAUAAAUUCUUUUUGCCUUUUUUUUAGAUUUAUUACCCAAAAGAUUAAUUAUAUAAAUUAUUAUUAUUUUCCCUUUAAUUUUAUGAUGGAUUAAGAAUUUAUUGUGCCAAAAUUUAAUUUGUCUACAAUAAGUCAAAAUACCAUUUUACCAUACCUUAUAUUAAGAUAUUAAGAAUUUAUUGUGCCAAAUUUAUUUGUUUGUUCACAAUAAAUCAAAAUUUCAAAAUAUAAAAUUUGUAUAAAAUUAAAUAGAAAAUAAUUUAAUUUAUAAAAUUAAAAAUAGAAUUUGCUUAAAUCAUAUUUAUUUCCUAAGAGUUUCACCUUCCUCUAACUAAUAUUAUUUAGUUAAGCAUAAUUAAAAUACAAAGAAGUAAUAAAAUUGAAUUACUUAUAAUUAAAAGUAAUAAAAACAACUAAAAUUGGAAAUAAAACUAAUUUUAUUUAUAAAAAUAAUUAUACAAAAUAUUAAAAACACACCUGGAAAUGAAGAUUACAAGGAGAUGGAGAGAAUUUGAGAAGAAGAGAGUUGUAGAGGGAUGAUUAAAAACAUAAAAAUGAGGCUCUAUUUAUAGAAAAAUAAAUUCAUAAUCCAGUGCUUUGUGGUCCAUCAUAAGCUUCAUGCAUGUGCUCCUCAUACCUUUAGAUCAAGAUCCAAUGGCUGGUCAAACUUCAAAAGUCAACAUCACACGUGGCAUCGUUUGACUCGUCCGAUUUGCCCAAAGAACGGUUGAGAUUUGGCGAGUUAAUGGGUGGAUCGGGUCGACCCGAAUACAAGGAUUUGGAUCCUACAACUUGCUUUACCAACCAUUGCCACGUGGCACAAUCAUAGCCAUUGAAUCAUGAACGGUUGAGAUUUAGUCAAAAUUGCCAGCUAUCCCAUACACUCAUAUAUAUUGUAAGCUCAUUUCAUCAUCCAAUCAGUGGUCGGUCAACAGGAAAAGUCAACUUUUUUUACACAAGCCCAAUUUUAAGCCGAUCUUGAUUGAUCUUAAGGUUUUUCGGACCUUUGGAAUCCAAAUUUGACCUCUGUUUAUCUGUUUGGAGCCUCGAAUUACGUGAAAUUAAUAUUUUUCCUAAUAAACACAUAAAAAUACACAAAAUUAAAUAUAUUUAAAACAUAAUUAAUAAUUCCUAAUAUAUUACAUAAACACAAAUAUAAAUUAUAGCAUACGCAUAAACUAACAUAUUAUCGCUUGAUAAUUAAACAAUUUUUAAUACUAAUCGGUCUGAUUUAAUUUUGUAAUUCUCAUUCUCAAAAUUAAAUGUAUAUGAAGGUAAAAGAGUUUAGAAAUUUGAGCGAAAAUCAUUAGGGUAUCUGUUUGAAUUUCUGAGGCCAUUCUUAUUUGUGGAGCAUACUCGCAUUUUUAAGGAGGGUGACCCAAUUGAUGAGAUGCUAUUUGUGUUUAAAGGCAAGGAGCUACUCCUACACCUCCAGGAAUUUUAAUGUAACAACAACAGCCGCUUCUAGAAGAAAUAAUCGUAUGAAAGAUCGAUGGUGACUAUUUCAGAGAAGAACUUAUCACGUGGGCUCAGAGUGAACGCUACUCCAAUCUGUCCAUCUCAGCCAGAACUAUUCAAGCGCUUAGUGACGUUGAAGCCUUUACUCUUAUGGCUGAUGACUUUAUCACUCAGUCAGACAUUUCGAUUGGGCGGCUCUUUUGUUACAGUCAUACUGGCUUUUUAGAAAGCUUUUACGGGACUAAAGGAAGGCUAAGCAAAAAUCAUGCCUGAAAUAUUGGACUUGGACAACCAAAGAAAAUAAAUAACGCGGGACAUGUAUCAGCGAUACAACGCAAAAAAUUUUAACACUUGUGAUAGAAUCAUUGAUGACAAAUUUUUUUUUUUUGAUAUAAAAGGGAGCCAAACAAGGCUAAGCCGAAACAAAACGCAGGAAAGCAUUCCCGUACAUGUUGUGAAUUAAGCAAUUGACAACACCACAAGGAGGAUUGUGAAGGAAAUGGAAGCCAAGAGGUUGAUUCAUUGCGAAAUUCGCAAGAAAAUCCGCUGCAAAAUUUGCUUCACAAUAAAUAUAGUUAAUGCACACAUUCCAGUCCCUAUCAAGGGGCCUCCUGAUGCUUUGAAUCACUGAAGAAAAACUGUUAGGACUGUUGCUUGUGUUUGCAAGUAGAUCAAUGGUGCACUUACUAUCAACUUCAACCAACAAAUUCCGAACCCCAAGCUUCCAAGCCAGAUCAAGACCAUAGAAUAAACCCCAGAGUUCAGCAUUAGCAACCGAACUAAUGCCAAUGUUCGUACAUAAUCCAGGAACCCAACUCCCAUUAGCAUUUCUUAUCAACCCACCCGUAGCUGCCAUGUUCAUCUUCUUGCAGGCCCCAUCGGUAUUCAAUUUGAAGGCAUUUUCAGGAGGCGGUUUCCAUCCAAAGUGUUUCACAAUCUUUGAAGAUCCAGGUUUGAUCAAAGUCAUCAUAGUUUUAUGGGAAUUUUCAGCUCUAGUAAUAAUAUCUAAAAUAAUGUUGUGAUUACUCCUCUGCACAUUCCUAAACAGAGCUUGGUUCCUCCAAAACCAAAAGCUCCAGAUUGCUAUGCCAAAAAUUACAGACCAAUCCACUCCAUUACUAUCAUAACGAUUAGGCUUUCAAUUAGUAAGAAUCCAAUCCUUUAAGUCUAAAGAGAAAAAACUAUCUCGUAGGCUAAAAGGGACAAUAUCUAGCCAAAUAUACUUGGCUGCCACACAAUCUCUAAGGGCAUGAAGAGAGUCUUCCACGCAAACUCUGCACCUUACACAUUGAUUCUCUGCCAAAAUAUGUCUUCUAGUAAGCUCAGCUUUGGUCUUUAACUUAUUUUGAAUAGCAAACCAAAGAAAAGUUUUAACACUUUGUGGUCCUUUCCAGCUCCAAAUAAGGUCCCAUUUUGAGCCGAUACGACUGGAGGAUUUGCUUGAAAUACUUUAGUAUGCUGAUUUUACUGUAAAGUUGCCCUUAGUCGAGAAGCCCCAAAAGAUUCGGUCUAUACCCCCCUCGACACAUGGAGGCAUAAUGGCAGUAAUAGCAAGCGCUAAACUGUGAGGGAGAUAAUUGCUGAAAGCAACCCAAUUCCAUUGACCAUUACUGUCAACAUAUUCCUUAAAAGAGUUGUCAAGCAUAUUACUCGGAACCGGCAUCACAACAUAAUCCUUCAAAAUGACAUUUUGCAUUACCCAACAAUCUUUCCAGAAACGAAUCUUUAAGCCAUCUCCAACUUGCCAACGAAUACCAUUCAAAACUUUUUGCCAAACCGUACCCACUGCACGCCACACAUAAGAACCAUACUUUGUAGGUAGUUCUGUUUGGGGAGAUUAUCAUUCUUGACACCGUAUUUAGAGCAAAAAACUUUGAUCCACAGGCUUGUAGGAGAAACAAUAAUAUUCCACCCAAUCUUCAUCAAUAGUGCCUAAUUGAUUUGGAGAAGAUUUUUUAAGCCAAGACCACCUGCCAUUUUAAGUUGACAGAUUUUAUCCCAGCUAGCCAUGGACAUGUUAUUCCCCUCGUUAUUCCCACUCCAUAUAAAACGAUGAGAAAUGCGAUUGAUUUUUUCUUGAGUGCCUCGCGGAAUCAUUGUGGUUUGCAUAGAAUAAAUUGGCAAGGCUUGGAUUACCGCUUGAGCAAGUGUAAGCCUUCCAGCAAAAGAAAGAUGCUUCGCAUUCCAUCCUGAGAGACGUUUAUCUACUCGAUCUAUAAUCUCUUGAUAGGUUUUAUUGGUAAUUUGACCAUGAAGAAGCGGCAUACCCAGAUACUUCCCUAAAUUUUUUGAAGUUGAAAAGCCACUUAGAUAACUGAUUUUUUUUUAUAAAGCAGGGUCCACAUUUUUUUAGAAGUAUAAUCGAGUUUUUUCUGUGCUAACUUUUUCUCCCGACAUAUUGCAAAAGUUAUUUAGAGAUUUGAUCACCAUCUUCGCCUGCUCAGAGGAAGCUUCUGCAAGAAGAAGAAGAUCAUCAACGAAAAAAAGGUGAGUCAGAUGUAUACUUUUCGGAGACAGCCUUAUGGGUUUCCAUCGCUUCUGUUGCACUUCUCGAUUAAUGAUGUGGCUAAGUCUUUCAAUACAAAGAACAAAUAUGUAAGGAGAGAUUGGAUCCCCCUGGUGAAUCCCUCCAGAGGUCUUGAAAAGAAUCAGUAAGUUCGCCAUUCCAAAUAAUCUGCAUGGAAUAAGAGGUGAUGCACUCCAUGAUGAUUCGUAUAAAAUUCGUAGGAAGACCCACAAAAACCAAAGUCUCAUUGAUAAAAUCCCAACUUAAUCUUUCAUACGCUUUUUCCAAAUCUACUUUGAUGGCCAUGAAUCCUCGUUUGCUCGUCUUCCGUCUUAUACUAUGAAUAAUCUCCUGGGUGAUUAUAAUGUUUUCGAUGAUGUGCUACCUUGGAACAAAGCUAGUUUGAUGCGGACCUACAAGAUCAGGGAGAAAAGUCUUUAAUCUACUAGCGAUGAUUUUAGUGAUAGUUUUGUACAUAAUCGUGCAAAGACUAAUAGGUCAGAAAAACUUUAAACUAGUUGGAUUGUCAAUUUUUGGGAUAAGAACGAUUAAUAUCUUCAAGAAAUCUGCAGGAACGGUCUCGCCAUUGAAAACAUCUUUGAUUUGCUUGCAAACCGACUUGCCCACCACCUCCCAUUGAGAUUGGUAAAAAAUAGCAUGUAGGUUGUCAAUUCCCGGCGCCUUUAAAGGUUUCAUGCUAAAAAUAAUGUCUCGAAUUUCCUCAUCAUCCACUGAUUUUUUCAUGAUAUGGUACUUAUCUGUAUCAAGGCAAGGAAAAUCAUUAGGAAUAAAAUAAUUUUCAAAAGAAUUAUUGUCAGCCGUGUAUAAAUUAGUGAAAAAAUUAAUAGCAUGAGCCUUAAGCUCAUCCUCAUCCAAAAUCCACUAGCCCCCGUCAUCUUUCAUCCAGACAAUUUCGUUUUGUCUUCUCCUAGUCAUUGUUUUCUAGUGGAAAAAGGAAGUAUUUCUGUCCCCAAAUUGAAUCCAGUUGCUGCGAGAUUUCUGAAGCCACAAAAGUUCUUCUUGAUUGAGAAUAUCGUUGAGCUCCUUGCUGAGAUGAGUCUCCAACUUUAGUCUCCAACUUUAACAAAUUAUCCAAAUGGUGACUCUCCAAAGCUUUUUGAAUUCCACCUAGUCUAGCUAAGAUUUCCCUUUUUUGUUUAAAAAUAUUUCCAAACUCAUUCUUGUUCCAAUUAUCAAUUUUGUCAGUAAACUCCUUCAUCGAAACAUUAUAAUCAACAUCCUUCUUCCAAACUUGAGACACAAAACCAGAGAAACGAUUAUCAGUAAGCCAAGAUGCAAAGAAUCUAAAUGGUUUCAAACCUUUGUUCCCAGUACCCUCAUUAUUCAAACUAAGAAGGAUAGGCCGAUGGUCAAACCCCAAUCUUAGUAAGUGAAAAACUCGUGCCUUGUUAAAAGUGUUGAACCAAAUAUCAUUGCAAAUGGCUCUAUCCAAGCGUUUAUAAAGCGAUCCCCUUUUCCAAGUAAAUUUUGGUCCAGUAAAAUGGAGAUCGCAAAAUCCGUGUUUGUGGAACCAAUUUUGAAAGUUUUUACAAGGUCGGCUACGACUAUUAGUACUUCCUUUACUCUUUGAGGUUGAAAGAGUGGCAUUGAAGUCGCCUGCUAGCAUCCAUGGACCUUGAAUAGUCUCAGCCAAAUAAUUUAAAUCCUUCCAAAGAAAUUUCGGAGAGAAGUAACUGGACUGGCAUAAAUCACGGUGACCCAGGUAAUUAACCCCCUUGUAUCAGACACUUGGAAGUGAAUAUAUUGCUUAUGAUUAAUAAGGAUUGUGACAUCUAAACCCGCUCUCCAUAAUAACCAAAUUUCACUUGAGAAACCAGCCACCUCAACUCGAUGGGAAUGCUCAUAACCACUGAAACGAAUAAAAUCAUCCGUUUUAAUUCCACUAAUCCGAGGUUCACAAAAAGCCACAAGUUUGGGUUUAUAGUUUUGAACAGACAUCUUGAAAGUUCAUCUAAAGGACUGCGAGGCCGCCCCCUGGUAAUUCCAAAACAAGCACGACAAAUUCAUUAGCAAAAAAAAUUGAAAGAAAAGCACAUACUUACUCCAAAUGCUCAGAGCCUUGCUGAUUAACAUCCAUAUGAUCCUCCUCAACAAAAAAAUGAGACUCAUCUGAUGUCUCAGAUUCGUCAUCCUCUGAUUCCUCCAUAUAUUCACUAUCUGAUGAGUCCUCCUCCACCUUAUCCAUUUCCCUAUCGCCUAUAUCAGGAGGCUCCUCAUUCGGGUUUGGUUCGGGAGGCAUCGAAGGGGGGGCCUGGACGGUCCCAUUUUUUGAAUUGUUUUUUAAUAUUAUUGCUUAAUGAUAUUUAGGAUCCAAAGAAGUUGGGAUGAAAGUUGGUUCAAGAUAAUGGGUUAUAGAUGACUUGGAUUUGUUACGUGAGAUAUUUUUUUUCCAUGGGCUCAAAAGGGUGUUGAUUUGAUGAGCUAUGACCACUUGUGGGGGGGGUGUACUGUGUAUUUCCCGUGAAGGUUUGAGGGUAGUGUGUUCAGAUGUGGCAACCUUCUUGUUUCUUGUCACGGGUUUUCCCUUGCUUCCAAAUAUCAUCGUUUGGGUGGAGCUUUUAGAGUCACGUGAGAUCAUCUUUUCCAUGUUUUUAGGAGGAGCAACAGUCUUCUUGUGAUUAUCCAUGGUGAUAGCUGCGUUUGAAAUCUCCCUAGAAUCAUUGUCUAACUCACUUUCCUGUCGUAAGACAUCGAAUCUGGAACCUAGACUCUGUUUCCCAAAAUUAUUUUGAUUAGUCUCCUUUGCAUCUGCUCUUCCCUUAUUUCCUCUAUAAUUUCCUUUCCUAGCCAUGAUCAUCCAAGGACCAAAUCUUGGAUUGUCCAGAGUAACCACCGCCGGCGAGACAUCUGAAAUUCCGUUGAUAGUUUCACCUGAAGCCAUAUCAUUCAUCUUCUCCCCUCUUGCCUCCAAAAUCAAUUUAUCCGGGCAUGAGGAAGAGGUGUGUCCAUACUUUCCACAUCCAAAGCAUAUUGUUGGAAGCACUUCAUAUUCAAACCUUUGGAUUCGUCCAUCCAGUAAAAAUUGAGAGAUUAAAGGACUCUUAAGGGAUACUUCCACUGCAUUACGGGUAAACUUACCCUUCGUCGCCAAUUCCGUAUUAUAAUCAAUUUUGAUUACUUUUCCAAUGACAUGCCCCAACAUUCUAAUGAUCUUUUUAUGGUAAUAAUGUAGAGGCAUACCUGGAAGCCUUAUCCAUGCAGUGAUUUCAUCAAUCUUUUCAUUCGAGCUAUCGAAAUGAGGCGACCAUAGUUGAACGGUCAGGUAAUGCCCCGAAACAAUCCAUGGCCCUUAUGUAAGAACAAACUUAGCAUCACCUUCCUUCCUGAACUUAACGAGAAAAUAGGCAUUAUCUAAAUCUAUAACAGAGUAUCCGCCAAUAUUAGGCUACAAGAUUUCCAGCUGUGAGCAAAACGCUUUGUAUCCAAUCAUGCGGCUAAGAAGUUUCACCACCACAGUAGAUUGCCAUGGUUUUAUGAGUUGCUCGUGGACUUUUUGUGAAAAAGAAAUCGAAGGUAAAAAGCCUUCCCGUUCAAUGACCACAUCCUCAUUUUCAAUUUCAUUAUCAUUUUCCUUCCCCAUGAAUUCUUCUCUACCGACUUCAGCAUCAAUCACCCCCCUUUGUUGUUCCAUUAGUUUAUCUCGAAAGAACAACAUAGAUGGAUUAUCUCCAUCCUCCCCUUGUGCUUUGAAUUUGGUUUUCUUGGUCGAUCGAUCAUCCUCAAGGGGAGGGGGGUUGUUCUUGUUAAGAGAGUUUUUGGUUGAGAGCAUUUUCCAACGACUAGUUUUUUCUUUUCUUUCGCAGAUAAUUAGACGUUUAAAUCACCGAAGCUGUGGAUUUGUCAUUUGGUAGUUGAUAGUUACAAAUUGUUUAUUCUUUAUAUUUAGAUGUGCGCAGAAAAUGGCCAAAAUUUAAUUUGAAAUUUGGAUCCCUCUAAGUUACAUGUAAUAUAACUUACACCCACUCACAUGAAUAGUGAACAGUGGGUGAUGUGAGGCCCACUCAUUGUUCAUGUGAGUGGUGUAAGUUACGUUACAUGUAACUUAACACUUGCCUUGAAAUUUUAAAUUUGAAUCCCUCUAAGUUACAUUACAUGUAACUUAACACUUGCCUUAAAAUUUUACAUAUGAAUCCCUCUAAGUUACAUUACAUGUAAUUUAGCACUUGCCUUAAAAUUUUACAUAUGAUUCUAUCCGGCUUUGUCAAUUAAUUCACCAGUGAUGAUGAAUAAUGAUAGAUAUUAAUGUUUGAAUUCAAAUUGAUUUGACAUUCAUUUAUUAGAUGAUAUAAUAAUAAUUUUAUUUUUGUCAUAUAAUAGAUGUGUGAUACUUAACAUUUACACUCAAAUUAAAAUUUAAAUAUUGAAAUUCUAAUAUUAGUGGAGUUAUAUUGAGUUGGGAUACAAAUUUUGACUAUUAAUGGUGUAACACUUGAUGUGAUGGUAUUAAAUUAUCUCAUUAUGAAAGAAAUAUUAAAAUUGAGUAAAGUUUAUAGGGAAAAUCAUUUUGUGUGAGUAUUCUCAAUUUUCAAUAUAAAAAUUACGAGACAAAAUUAAGGAGGAGAAUGACACAUUGCACUGUUUACAAGCUAUUGGAUAAUUUGGUCAUAUUUCAAAAAGCGAUUUAACCACGGAGGUCCAUCACAGAAGUUUAAAGACCUUUCGUUGAAAGAACAAAUGUGAUAAUUGAUAUUAUUAAUAAAGAAAUAAAUAAAUGGGAUAAAUCUAAUUUUUCAAAUUUCUCCGGAGGAAAAGGCUGCGAAUUAUGACUCUCCAUAAGAAAGACGUCACAUGAAUUUAUUUAUUUAUUUAUUUUCUUGUAAAUUUUACAUGAUUGGAAGUGUGGAGGUGUGUGAUUAUCAUUUCUGUCCUAAAAUACCUGUCAACCUUCCACAAUUUUUGAGAUUGCCAAUUAGUUUGUUGGUCCUUCAGGUAUUUGGAGGCUUAUGAUACUUAUUUGCGAUAGAAAAAGUUGGCGGAUGUCGAAGGAAGCCUGCAUAAUUAAUUAAGCCUUAUGGUACUCAUCUGUCAUAAAUUAGGAUUCGUCUAUGAUGCAACUGUGGUGUGCUACCACAAUUUUUGUCCUUAACCCAACUAACCGUUGGUUCAAAAGUUAAAUAAUCUAACAUGUUUUUAAUUGCCACACAUAUUUUCAAGUAUACUGGUGAAAUUAGGACAGUUAUGACUUAAUUUUAAAGAUCUCUUGCCUAAUAAAACUUACUUUCAAUUAAAGGGUAUUGCUACCUUUUUUUUUGUAUUUGGUAAUUCAUCAAACACGAACAAAUUGACGAACACAUAAUUUCUUUUCUUUUUUACAUUUUGCUUUUCAUCAAUUCCUUCAACGUCCUCUGUACAUCAUCUUUCUUUUUUUCUUUUUUUGUUGUUGCUGGAAUCAGUUGGUCGUUGAUGGUAUUGCCCCAAAAUUUCAUCUUUACAUCUUCAAGUCCUUCAUCUUUUUUUUUUUUUUCCUGUCUAAUCCUUCAAUGUAAUGAUCCAUUUCACUUAUGCAACUUUUGCUAGGACUUCAAGAUUGAUUUUUGUGUGUUAACUUACAUUUGAGUUGAAAACAACUUGGAUGUAUUUCAUGCCUGCUACCUGUUUGACGAAAUUCCUCACAGAAGAAACAUACAGUUUCAGAUGCUAUUCUUGCUAAAGAGUUCAAUAAGAGAGAUAUUUCUGGUAUUGAACAUAAAAAAUAGAGCAAUAAAUAGAAAAUUAAUUAAUGACAACUUCUUCUGAAAAAAAAAAAUUAAUUGAAUUUUGCUAUUUUUGAUUGAUAUGAUGAUGAUGGAAGUCAAGUGUGUUAUGUAAGACGAAAGACGAGAAAUCAAUGGUUAAUUUCAGCGCUCAAAAGAUUGUAUUUCAGUAUAAUGCACGCACCGAGGACGAAAAUGAAAAGAUGAAGUCAAUUAAUUGCAACUCACUCAAAAGGUUACCUGUGUCAGUCCAAUUUAUCCAAUAAUUAAGUCCAGCCCUUAGAUUAAAGAAAGAAGUAUCCAACGGUUUUGUUUGAUAUAUACAAAAGAAUGCGGUAUGGUGCAACUGUUGCAACAAGACACCAUAAAUUAUCUCAUUAUGACAGAAAUAUUGAAUUGCACGAGUUAAUUAGGAAAAUAAUUUUUGUGUGAGUAUUCUCAAUUUCCAAUAUAUAAAUUAAAAGAAAAAAAUUAAAAAGCAGAAUGACGCUUUACACUUGUUUAGAAGCUACUCGAUACUUUGGUCAUAUUUCAAAAAAUAUAUUAACUACGUAGGUCCACAUAUAAUAAAAGUUGUAAGAGAUUUUUUGUUGAAAGGAUAAAUGUGAUAUUUUAAAUAAACAUAUUUAAUAAAUGGGAUAAACCUAAUUCUUCAAAUUUCUUCCUAGGAAAGGCUGUCAAUUAUGGCUCUCCAUAAGAAUGACGUCACCCAGAUGAUGUAAUCAGAAACUUUUUCCUUCAUCAGUUACUACGCAAUUUUUAACGUCCAUUUGUUCCACUUCAACUGAAAACUCAUCACUUCCUGCCUGCAAAAGUUAUUUGAGUGUCCAAAAAACUAUAGUGAAUCUACAUUUUUAUUGUUAAGGGAGUCAUUUAAAUAUGAAAUUGACAUGACAGCUAAUACAAAGCUACAGUUGCUACUUGAACAAAAUUAACAUGAAUAAAAAAAGUGUAGCUGCAACUAAUAACAUUAAAGCAAAGGAAUAAAGUAUUAACUAGAGAUUUUAAACAUAACUGUUUGGUUUAAAAUUAUGGGAAUUUUAGAUUACACUUACAGUUUUUAUUGUUUUUUAAUUUUUGAAGAGAAAGAAAAGAAAAAAAAAGAUCAGCUAUAUGAUUAAAGAAAGAUAACAUGGUUAUGCAUGGAGGGAACAAAAGAGUAAUUGAAGUGAGUUAUUUAACGGACCACCGCAGCAUUGAUCGGCGUGUACGGUGCCGCCGGCGCGGUGACGUCGUCAGAGAGGUGGCAUCGUCGGCGUCAUUGUAAGUGUGAGUGUGACUGUGCGAGUGAAUAUGAGAGUGACUCAUCGUGGUUUUAAACUAGAGGCAGACUCAAAAUGUACAGUUGUCAAUAUAUAAUUGCAGUGCCCUUGCUCUCAUUUAUGAUACAAAUUAAUAAAAACUAUGAUUCAUUCAACAUUCACCAACCUUCCUCCAAUCCAAUUUUUUGGUCAUAUUAGGAUGGCUAUAAAUGCCAUUUAAUCGAUCGAUAACCUUAAUUUUCGAGAUUGCUAUGGCCGAAACUUUUUAAUUUUUUUUUUAAGUCUUUUAUUUCGUGCAAAAAUUAUAUAUCACGUUUUUUUAUUUCUCAUUAAUGACUGUAUUUUUGUGUCAUAAUUCAGGAACAACUUGUUGUUUCAAAGGGGCAGCAACAAGGAAUAGCUAUUUAUUUAAAAUAUGAAGUGGGGAAAAACUGCAAUACUUCAGAUCAUGAUCCAUAAAUUAUUCUCCUUUUUUAUCUCUAGAAAAAAUUGAAUUAAUUUCUUGAAAAAAGAUCCAACAAAUGAGUGCUUUAAUUUCGUAAUUUAUUAUUAUUAUUGCUAUUUCUGUUUAAAUAUGAAAAAAGAAGAAGAAGAAUUGGGUUAUUUUUAUUUUGUCGUAUAUCAGGGUUCAUAAUAGAUGUACUCGUGUCAAUAUAUAAUUGCCUUUGCCUUCCCUCUGGUGAAUUCAUUGAUAAUUGAAAAAGAUGGUAGCUGCUUGUGGUUGUGGGACGCUCUCGUUUAUGGUACAAAUUAAGAAUAAAAAUUUAUAUUUAAUUAACUCAACUGCUUGUGGUUUUGGAGGUACUUGGAUGUCAUUUAAACGAUAACCUAGAUUUUCUAGAUUGCUAGCUAUGGCCGAGUUUCUUAAUCUUUCUGAAGUCUUUUCGCGCAAAUAUUAUAUCCACGUUUUUUUCAUUUCUCAUUAAUGCAUUGUCAGUUCAAUAAAAAAUCUAGUGUGGAAACUGGAAAAUUUGGGAGGAAUCAUUAAUGCGUUGCACGUGCAACCUAAUCAAGAAUGUGCUUGUGUAUUAUUUUAAUAAAUCUAUUUCCAAUAAACCGAAAUAGUCAAAUUCUUAGUUCUCCCGUGCUAUAUAUUUGGUCUAUGGAUAUAUUAAUGUUUGUUUCUUUUAAUUAAAUUUUUUUUUUUUUUGCAUAUCAUAACCUCUCAGAUCACUGUCUAACAAGAUUGCCUUUAAAUUUGAAGAAUUUCACAUAAAUUGGAUACGGGUGAUUAUGGUGUCCUUCCAUUUUCUAACGAAUUAAUUUUCACUGUCAAUUUGUAAUUUGGCUAGCUGGAAUGACAGUGACCUGACUGAAAAAUAUGUUAUCUUGACGUCGACUGACCAAGUCAAAGUCUUUUAAGUGCACAAUCCAACCCUUUUGAAGUGGCGAUUCAGUUCGGCACUUCAAGGAAUAAGUUACUCGGCCGAAUUUGCAGAAAUAUUCCGAAGUUUAAUUCUUCACUUGGAUUUUCAUUGCUGAUCAUGUAAGUUAGUUGUUAUUUUUAAUUUUUUUCGGCGUUGUCACCCAUGUGCUUACACUUUUUGCGGAGCUAGUUUUAUGUUCUUAAUGUUCUAAUUUUCAAUGAAUGUAUUUGGACAAAGCCAUGAGCUAGUCUUUUAAAGGACUUAACUUGUAUUAAUAUUGCUGAUAUAUUCCUUAUAAAUCCAAAAGAGCAAACAAAGUUCUUAUAAAAAACGCAAGGAUAGCAGACAGUGAUUUAAUUUUUUUUAUUUUAUUUUGAUGUUAUCUCAAUUUUAAUAAUAGAUGAUUGAUUGAUUCAAUCUUCUUCUUGUCCAUAAUUAAGAUAACUACUUUCUACUUCCUAAAAAAAUCUCUAAUAUGUCGAAAUAAGUUUAUAAACAUUUGUAGAAAUCAAUAUCUUGGGAUUGUUGCUUGUUAAUUAUAUGUAAGUUAUACCAUUUUUAUGUUUUUUUUAAUCUGCUCGGCAUGUUUGAUAUAUUUCAACCCAAAUCCCCCUUGAUUGGGAAAAUAAACCAUUUCCUGCUCAUAUUUUGAAAUCCUACUCCAAAAUUCUCAUUUUAUUUGGUGAAAAUUUUCUAGAUGUUGAUAAACUUAUGUUAACUGUCAACUAAUGUUAAAUUAAGUCAAUUUGUUUUUCAACUAUCAGAUUUGGUAAUUUUCCCCUUUUUCCAGUGUAUGCAAAUCCACGACAACCACCCUACGCCUCCUUCCCUUAUUUUUUUAAGGAAGUAUGUGAUUUUUUAAACUGGGUUUUGAUUGCUGGCAACUGUAAUAUGUUGGACUUCCGUGAUUGGCUUGUUUGUACUCUACAGAUAUAUAUGUAUAAAAAAAAAAGGAAAAAAAUAUGACAAAACCUUAACUUGCGUUUCGAUCAUAUCAGGUCUCAGGAUCCAGAAGCAGGUUCAAAAGAUGAACAGUAUUCUAAAGUGUAUGGUACUGGAACGAUGUCGGCCGAUAAAAAACAAACUACAUGCUUAGGUUGCUUUAAAAAUCUUCUAGUUAUUAUACUUCUUUGCGUUAAAAAUCUUCUAGGUAUUAUACUUCUUUGUGUGGCGCUAUUAUGCUUUAUAAUAUUUGGUGGGACAAUAAUGCUAGUGCUUUAUUACCUGUUGAUUACAAUGAUUGUGUUAUAUCAUAAAACUGGUAAAGCGAUAGCGAGAGCAAUACGCAGGAUUAAAACAAUCAAGGAUAAAGAAUAUAUUGAUCGUCUAAUGAAUGUGACUGCAAUGAUCCUUGAUGUGACUGCAAUCAUCCUUGAUCCUUUAUUCUUCUACAUUCUGGUGCUGGAUGAUGAAAAGAAAUGCAUUCACUGGGACAAAACCUUGGGGAUUACAGCUACCGUCAUCCGUUCCGUCCUCGAUUUCCUUAAGCUAGGCCAUUUUAUCUCUCACUCUAAGCUGCAUAUGGCAAAGGGGAACCGAAGAGAAAAAUUUAAGGCCAUUUUCAAGGUGUAAUUUACUUUCGCUAACUAGUUGUUUCUUCAACUUCCAUAAUUUAUAUAAAUAUAGUCUCCGUUAUCUUCUUUGCUCCCUACGAAGUAUUUGCUUUUUUUUUUUUUUUUUUUGGCCUUAAAAGGGAGAAGGAGAAGUACCUGAAGAUCCAAUGGGACGAAUGCGGAAGCUCUUCCUCAUUGAUUGUUUGGCCAUCCUUCCCAUCCCCCAGGUAAAGGCACUAUCUAAUUUACAAUUACGUAAAUUCUGUUUAUUGACAUAUUAUGUAGUUCAAUCCUUCCCAUCCCCCAUGUGCAUAUCGUAAUAGUCUGCUUGAUUCCUGUCAUAUGUACAUCACAAAGUGGUUUUGAUUGUGAUAAAGAUAGAUCUUCAUACGAUUCAUGUCAAGGAUAAUGAUUUCAAUGUCAUUUUUCCCUUUACUUUGAUUAAAGUUGUAUUUAGACAUACAACCCUAAAUGUUUUGCAUGGAUAUUAGGGGUGGCAAUUUUCGCUAGUGAGUAGUGUUAAAUUUCAGCUAUGGGAAUUCGAUACUUUAUUAAUCUUGUUAAUAAUUUCAAACACCAACUCCACCUGUCUAUUAAUAAUUAUGUCACAUGCUUAAUAUGCUUUGAAAGUAUAUUUUUAAAUUUGACUUGUUUACAAGUUUUUAAGAUAUUUGUUUAAUUAAGAUAUUUAUAGUACUGCCUCUCAAAUUCAAAUCAAUUCUAGUCUUAAUAUAACUAGAUAAUUUUGAAAUAUAUACAAAUAGAAAGUAGUUCAAUUGUAUCCAAAAUCUAGUCGUACAACCAUUAUUGAUCAAAUAGUUAAUUAUGUCAUAAUUAAAUAGGCUCACGUGACAGGAACUUAAAACCUGAAGAAGUGAACACAACACAAAAUAUUUGUGUUCCUUUUCACCAACGCGAACAAACUAUUAUUUUCAUGCCAUUGGAAUCAGUUUCGCAGGUCAUUUCAAAAUUUGUCACCCCAGCUAUACCAUCGUUUUGCACAAAAAUAAAUAAUCAAUUUUGUUCAUAUUCAAUAUCCUUCAAAAUAUUUAUUUCCAUUAUUCCAUAUCAACUAAUAGGACAAACCGUCCAGGUUUUGGUGAUUUUUGGAAUAAGAGGCCCAGGAUUUUCAACGGCAAUGACCUUCUUUGUUUUACAAUAUUCGCUAAGGGUUAUUCGAACGUACUUUCUCUUCACACAUGCUACACGGGUUUCAGGGAUACUUGCCGAUGCUACAUGGGCCAUUUUUGCCUUCUAUCUUCUUCUUUAUCUGCAAAGCGGUCAUGUAAGUUCAAAGUAUUAUCAUUUUACCGAAAUAGUUUUUGGGAAAUUACAAUUUUUCCACCAUAUAGAUCGCCAAAUUAAAGGCCAAAAACAUUACAAAAUUUUGAAAUUUACAUUUUUAUACAAGAAGUUUCCAAAAACACCAUUUUUAUAUUAUAUUUUUUGGAAUCAGAAAAGCAUGAACUACGAUAUUCACUAUUUUGUAAUUUAGAAAAGCAUAUUCUAAUAAAACUAGAAUUUUAGCAACGCCCAGUUAUUACACAUAUAUACGCACAGUCAGUUAGCUUUUUUUUAUGUAAAUUUUAGAUAUUGGAAUUGUCGAUGUAUGAUAUUCCCUCUACUCUGCAAAUUAAUUUUUCUGAUAAGCUAUCUUUCAGAUGUUUGGAGCCUUAUGGUACUAUUAUGCCAUAGAAAAAGCGACUGAAUGCUGGAGGGAAGCCUGCAAAAAUCAUACCGGAUGCAGCGGUCAUAGUUAUUUUUCCUGUAAUAAAAGUUCCAGAGACUACAAUUUUCUAAAUGAUUUUUGCCGUAUAAGUACAGGAAGUACUACCAGCUAUAGUUUUGGAAUAUAUAAUGAUGCUCUUCAGUCUGGUAUUGUGGGGGAGACAGAUUUUCCUAAGAAAUUGAUACGUUGUCUGCGAUGGGGCCUGCAAAAUCUCAGGUUUGCUGUUUUUUAUAUGGCUUGGAUAAUGAUUAUUGUGCAUGUGAUCAGGUCCGUUACAGGUUCUCUUAGUCCGGUGCAGGUUUAUUUUGUAGUUCUUUUCGCAUCCAUGUAUUCUUUUUUUUUUCCCCAAUUCUCUUUUAUUCUUUUCUUUGUAGCUUCAUGCAUAUUGUAAGGGCUAAAUUUUAUUAAAACCCACUAAUUAGCCAAUGCAGACCAAGACAUUUUAUUGAAAGGGGCUACAUCAAAUAAUACCAAUAAUAUACAUAACAUAAGGGAUUAAUUAAGUUUAUAUGAUAAAAUUAAGUAAUUUCAUAUUUUUUUAUUAAAUUAAGAUGACAUGUGAAAGUAAAAGAGGGAUAUUGUUAUUAUUUUUAAAAGGUUUAACAAGGAGAGUAAAAAAUACUGUUUAAUUUUUUUAUAAAUUCAGAAUAAUUGAGGGGUACGUUUUUAGGGGUUUAUUUCAAACGAACUCUUUUAUUCAACUCAAAUAUUUAAAAAAUCAUUGGGGGUUUAACUAAUAUUUUCUGCUAAGGUCUCGAAUGAAAUUUCAGAGGGGUUAUAUGAAACAUUUCUUUUCUAUCGGCUAGUCAUUAGGUAAGUUCGAUCUUGUUUGUUCUCAUAAAAAGAGUACGAAUGUCGGGGCCACGCACAUUAUUUAAAUACGCAAUUAUGGGCUUUAGUUACCUUACAUUAUUAUGUAAAUUUCAUAAUUUUUUGAUAACUAUUUGAUGAAAAUCUAAUGGUUGUGAGAAUAAUAUGAUUUUAUUAUUUUAUAUUUCCAUAACCGUUGGAUUUUCAUCAAACGGCUGUGAAAAAAUUAUGCAACUUAUAUAAUAAUGUAAGGUAACAAGCUCCCGCAAGUAUGUAAUACUUAUGAACUGAAUUGAACUUUUUGCAGUGCAUUUGGUCAGAACCUCGAAACAAGUAACGAUGUCGGGGAAAACAUCUUUGCAAUUUGCAUGACCAACUACGGCGUAGUUCUGUUUGUCUUUUUAAUUGGAAGGAUGCAGGUCACAUACAUUUUUCUGUUUCUUCUCGAUUUCUCAAUUAACUUUCUUCUCGGGCUGUUAAUUAACUUUGAUCCUUUUAACUCAUGAAACACGAUAUAUAUAGGUUUUAAUUAGAUUUGAAAACACACAAGUUAAUUAUUUAGGUCAAAUUAAUUAAUGGCUAGAUGUACAGACUGAAAUUGCAAGGUCACAGAAGAUAAACCAGAAGUGGCAGGUGAUAAGGCAGUCGAAACACUAUGCGGAUAUCUCCCGUGAUCAAAAUGUCCGAGGGCAGUUCAAGAAAGCCAAGCGUGAAAAUUUGACAAACAAACACGUUGAUGUUCGCAUAGAUAGUUUUAUAAGCGAUCUCUCCCUCGACGCUCAAAAAGAAGUAAAACGCCAUAUGGGCCGAAAACUGCUCAGAAAAGUGAGUUUCUAUUUCUCUGGAUAAUAAUAAUCCUUAGCUACGUACCUGCCUCUUAUUAAUUAGUUAUUCAUCAGAAGAUGUCGAAGGGGGAAGUUUGUUAGAAUUUUUUUUGUGUUGACGUCUUAUAGCAACAUCUAGAAUGAUUCUUCAUUGUAUGUCCUUGAUUGUUAGAAAAUUAAUGGCAAAUGAAUUAGUAAAUAUGAACCAUAUAGGAGCAACAAUACAUAUAUAAGGGAAAAGGACAUUCAACCCCCCAACGUUUAGGAAAAGAGACAAAAAAACCCCUCAACGUUUCAAAAAGGACUUAUAAUCCCCUUUCCGUUAACAAACACCGUUUGUUUUAACAGUAAAUUUAUUUUUAAUUUUUAAUUACUAUUAUACCCUUAUAAUAAAAAAAUUAAUAUAUUAAUUUGAGAUAUAUCACAAUUAAUAAUUUUUUAAAAGCUUAAAAUUGAGAUACAAUUAUUUUUUUGCCAAAAUUAUUUACUAUAAAUUAUACCUUUCUAACAAUAAUAAUAUGGUUUUGAUUCCUCAAAGAAAAAGGGUUUAAUCAAAUUUCGUUUUAUUAGUAAUAAUCACAUAUGAAAGGUUUGAUCAUUAGAAAGGUAUAAUUUAUAGCAAAUAAUUUGGGCAAAAAUGUAAUUGUAUCUCAAUUUUUAGUUUUAAAAAAAUUAUUAAUUGUGACAUGUCUCAAAUCAAUAUAUUAAUUUAUAUUUAUUAUAAGGGUAUAAUAGUAAUUAAAAAUUAAAAAUAAAUUUACUGUUAAAACAAACGGUGUUUAUUAACGGAAAGGGGGUUAUAAGUCAUUUUUGAAACGUUGAGAGGUUUUUUGUCCCUUUUCCUAAACGUUGGGGGGUUGAAUGUCCUUUUUCCUACAUAUAAUGACAAUUUUUGAAUGCUGUCAAGAGGGCACCGAAUACGAAAGCAUUUUUAUCUUAUUAUCAUUUUCUUCUUAGUAAAUGAUAAUUAAGGAAAAUAGUAAUGACAGAGAGUACUGAUCUGGUCCAAGAUUUUGAAUCUUAUUAAAGUUUGAGAUAAUUAUUAAGUUAUAAGAUCAAAUAAUAAAACAGCAUUACACUCUUAAACAUAAGUUUUCACAAGUACGCAGUAGAUGGUGAGAUAAUGUGUAAUUAAUAGUGUAAUUAAGUAAUGAUGCUUCUUGAUGAGCCAUCAUCAAAUGGGUGAUUUUGACAAAAGUUAUAGAAUUUAUGUAUUUCAGUAUUCUAUAACUUUAUAAUCGUUGUAUAAAUUUGUAUUGACUCUGAUUCUCAUAUAUCAAGGUAGAAGAAUUACUUAAUGUAUUUCAAUAUUCUAUAACUUUAUAAUCGUUGUAUGUAUUUGUACUGACUCUGAUUCUCAUAUAUCAAGGUGGAAGAAUUACUUAAUGUAUUUCAAUAAUCUAUAACUUUAUACUCGUUGUAUGUAUUUGUACUGACUCUGAUUCUCAUAUAUCAAGGUAGAAGAAUUUCAAAAUUGGGAUGAGUUCUCUUUGGACUCUCUGUUUGGUUGUCUGAAGCCAGUCGUCUUUAGUGAAAGGACUGUAAUUAUUCAGGAGGGAGAUCCAAUUAAUGUGAUGACUUUUGUGUUGCAAGGCAAGACUUGGGCCUACUCCAAGAAAUUGUCAAUCACUAGACAGAGACAUCAGGACGAUUGUGAUGUUCGCCGAAAAGAACUCAUAGACUGGGCCAAGAAUGAAAACUCGUACCAGCAGCUCCCUAUAUCAGACAGAACCGUUCGAGCACUUACCGACGUUGAAGCCUUUACUCUUAAGGCUGAUGACGUGAAAUGUGCAUUACUUUUCGGUCCUGUUUCCAAAGAGGCAGCAACUCUCAUACAAUCAGUCUGGCGUUUCAAGAAGCGCAAACAUGCUAAUGACAAGAAUGCAAAGCCAAGAUCAUGCAUGGACCGCUGUUUCAGGACACAGGACAAAGUUGUACUGAAUUAAAUUAACUAUUUGGGAUUGGACUUGGAAGUAUUUAUUACACUACUAUAUCUGUUAUUUAUGUUUUGUGUUUCUGUUUAGGUACCAGAAAUAAAGUACUUCUGUUGAGUGACAAAGUAGACUAUAAUUAUCUGGUACAUGGUUUUCGAUGAAAAUAGUGUAAAUAGCAAUAGAUCACAACCCAUAGAGCACAGUCUAGGGAAGGAACAGAUGCACAAUUCCAGUCAAGUGAAUAAUCACAGGAUAUUUUCAUCCGCUUUUAAUAAAUAUAAAAAUGAAAACUAAACGGAGAAUAUUCUUAAACACAAGUACUGUGAUUGUGAUUAUCAAUAUUAAGCAAUCAACCUCGUACAAUCAUCAACCAGUGAUAAUGUAACAUAUGUGAAUUAAAAAUGAAUAAGUAUGAGGCGGUUAAGAAGUUAGUAAAAGCAAAAGAAUAAGCUGGUGACAGAGGAAACAUAUGCACGUGUAACAGAGAGUGAGAGAGAAGCUGCCAAACCGACCCAACUACAGACCCGAAAACCCGACCCGGGACCCGACACCUUGACCCGGCCAUAUCUCCCAUUUCUGGCCACCGUUUCGGCCGAGCUUGAUACCAAUCUGAAGCUUAGAAGCUGACCGCGUUCCUUGCCAUCCUCGCCGCCGAAAACCAACCGGAACGCCGGCGAUCGAAGCUUGAAAACCCGCGACUGUUUCGCUUUGCUCCGCCGGGAUUUUCGCCGGUUUUGGGUGACACCACCGGCUGUAUUUUGUUCCUCACGACUCCCUCUUCCAUUUCCGACCAUCCAUAGCCACCGGGUGUCACUGUUUUUCCGCCGGUCAAUUGUUGGAAUUCACGGCUGUCGAGCUAGAUUCCGGCGCCGUUGCCGCGCGUUGGAACUCACCGCCGGUACCAUUGAACUCAGCGUGAUUGGAACUUUCAUAUUUGAGCUUCCCGGCCAGCGUUGACCAAAUUCCGGUGACCGUUGACCGGCGAGGGCAUUUCGGUAAUUUCACACUAUAAGGGCAAUUUUGUAAUUUCUGAGCCUGUGGAUAUUUUAGUAAUUCCUGGAAUUGAGGAGUGGGUGUAAUUAUGAUUCCGAGGGUAAUUCGAUGAUUUACGAUUUCGAAGUAUUUUAAUGAUUUACGGACUCGAGGGUAUUUUAGUAAUUUUACCGACACGGGAGUUGUAAAUUAUGGAUAGAUGUUCGUUUCGAGUUUAUUGCAUAAAUUUAGUCGUAAUUCCGAUUUAUAAAAAAAUAAUUAUGUCAUUUCCUUGAUUUAGGAGGAUUCACGAGCGAGAACCGAUCGCGGACGUGGACGAUAACCGAGCGUGAACACCAUCACUGUGAGUGGAAUAUAGAAAACCUAUUUUCCUACUUAAUUAUGAUAUUAAAGCAUGUUUGUGAAAUAAGUAUUUUAAAUGUUCUGAUUUAAUGAUUUCCUCGAAAUGGAUUUUAUACACGCAUUGAUAUUAUAUUAAAAUGUUUUAUUAAUGAUUUUGCGUAUCGACUUUGAAUAAGCAUGAUAGUAUUUUAAAGAUGAAAAAAGUGGAUUCAAAUGUGGUAUGAUUUAAAGUAUGGUUAAAAUGUAUGUGAAUAUUAGUAUAAUGAUUAUUUUUGAAAUCAUUAGACAGUACCCUUACCCUCCAGAUACAAUGAUACAGAUGAGAUGAGAUAUAGGCUUUUGGGGCCGUCUGAACACACAUAGAGGUUUUGGGCCAUGUGUUUGGGCGCUUUUGCCUUUUGGGGGUAUAUACAUGCGGUAUGAUGAUUACAGAGAUACAUAUAUGAGAUAUAGACAUAUAUUGAGAUACAGAUGAUACGAAUGAGAUACAGGUCUUUGGGGCCCGACUGAGUACACACAGAGGCUUUGGGCCGUGUGCGUGGGCGCUUUUGUCCUUUGGGGACUAGAUUAUGCAUGCAUAGAUAUGAUGAGAUAUGAGAUGGUAUUUCCCUGUCUAUCCGUGUAGCUCCGGGGCGUGCGGUACCCAGAUAAUACGUCAUUGCCCAUCCGUUGAGGUCCAGAUAUGACGAGAUUAUUUUCCUGGAUACUUGUUUGGUGAUGAUUUUCAAAUUUGUGUAUUCUAUUUGAUAUUGUGAUAUGAUUUCUAUGGUUAUUGGGUACGAUAUUAUAUAUGUUUUUCAUGGUUAGUAAUAUGAUUUAAAUGUUAAAUGAUUUAUUACUGGUUUCUCGCAUAUGGUUUGAUAAAAUCGUGUUUGGAAAUGAUAUGAUUAUUUCUUUUAAAGUAAGAAUUAAUUUUCAAAAAUUACUAUCCAAUCACUGAUCUCACUGAGUUUUAAACUCACCCUGUUUUUAUUAUAUUUUUCUCCCCACGAGGAGGUUGCAGGUACACUAGACUGACUCAGCGACUGUAAAUAUAUUUUGAGUCUCGGCCACGUGAUGGUGUUAGAAGAUAAAAAUGUUUUUGUUAGGACAUCUUGGUUAUCUCGUUCUUUUGGGAUUGUAUAAUUUUGUUAUAUUAUUCUUUUGGGAUUAAGAAUAAAUUGAGAUAUUAUUAUUAGUUAUAAUAUUAUUUUUUAAGACUCUGGAGAUAUCUUGAGUAAAAUUCAGCAUUUUGGUUGAGGAUAUUGAUAAUUGGAAUUGUUGUAUAUUGAAUUAUAUUGAGAGUGUUAUAUUCAUAUUUGUAGAUUGGGAGUGUUAUAUUUAUAAAGGAGAUUCUGUCGAAUUUUCAGCAGAAUUCUUACUAAUAGAAUUAUUAUCAAGUCCGUUUUGAUGAGACUACAUUGACUCGCCCAGGGGGUUUCGGAGUGGGUCGUUUCAGAUAAACUAUUCAUGCCAGUAACAUGACCAUCUUAUUAAUUUCAGUCCACUGCAAAGUGCAAAAAAAUUACUCACAUCCUCUUCGACUAAAAUUGAAGUUUAUUCCUGGCUCCCUUCAACAAAUUUUCUUUUCUAGUACUCUACCAUUCACAUUCAUCCCAUAAAAGAUCAAUUUAUUAGAAGACGAUAUUCCUCCAUCAAAUUGAAAGAGAAAUUGAAAAUAUCAAAAAGGGAACAGCAAGAUGAUUCUAGUAUCAUGAUAAUAAAUAUAUCUAUAUCUAUCUAUCUAUAUACAUAUCUAUUGGUUUUUGUUUUGUAAAUGGAACAUCAUUUCUUCACUUCGUAAACUAAUGUUGAUAAAACUUUCAGGAAGACAACAACAUGAAACCGAGCCGAGGUGCACAAAAAUGAUGAAGAAAUAUUUCAGCUUCAUCGAUUGUCUCGAAUAAAAACAUCAAUGAUGUGUUAAACAUUUAACUCAGAAAUAGAUUGCUUGCCUUAAAGGUGUGCCCAAAUUAUAAACUUCAGUUUCGACUAUUGACCUUGGUUCGUGACGCGAUAAACUAAUCCGUGGCAUUUCACAUACCCAACAAUCUUGUAAGAAUUGGUUGAACUCUCAAAUCCCAUUCCAUAACAUGCAAAACUCCCUGAUAUUGCCAAUGGCGGUGAUAGGAUUCGUUUAAAGAGUUCCCCUUGUUGCCACGUACCUUUAAAGAACAAUAAACUAUUACCAGUGUUCUCGACACGGUCCCAUCACUCUAAAAAUCGAACGCAUGUGAGCAAAACAAAGGCAGUCAAUUAUGUCACUCCAGUAUUCAGAGACAGAUCGCCGACCCAUAAGUGAUUUAGUGGGCAAUCUAAGAAAGAUGUCGUAGAUGAUACAAUCAGAAAUUUCUUCCUCCAUCAGUUUUUUACAAGUUUUAACAUCCAUCUCAGAUUUUGUUCAAUUAAGAACUUAAUCAGUUCCUGCAUGUAAAAGUUGUUUUGAGUGUCAUAAAACCUGUAGCGAAUUGUGAAGAGAGCUCACUGUGCUGAGUUAAAACAAGAAAGGAAGCCAACAGUCAAGAUUCUUCAGCAAUGCCACGUCAGUGCUGAGUCAGCUGAUUCUGUUAAGGAUUGUUGAAAGCUCACGUGACUAUUAGUUAGUUAAUUAGCUUUUAGUUAGUGAUGCAGGAUUCUGAUUGGUUGAUUAAUUGCAAUGCUUAUUUGAUCAAUUGUAGCUUGGAAAUAAACUGUAUAUAAACAGAGUCUGUAACGAUUGCUUCUAUGAAAAAAUAAAAAAAAUAUUCCAGAGAGUUUAUCUAUUUUCUCAGUAACCAAACAAGCAUUUAGCUUAAUUUGCUAUUAUUUUACAUGGUAUCAGAGCCACAAUAUGGCAAGCUCAAGCAAUCCAAACGGAAAUUCAAACACAAUCACUGCAAAUCAAUCAAUACAAACCACAUUCUCCUUCAUAUCACCAAUCAAGUUAGAUCGAUCUAACAACAUGCUCUGGCGAAAUCAAGUUCUAGCCUCUAUAAGAGGAAACAGACUUGAAGGUUACAUUAAUGGAGAGAAGGUUGCUCCCAAUCAGUUUAUCACAACUGGAGGAUAUGCUGGAGCAGCAGGUAGUUCUACUCAACAGAAUGAAAAUCCAGAAUAUACAGUCUGGAGAUCACAAGAUCAGACAUUACUAAGCUGGCUGUUGAGCUCAGUCACUGAAGGUAUUCUCAGCCUUGUUCAUUCUUGCAAUACUUCAUAUGAUAUAUGGAAAACAUUGGAGAAAAAGUUUGGUGCAAAAUCUGAAGCAAGAGUACUUCAACUUAGAUAUGAAUGAGUGUUUUAAGAAAAGAUUCACUGAAUAUAGAAGAUUAUUGUUUGAAGAUGAAACAAAUAGCAGAUAAACUAGCAUGUGCUGGUAAUCCAGUUUCAGAUAAAGAUUUGCUGCAACAAAUUCUAAAUGGUCUUGGACAAGGAUAUCUUGAUUUAGCUACAUUCAUAACAGCAAGUAAACUUGAUUAUGAUGAUGCAUAUGCACUACUACUUACUCAUGAAACAAGACUUGAACAGAGUAUGAAUGAAAAACAGAUGUUCAAUGCAAAUUUUGCCAAUUUUACUUCUAAUAACAGUGGAUAUGGUAUGAUGAAUGCCUUUUAUGCACAAGCAAGAGGCAAUGCUCGAAGAGGUGGAUAUAAUGGAGGUUUUCACAGUGGAAAUCAAGGUGGAAGAAAUAAUUUUCAUACUGGAAGGGGAAUGUUUGUUAACUCUCAUCCAAGAGGUUUUCCCUCUGGAACUGGAAAUUUUGGUAACAGUCAUGGUAGAGGUCAGAUGAUUGGUAAUAAUAAACAGAUGCAAUUUAUGAGAGGUCAAUACAGUGGUAACUCUGGUAUGCCAAACUCUGAUGGUAAUGAUGAGCAAAGUGUUGUAUGUCAAAUUUGUUUUAAAUCUGGGCAUACAGCAACAGAAUGUUGGCAUAGAUUUGAAGAGAAUUAUGUACCACAAUACAUGAAGAAAGGAAGAAAUUAGAGAUCAGCUUAUAUGGCAUAUUAUGAUGCACCAACUGAAAAUUCAUGGUCAACUGCUUGUUCAGGAAUGCCUCAAAUGCACAAUCCAUCAUUCACCCCAUACAUGUCUGAUUCAGUGAACUUGUCAGGAGCUGGAGCUGGAGCUGCCUAUGUUGCUAAUUUUGAAGGUCCAGCAGAUGAAGGAUGGUAUCUUGACAGUGGGGCUACACAUCAUUUGACAAACAACAUGGCAAACAUGCAUGUCAGAGAUGAAUUCAAUGGUAAUGACAAGCUGAUUAUUGGCAAUGGUAAAGGUCUGUCAAUCACACACAUUGGUAGCACUACUUUUUCAGUUCAAGGUUUUAAGUCACAAGCUGCACGUAAAUGCAUUACACUUAAAGAUAUACUGCUUGUUCCUUCUAUCACAAAGAAUUUAAUAAGUAUUUCUAAACUUACUGCUGAUAAUAACCUAUCUAUUGAAUUCUUUGGAUCUAUCUGUUAUGUGAAGGAUUCACUGAAGGGGAAGGUUCUGCUACAGGGUAUUGCUGAGAAAGGUCUAUACAAAUUGCUGAUCAAAUCAUCUUCAAAAUCAUCACUACAACCUACAUACACCUCUUUUCUUUCUCAAAGCUUAAUAAAUCAACAUUUGUCUAUGUUGUCUCUCUGUCAUUUCAGUUCUGCAACUGAUAAUACUUGUUUUGCAAAUUGUUUUCAUUCAAAUAAAAACUCUUGUACUGAUUCAUCAUCAAAUAAAAUGUCUCUAUUUCACAGAAGAUUUGGUCAUCCCAAUGCUCAAAGUUUCAUUCACUUACUUAAACUUAUGCAUCCUAACUUGUUAUCUACAAAUAUGCUUAAUUAAGUAACAAAGCAUUUUUGUAAAGCAUGUCAGCUGGGCAAAUUUCAUAGACUUCAUUUUCCCAUAACUGAUAUUAAGUCUAAAUCAGCACUAGAACUAAUUCAUACUGAUCUAUGGGGCCCUUCACCAAUAUGUUCUAGAGAAGGUUAUAGAUAUUAUAUUAGUUUUGUGGAUGAUCACACUAGAUACACCUGGAUAUACCUUCUGAAAUUAAAAUCAGAAGCUCUAGAAGUGUUCAAAUUGUUUAAACUUCAAGUUGAAAAUCAGUUUCAAACCACCAUCAAAGUUCUACAAUCUGACUGGGGGGGGGGGGGGAGAGUAUAGACCAUUCACUAUUUUUCUAAAUGAAUGUGGUAUUCUUUUCAGACACUCUUGUCCCUACACACAUCAUCAAAAUGACCUUGUUGAAAGGAAACACAGACGGAUUGUAGAAUUAGGCUUGACACUUCUAGCACAAGCUAAACUUACAUUCCAGUUUUGGUGGGAUGCUUUUCAUACCUCAGUUUAUCAUAUUAACAGACUUCCUACCUCUGCCCUUAAGAUGUCUAUUCCAUAUGAAAAAUUAUACAGACAUAAAGCUGAUUACAACAUGCUGAAAUGCUUUGGUUGUGCUUAUUAUCCAUACUUGAGAGAUUACAAUAAGCAUAAAUUUGAUUAUCAUACAACCAAGUGCAUCUUUCUUGGUUAUAGUCCUUUUCAUAAAGGUUUCAAGUGCUUUCAUCCCUCUGGUCGAGUGUAUAUUGCUAGACAUGUCAAUUUUGAUGAAACUUCAUAUCCAUUCUUUUCAGAUCCUGAUUUUCAUUCUUUGAAUAAAUCUCAGUCCAACUCUUAUGAUUCCAUUACACCUAUACAAGUAUUUCAAUUGUCUACCUUACCUGUCAUAUCAGAUUUUUUGAAUAACAGCAGUGAGUCUCUUUCUCAAGCAUAUACCAGUGGUGAUAACUUUCCUUCAGCAGUAGAUUCAACACAAGUACAUGUCUCAGAUCAAUAACUCUCAAACACAAACAAUGUCUCAGAUCAACAACCAAUUUUACCUGCACCUACAACAUUACCUUCUCCAGAUGAAAUUCCACAAACUCAACAUAUUCUAAACUCACCAUCUCUAAACCACCAUCCCAUGAUUACUAGAGGAAAGGCAGGUAUCUUUAAGCCAAAGCUAUAUACUGUAGCUUUGUUGCACAAAGAACCAGAAACUAUUCAGGAGGCUCUCAAUAAUGAAAGGUGGUUUCAGGCAAUGAAAGCUGAAUAUAAUGCAUUGAUAUCAAAUGGCACUUGGACAUUGGUACCAAGAACAGAAAAUCAUAAGCUUGUUGGCAACAAAUGGGUUUUCAGAAUUAAAACCAAUACUGAUGGAAGUGUUGAGAAAUAUAAGGCAAGAUUGGUUGCUAAAGGAUUUCAGCAGAUUGUGGGUGUUAACUACUUCGAGACUUUCAGUCCAGUGGUAAAAUCAGCAACAGUUAGAGUGAUCUUAAGUUUGGCAGUGAUGAACCAGUGGCAAAUACGACAAGUUGAUGUGAAUAAUGCAUUCUUAAAUGGAGAUCUAACUGAAGAAGUUUAUAUGAGACAGCCAGAAGGAUUUAUUGAUCCACAAAGAUCAGACUUUGUAUGUAAACUGCACAAAGCUCUUUAUGGCCUGAAACAGGCUCCUCGUGCUUGGUUUGACAAACUGAAAAGUAGUCAUAUACAAUGGGGAUUCAAGAAUUCUAAGUCUGACACAUCUCUAUUCUUGAGAAGAACCAAGAGCUCAAUCAUUAUAAUUCUGAUAUAUAAAGAUGAUAUAUUGAUUACAGGAUCAGAUUGUGUUGAGUUGGAAGAGUUUAUUAAGUUGUUCAGCUCCACAUUUGCAUUAAAGGAUCUGGGGAGACUAUCUUACUUUCUGGGUAUAGAAGUAUUAUAUGUUCAUGAUAGUAUAUACCUGUCACAAAAGAAGUAUAUCCGAGACUUGCUUGCAAAAGUUGACAUGCUUGAAUGCAAGGGAACAGACACACCAAUGAGUAGCAGUAAAGAUUACAGAUUGCAGAAGAGUGUUGAGGGAGAAAUGGGCUACUAUAUUGAAGAUCCCACUCAUUACAGAAGCAUAGGUGGAGGACUGCAGUAGUUGGUUUUAACUAGACCUGAGAUAGCUUAUUCUGUUCACAAACUAAGUCAGUAUGUGUCUUCACCAACUCUUCAACAUCUUAUGGCAUGUAAACGAGUGCUGAGAUAUUUGAAGGAAACACAAGAAUAUGGUCUGAGGUUUGUUAGAGAAGGUGACAUGAAGCUUAUAGCAUUUACAGAUGCUGAUUGGGGAAGUGAUCUUAAUGACAGAAGAUCAGUUGGUGCUUAUUGUGUAUACUUGGGAAACAAUUUAAUCUCAUGGUCCUCAAAGAAACAAUCAGUGGUUACCAAGUCAUCAGCUGAAAGUGAAUACAGGGCUCUUGCUGCAGCUAUUUCUGAAAUAACAUGGCUAAAGUCAUUGUUCCUUGAAAUUGGUUUAUGUUGUGAUGAAAAACCAAUCAUAUGGUGUGACAAUGUGAGUGCUGCUGAACUUGCUCGCAAUCCAGUAUUUCACUCAAGAACAAAACACAUAGAAAUUGAUCUACACUUUAUCAGAGACAAGGUUUUGGCUGGGGACUUGAAGAUACUAUAUGUUCCUAGUGCAGAGCAAAUAGCUGACAUAUUAACUAAGCCACUGAACUCUUCUCAAUUCAAUUACCUAAGGCUCAAACUCAAUGUGGAGCUAUGUCCCUUGAGUUUGAGGGGGGCUGUGAAGAGAGCUCACUGUGCUGAGUUAAAACAAGAAAGGAAGCCAACAGUCAAGAUUCUUCAGCAAUGCCACGUCAGUGCUGAAAAAUAUUUGAGAUGCUUGAAUAUGGUGAAAAUAGUAAUUUUUUUUAUUACCUUUACAAUUCUUGAAUUUUACAAAUAUAUAAAGAUGUUCAAGAUGCUGUACAAGGAAAGACAAUAUUUACAAUAAUUAUAAUAAUCAACUAGCCGUUGUGAUGAAUCCACCAUGACAUGUGCUGCUAUAUUUUCCAUCAAUUAUGGCUUAGACGAGAUGUUGGAAAUCCUCUUGCCAUGGCGGUACAAGCUACCAUAUUUGGAAUUGCUAGUGACUUGUCCUUAUCAGCCCCCCUCAAGCUAGGCAGUGACAUGCGAUGAACGCCUAGCUUGGUUCGUAGCGUGAGAAAUUGAUGCUUCCCCAAAGGUUUUGUAAGAGUGUCUGCAAUCUGAAGAUGAGAAGGCACAUAUCGUGUAAAUAAUGACCCUUUAGCAACCUUCUCACGAACAAAAUGCACGUCAAGCUCAAUAUGUUUCAUUCUAGCAUGAAACACUAGGUUCUUAGUCAUAUGAAUUGCACUCAAAUUGUCACAGAGAAGUGUGGGUGCUUUCGGAAUACAGAACCCAAUGUCAUUAAGUAGAUAUGUGAGCCAUGUUAACUCGGCAGCGGCAGAGGCCAUGGACCUAUAUUCGGCUUCGGCACUUGAGCGAGAGACUGUGUGUUGUUUCUUGGAGCUCCAAGAGAUACAAUUGCUUCCAAGAUAAAUGCAAAAUCCUGUUGUACUUCGUCUUGUUAUCGGACAUCCAGCCCAAUCGGAAUCGGAAAAGGCAUAGAGCUUGAGAGAGCUUUGAGACAAAAAUCUAAGGCCAAAGUCAAGGGUACCUUUAAGGUAACGAAGGAUCCUUUUCACGUCCUUGAGGUUGGCUUUUGUUGGCGCUUGGAAGUGUUGAGAGACUCGAUUGACAGCAAAUGUGAUAUCGGGCCUUGUGUAGGUGAGAUAUUGAAGGCUUCCAACAAGGCCUCUAUAUUCGGUCGCAUCCACAGGUUCAUUAUCAUCCGAACACGGUAUUGAUCGUAUAGCCAUCGGCGUGUUGAUAGGAGAACAAUCCUGCAUUCUUGCCUUGGAAAGAAGGUCUUUAGUGUACUUCGCUUGAGAUAGGAAGAUGCCAUGCGUGAAUUGUUGAACUUCAAUGCCUAGGAAGUAAUGUAGGUUGCCAAGAUCUUUUAAAGCAAACUUUGAGCUCAGAUUGUUGAUGAUUGAUUGAAUUUCCUUCUCAUUAUUUCCUGUAAUGAUCACAUCAUCAACAUAAAUUAAUAUAAGUAUAAGAAUGGAUUUGUUAUUAAAUAUAAAUAAAGAGCUAUCAGCUUUGCUACUGGAAAAUCCAAGAGAAAUUAAGGCUUGAGAAAGACACUCGAACCACGCUCUAGGUGCCUGUUUCAGGCCAUAGAGCGAUUUUUGAAGCUUGCAAACAUAUGUUGGAUGACAUGAAUUGCGAAACCCAGGAGGCUGCUCCAUGUAGACAAUCUCCUUUAAUAGUCCAUGAAGAAAAGCAUUGCGAACAUCCAGCUGCUUGAUAAGCCAUUUUGAGCUCACAGCAAUUGCAAGGAUAAGGCGAAUAGUUGUGGCCUUUAUAACGGGACUGAAGGUUUCAUCGAAGUCGACUCCUGGAACCUGUGUGAAUCCCUUGGCAACUAAUCGAGCUUUAUAGCGAUCAAUGGUUCCAUCUUCUCUGUAUUUGAUACGAUAUACCCACUUCGAUCCGAUGACAUUAACAUUGUUAGGCCGCGGCACAAGGACCCAUGUCUGAUUUUGAUGCAAUGCUUGAAGCUCUUCUUCCAUAGCUUGAGUCCAAAGCGGAUUCUUUAAGGCAGUUUUGAGUGUUUUGGGUUCAAUUUCUCUACUGUGGCUGGCUUGAAGGGCUAAUUUAGGAUUUUGUUUGAGUUUAUUGCGUGUCAUCAUGGGAUGAGUAUUUAGGCUUUGCGGUUCUGCAGCUGUGUUUGGUAUCUUAAGUUCCAUAAAUAAGCGAUUGGAUAUGUCAGGAUAAUCUGGUUGUGAAUUUGUGGCAGGGCUGUUGUCCGUAUUUAUGGACAAAUUAGGUGGUUCAGUUGCAUGUGAACUACUAGAAUUUGAAUCAUUUGUUGUCAAAGGUUGCAUUGCAUGUGGAGACUCCAAAAUAUUUGGAAUUGCUUCUGACUUGUCGUGUGGAGUUGCUGAAUUCAAAUUGUCCUCUAAAUUGUCUUGUGGGAAAUCUGAAAUAAUUGGAGAAGUGGCAUUUGAGUUGUUGUCCAAGUUUACGUCCUUGUGGGGCAUGAAUUGCACAUGUGGUGUUGAUAUUGUAGCGCCUUUACAAUUGUUUACUUUGACAGCACGUGAAUCAUUAAGAUUCUCACAAUUGGGAGAAUUCUUUGGGAGCCACUCAUCUUGUUGAGGGAAGGUGGUCAAUGUACUAUGUUCCUGCACAUUAAAAAAUGAUGUUAAUUUUUUGAAUGGUAAAUAAUUUUCAUCAAAUACAACAUGCCUUGAUAUAUAUACACGAUUAGUCUCAGGUUGUAGACAACGAUAUCCUUUAUGGAGGGGACUAUAGCCUAUGAAAACACAUGGAUAUGAUUUUUUAUCAAAUUUUGUUUUACUGUAAUCCCGAAGAUAAGGAAAACAUCUACAACCUAGGACUUUUAACCCUCUAUAGUCCGGUAAUUUUUUGAAAAGAAUUUCAUAAGGGCUUUUAUUUUUUAAAGGUGAAAGAGGCAGCCUGUUAAUGAUAUAAGUGGCUGCAAGAAAAGAAUCCACCCAUAAUUUGAGUGGCAAAGAAGCAUGAAACAUCAUCGUCAAGGCUGUCUCAUUGAUGUGCCUAUGCUUUCUGUCAGCAACACCAUUUUGCUCCGGAGUGUAUGGACAAGAAAUUUAUCUUGUGAUGCCGCAAUUUUCAAGAUGUUUGAUGAAGGCCGUAGAAUUAAAUUCCCCUCCUCCAUCGCUUUGAAAUAUUGUGAUCUUUUUGUCCAAUUGCUUUUCAACUUGUUUCUGAAAUUUCAAGAAGCACUCCAAGAAAUCAGAUUUUUGUUUUAAGGGAUAUAACCAACUAAAACGUGAGUAAUCAUCUACAAAUAAUACAUAGUAACGAAAAUGUUGAGUAGAAGUAAUGGGAGCUGGACCCCAUAUAUCACAAUGCACUUUUUGUAAAGGAAAAUCUGCUUUAUUAUUAGAUAAAUUAAAAGAUUUCCUACAACUCUUGCCUAAUUGGCAAGAAACACAAAUACGGGGUUCUUUAGACCAACUAGAAAAGUCAAUAAAAUUAUUGCGUUUUAAGGCCUCCGAGAUUUUAGGAUUGGCAUGGCCAAGCCUCUUGUGCCAUAAACUAAAACCGCUAGAUUCUCCUUGAAUUGCGUUGAAGGCAGCAUGAAAGUCUCCUUCCAAUGUGUAUAGCUUCCCUUGCUUACUCCCCUUUGCCAGAACCUUGUUUUCCUUGCUCUUCACAAUAAAACCAUCAGUGUUAAAUUCAAAAACACAUUUAAUAUCAUCAAUGAGUUGUCCAACUGAUAAGAGAUUCUUUUUGAGUUUUGGAACAACUAAAAUAUUAUUUAAGUGUAAAGAACCAUGAUUUGUAUUUAAAGAAGCAGAACCAAUAUGUGAAAUAUUUAAAUCUUGACCAUUGCCGACAAUUAUUUUGUCAUUACCUCUAUACGGCCUUACAUGAUCAAGAUUACCUGUGUUAUUUGUCAUGUGUGAUGUUGCUCCAGAGUCCACAUAGAACUGUUGAUCAUUAUUUUCUUGAAGAUUCAUCGCAGCUAGGGCCUGUGGAUCCUCUUCAUUGUCAUAGUCGUAUCUGUACCAACAUUCAGCAGCACUAUGUUUGCGUUUGUGACAGAUUUGGCAAAUAACUUCUUCAUCUGAGGUAUUAUUUUCUUUAUUUGGUUUUUGAGGCUGCUGUUGUGGUUUACGGUUGUUGCCAUUGUUGUAGUUGUUGGGGGUAAUUUCUACCACCUGAGUUGCGUUGAGAUCCUUUGCCUCGGUAUGGAGGUCUUCCACCUCUUUGAUUUCUGCCUCUUCCACGUUGACCAAAGAAGGCUUGGUUUUGAUUUGUGCCAAGUCUAGCUUCUUCAUCUUUUUCUACGAUCACAGUAUGUUCAUGGUUUUGGAGAGCAUUGAUGAAUUGUUUAAGGCUGGGAUAUGGAGGUUUAGUGAGCAUUGCAGUUUUGAAGUCAGCAUAUUUGGGACCUAAGGCUCUUGCAAUUUGAAAAAUCUUGUCAUCAUCGUUCAUUGGUUUUCCAAUGGCUGCCAACUUGUCGCAAAGGCCCUUGAAUUUCUUAAGAAAUUCAUCAAGCUUGGAAGAUCCUUUCUUUAGAGAAUAAAGGCAAUCUUUUAGCCAUGUUUCUUGCUCCUUAGUUGCAGGCAGCAUGUUUUCUUCAACGGUGAGCCAGAUUUCUCGAGCCGUUUGCACGCCGAUAACCAUGCUCAACACGUCUUCGUUCAUCAUACUUCUGAGCCAAGUUGUGAGAAGUCCAUUAUUUUUCCACAUGAGAAAAUCUGGAUUGUUUAUCUCCUUCCCAUCUUGCUCUAUCAUCUUCGGUGGAGUCUUAACAUCAACUAUAUGGUGAUUUAGCCCAAGGGUAAAUAUAAGUGGUUGAACUUGAGAACUCCAAAUAAGAUAAUUUUCAGUGUUGAGUUUUAUUGGAACCAAACUCGAACACUGAUGGAAAGAUUGAAGGGAUAGGGAUGGUUCUGAAUUUGAACUUGAAGCCAUUAGGCUCUGAUACCAUGAAAAAUAUUUGAGAUGCUUGAAUAUGGUGAAAAUAGUAAUUGUUUUUAUUACCUUUACAAUUCUUGAAUUUUACAAAUAUAUAAAGACGUUCAAGAUGCUGUACAAGGAAAGACAAUAUUUACAAUAAUUAUAAUAAUCAACUAGCCGUUGUGAUGAAUCCACCAUGACAUGUGCUGCUAUAUUUUCCAUCAAUUAUGGCUUAGACGAGAUGUUGGAAAUCCUCUUGCCAUGGCGGUACAAGCUACCAUAUUUGGAAUUGCUAGUGACUUGUCCUUAUCAAGUGCUGAGUCAGCUGAUUCUGUUAAGGAUUGUUGAAAGCUCACGUGACUAUUAGUUAGUUAAUUAGCUUUUAGUUAGUGAUGCAGGAUUCUGAUUGGUUGAUUAAUUGCAAUGCUUAUUUGAUCAAUUGUAGCUUGGAAAUAAACUGUAUAAAACAGAGUCUGUAACAAUUGCUUCUAUGAAAAAAAUAAAAAAAUAAAAAAAAUAUUCCAGAGAGUUCAUCUAUUUUCUCAGUAACCAAACAAGCAUUUAGCUUAAUUUGCUAUUAUUUUACACGAAUCUACAUUUUCUGGGAGGAAUUUGAAUAUAAAAAUUAAUAGGAAGCUAAUAAAAAUAUGCAGUUUUUAUUCGAACAAAAUUAAUAUGAAUCAAGAAACAGAGCAUAACAGGGUAGUUGCAACUAAUAACACACAAAUUAACUCGUAAAAGUGACCUAACAAGCAUCAAAAUCUAAGGAUUAAAGCACCAAUCAGAUAUUGUGAACAAAACUUUUGUUUUAUAAUCAUGGAAAUUUGAGAUUACAUCAGCUAUAUGAUCAAUGAAAGAUAAGAAGCUUAUGGAGUAAAAACAACAGAAAUUAAAAUGAGUUUAUGUCAUGCACCGCUGCCAUGCACCGCUUGGAGAAAAAAAAAAAAAAGAAGGGAAGCCAAACGUGGCAAUCUUCAAAAGCAACAGCCAGCUGCAUGUUUUAUCAUUUCAGCUGCCUGCUUCACCUAUUUUCUUCAUUAAUUUAGUCACCAAUCGGCUUAAUCAAUUACCUUGUCAUCUUGCUCAACUCGGUGGCUAUAUAAAGCACAAAUGUUGAGAGUGCUUUCAUUUUAUACAUCUAAAGAAUUGAGAGCAAAACCGAGAGAAGAAAAGAAGUAAAACCGAGAGAAAAGAGAAGAGAAAAGAGAAGGAAAAAAAAGAAAAAGAAACGAAGAAAAGAAAUAGAAAGAAGCUGAGUGUGGGAGAUGAAGUGGAAUUAAGAGGAAAUAUUACGGAAAUUAAAACUGGACAUUUAGAUUUAUAUUAAGUGAGUUAAUGGGUAAUAGAUUUAUGAAAUCUAAGUAGUUACGAUUUAAUUUACGUUAUACGUACAAGUUUUUAUAUUUGUUCUAACUAUUAAUCUUUGAAUCCCGUAUUCUAGGAGAAAUCCACGAGUCCAGAGACUCACAACAGCCCCAACGAACCUCAUAGUGAAACAAGAUCUGUGAGUGGAUAUUAUUAUUACUAUUAUGUGUUCCGUGAAGCAUUUAUGUUUGAUAUUAUGAUUUUAUAUCAUGCUAUGAUUACAUGUACACAUAUUAUAUGUUUGAUUGAGUUAUGAGAUGUGAUUGCUAGUCACCAUAUAUGUACCCUUCCCCAUAGGCUAUGCGCAUGCGUAUUGAGAGUUAUGUUACUCUACCCAUGCGAGAUAGUUUAAUUACGCUGGGUAUUGAGAGGAUUUUCCCCCGCUCUACUCAUGCAAUGAGGAUCCUGGCGAGUAUUGAGAGUUAUUUUUCCUGGGUACUCUUUGGUGCAGUUUUGUGAUGUAUGUAUGUAUGAAUUACAUGUCUGCUAAUGUAUGAUGUUCAGUGUGGAGUUAAAUCACAUAAUUAUGCAUGAGCACCAGUACACUACUUUAUUAUUAUAUUUAUUAUUUUUAAUAUGUAAUUACAUCCACUCACUGAGCCGCAAGCUCACUAUUUUUCUAUUUACCCACUUCCUCCCAGGUUUCUGCAGGAUUUCGUGCAGACCAAUUUCUAGUCAGUUGAGGUUGGGCCACGAGACACAUUGCUGAAUAACUUGCAUUUUGAGCACGUUUAUGUUGCUUAUGUUUAUAUAUGUGUAAUUUUUGUGUGAGUGUGUAUAGUGAGACAUGAACUAUGCAAGUUUUGAAUGUAUAUUUUCGGAUGAGACACAAAGUUUGUUAUAUGUUUAUAUCAGACCACGAGUUUUAGUUAUUAGUCCACAUGAUUCGCCUCAGAUCCGACAUAUAAGUCGGGGCGGGUCGUGUCAGUUUAUGUAGCAUUGACAGGCCUGUAUGGUGUCGCCAGUGCGGUGACGCCAUUGGCGUCAGUGCGAGUGAAUUUUGGGAGACCUCCGGCUCCGGUUCCAUUGACUUUGCAUUAAAUUUGGUAAUUAUAUUUUUUAAUAUAAAGUGUUAAAAUAUUCCAUCUAGCGGAAAAUAGAAAACAAAUUGCGAAUGAAAUUAGAAUCCAAAUUUCAUUGCUAUCAUUUGAUAUAGAGGCAUUUCAAGUAAACUUUGGUCAUUUUUCAUUACCCAUGAGAGUGAGAACAGAGAACUCGAGUUAUCAUAUUGAAAAAUGCUAAAGAGAGUUGACAGAAUUUAAAUGCUUACAAAACAAUAAUUAAUUAAUCGGUGUUAGUUUAUCGUGUUUGCAGCUAUAUUUUAUUGGAAACCUUAAAAAAGAAAUGGAAUCUUUCAGUUCAUAAUGUAUUAUUAUAUUUAUUCCACUCUUGUUUAUGACAAUUUGCAUCUGAGCCAGCUGGAAUGCUAUAGACUGAAAAAAUUAACAAUGUUUUCUGAGGAUGACUGACCAAGUCAAAGUCUUUGAGGCGCACAAUUAAUCUAACCGGGGCGAGCAGAAAUUACUGUAUUUAUAAAAUUUUGAUUCACUAGUUUCAAGUGAAAGAAAUAUUAAAAUAUAUAUCAUUCGCCUAAGAUGAGGGAGCCUCUAACGAUUAUUAAAUCAUUUUAAGCAUUUAUGUAUGACUAUUACAUUUAAUUAAUUGUAUUGCAUAAUUUGCAUAGGCUCCUCCACUUUGAGGCAGUUACUUGGGUUCAAAUUUGCAGUUGCAGAGCACCAAAGUUUGCUUUUUCGAUCUACUUGGAUUUUUCUUUGUUGAUCAUGUAAGUUAUACAUACAGCACUGCAAAAUGCCUCUACAAUAUUGCCAGUUUUCGUAUAACAUGUCCUUAGGAGGACUCUGUGUACAUAAAUAUGUUGUUCGGUUAAUGUCGGUCUCGUUUAAUUGUAAUUCACUGUAGAUCCAAAAUUGUAAACUAUUGUUUCUUUAGCCUGAACUUGUGAACCAACUGAUUUGAUCAUCAGGUCUCAAGACUUGGAAGCAGAGGAAGAUCUUAAAAGAAGGCUUCUGCACGGAGAAGGUAGGCCCAGUGAUGGAAAAAACUCAUCAGUUGUGUCCGUAACCGGAAGAUCCGGAACGCAAGCAGUAAAGACAAGUUUUCUUCAGCUGGAAAAGAUGAGAAAUUAUGCAGCAAAUUACAGAAUCGAUUUACCAUGGUAUGUGAUUUCAAUAUUAUGGGAUCCUUUGUACUUCUACACUCUGGUGAUCAAUGAUGAAAAGCAGUGCAUUGAAAUGGACUUUUCUUUGGCUUCCUUGGUGAUUGAACUCCGCUUCUACUUUGAUUUGGCCAAGUUGAUCCACAGUUCGUUUGUGAUUUGUGUUGAAUAUUUUGAAAAUAGAAAGAUAAGCGUGUGGCUGAUGUUCGCAUGGCUCAUUGACUUUGUGUCCAGUAUAAUAUUUACCCAGGUGCGUAAUAGAUCUGAAUUUAAUUUAUUUAGUUGUCUAAUAUUUCAAUAUCAUUUAUUUGAUUACCACUACUUCAAAUUCAUAAAACAACAUCCAGAUGGUGGUGGGAAUAACGGACAUUCUGUACUCGAGGAAUUUCUUUCUGUUUCAAUAUUUGCUGAAGGUUAUUCGAACCUACCACCUGCUUACAGAAGCAACAGGGUUUCAGGGAUAUUUGGUGAAUCUAGAUGGGCCAUUGUUGCGUUCAAUGUUCUUCUUUACAUGCACGGCAGUUACGUAAGUCAAAAGUACUAUCAUUUAUGUAAGUCAAUUUAUAAUAAAACCCUUCUCAGGCAAAAAGAAAAAUUAUAAUAGAACCAGUACAUAUCUGUGUUCACAUUCAUGCAUCCUGCUUUCUUCCUUCCUAAUUUUGAUAAAUGAAUUCUUUUAGUCCUUAAGAUUCGAGUUAAUUAUUCAGUUACUACUGUCGCAUAUAUUGUCAGACAGAAGUAAUGACAGAGACAUUUUUGUGUAAUUCUUAAAAAUAUGGAGAUUAACUGAAUAAUUAACCCAAGCACUCGUGAAUGAAGGGAAAUUGACACUCGAAGCUUUUCUACUUUCUCAACCGCGCAUGUUUCUAAUCGAGUGGUCCUUUAGGUAUUUGGUGCCUUGUGGUACUUUUUUGCCAUAAACAAAGCGACCGCAUGCUGGAUGGAUACCUGCAUGAAGAAUACUGGUUGCUGGGGCGUCUUAAACAUUGAUGCCUAUUGUGAGGGCCGUUCAGGAGACUAUAAGUUUCUAAACGAUGUUUGAUCUGUAAAGACGGGAAACUCAACAAACAAUUUUUAUGGCUUAUAUGGUGAUGCUUUUCAGUUAGGAAUUGUGGGGUUGACCGAUGUUCCAAUGAAAAUCUUGCAUUGUUUACUAUGGGGACUGCAAAAUCUCAGGUUUGUGCCUUCCAUUGUCGUUACUGUGUGAUGUGAGGUCAGCCGUUAAUAACUUCGAAAAUUGUGAGUUCAUUGAAUUGCUUUUUGCAGUGCUUUUGGUCAGAGCCUCCAACCAAGUAACGAUUUCUGGGAAAUUAUCUUCGCAAUUUGCAUGACCAACUAUGGCAUCGUUCUGUUUGUCUUCUUAAUUGGAAAGAUGCAGGUUCACAUAUAUAAAUUCUAUAUCGUAAUUGUUAUGACAUAUGAUGAUAUAAUAAAUUAUCAUGUGUUAAUUAAUGACCGGCAUCUUACCAUCUCGCUGUUACAUAAAGAAAUAUUUUAGGGCUGUGAGAAUGCCAUGUCAAUUAGAAUUAAUACAAAUUUUGUAUCCCAAUUCCUUAUAAAAUUAGCGUUACUCAUAAUUUUCUGUUUACGUCUAUAGAUUUGAAGAUUGAUGCACAAUUCAAUUAUUGACUCUGUUUCAUUUGAAAUAUCGGAUACAUAAAUAUAUAUGCAGUCUGACACAGAAAGAUCACAAAAGAUCAAACAGAUGUGGGAGGAGAUAAAGCAAUGGCAGCACUUUAAGGAUAUAUCUAAUAAAGUUCAAGAUCAAAUAAGGAAAGACAAGCGCAACAACUGGGAAGAAACCAAAGGAGUUGACAUAGAUAAUUUGGUGAAUAAUCUCCCUAAGGACACUGGAAAAAAAAUAAAACGCGAUCUCGGCCGAAAGCUGCUCAAGAAUGUGAGUUCUCAUCAUCCCUCUUUAUAAUUAUAAUAAUUGAUCACUUUUCUAUCCUGCCCGCUCUGAAGUUCAAAUGUUUCAAUGUUUCAAUCAUUUUCAUUCUUAACCUGAUCGGGCGAGCCAAAUUAAUCCUUCGUUACAUUAAAAUUACAGAUUCGUCUUAUUUUUUUCCCUCUUUGAUUGGUACUCCUUCUGAAUCCAAGCAUCGAACCUAAGUCAUACCUCAUUGAAUUUCAUGGGCUUAACUAACACAUGGUCAAAAGCUAGCUAGUUCGUAGUCAGGUUGAGAUUUGCCUCAAGGUUAAAUACUUUAUUCAUGAUUUACUCUUAGCUGACAUGCAAUGUUUUACAUACACAGAGAGAUAGAGAUAGUCAUUCUCAAAUGCACGCCCUCAUUUUUUUUAAUAUGAAUACUCUGUUAACAGAGUUAAUUUUCAAUAAAUUGUAAACCCAUAAUAUUAAAAAUUGACUUUAUUAAAUUGCAUAGUUUAAAUAUGUGUCCGUAAGAAAAAAAAAAAAAAGAAAGCACCCGCACUUAAGAAUUAUUAAUAUAUAAUAUGGACGCCCUCAUUUUUUUAACAAAGACUCUGCCUGUAUAGUCGUGAUUACUCUGUUUUCUGGAUGGGGCACUGUUUUAUUUCAAGGAGUGGGUGUUUUAAGCAAUCCUUGGAGUACUGUCAGAAUUUUUGUAGUUUGUCUCAGAGCUAAGUAGCUUUGUUUUUUGGGCUUUCCAGCAUUUGCAGCAAAAUUAUCCUUGGCCCAGCAGUCCAGUACUCCUCCACUCACAGCUUGCAUAUUGGCUGGCUGUUUCUUCUCCUUUAUUAUCAUUUUUAUUUGCCUCGACCUUACUUAGGUUUGAUCUAUAUUGAUAAUCUUGCUAAGGAUAUGAUAUGACUAGGUGUGGUUUAAGUAUAAGUGAAUAAGACAGUCACCUAAGACCCUAUUGUGAGAAGGCCUCAUUUUUUGAGUAUUUAAUCAAUAAUUCUUUAACUAAUAAAUAUUUUUUUAAAUUACGUAUUAUAGAAAAGUCUAUUAGACAUCUUUUUAAUUAAUAAUUAUCACAUAAUUAAGAUUUAUUUAUUUUAAUAGAAAAUCUAUAUUUGGUAACCUUAUUGUUAAAGAGAUAUAAUUAAUAAUAUUGUCUAACCAUUAAUUCAUUUAUUAUUAGUUUUGCAAGAAAAAUAAAUAAAUUCUUUUCCUUUUUAGUUUCUAAAAAAAAAAACUUAAUUAUUUAAUGUUAGAAUCUUUGACUUUGAGUAUUCCUUUUAAUUUCUAUUAAAAACCUUAUAAUCUAAAAAAUUAUAGAUGAAAAAGUUUCUGGCUCUCUUCUCUACAAAGAAAAUUAUUGUAUGCGUUAGUUCAUUUAAAAAGAAAAAAUAAGUUUCCUGAAAUAGAAUGUUCAUAUCCAUUAUGUGAUCUUUAAUUCACCAUCUCAAUCGUCUAUAUACUAUUCUAAAUAUUCUAUUUGAAAAUAAUAUUGUUCUUAUUUACUUGUUUGUUAAAUUCUAAUGGAAGUAAACUUUUACGUUCUAUUUUUGAAAUAAUUUAGGAUGUUCUUGAUUAUUGUUGAAAUUUAAAAACUAAAGAUGAAAUGGUUUUGAGCUCUUUUAUUAUUAUUAUUUUUUCAGUAUUGAAGUUGCUAAAUAAAAAGAGACCUCUUAAAAAUGUUCACCUAAGGCCUUAGAUAUUCUAAAGCCAGCCUUGGUUCUGAUCCACUUGAGAAUGAUUAAUAUAUAAUAUGGACGCCCUCAUUUUUUUAAUAAGAAUAUGCUCUUAAACCGUGCAGUUUAAGAGAGUUAAAAACUAUAUGCUCUUAAACUGUGCAGUUUAAGAGAGUUAAAAUCUAACUCUCUUAAACCUCAUGAUUUAAAAGCGUUUUUGUAUGAAAAAAAUGAGUGCGCUCACACUAGAGAAGAACUCUUGGGUGUGUGUGUGUAUAACUUUUUAUAAAUGUAUUUUUAAGGUCACAUGACGAGGUGGGCUUUCAUUCUUAUAGCUAAUCUUUGUUAUCUCGAUUUACCCAUGUAAUGGUUGGAUAUAUUUAUACUCUAAUUCUCAUUCUUGGAUAUGUGUAAAUAUAUAUGAAGGUAAAAGAGUUUCAAAAUUGGAGCGAAACAUCAUUAGAGGAACUAUGUGAUUGUCUGAAGCCAGUGUUCUUUAUUGAACGUACUCGAAUAAUUCGAGUAGGUGAUCCAAUUGAUGAGAUGCUCUUCGUGUUGAAUGGCAAGCUUUGGACUUACUCAUAUGACUUCAUGAAUGUAACAACAACUGCCUCUAUGUUGAUCCAUCGUCGUAGCCGGGAGAAUCUUCUAGAAGAUGGUGAUUUUUGCGGACAAGAACUUAUAGCUUGGUCUCAAAAUGAAAGCUCAUCACCCCACCUCCCUAUCUCAACCAGAACCAUUCAGGCGCUUACUAACGUUGAAGCUUUUACUCUUAUGGCCGACGACUUGAAACGUGUAUCAUUACUUCGACAUUUUGAUCGGGCAGCUCUUUUGUUACAAUCACGCUGGCGUUUCAAAAGGUUGUUGCGUGCUAGAAGGAAUCCAGAGAAACGAUCACGCCUGGAAUCACUAAUGUAUAAAUUUAUAUAGAGAUACAUAUAUACGUUUGUUGCAGCAUUAUAAUUAGUCCCGAUUAUGUAAAAGCAAGUACAGAAAGCCAUUUAAAUAUGGGAAACCAAGUAAAACGUAAAAAGGAUUAAAUAAAUGACACCAAUCCCCGGCAACGGCGCCAAAAUUUGAUGGUUGUCGAAGCCAACAAAAAUAAAUUCCUACUCUAAAUAAAUUGUGUAUAGUAAUUGAGCAGGGUCGUGUCCACAGAGAUCGGUAAUUAUUUAAAUCCUUUUGAAACGUAAAACGUAAAAUGGGGGAAUUGUUGACAAUAAUAAAAAUCAAAUUAAAAAUAACAAGAAUGCAAAUUAAAGUUGUAAUUCAAAUUGGAGAAAGCUCUGGUUGAAGGAAUUAACUCAGCUUGAUUCGACUACUGAUCAUUGAUUCAAAUAUAGAUUAUUAUUACUUAUGAAUAGACCGGUUAUAGCUAUUGAGACCCUCUAAUAGCCAAUCUCUCCUUAACUAGUCGAUAACCAAGGUACGACCGUUGGAUAUUUCCCUAAUCAAUAGACAACCCUAGAUACGAUCAUAGGAUUUAAUCAAUUGACAGCCUGAAAAACUAAAGAGACCCAAAUCCUAAUCAACACAUAUGAUAAUUCAUUUAAAUUAGAUUGUUUAUUCUCACAACACAACUCUCUGCUAUGUUAUUUGUCACAAACAUUAAAUUCUUCAUACGAUGAAUCCUUUAAUUGACAAUAGAUUAAGUUGAUAAUUAAAUAGUGGCCAAUUACCUAAUUAACAAACAUUAUCAUGAAACUAAUUCAGAGAAUAAACAAAUACCCAAAAAGUAAUAAAACAAUUAAAGCAUAAGAAAGAUCUCACAGUAGUGAUGAAUCAAAGCUUCAUUAACCUUCAACCAGAAAAAUAAGUUUAGUUCUUCAUAGAGAGAAGAGAAAAAUUAGAUCUAGGGUUUCUUUCUUUUUCUCCAAUCAAAAUCCCCCUUUUUCACAAUAGAUUCCUCCCUUAAAUACUUUCUCUCUCUUCUCUUUUAGAGUUCUAUUUAAAAUAAAAUACUAAUAUUUGAAAUAUUAAAUUCGUAAUUAAAAAAAUAGCCAAAAAUACAAAACACGUUAAACUAAAAACUACAGGUCCGCAGUUGACAGCACGCGCCCACGCCUUAUCAAAAAAGUUCUUCUGCCGCUCAUAAUUUCUCCAAGAGAACAAUCAUCCUUAAACAUCAUCUUAUAGCUCAAUUUUAUCACCAAUCAAUAGAAUUGCACAGGUCCGCAGUUGACAGCACGCGCCCACGCCUUAUCAAAAAAGUUCUUCUGCCGCUCAUAAUUUCUCCAAGAGAACAAUCAUCCUUAAACAUCAUCUUAUAGCUCAAUUUUAUCACCAAUCAAUAGAAUUGCACCUACAAUAGUAAAACACAAGUAAAUCAUCAUUAUUAAGUGCAAAACAUCGAUAUUAAGGGAAGUAAAUAAUGCAAAACUAGUGCAUAAAUUGCACUCUAACAAAUUCCCCCACACCAAGAUGAUGCUUGUCCUCAAGCAUAUAACUCAAGACUAAUCCAAAAUCUCCACUCAAUUCUCAUCUCAGCUCAUCCAAAAAUAAUUUUAAGCAAGCAUACCUCAAGAAAUUAAGUCGAUUAACAUUCGAGAGACAAAGAUUUUAAAGCAUAGAAUCUCAUAAGAUAGAAUAAGAACAUUCAACCACCAAGAAGAUCCAUUCAAAAUUCAAGUGCAACAAGAUUUAAUAGCCCUCUCAAUGACUUCACUCCAUGCACUCAAAGUGUUUAGGGUAUCAUUUAUGCACUCAAAUCAAAUCAAAGAAUGCUAUUACCAUAAGCUUGCUCAUAUAUCACAUCUCAAUCCACAAAACAUGAAUAAAAUGCAAAAAUCUAAGGGUCUUAAAAGGGUUGUAAUGGGGUUAAAUAGGUUAAAUGAAAAAGAAAGGUCUAUGAAAGAAAAAGAGAUCAAAAUGAGAAGAAUGAACUCAUUGAACGAACUUUAUGAUAUCGAAACGCUUAUUUCUACUCAAGUCACCAAGAAUGUAAACAUUUUUUUUUCUUCUUUUUCUCUUUUUUUUUUUGAUUUUUCUUUUUCUUUUUUUUUUCUUUUUCCUUUUUUUUUAUUUUUUUUUUUUGUUUUUUGUUUUUUGUUUUUGAAUCAAACAAAAGAAACGAACCUUGCACAAUUUAAUUCAAGCAUAAUGCUUGUUGAUCUAAUUGAGAAACUUUAAUACAAGGUAGAAAAAGCAACAAAAUAUAUCCACACAAUGAGUCCAAAAAUCUCCUUAAAUUGAGGCUCAAAAAGAAGAAAAAUGGUUAAGUAGACGGAGAGAAUUAGAUGGGUAAUGGUUAAGUAGACGGAGAGAAUUAGAUGGGUAAUGGUUAAGGCUCAAACAAAGGUAGCAAAUAAAGGUCUUCGGGUAGAGAAAAAGGAAAAUGCGAGAAUAGAAAAAUGGUAAAUGGUUUGCCUUUAUCAUUUUAAUGCAUAAAAUCCCGUAAUGUGGCUUCAACAUGCAUAACAAAGCAAGUUCUAGAAUAAACAAACUAGGAUUGAUAUUCACAUAACAAAAAUAAUUAGAGCAAAGUGGUUGCUCAUAGGCUCAAAUCCUCACAAAGUUGGUAAAUUUGCCAUCAAAUCAUGUACACUCUUCAAAUGAAUCAACCAUCAAUAGUGGUGUAGAAUGAGAAGAAGGUAUGAGUGAGAUAUAAAAGGAAAGGUAAAAAGGAUAAUAAGGGAGAAAGAUGUAUGUAUUAAAAAAAUGAAAGAUAAAAUGUGAGUGAUGAAAGAGUAUGAUAGAGAAAAAAAAAUAGAUGUAAAUAAUUUGAGAUAGAUGGGAAAAGAGUAGUGAGAGAGAAAGGAAAAGAAAAUUAAUAAUAUAUGAAGCAUACUAACUCCAAAAUCAUUUAAGGAUGAGUAGAGUGAAAAUAGAUGAGCAGAGUGAAAAUAAUAAUUCCAGACAUCAAUAAUGCAAAAAUCCCUCCCCCACACCAAGAACUUACAUUGUCCCCAAUGUAAGAUAAUCAAAACUCACAUAAAAAUUAAAUCGUAAGGAUAAAAGAUUAAAGGCAAAAACUUCCCUGAAUUGUGAGCUUUGAUCCUCAUAACGUCUAUGGGCUUGGCGGAAAUGGUGAGAUAGUUGCGCACAGGCUGCUCGGUGAAGGCUAGAGCGGCUGUUGCUGCCAAAAAAAUGUUUUUUUUUUUUUUUUUUUUUUUUUUUUUUUAGUGAUGAAUCACUUGAGACACUAAAACUUUCAGAAGUACUUUUCUAAUAAGCACGUAGGCACGCCUUAAAACCAUUUUACUUUAAAAAUCACAGAAGUACUUAUUAGUUAAGACGUGGGCACGCCUUAUCAAAAAUUUUCUUCUGACCAAAAUAAGCAAACACAUUAUUUAAAAAAAUAUGAAUCAAAAUUAAAAGAAGAUAUAACAAAAACCAAAAUAAAUAAAUCAUUUGGGUUGCCUCCCAAAAAGCGCCUUUGUUUUAUGUCUUUGGCUAGACACAUUUAUGCAUCAAUCUCCAUAAUUGGGACUCUCGAGAGCCACAUCCUCCACAAUAUUCACCAAAAAACCUUCAUAAAAAGGUUUUAAGCGAUGACCAUUAACCUUAAAAACUUUGUCAGAGGUCGGACUCCGAAUCUCAACUGCACCAUGAGGAAAAACAUUAGUAACAAUAAAAGGUCCAACCCAGCAAGAACGUAAUUUACCCGGAAAAAGUUUAAGCUUAGAAUGAAAAAGAAGAACUUUUUGACCAACAGAGAACUCAUUUCUCAAAAUCAUUCUAUCAUGACAUGUCUUCGUUUUUUCCUUGUAAAUAACUUCCUGCACUAUAGGGUUAAUAACAUCCACAGAAAAUACCGAAUGUUCCUCACUAGGAUAUUUCAUGGCAUCAUUCAUAUUGAAUUCUAUAACCUCUCCAUCAAACUCCAUAGUAAGAGUCUCUUUAUGUACAUCCAUUUUAGUCCUAGCAGUCUUAAGAAAAGGUCUUCCUAGCAAAAUUGGGACAGAAUUAGAGAAGUUAUCCUCUUCCAUAUCAAGUACAUAAAAAUCAGCAGGAAAAACCAACUCAUUAACUUGUACUAGGACAUCUUCUAAUACCCCAUCAGGAUAUGCAUUAGACCUAUCAGCUAGUUGAAUUAUCACGCCAGUUUCUUUUAAUGGACCAACAUUCAAAGAUGAAUAAAUGGAACGAGGCAUGACAUUAAUAGAAGCUCCUAGAUCUAACAUAGCCUUUUCAACUUUGACAUUACCAAUUUUGCAAGGGAUAGUAAACAUACCUGGAUCCUUGCACUUAGGAGGUAGUUUCUUUUGGAGAACUGCUGAAACAUUCUCCCCCAUAUGAACCUUUUCAUCUCCUCUUAAUUUUCUCUUAGAGGUGCAAGGUGGUGACUUUUUUGGAGAAGAACUUAUUGGUUGGGCUGAGAGUGAGCACUCUUCCAAUUUGCCUAGCUCAACCAGAACUAUUCAAGCGCUUAGUGAGGUUGAAGCCUUUGUUCUUAUGGCAGAUGACUUGAAACAUGUAUUCUUACUUAGACAUUGUGACCGGGCAGCUCUUUUGUUACAAUCACGCUGGCGUUUCAGAAAGCUUUUGCGUGAUAGGAGGGCUAAGCAAAAAUCAAUCUUGAGAAGAAUGCGGAAUUGCGCAGCAGUACUACAGACUAUAGAAUAACAAUUUGAGACUGGAUUUGAAAUUAUUAUUUGUAUGAAUACUACCAAAAUGAAAAUAGGUGGUAAAAGCUGAAAAAUUAAGGGGAAAAUUGUCGAUCUCCCUUGUUCGAUUAUGCAGUCAACAAGAUCAGAAACAGUAAUCGCCAAGUUCGAUUUGGAAAUCUUAUCCAACCAAUGGUACCUUUUUCUUUUUUCUUUUUUUCCCUGAAUCAAGGACUUCACGCUUCGUUGAUGGGGAUACCAUUCCUAAAAUUAAAAGAUAUUGACCAUUACUAUCUCAAACAACAAUUAAUUAUACAUUGCCAGCACGCAAAAAUGAGCGACAAACUUCUUCAUUAACUAAUCUAUUUGAACAACUGCAUUUCUAAGCAUAUAUAUGAUCAUUUCAGAUGAAAAUAGUUUAAAGUGGUUAUAGAAGAACCGGUAGAUCACAGUUGAGAGAGUGAAGCAGAUCAUCAGGGGGCAAUCUUAAGUGUGUCACGCGGGUAGAGUGAUGUUUUGCGAAUGUUGUUGAGAUCGCAGAAAAGCAUCACCACACUCUUCAAUCCCACUUCACAUCCACUAUGUCUCGAAAGGAAUCCAAUGAUAACAUAAAGCUAACAGUUUUUAGAGGACCACACUGUUUUUCUAUUUGCGUACAAAUGGACAGUGGUUUCAGAAUAACCUUAGCAUUGUCAAGUUUAACCAGAGAGCAUGGAAACCAAAGCUAGAUCAAAAUUCAAAACCACUAUGGAGGAUGUGCAUGGAUUAAUGUAAAAUACUAUAUUCAAUUUGAACGAUAAACACAGUACAAAUAAAAAUUAUUAGAUUCCAUCUUCUAUUCUAUAAUUUUUAAUUCUUGCACUUCUUUUUCUGGGAAUCAGAUUUUUCUGAUACAGAACGUGAACCAACAAAAGCCAAAUUUUAUGAUAUUUGAUAAAAGCAACUUCCAAAAUAUACCAUAACCAUACCCAAUUAUUUUUUGUAUAAUAAUAUUUAAGCUUUUAUAGACACAGAUCGAGCUGUUAUGCUCUCAGCAUAAUAGGCUUGCGGCACUUGAUCAAACGAGAAAAAUCAGGGUAACAAUACCUGAAAUAUUCAAAGAUAUUUUCUUUACAUCAAUGCCACCUGCCUGUGCACGCUCCACCAAGAACCCGGUGUUGUGCGCGGAAUGCGGAAUCAAGCGCACCAAAAAUUACUGAAAAAUAAAGGACACAAGAAUUUACGUGGUUCGGUAAUUAAACCUACAUCCACGGAGGCAAGAAAGAAUAAUUGUUUAUUUAACAAUUAAUAGAAUACAAUAUUUGAGUAACGAAUCUCACUUCCCAGAAACCCAAAUAUACCCAGUACUCUCACACUCUGCAGGAAAGAUAAAUUCCCCAGACACACUUCUCUCACUUCUCUCAAAAGUUUAGAAACUUAUAAGCUUAACAAUUUUGGGAUGAUUUCAAAUGAAUGAAAUCCUAAGCUAUUUAUAGGAAAAAUGUUGGCACUAUGCAAAGAAUAAAAUAAUUGAAAAUAUAAUAAAUAAUUAUUAUUAUUUUCAAUACAUCCCCUUUUUCCAUUCUUUCUUUUCGGCUAACAAAAACCAAAUUGGAUUUUGCUUCUCCAAAGCCUUCAUGCUAACAAUUGCAAAGUUGGCAUUUGCUUCUGACUUUUCAACAAUUCUCCACCUCGGCGAAAAUUUAUCCAAAUAUGAGCCGAUUGACAAUGAUCCGCCAAACUUCAUCCCUCACAUGAUCCUCAAAAGGAUCCACAUUGGCUGCAUCUAUCCGACUGCCUACGUACCCAAAAUUUGGGAUCAAGCCAACCGUAGUUCAAAACAUCCCCCACAUGAUCCUCAAAAGGAUCCACAUUGGCUGCAUCUAUCCGACUGCCUACGUACCCAAAAUUUGGGAUCAAGCCAACCGUAGUUCAUAAUUCCCGAAGGACAUAUCUUAACACAAUCGAAGGAUUUGAAUUAAUUUCAAGCAAUGUUGAAACUUAACUCCAAAAACUACCUUCGUCAACAUAUCUGAUGGAUUAUCUUUGGUAUCGAUCUUUCUCAACAACACAACACCGCUCUCGAUAAUCUCUCUCACAUAAUGAUAUUUCACAUCUAUGUGCUUCGUCCGAGCGUGAUAUAUUUGAUUCUUCGCAAGGAAUAUCGCACUUUGAUUAUCACAGAAGACCGCAAUGUUCUCCUGGAUUACUCCCAAAUCACCUAACAAGCCUUUCAACCAGAUAGCUUCCUUUACAGCUUCAGUUGCUGCCAUGUACUCUGCUUCCGUAGUGGACAGAGCAAUUGUCGAUUGCAAAAUUGACCUCCAGCUAACCGGACCUCCACCCAAUGUGAAUACGUAGCCCGUUGUUGAUCUUCGCUUGUCAAGGUCUCCAGCGAAAUCAGAAUCACAAUACCCAACACAUUGUUGACCACAAUCCUUCUUGAACAAUAACCCAACAUCAACUGUCCCAUACAGAUAUCGGAAAAUCCACUUUACCGCAAGCCAUUGAUUUUUACCCGGAUUGUGCAUGUAUCUACUAACCAUGCUCACUGCUUGAGAUAUAUCGGGCCUUGUGCAUACCAUAGCAUACAUAAGACUACCCACAGCACUAGCAUAUGGAACACGAGCCAUGUAAUCGCGCUCCUCUUGAGAUCUAGGACAUGAAGAAGAGCUUAAUUUGAAAUGAGGAGCUAGAGGUGUACAUACCGGCUUAGUUUUGUUAUCCAUACCGAAUCUUUCUAGCACUUUCUUCAAAUAAGACUUUUGAGUCAACCAUACGCUCCCAUUCUUCUUGUCUCUAUGAAUCUCCAUCCCAAGUAUUCUUUGUGCAUCACCCAAGUCUUUCAUCUCGAACUCAGAAGUCAGCUGCUUCUUUAAUCUUUCGAUCUCAUCUCUAUUCUUCGAAGCUAUAAGCAUAUCGUCGACAUAGAGUAACAAAUAGAUGAAAGCUCCAUCUGGUAGUCUUCUAAAGUAAACACAAUGAUCGUGUUCACUUCUGGUGAAUUUCUGCCCUUGUAUAAAUUGAUCAAAUCUUUUGUACCACUGCCUUGGCGAUUGCUUCAGUCCGUACAAAGAUUUAAUCAACCUACACACAUGAUUCUCCUUUUCAGUAACUCUGAAACCACAAGGCUGAAUCAUAUAGAUUUCCUCCUCCAAAUCUCCAUGUAAGAACGCCGUCUUAACAUCCAACUGAGCCAACUCUAACUCAUAUUCUGCAACUAAGGCAAGUAGGAUACGAAUGGAAGUAUGUUUUACAACUGGAGAGAAAACUUCAUUGUAGUCAAUACUUUCCUUUUGAGCAAAACCUUUUGCCACGAGCCUUGCCUUGUAUCGAGGAGUUGUUUGAUUUGGAGAUCCUUGCUUUUUUGUGUAGACCCAUUUAUUGCCAAUAGCCCUUUUCCCCUUUGGUAAAUUUACAAGUUCCCAAGUCUGGUUUUGAUGGAGAGAUUUCAUCUCUUCCUCCAUGGCUAGCUUCCACUGAUCACUUUCAUUGCUGCGUAAUGCUUCACCGAAAGUAUUGGGGAUGUCAUCAUCAAUAACUGGAAGUGCAUAGGCUACCACCAUAUAUUUAGUAAGCCAUCCGGGUUUCUUUAUCUCUCUUAUUGGCCUCCUUGUUGCUAUAAAAUCAUCAUCAUCUACAUCAUCAAUUGUUUCUUCAUUUUGUGGGACGUCAGAAGAAACAACCUUUUCUUCAACUUUAGGUGUCACCUCCAUAGUUGAACCAUUCUUUGAUGUAGAACUAACUGGUACAUAUGGAGUUGCAUCAAACUCCACCCGCUGCAAUACCUCUGUGGUCUUGUUCUCCACCUGCUGAGAACUUGAAGCUUUUAUCAUUGAAGCUUCAUCAAAUGUGACAUCUCUGCUACACACAAACUUUUUGUCUUCGAGAUCCCAAAGCUUGAAGCCCUUUACUCCACCUUUGAAUCCCACAAAGAUAGAUUUUCUAGCACGAGGAUCCAGUUUACCAUCUUUGACAUGAUAAUAAGCUGGACACCCGAAUACACGAAGGGAAUCAUAGUCUUGUGCAUGCUUUCCAGACCACAUUUCCAUAGGAGUUUUACCUCCAAUUGCAGCAGAAAGCAACCGAUUUACCAAGUGACUUGCGUAGCUCACAGUUUCAGCCCAAAACUUUUUAUCUAAACCAGCAUUAGAUAACAUACAUCGUACCUUCUCCAGUAAAGUACGAUUCAUACGCUCAGCCACACCGUUCUGUUGCGGAGUAUGUCUCACCGUGAAAUGUCUUUUAAUACCCUCGUUCUGGCAUACUUGCAAGAAUGGAUCAGAAGUAUAUUCACCCCCAUUAUUAGAUCGUAAUACUUUGAUCUUUCUGCCAGUUUGAGUCUCCACCAAUUUCUUCCACUUCACGAAAAUCUCUAGAACCUCAUCCUUUGCUCGCAUGGUGUACACCCAUACACGUCUAGAGAAAUCAUCAACAAAUAUAACAAAAUAAUGGCUUCCACCAAUUGAUGCAGUCUUGGUUGGUCCCCAUACAUCACUAUGAACAUAUUCAAGGAUCUCACGAGUAUCGUGAUUAGCUGUACCAAACUUGACCCUUGUUUUCUUGCCUACUACACAAUGCUCACAGAAAUUUAAUUUACAGGUUUUGGUACCUUUUAAGAGUCCAUGCCUCAUCAGAGUUUGCAAAGACUUCUCUCCUGCAUGUCCCAGUCGUACAUGCCAUAGCUUGGUGGUGUCACUGUGCGCCUCAACAACAUUUGCUUCAUCAGUUGUACCUCCCUUCAAAUAGUACAGAUUGUGACGCCGAACCUCUUGCAGAAUCACCAUAGCCCCAUGUGUAAACUUCAUUAUACCAUCUUCAAUGGUAACCUUGUAACCUUUAGCUUCCAAAACACCCACAGAAAUUAGAUUUUUCUUUAAAGCUGGAACAAAUCUAACCUCUUUGAGUUCUCUGACCAUUCCAUCAAACAUUUUGAGCCGAAUUAUUCAUAUCCCCAUUGUGCGACAAGGUUGAUCAUUCCCCAUCACAACUGCACCGGAUUCCAGAUUACGAAAAUCCGUAAACCAUUCCUUAAUAGGACACAAAUGAUAGGUUGCUCCAGUAUCAAGUAUCCACUCGCUCGAACUAGCCACGUAUGCUGCAGGAGUAAUACUUAGUGAAUAAUCAGAGCCCUCAUCUUUCCAUGCCAUGUUUGCUGCUGCUGGUUUCUUCCCAUCUCUCUUUUGAGCCUUUGGACAAUCUUUCCUCCAAUGGCCCUUUUCAUGACAAAAGGCACACUCGUCUCGAGCUAUAUUUCUGCUUCUCGAUUUGGAUCGAGAAUUCUUUCCACCACGCUUUUUCUUUUUCUCCAUCGCCCAAUCUCUGCUCACCAAAGCUUCAGACGAUGCUCGUUCAGAAUUUUUAUUAUUAUUCUGAAUCUCCAAAUUAGUCAAUGCUGUGCAAACAUCUUUGAAGAUGAUCACACUUUUUCCAUAUAUCAAGGUAGUCACAAAAUGGCUAUAUUCCUCUGGUAGUGAGUGUAACAAAAUCAUAGCCUUGACUUCAUCCUUAAUAUCUUCAUCAAGAUUCUUCAAAUCAGCAAGUAACUUUUCAAAUCUUGAAACAUGAUCGUGCAUUGACACCCCAGACUUCAUUCGAAAGCCAUAUACUUGGCUCAUUGCAUGAAGACGAUUUUCAGGACUUUUCACCAGGUACUUCUCUUCCAAUGUACGCCACAAAGUCACUGCACACUCCUCAUCUUUCACCAAGUAUUUCACCUCCUUGGUCAAACAAGAUCUGAUCUGACCACAGGCUUUCUCGUUCAUACGAUCCCAAAUUUCUUCAUCAUACAAGUGUCUUUUAUUUUUCAGGACAACAUCGAGAUCGAUUUGAAUAAGGGCAUCCAUAACUUCGCGCCUCCACAUGCCGAAGUUGAUUUUCCCAUCAAACUUUUCAACAUCGAUCUUCUGGCCUCCUAUAACAGGUGCUGAAUAGCGAUUUGACAAAUCUCGCCUCCCACCUGAAGUGUCUCCUGAAAUAGUCUCGGUAGAUCUCUCCCCAAUUCUGGAAGUUUCACCUUCUACCAUUUUUUCAACGAACUAUUUCCACUUGAAAAACAGCCUCUAUGAUGUUAAUUUCGCGUGAAUAAAUGCACCAGGAAAGUUCCCAGGAAACUGGACGGGAACUCGGUCCCAAUUAAAAACCAGAAUCCUUAGACUCUUAUCGCCUUUGUUGACAGAACUUUCCUAGACAUGCAAAAAUACACACUACUUACAAUAGACUGUCUCCCAAGUACAAAUGGCCGUCUCCACCGUAUUCGUGAACAGUACCGUAUGUGAACACUACCGUAUACGGGAAUAGUACCGUAUACGUGAACAGUACCGUAUCCCCCCAAGUACGAACCGUCGGCUCUGAUACCACUUGUUGUGCGCGGAAUGCGGAAUCAAGCGCACCAAAAAUUACUGAAAAAUAAAGGACACAAGAAUUUACGUGGUUCGGUAAUUAAACCUACAUCCACGGAGGCAAGAAAGAAUAAUUGUUUAUUUAACAAUUAAUAGAAUACAAUAUUUGAGUAACGAAUCUCACUUCCCAGAAACCCAAAUAUACCCAGUACUCUCACACUCUGCAGGAAAGAUAAAUUCCCCAGACACACUUCUCUCACUUCUCUCAAAAGCUUAGAAACUUAUAAGCUUAACAAUUUUGGGAUGAUUUCAAAUGAAUGAAAUCCUAAGCUAUUUAUAGGAAAAAUGUUGGCACUAUGCAAAGAAUAAAAUAAUUGAAAAUAUAAUAAAUAAUAAUUAUUAUUUUCAAUACAUCCCCUUUUUCCAUUCUUUCUUUUCGGCUAACAAAAACCAAAUUGGAUUUUGCUUCUCCAAAGCCUUCAUGCUAACAGUUGCAAAGUUGGCAUUUGCUUCUGACUUUUCAACACCCUGGCAUAUCAAUACGUUGAGCACCCGAAAUUAUCUCUUCACCUAAAGAGGAGGAAGAGAUGCUCAAAAAUCCGGUCAAAUGAACAAUCACAUGAUAUUUUCAUCCAACAAGUAUGAAUGUUUGCAAUGAAAAGAAAAAUGAAAACCCGACAGAAAAUUCUUCAACACAAGGAUUUUGAAUGUGGUUAUCAUUAUAAUUAAGCAGUCAACCUAAUACAACCUUCAACCAGAGGUGAAUUCAUUUACGCCAGUCACAUGACCACUCCUAUCAACACCACUGCAAAAAAAGCACAUCCUCUUCAUUAAUAAAUGAAGUUUUGUUCCUGCUUUACUUCACCAUUCAUUUUCAUCUCAUAAAAGAGCAAUUUAUUGGAAUGCAACAUACCUCGAUUAAACUGAAAGAGGAUUAAGAUAAUUUAAAAAAUGAAAACUGCGAGACAAUGCGAGUAGUAUCAUGAUAAACUUAACUCCAGACGGACAUCCAUUUUUUAAUCGUAAUUAAUGAAACAAAUGUAGAUCGAGAUUUCCCCAAAACAACACCACAAAUACAAGUAUAUGUGCAUCCAAAAUGAAGAAGAAAUGUUUCAGCUUCAUACAUUACCUCGAAUAAAGACAUCAAAUUAGUUUCUGUAAAGAGCAUUGUCAGGAGGGGGCGCCAAACAGCCCAAGGAUAACGAUGGAGUAUAUAAAAUUCGGCGCCAUACCUGCAAUAGGAAGCAACAAUCAGGCACGUAUUGAUGAUAUACAUAGAAAUUUAGGCUUAAAAAUGAGAAAACACUUGUCAUGAGCUAAGAGCAAUGAGGCUCUUAAUUGUUUCAAAAUUUGAAACUAAUAAUAGAUGUAUGUUAUACAAACAAAUUCAUACUUCAAUACUUGUAACAAAAAUCAAGUCAGUAAAUAUGGAACCUACUUAUCUUCGUUCCAUAGGUUUGGUUGUCUUUUUUUUUUUUAAUUAAUGUUCAGAAUCGAUUAAAAAGUUUUUUAAUUCGAGUUCUUGCUAAUUUCAUUUUUUGAUUCCAUUGUGAAAUUCAAUUUUCUUAUUUAAUUUUAUUCCGAUCCUAUCUACCCAUUCGAAUUUUGGUUGCUUAAUUGUUCAGGAUGUUGGAGUUGAGAAUGAUCCUCUUGAAGACUUGAAUACUGAGGCAGAGAGGAAUUUGAUCCAACUAUUUUCCUACGAUUCUUGGGAACAGUAGAUACUACUUUUAAAGUAUUCAACCUACUAAAUGAUUCCUCCACACUUCUGUUACCCUUAAAAAUCAUCUAAUUAUUUAUUCAUACACUAAUCUAAAUAAUGGCGUGAUAAAUCAGAAACCUUUCUUCAUGAAACAUGAACUGAGGGGAUGAAAGAAAUUAAGUUACCUUGAGCAUUUGAAUCCCUUUUCCGAAUGUAAGACAAAGAGUCUUUGCCUUGUACUGCAACAUUUAGAAAAUGCCACAAUCAGGUUCAAGAAUAGAGAAAAGCUGAGGUGAUAUAUAAUUUUCCAUAUUCCAAAUAUAUCUAAACUAUACAAGAACUUCAAAAAUUAUUAUGAUAAUAGAAUUUUACGAACAAUUCAAAAUAAAUAAUGACCUUCAGAGGUUCAAACGGACACUGAUUCGCCACAUAUUCAACUUCCUUUUUGCACCUCUCAUUCUGUUAGGAAAUUGAGUUUCCUCCCAAGAUCUCUCCAAGCAAUUUAUCAAGCAACAAAUUAAUAAGAAAAAUUAAAUAAAGAAUAUACCAACCACAUAACACAAGAUUUACGUGGAAAACUCCAAAUCCGGAGAAAAACCACGGCCGUUGUCAAAAAGACAACCAGAGAAAAAAUAUUCACUAUGUGGAAAAUUAUUACAACCACACUCUCAAAAAUAAUUUUCUCUCACCUAAGCCCCAAAUACACCCCAAAGAAAUACUCUCUGAAUGAAGAAAAGAAACCGAGGAUUAGAUGCAAAAACCAAAAAAUGGGGAGCUUCCUUUAUAUAGCCAAAAUUGGCUAUUAUUUUAUUAUUUUUACCACCGUCUUCAUUCUUCUAUUUUCUUCUUUCUUCUUUUUCUUCAUUCCAAAUUUGCUGCUGCCAAAUUCUUCUUCUUCUUCUUUGAACAACAUGGAUGCUGACCAUCUAGAUGGCUGCUUCAAACCAUCUAGAUGGCUGGCUGCUUUUGACAUUUCUCCCACUUGGAGAUUUGAUUGAGAAUCAAUCAAUCUCCACACUAACCUUAAUAUUUUCCUCACCAUAGAGAAUUAUCAUACCCCACCAUAAAAGAGUAUACCACUUAGAAUUAAUUACCAAUUCUAAGAAUUUUACAUCGGCUCAUGUCGAAAUAUCCUGCUGAAAUUUAUGGUGCAACUUCCAUGUUGGCCUUCCUGGAAGUUUGUCAGCCAUCGACAUAAAUUCCACCACACACCCUGCAUCAAUGCCAACCAUGCCUUGUGUGUAAAUCUUGUGGACCCGCUAGUAGUAACAUAUCUCCUUUCAUGGUACUAGCGAUAUACCAUGAGGAUGUCAUCAUCAUCCAUUUUACAAGGGAUCAUCGUCUCCCACGAUGAUGAGAGACUUACCACUAGCAAUACUAUCAGUAUCUGAUCUGGAGCCACUUGCCGAUCCUGCUCCAUUUCUACUAUGACAAUCUCUUUUUAAGUGCCCCAAUUGUCCACACCCCCAGCAAACUCCUUUCUUCUUAGAUUUAUCUUUCUGCCAAUUCCCUACAACUGCCAAAGCCGAGACAUCUGUAGUUUUAGUACUUUCACCACCCAGUCUCCUUUCUUCUGAGAGUAAAGUACUAGUAACUUCUUCAAGAUCUAUUGUCUCAUUCCCGUACAUCAAAGUAGGUAACAAGUGUUUGUAGGAAGUUGGAAGUGACCAUAGUAACCUAAGCGCCUUGUCCUCAUCUUCAAUUUUAACUCCAAUGGCUUCUAGUUCUGACACAAUACCAUUGAGAACACUGAGGUGAUCGGAAAUUUUUGUACCUUCAGCCAUUCGCAGUGUGUGAAAUCGCUCCUUCAGGUACAAUCGAUUUGAGAUGCUCUUUGUCUGAUACAACUUUUCUAGCUUCUCCCAAAGUUCUUUCGCUGUAGGAAUUUUUCCUACAUUUGCAAGAACAUUCUUUGCUAGACACAGUCGUAUGGCACUUGCAGCUCUAUCAUCUAAUUCUUCCCAAUCUUCAUCACUUAUACUAGUUUUUCCAGAGCCACUACUGGAAGCAGGGGAUGGCUUCCCCUUCAAUGCCUUGUGUAACCCAGAUUGAAUCAACACAUCUUUGACUUGAACUUGCCACAAGCCAAAGUUAAUUCUCCCAUCGAAUUUUUCUAUUUCAAAUUUCACCGGACUUGAAAAUUUCAAUCCUGACAUAUUUGCUUUGCAGAUAAGCUUUUACUCUUCACCACGGACUGUUUGGAUUGGCUCCCACUGCUUCACGUGAAUAGUACUGUAUACGUGAACAGUACCGUAUACGUGAACAGUACUGUAUACGUGAACAAUGCCCCAACACCAAAACUUCAAUCAAUGGCUCUGAUACCACUGUUAGGAAAUUGAGUUUCCUCCCAAGAUCUCUCCAAGCAAUUUAUCAAGCAACAAAUUAAUAAGAAAAAUUAAAUAAAGAAUAUACCAACCACAUAACACAAGAUUUACGUGGAAAACUCCAAAUCCGGAGAAAAACCACGGCCGUUGUCAAAAAGACAACCAGAGAAAAAAUAUUCACUAUGUGGAAAAUUAUUACAACCACACUCUCAAAAAUAAUUUUCUCUCACCUAAGCCCCAAAUACACCCCAAAGAAAUACUCUCUGAAUGAAGAAAAGAAACCGAGGAUUAGAUGCAAAAACCAAAAAAUGGGGAGCUUCCUUUAUAUAGCCAAAAUUGGCUAUUAUUUUAUUAUUUUUACCACCGUCUUCAUUCUUCUAUUUUCUUCUUUCUUCUUUUUCUUCAUUCCAAAUUUGCUGCUGCCAAAUUCUUCUUCUUCUUCUUUGAACAACAUGGAUGCUGACCAUCUAGAUGGCUGCUUCAAACCAUCUAGAUGGCUGGCUGCUUUUGACAUUUCUCCCACUUGGAGAUUUGAUUGAGAAUCAAUCAAUCUCCACACUAACCUUAAUAUUUUCCUCACCAUAGAGAAUUAUCAUACCCCACCAUAAAAGAGUAUACCACUUAGAAUUAAUUACCAAUUCUAAGAAUUUUACAUCGGCUCAUGUCGAAAUAUCCUGCUGAAAUUUAUGGUGCAACUUCCAUGUUGGCCUUCCUGGAAGUUUGUCAGCCAUCGACAUAAAUUCCACCACACACCCUGCAUCAAUGCCAACCAUGCCUUGUGUGUAAAUCUUGUGGACCCGCUAGUAGUAACAUAUCUCCUUUCAUGGUACUAGCGAUAUACCAUGAGGAUGUCAUCAUCAUCCAUUUUACAAGGGAUCAUCGUCUCCCACGAUGAUGAGAGACUUACCACUAGCAAUACUAUCAGUAUCUGAUCUGGAGCCACUUGCCGAUCCUGCUCCAUUUCUACUAUGACAAUCUCUUUUUAAGUGCCCCAAUUGUCCACACCCCCAGCAAACUCCUUUCUUCUUAGAUUUAUCUUUCUGCCAAUUCCCUACAACUGCCAAAGCCGAGACAUCUGUAGUUUUAGUACUUUCACCACCCAGUCUCCUUUCUUCUGAGAGUAAAGUACUAGUAACUUCUUCAAGAUCUAUUGUCUCAUUCCCGUACAUCAAAGUAGGUAACAAGUGUUUGUAGGAAGUUGGAAGUGACCAUAGUAACCUAAGCGCCUUGUCCUCAUCUUCAAUUUUAACUCCAAUGGCUUCUAGUUCUGACACAAUACCAUUGAGAACACUGAGGUGAUCGGAAAUUUUUGUACCUUCAGCCAUUCGCAGUGUGUGAAAUCGCUCCUUCAGGUACAAUCGAUUUGAGAUGCUCUUUGUCUGAUACAACUUUUCUAGCUUCUCCCAAAGUUCUUUCGCUGUAGGAAUUUUUCCUACAUUUGCAAGAACAUUCUUUGCUAGACACAGUCGUAUGGCACUUGCAGCUCUAUCAUCUAAUUCUUCCCAAUCUUCAUCACUUAUACUAGUUUUUCCAGAGCCACUACUGGAAGCAGGGGAUGGCUUCCCCUUCAAUGCCUUGUGUAACCCAGAUUGAAUCAACACAUCUUUGACUUGAACUUGCCACAAGCCAAAGUUAAUUCUCCCAUCGAAUUUUUCUAUUUCAAAUUUCACCGGACUUGAAAAUUUCAAUCCUGACAUAUUUGCUUUGCAGAUAAGCUUUUACUCUUCACCACGGACUGUUUGGAUUGGCUCCCACUGCUUCACGUGAAUAGUACUGUAUACGUGAACAGUACCGUAUACGUGAACAGUACUGUAUACGUGAACAAUGCCCCAACACCAAAACUUCAAUCAAUGGCUCUGAUACCACUGUUAGGAAAUUGAGUUUCCUCCCAAGAUCUCUCCAAGCAAUUUAUCAAGCAACAAAUUAAUAAGAAAAAUUAAAUAAAGAAUAUACCAACCACAUAACACAAGAUUUACGUGGAAAACUCCAAAUCCGGAGAAAAACCACGGCCGUUGUCAAAAAGACAACCAGAGAAAAAAUAUUCACUAUGUGGAAAAUUAUUACAACCACACUCUCAAAAAUAAUUUUCUCUCACCUAAGCCCCAAAUACACCCCAAAGAAAUACUCUCUGAAUGAAGAAAAGAAACCGAGGAUUAGAUGCAAAAACCAAAAAAUGGGGAGCUUCCUUUAUAUAGCCAAAAUUGGCUAUUAUUUUAUUAUUUUUACCACCGUCUUCAUUCUUCUAUUUUCUUCUUUCUUCUUUUUCUUCAUUCCAAAUUUGCUGCUGCCAAAUUCUUCUUCUUCUUCUUUGAACAACAUGGAUGCUGACCAUCUAGAUGGCUGCUUCAAACCAUCUAGAUGGCUGGCUGCUUUUGACAUUUCUCCCACUUGGAGAUUUGAUUGAGAAUCAAUCAAUCUCCACACUAACCUUAAUAUUUUCCUCACCAUAGAGAAUUAUCAUACCCCACCAUAAAAGAGUAUACCACUUAGAAUUAAUUACCAAUUCUAAGAAUUUUACAUCGGCUCAUGUCGAAAUAUCCUGCUGAAAUUUAUGGUGCAACUUCCAUGUUGGCCUUCCUGGAAGUUUGUCAGCCAUCGACAUAAAUUCCACCACACACCCUGCAUCAAUGCCAACCAUGCCUUGUGUGUAAAUCUUGUGGACCCGCUAGUAGUAACAUAUCUCCUUUCAUGGUACUAGCGAUAUACCAUGAGGAUGUCAUCAUCAUCCAUUUUACAAGGGAUCAUCGUCUCCCACGAUGAUGAGAGACUUACCACUAGCAAUACUAUCAGUAUCUGAUCUGGAGCCACUUGCCGAUCCUGCUCCAUUUCUACUAUGACAAUCUCUUUUUAAGUGCCCCAAUUGUCCACACCCCCAGCAAACUCCUUUCUUCUUAGAUUUAUCUUUCUGCCAAUUCCCUACAACUGCCAAAGCCGAGACAUCUGUAGUUUUAGUACUUUCACCACCCAGUCUCCUUUCUUCUGAGAGUAAAGUACUAGUAACUUCUUCAAGAUCUAUUGUCUCAUUCCCGUACAUCAAAGUAGGUAACAAGUGUUUGUAGGAAGUUGGAAGUGACCAUAGUAACCUAAGCGCCUUGUCCUCAUCUUCAAUUUUAACUCCAAUGGCUUCUAGUUCUGACACAAUACCAUUGAGAACACUGAGGUGAUCGGAAAUUUUUGUACCUUCAGCCAUUCGCAGUGUGUGAAAUCGCUCCUUCAGGUACAAUCGAUUUGAGAUGCUCUUUGUCUGAUACAACUUUUCUAGCUUCUCCCAAAGUUCUUUCGCUGUAGGAAUUUUUCCUACAUUUGCAAGAACAUUCUUUGCUAGACACAGUCGUAUGGCACUUGCAGCUCUAUCAUCUAAUUCUUCCCAAUCUUCAUCACUUAUACUAGUUUUUCCAGAGCCACUACUGGAAGCAGGGGAUGGCUUCCCCUUCAAUGCCUUGUGUAACCCAGAUUGAAUCAACACAUCUUUGACUUGAACUUGCCACAAGCCAAAGUUAAUUCUCCCAUCGAAUUUUUCUAUUUCAAAUUUCACCGGACUUGAAAAUUUCAAUCCUGACAUAUUUGCUUUGCAGAUAAGCUUUUACUCUUCACCACGGACUGUUUGGAUUGGCUCCCACUGCUUCACGUGAAUAGUACUGUAUACGUGAACAGUACCGUAUACGUGAACAGUACUGUAUACGUGAACAAUGCCCCAACACCAAAACUUCAAUCAAUGGCUCUGAUACCACUGUUAGGAAAUUGAGUUUCCUCCCAAGAUCUCUCCAAGCAAUUUAUCAAGCAACAAAUUAAUAAGAAAAAUUAAAUAAAGAAUAUACCAACCACAUAACACAAGAUUUACGUGGAAAACUCCAAAUCCGGAGAAAAACCACGGCCGUUGUCAAAAAGACAACCAGAGAAAAAAUAUUCACUAUGUGGAAAAUUAUUACAACCACACUCUCAAAAAUAAUUUUCUCUCACCUAAGCCCCAAAUACACCCCAAAGAAAUACUCUCUGAAUGAAGAAAAGAAACCGAGGAUUAGAUGCAAAAACCAAAAAAUGGGGAGCUUCCUUUAUAUAGCCAAAAUUGGCUAUUGUUUUAUUAUUUUUACCACCGUCUUCAUUCUUCUAUUUUCUUCUUUCUUCUUUUUCUUCAUUCCAAAUUUACUGCUGCCAAAUUCUUCUUCUUCUUCUUUGAACAACAUGGAUGCUGACCAUCUAGAUGGCUGCUUCAAACCAUCUAGAUGGCUGGCUGCUUUUGACACAUUCAAAUCAUCAAAAAUUGUGACAAAUAAGCGGUCCACAAUAUCCAUCACCUGUAUUCAGGUGUCAUUGAAAAAUUAACCAAUAAACCCCUCCAGCUAUACCUCCGAAUAAUGCUUCUUAAUCUCCAUUUCAACAUCAAGACCGGUAAAUUAACUCACACAAAUGCCUAUGAGUGUACGAGUCCUCUGGUCUAAAAACAGAACCGGUCUCAAAAACCCGCCCAAAAUCACCGCAUAUCGAUAUUUGCUUGUGACCUUCACUUGAACCAGCUAUCAGUUUUGGCAUGUGGAUCUCAACAAAAUCCUCAGAAAACAAGAAUUGUCUGAAUAUCUGUACAUUGAUGCAAUCAUUAAGGACCAACUCAAGGCCUUACUCAUAUUCCAAUCCAAGCUGGUUAAUGGGUUAAGGUUACUUAAACAUUUUAUAUUUUUGUCUAUUCUAAGAUAAUGUUGAAUAUUAUAUAUAUAAGAAAUUUUUUGUCUAUUCUUAGACAAAUUCUUGGCGGGAAUUUAACAAACUUCAAGCCUAAUAACACUUUGCAUAACAACAUGACAGCUUGGCAGUUGACUAAGCACUCUGCUUACAUGGCAAUCUGACUCAGCAGUUUACAUAGCAAUUUGGCUCAACAUAUAUACUCUUAACAGAACCAAAUAAAUAUUAACACGCGUCUCGACGCAUACCUUGCAUAUCAUCACAUUUAUAUAUGUACGAUGAUAUCACCGCCACCUAAAUUUCUCAUUUAUUAUAUUUGAUUAUUUUCUUUUUUAUUUCAUUGAUUUUCUCGUAUAAAAGUAGAUUUACUACGAUUUACCAUUUUGUUGUUGUGCAAUGGUCACCCUUUUUGUUUGAGCUGCCUAUUGAUGUAUUGCUUUUAGAAAAACUCUCAGAAUAGCUUUACAUUAUACUUUUCUAAUUUGCAAUGAAUGCAUCCAGGAGUAUAGGAAAGAAAGAAAUAAAGGGGGAAAAAAAAAAAGAAAGAAAGAAAUACUCCCCGUGUAUCACCUAAACUAGUUUUAAAACUUCUUGAAUUGGACAAGAAUAAGUUGGCUGACAAGCUUUCCUAACUUCUCACAACUUUUAUUAUUGUUACCUUAUAUUUUCAUAAUCGUUAGAUUUUUAUACUUGAAUUGGUACCAAUCUCUCUUUUAUCAAAUUUAAACAGAGAUAAUUGAUUGAAUGAUUCAGUCUCCGUCGUCCAAAAGAAUUUUUCUUAUCUACAACGUUCUUAUUUGCUCAAACAGAUGGAAUCCAGAAAACUCAUCCAUUUGAUUCUCUUCAAUUGAAAACUCAUCACUUCCUGCAUGUAAGAGCAAUUUGAGUGCCAUAAAGCCUGUAGUGAAUCUACCUAUUUAGGGAAUAAUUUAAAUAGAAAAGUUAACAUGAAGCUCAUACCCUAAUAAAAAGCUACUCUUAAAAUAACAUGAAUCAAGAAACAGAGCAAAACAGAGUAGCUACUAAGAAGAACACCCAAAUUAACUCCUAAAAUUGACCAAACAUAACAAGCAUCAAAUCAAAGCAUUAAAGCACUAAUCAGAGACUUCACACUAAAUUGUUUUUUUUUAAAUAAUGGGAUUUCAAGAUUAUACUUAAAAAGACCUCUUUUUUUUUUUUGGGGAAGAGAAAAAUCAUCUGCAUGGUUGAAGGAUCAAAAGCUCAUGGAUGGAAUAAAAGAGAAAUUAAAGUAAACAAUGUAACUAACCGGUUCCUUGAAGAAGUUGGUUAUCGACGGAGGCCCAGUGACUUUGUCGGAGUGGUGGCAUCGCUGGGUUAGGCCUGAGUGAAGAGUGAAUAUUGGGAGAUCUCUGGCUUCGGUUCUUUGACCUUACGUUAUUUUAUUUAUUCAUUAUUUUUUUUUCUAGUAUAUGCAGAUGCUCCGCUCACUUUAAACUCUGGUGGAUGCAGUGUGGCAACUGAAGUGAUCAGUUGCUGCCCAAGAUCACAAACCAAAUCUGCCAAGAUGCUUCCAAGAUCAAACUGAUUUGAAGCUUAAUUGAUAUGUGUAAAGAAUAUAUUUCAGAAUUGAAUUUCUUGCCCCCCUUCAUUCACAAACUCAUGCACGUAUAUAUACAGAUUACAUUCCUAUAAUUAAGGGGAUAAUAUUCCUACGUAUCCCUAUAGUCUAGCAGUUGUCAUUGUUUGUUUACAACUAAUAUUCCAAUACCCCCCCUCAAGUUGGAGCAUGCAAGUCUUGAAUGCCCAACUUGCGAAUGAAGAACUCAAACCGUUGUCUACCCAAUGCCUUCGUAAAUAUAUCAGCCAGUUGUGCAUGGGUCGAGACAUAAGCUGGUUGAAUGUUACCAAAGCGAACCUCAUCACGAACAAAAUGACAGUCUAUCUCAAUAUGUUUGGUCCGCUCAUGAAACACUGGAUUUGCUGCAAAGUGUAAGGCUGCCUGAUUGUCACAGUAUACCUUCAUUGGAUUUGGAUGCUCCACGCCAAGAGUCAAUAGUAGCUCUUUUAACCAUUUUAAUUCGCAAGUGGUUGCUGCCAUAGAUCGAUAUUCUGCCUCAGCCGACGACCGAGAGACAGUAUGUUGCUUCUUCGUCUUCCAAGAGACUGGUGAAUCGCCAAGUAGAAUGAACCAUCCAGUCAAAGAACAACGAGUUAAUGGACAACUUGCCCAAUCUGAGUCACACCAAGCUGAUAGUUGCAGGUCACAGUCUGAUCGUAGCAUUAUUCCUUGACCAGGAUUCCCUUUCAAGUAACGCACAAUGCGUAAAGCAGCCGCCCAAUGUUCUUCUCGUGGUUGUUGCAUGAAUUGUGCCAACACAUGCACACUGUAAGAUAACUCGGGACGUGUAACAGAGAGAUAAAUAAGUCGGCCCACCAAACGUCUGUAACUCUCAGGUUUAGAUAAGAAAACGCCAUCGGCCAAAGCCAAAUUAUGGUUGUGCUCUAGCGGGAAAGAUGCAGGUUUAGCUCCGAGUAGACCAACCUCAGAGAUAAUAUCCAGCGCAUAUUUACGUUGGCACAAGAAAAUUCCUGUAGGACUUCGGGCUACUUCGAUUCCGAGGAAAUAUUUCAACAUUCCUAAAUCCCUCAUAUGAAAACAUUUGCUCAAAUAUUCCUUGAAAACUUUAAUGGCUGCAUGAUCAUUACCUGUCACAACAAUGUCAUCAACAUAUACAAGGACAUUGAUUUGUACCUUGCCUUGGCUCAAAGUAAAAAGAGAGGAGUCCGAGUAUGAUUGUUCGAAACCAUAACUCUUCAGAGCAGUAACCAAUUUCGCAAACCAACAUCGGGGAGCUUGUCGUAAUCCAUACAAAGACUUCUUCAAAUGACAUACCUUCCCUGGGUUCUCUGAAUGAAAACCAGGAGGCAUACGCAUGUACACUUCUUCUUCCAAAUCGCCGUGUAAGAACGCGUUAUGCACGUCCAUUUGAUGAAGUUCCCAGUGCUUAGCAGCUGCCACUGCCAAAAGAGCUCGAACUGUAACCAUUUUUGCCACUGGAGCAAACGUCUCAUUGUAGUCAAUCCCUGCAACUUACUUGUUCCCGAGAAUUACCAAUCGAGCCUUAUAGCGCUCAAUGGUUCCAUCAGCAUUAUAUUUGAUCUUGUAUACCCAUUUACAAUUUAUAGCUCGUUUUCCUGGUGGUAAGGAUUCUACAGUCCAUGUCUCAUUAUCUUCCCGUGCUUGUAUCUCUUUCUUCAUUGCAUCUCUCCAUUUUUCAUCUUUGACCGCUUCAGUAAAAGAACUGGGCUCAACACCUGCAGUGACAGCUGCCAAGAAAGCACGAUGUCGCAAUGAAAACUUAUCAUAGUUCACAUAAUGUGUUAUCGGAUAAAGACUACCUGAGGAAUGCGUGUGGCCAGGUGAGCGUGCAGAGGGGCUCGAGGAGGAGCUCAACCGUUGUACUGUGUGUAAGACACAAUCUCGCAAUCUGGUGGAUUGUUGUCGUUGCCUGCAACCACGCCCUAGCACAAUUUCAGAUUGCUCAUCGUCCAUAGUCUCAUUGGCACCCCCCCUUGCUACAGAUAUUCCUUGAUCUUGUUCAACAUAUAUAGGUGUUUCAAUAGAUUGCCCAUAAUCUAUAUCCCUUAUACCUUCUUGAUCCUCUUGGUGUGGCAUCCUAGAGUGGUGCUCCAUGUCCAAGUUAUCACUCACAGCAGCUCCCUGCAUAAUUUCCUCUUCGGCAACCAAGCUAUCUAACUCAUUAUUUUUCGUUUUGCCUUGCUCACUAGUGCCUUUGUUCUCAUAAGGAAACACAUGUUCUUUGAAUACAACAUCCCUUGAGACAAAGAGCUCACCCGAGUUCAUAUCAUACAAGCUCCAACCUUUCUUUCCAUAAGGAUACCCAAUAAAAAUGCAUUUCCUACUUCGACUGGCAAAUUUAUCUCCUCCAUGCCUUUGAUUAUGAGCAUAAGCCAAACAUCCAAACACUCGGAUAUUUUUAUACGAAGGGGUUUCACCAAACAAUAUUUCAUAAGGUGUUUUCCCUUGUAACAAGUCGGAUGGAGUUCGAUUGAUUAAGUAUGCAGCUGUCAAUAUACACUCUCCCCAAAAUUCAAUGGGCAAAUUUGCUUGGAAACGCAAUGCCCGUGCUACAUUGAGUAUAUGACGAUGUUUCCGUUCUACUCUCCCAUUUUGUUGAGGGGUCCCAACGCACGAGGUUUGAUGUAUUACACCUUUCUCCACAAAAUAACCAUCCAAGCAGAUGAACUCAGUUCCAUUAUCACUACGCACUAUUUUCACAUGUCUAUUAAAUUGCCUAUGAACCAUAGCAAAGAAAUUCUGAAUCGUUCGUGCCACCUCGGUUUUAUUAUUUAAUAAAUAAAUCCACACUGCUCUAGAGUAAUCAUCAACAAUAGUAAAAAAAAUAGUAUGAACCGCAAAAAGUUGGAGUUCUAUAAGGACCCCAUAAAUCACAAUGAAUCUUCUAAAAAACAUUAGAUGCCUUAUUAUCACUUGAUACAAACUCUUCUCGACAAUGUUUUGCUCGGACACAGACUUCACAUUCAUCAGUGCACUUAUUAUUAUUUCUAUUAACGAUGGGCAACAACCUAAUGACCUUGUUGGAAGGAUGGCCCAACCUUCGAUGCCAAAGAUCUACUGAGUCGUUUUCUGCUACUUUCAUAACUUUGACUGAUGUUAAGCUCCGAAAGUAGUAGAGCCCCUCGCGCUGCUCACCCGCACCAAUCAGCAUCCUCGAAUUGUGGUCUUGUAUAACACAAAAUUUAUUAGUGAACUGGACUAUACAAUUCGACUCCUUAAUCAACUGUGCUACUGAAAUUAAGUUACACUUUAAAUUAGGCACAUAUAACACAUUAUUUAGUUUUAGAUGUUUAUCCAAAACUAUGGUUCCUUCUUUCUCCGCUAUUGUUUCCUUCCCAUCUGGUAGCCUAACAGGACAUGAGAGGAUUUUCUUCACAUCACUUAUUGACUUAAGGCUUCCUGUCAUAUGAUGAGAGGCCCCGCUAUCAAUUAUCCACUCCAUUAUUUUAUGCUUACCGUUCAAUCUUCCUUGAUUCCCUUCUUUUUGCCCAUUUAAUAUAUUAAGCAAUAAAUUCCAUUGUUCGUUGCUUAGUCCAUUCAAUCCACUUUGUCUCCUUCGACUCUUUGUUCUUGAGCCGUGCUUCCCUGUGUUGUUACCUGCGCUGCGUUGGCCCGAAUCUGUCCACCUCGUCAUCUUCCUCCAUAUGCAGCAGGCUGCUUCUGUCCUCUUUGUCCACGACCUGUUCCACGUCCACCUCCUCCUCGAUGUCUAUCUCCCCACCAAUCGGGGUACCCAAUUAGCUGGAAACAUGAUUCUGCGACGUGUCCUGUUCUCUUGCAAUUUAAGCAUAGCACGGUUUUGUCCUUGCUCUCAGUCCGUCCUUUCAAGCUUGUUGCUGUUUGAACUGCAAAAGCCAUGGCCUCGACUUGCUGUUCCUUCCCGCGGGUUAUACUACAAACUCGCUCUUCCUGGAUAAUCAUAGCAUAUGCUCGAUUCAAGGUUGGCAAUGGUUCAGUGCUCAAGAUAUUGGACCGCACCGUCCCAUAAGUUGAGUCAUCCAAGCCCAUCAAAAACUGAUGUAGCCUUUCCUCUUCACGUCUCUUAUCUAAUUCCGCACCGAUGUUGCAUGCGCAUCCUCCACAUCGGCAUGUCGGGUAUUGCUCAUAGUUUCCCAAUUCUUCCCAGAUCAUCUUUAAUUUGCCAUAGUAACUCAUAACAGUUAUGCCUGGCUGUUUACAUUCAGCCAACUCAGAUUUAAGUUGAUGAACAGGUGGUCCGUUUUCUGCCGAGAACCGUUCCUUGAUAUCAUCCCAAAGUUCCUUUGCAACUUCCCUGUAAGUUAUAGUUGAGCGCAACGUUGGUUCAAUUGUGUUCAAGAUCCAUGAUAUCAGCAUGGAGUUAACUGUCCACCAAUCUUCUUGUGUCAUAGAAUCAUCCGAAGGCUGUAUCACGGAACCAUCGAUGAAGCCAAAUUUUUUCUUGGCCCGCAACGCCGUUCUCAUUGCUCGUGCCCAUUCAUCAUAAUUGUCACCCUUCAAUUGAACUUGCGUGAUGAUGUUCCCUGGAUUGUCGUUGGCCGAGAGAAAAUACGGUGAUGUUGCGCUCUUCGACGGCCCAUCAUCGCUGCCGUUCCUAGCCAUAUUUGUGUGGCUCUGAUACCAAUACUUUCGGUGAAGCAUUACGCAGCAGUGAAAGUGAUCAAUGGAAGUUAGCCAUGGAGGAAGAGAUGAAAUCUCUCUAUCAAAACCAAACUUGGGAACUUGUAAAGUUACCAAAGGAGAAAAGUGCUAUUGGCAAUAAAUGGGUCUACACCAAAAAGUAAGGAUCUCCGAAUCAAACAACUCCUCGAUACAAGGCAAGGCUCGUGGCAAAAGGUUUUGCUCAAAAGGAAGGUAUUGACUACAAUGAAGUUUUCUCUCCAGUUGUAAAACAUACUUCCAUUCGUAUCCUACUUGCCUUAGUUGCAGAAUAUGAGUUAGAGUUGGCUCAGUUGGAUGUUAAGACGGCGUUCUUACAUGGAGAUUUGGAGGAGGAAAUCUAUAUGAUUCAGCCUUGUGGUUUCAGAGUUGCUGGAAAGGAGAAUCAUGUGUGUAGGUUGAUUAAAUCUUUGUACGGACUGAAGCAAUCGCCAAGGCAGUGGUACAAAAGAUUUGAUCAAUUUAUACAAGGGUAGAAUUCACCAGAAGUGAACACGAUCAUUGUGUUUACUUUAGAAGACUACCAGAUAGAGCUUUCAUCUAUUUGCUACUCUAUGUCGACGAUAUGCUUAUAGCUUCGAAAAAUAGAGAUGAGAUCGAAAGAUUAAAGAAGCAGCUGGCUUUUGAGUUUGAGAUGAAAGACUUGGGUGAUGCACAGAAAAUACUUGGGAUGGAGAUUUGUAGAGACAAGAAGAAUGGGAGCGUAUGGUUGACUCAAAAGUCUUAUUUGAAGAAAGUGCUAGAAAGAUUCGGUAUGGAUGACAAAACUAAAUCGGUAUGUACACCUCUAGCUCCUCAUUUCAAAUUAGGCUCUUCUUCAUGUCCUAAAUCUCAAGAGGAGCGCGAUUACAUGGCUCGUGUUCCAUAUGCUAGUGCUGUGGGUAGUCUUAUGUAUGCUAUGGUAUGUACAAGGCCUGAUAUAUCUCAAGCAGUAAGCAUGGUUAGUAGAUACAUGCACGAUCCGGGUAAAAGUCACUGGCUUGCAGUAAAGUGGAUUCUUCGAUAUCUGUAUGGGACAGUUGAUGUUGGGUUAUUGUUCAAGAAGGAUUGUGGUUAACAAUGUGUUGGGUAUUGUGAUUCUGAUUUCGCUGGAGACCUUGACAAGCGAAGAUCAACAACGGGCUACGUAUUCACAUUGGGUGGAGGCCCGGUUAGUUGGAGGUCAAUUUUACAAUCGACAAUUGCUCUGUCCACUACGGAAGCAGAGUACAUGGCAGCAACUGAAGCUGUAAAGGAAGCUAUCUGGUUGAAAGGCUUGUUAGGUGAUUUGGGAGUAAUCCAGGAGAACAUUACGGUCUUCUGUGAUAAUCAAAGUGCGAUAUUCCUUGCGAAGAAUCAAACAUAUCACGCUCGGACGAAACACAUAGAUGUGAAAUAUCAUUAUGUGAGAGAGAUUAUCGAGAGCGGUGUUGUGUUGUUGAGAAAGAUCGAUACCAAAGAUAAUCCAUCAGAUAUGUUGACGAAGGUAGUUUCUGGAGUUAAGUUUCAACAUUGCUUGAAAUUAAUUCAAAUCCUUCGAUUGUGUUAAAGAUAUGUCCUUCGGGAAUUUUGAACUACGGUUGGCUUGAUCCCAAAUUUUGGGUACGUAGGCAAUCGAAACGACACAGCCAUUCUGGAUCCUUAUUGAAGGAUCACUUUGGGGAUGAGGGUUCGUUGGUAGUCGGCUCAGAUUUGGACAAAUUUUCGCCGAGGUGGAGAAUUGUUGAAAAGUCAUGCACGUGACAUUGAAAUUCAAAAAUGAAUGCAAAAUUUCAAAUGGCUACCAAACAUUUGAAGAAAAAAUGGAAAGUUGGCAAAUUUGUCAAAUUUGCCAAAUGGACACCAUUGACUAUUGGCUUAGGUUAGGUGGAAUAGUAAAGGGGUUGGUGCAAUAGUGCCAUUAUUUUCCCUAUAAAUAGAUGGCACUUCUUCCAUUCUAUAUCAUCCCAAAAUUGUUAAGCUUAUAAGUUUCUAAGCUUUUGAGAGAAGUGAGAGAAGUCAGAAGUGUGUCUGAGGAAUUUAUCUUUCCUGCAGAGUGUGAGAGUACUGGGUAUAUUUGGGUUUCUGGGAAGUGAGAUUCGUUACUCAAAUAUUGUACUCUAUUAAUUGUUAAAUAAACAAUUAUUCUUUCUUGCCUCCGUGGAUGUAGGUUUAAUUACCGAACCACGUAAUUCUUGUGUCCUUUAUUUUUCUAUAAUUAUUUGGUGCGCUUGAUUCCUCAUUCCGCGUACAACAGCUAGCAGGUCAUGUAAGUUGAUAAAGCACCAUUCAUGUAAGUCUAUUUAUAUUGACUUAUAUGCACAAGCCUAUAAUACAAACAGCAUUAUUGUAAUACAAAUUUGUUUCGGAAUUCAUGGCCUAUAAUACGCCAUUUAUGUCCUAGACUUACUUGUCAACCUUGCAAAAUUUUUGUGCUUGGCAAUUGGUUUUGUUGAUGCCGAAAUCCGGAUGAAUUGGUUAGUGACUCGAUCUCAUAUUCCUGCAUCAACAUUAAAUUUAUUUGGUGGGAAGCUGUUGGUUGAUCUCUAAGAAAAUCCUCCGACUAUGAGCAGAACAUUCAUGAGCUGUUGAUCAGUGAGCACCGAGAGCAGAUAAUUGAUGAGCAGAUGACCAAUGAGCAGAUGAUCCAUGAGUAGAUAAUCCGCGAGCCUGCGAGCACAAAAAAUAGUCAGGGGGUGCCGGAAGUUUUUCCGACGUAAACCCUCUGACACUCAAGUCAGCGAUUUGGGUCUACUUGGAAAAACUCAUACCACAAUUCACAUGGUUUAACUAUGAUUGUUUUAAACAAAAAGAUUUUAAAAAAAUUUAAAGGAAAAUAAUUGAAAAUAAUCAAUCUUAAAGAAAUCAUAAGCGAAAGAGAAAUUUUCCAGUGGUAGAGAGAGAAAAAGAUUCAAUGGAUUCAGUCACCCAAAGGGACAGAAGAAAAAGAAUCCCCCAUUUUCCCAUGGGUUUUAUAAGAAAUUAUAGCGGUUUUUAUCCUCUUCCCUAGAAUUCUCAAGAAAAUUACUAAUUUUGAGCCCACUAAAAACAUGGUUUCUAAUAUUUCAAAGAACAUAAGUGAGAUUUGUUUUGACUGAGUCGUGUUUUCUAAUAACAUCUUGGUCGAGGUGAUGUGGUCAAGAUAACCAAAUAACAUCCUGAUCGAGGUGUUGCUCAUUUUUUACUUAGAGGAGAGCACAAUAAUGUAUAAACAAACAUUUUAUCUUGGUCACCUUAUUAUAUUCCCCAAACAGGUUUGUCGGUCCUCCAGGUAUUUGGAGCCUUAUGAUACCUUUUUGCCAUGGAAAAAGUUAGAGGAUGUCAGGAAGGAAGCCCGCAUAAUUAAUUGAGCUGGAUGCAAACACAGUUCGUUUUACUGUGAAGACAGAGUUUAGGAGACGACAGAAAAUUUCUAAAUGACUUGUGCGGCAUAAAUAAUUUUGGAUAAUGUAAUGAUGCUCUUGAGUCUGGCAUUGUGGAGGUGACUGAUUUUUCAAAGAAAUUGUUACAUUGUUUACAAUGGGGCCUGCAAAAUUUCAGGUUAAUUUGCUCAUACAACAAUAUAUUUUCCUUGCGUGUGUUGCAUAAUACGAUUAAUUCUUGCGUUACAGGUUCUUCAUUUUGGAAAAUUGAGUUAAAGAAGUAAUGCUAACAGUACAUUAUAUCUCUUUUAGAUAUUUAAUAACACUUAGGGGCAAAAAUUUUAACUGAUAGUUGUGUUAACGGCACAAUCAAUUUUUUUGAAUGUCAAAGGUAGUCAAGGGCUUGAGUGAUAAGUUUUUUCUACAGAGGAUGUAAGUGAGGAAUUUAUGAAACAUUUUGAUAAAAAGAAUUAUCUAGGAUAAGCAAUUGAGCAGAAUUCUUUUACAGUGCAUUUUUGCAAUUCACAUAACCAACGUAGGGGUGGUGCUGUUUGUGUUUUUAAUCGGCAAGAUGCAGUUUGACUCAGCAAGAUCACAGAAGAUAAGACAGAAGUGGAAGGAGAUGAAGCAGUGGCCAAAUUUUGAGUAUAUUUCUUCUGAUGUGCGGGGGGCAGUUAAGGAAAUACAAGCUAUACAAAUGGCAAGAAACCAAACGUGUUCGUGUUGAUAAUUUGGUGAAUGAUCUUCCUGACGAACUUGGCAACGAAAUGAAAUGUCUGCAUUAAAGUGCUCAAGAAUGUGACGUUGAACUAUUCAAUCACUCAGUGAGGUUGAAGCCAUUACUCUUAUGGCUGAUAACUUUAAACAUGUAUUAUCUACCAUUCACACAUUCCAAUCGGCCCGCUCUUUUGUUACAAUCAUACCGGCGUUUUGGGAAGCUUUUACUUUGAUAGAAGGAAGGCUAAACAAAGAAAAUAAACAAAGUGGGACAUGUAACAACGACACAAUACAAGAAAAUUUAACGGUACUUGUGACUAAAUCAUUGAUGACAAACUGUUUAUUCUUUAUAUUUACAUGUGAAACCGCAGAAAAGGGCCAAAAUUGUAGUUUGAAAUUUUACAAUUGAUUUUGUCGUCAAUUGAUGAGCUCAUAGCGACAUUAAUUUAUUGAAUGAUAAAAUAAUAAUUUUAUAUUCAGUAAACAUAUGAAAUAUUACUUAAAUUGAAAAUUUGAGAUCUUAAUACAUUGGAGUUACAUUGAGUUGGGAGACGAACUUUGACUCUGAAUGAGACAGCACUUAAUGUGUCAUUUAUUUAUUAAAUUUGUUAAUGGUAUGAUAUUAUCUCAUUACGCAGAAAUAUUAAAUUGCAAUGAGUCUAGUCAAUUGGGAAAACAUUUUUUGCGCGAGUAUCUCAAUUUCCAAUAUAAAAAUUACAAGACAAAAUUAAAAAGGAGAAUGAUACUUUAUACCUGUUUAGAAGCCAUUGGUUAUUUGGUCAUAUUCAAAACCUAUUUUAACCACGUAAGUCCAUGAUAAAAGUUACAAGAGAAAAAGAAGAAUGAUACUUUAUAGUUUAUACCUGUUUAGAAGCCAUUGGAUAUUUUGAUCAUAUUUGAUAAAAGUUACGGGACAAAAUUAAAAAGAAGAAUGAUACUUUAUACCUGUUUAGAAGCCAUUGGAUAUUUUGAUCAUAUUUGAUAAAAGUUACGGGACAAAAUUAAAAAGAAGAAUGAUACUUUAUACCUGUUUAGAAGCCAUUGGAUAUUUUUAUCAUAUUUGAUCAAAGUUACAAGACAAAAUUAAAAAGAAGAAUGAUACUUUAUACCUGUUUAGAAGCCAUCGGAUAUAUUGGUCAUAUUCAAAACCUGUUUUAACCACGUAUGUCCAUGAUAAAAGUUUAAAAUACCUUUUGUGGAAAGGAUAAGUAUGAUAUUUUUUAAUAAAUAAAUAAAUUUAUUUAGUCAAUAGAUUAGGUGAAUAAUUUAGUGAGUUUAAAUAAUUUCGAUUAAUUUAUACGCGAAGAGUGAAGCUAAUGGCACCCUUCAUUAUUUUUAUAAAUCUCCACUUUAAAUAAAAUUAUAUUUAAGGACAAAUAAGAAUUAAACACAUUUAAGAAUUUUCACAAUAAAUUACUUUCAUAAUCAAUUCUUUUUUUUUUUUGCAUUCAUAAUCAAUUCUUUUUUUUUAUUUUCUACUUGCCACUUCUCUCUAAUCAAAAUAAAUUACAAAAAUUUAUAAUAAUUUAUUUUUCUUUUCUUAUUUCUUAAUAAUUGAGUAUUUUUAUACCUAUUACUUUCAAAUUAUAAUUUAAAAUGUGUCAUAUCUAUAACAUAAUAAUGUUUUGAGUUUUAAUAAUAUACAAAUUCAAUUAAAAAACAAAAUAAUGUAUUUAAAAGGGAAAAAAGGACGUUUUUGAAAUUAAAUACAAAUAUUCCAAUUGUUACUGUGAAAAUGUGAUAUUUUCAGCACUAGAGCUACCACUUUAUUGCAUAUCCGACCCGAGAGGAACUGAUGUGGUCCAACAGUGCUCGGAUCGGAUCGGUUGCCGUCAUAAUCUGAUCACAUUUAGGUAACUUUUCAGUUUUGUCCAGGAGAAAGGCUAUCGAUUAUGUCUCCCUAAGAAACACGUCACAUAGAUGAUGUAAUCAGAUUUUAUCAUGCGUUUGUUCCCCUUCAAACGUCACAUAGAUGAUGUAAUCAAAUUUUAUCAUGCGUUUGUUCCUCUUAAAUCGAGUACUUGUCACAUCCUGAGUGUUUGUGAAUCUACAUUAUUUUUUAAGGGUAUGUUUAUAUUGGAACCGUUCUAAGAUAAAAUAUCUUUUAUAACUACAUAAUUAAAAUAUAUAUAUAUUAAUUUCAGAUUUAAAACAAAUGAAGUCUUUGUUUUUAUUUGCAAGACUUUUAUAACACAUUAAUAUGUAACACUUCAAAUUUCACGGUAGAUUAGAUACAAAUUUUUUAUCCUUAUACUAGACACGUGAAGAGUAGUAAGAAACAAGUUAAAAAACAAAAAAAACACACUCUGAUGUAGUUAUUUUUAUCUUAAAGUAUUAAAAUCUAUAUUUCUUUUAAUCUUUUAACUUGUUUUUUACGAUAUUAAAAUAAGAAAAUCCUUUGAAAAUAAGAAAAUCCUUACUAAAAGUAAAAGGGGACUUGCAUGUCAUGUGCACAGUGUACAAUAUGUUUCAAAUGUUACUUGAUAGAAAUUACUGAAAGCAUUGUAUCAUUGGAAAACUCUUGCUGCAUGCUACUAAUUUGACAGUUUAUCAAAUAUUUUUUGCUGCUUGCUACUUAUGAAUCACGUUUAGUCCCCUUUGAAUUGUGUGCAUCCACCAUCUGUUAAAUUUAUCUUUGAACCCAAGCACGUUCAAAUCCCCGAGUUGUAAAAUUUACAAGAUGCAAAAAUCUCGUAGAAACCUCAGCUGAUGAACUCUGUAAAGAAUAUCGUCAUUCAUUCAGCUAACCCGUUGAACCAAAAUGCAAAAUCAUCCUCAAUAAGUACAAGAAACAAAAACUUUACAGGAAUAACUUGUGAAACUUGAUAAAUUUCUGCGGAGACUACAACGUCAUUUCAAUUUGUGAGGUAAUUAUUUGAUGCCAUGAUGCUGACUGAAUCUCAUUAAAUUAAUGAACAUAAUACAACAAGUGGUACGAUAACUCCAAAUCAGCUAUCACAUUAUGUAACCACUCGGGCAGUAGCCCGAGUGGCCAGGGCUGCUGCCCUCCAACUUGGAGGGCAGCAGUUCGAACCCCCACAAAAGCAUUGUGGGGGUAUUUCCUUCUUCAAUUAAUUUGAGUGAAGGUAGUCUUCUCCCUUACCCAUGAGUGAGGAGUAGACAUCCCUCGAAUAUUUGUGAGGGUUAAAAUCUGGGCAGAGCUCCAUUAGCAUUGAUGUCAGUUGGUCCCAGUAAUAGUCUAAUUUGUAAAUAUCAGUAAUAGUCUCAUGUAUAUGAGUUGUAAUCUGAGCAAUAGUCUCAUGUAAUCAAAAAAAAAAAAAAAAAAAAAAAGCUAUCACAUUAUGUAUUUGAUUCAAAUAAGAGAACAAAAUUUGCAUUAUUGAUAGAUAUUAUAUUGUUUCUUGUAACUGUCUCUUGACAAAUCGCCCAUUAAUGCAGUCAUUUCACCAAGAUAGCAAGCUGAUAGAGAAAUCUGACAAUGCAAUGCAUGUCAUCCUCACACUUCAUUUUAAUCGAAAAUGGGUGAGCCAUUUUGUUCAACUUUCACCUCCGGAAGUCGAAAAGGACAUGAAUGCAAUUAUGCAAGUCCUUAUCAAAGAUGCAAUGAAUGACGCCUAAACUCCUAUAGAGCAGAGUUAAGCUAUUAAUCACUGCACCGAUACAUCAAAAAUUAAGUAUAUGGAUCAAAGACAUCUUCAUUCAAGAAUCUCGAAAUUUCAAAGCAAUGCUUGUCAUUUACAUAUCAAGCAAAGGGACCAAAGAUGGUGGUGCUCUAAUAUUUGGUAAUUAUUUGAUGCCAUGAUGCUGACUGAAUCUCAUUAAAUUAAUGAACAUAAUACAACAAGUGGUACGAUAACUCCAAAUCAGCUAUCACAUUAUGUAUUUGAUUCAAAUAAGAGAACAAAAUUUGCAUUAUUGAUAGGUAUUAUAUUGUUUCUUGAAACUGUCUCUUGACAAAUCGCCCAUUAAUGCAGUCAUUGCCGACAAAACAACUUUGUGAAAAAGUUCACCAAGAUAGCAAGCUGAUAGAGAAAUCUGACAAUGCAAUGCAUGCCAUCCUCACACUUCAAUUUCAUCGAAAAUGGAUGAGCCAUUUUGUUCAACUUUCACCUCCGGAAGUUGAAAAGGACAUGAAUGCAAUUAUCCAAGUCCUUAUCAAAGAUGCAAUGAAUGACGCCUAAACUCCAAUAGAGUAGAGUUAAGCUAUUAAUCACUGCACCGAUACAUCAAAAAUUAAGUAUAUGGAUCAAAGACAUCUUCAUUCAAGAAUCUCGAAAUUUCAAAGCAAUGCUUGUCAUUUACAUAUCAAGCAAAGGGACCAAAGAUGGUGGUGCUCUAAUAUUUUGUCUAGUCAGAUUUCAGAUUUACCUUGUUCAUGUCUUUUUCUUUGGUGCAGAAGUUCCCCGCGGCCUAUUUCAACAUCAUUCGUCAUCCUCUCAAUCUCCUCCUUUUUCACUGGCAGAACCAAAAAUAUCUUGCACCUCAGUGAAAUAUCAUUGGAGACAAAAAAGUUUCUCCAGCUUAUUCAACAACCAAAACCAGCCAAAUAUCAUCUCCAGCCACAAAGCAAUGAGCCAAGUGAUUAAAUUUCCUUGAUGCAGGCUGAGGAAAGCCAAUAAGCAAUCAAAGGAGAUGGAAGAAUAGCACUAUUAAUUCAAGACCAACAAAGUUUGCAGCAAAACUGAUAGUAUUUAAGAUUUUGCAAAAGUCAAUCUUGUCUGGUUAUCAACACUGCAAUUAUAGCUUUUGUGCACCUCAGUUAGCCUUAAAUUGUGAAAGUUUCAGCCAAACCAACAAUUUCUAACCUACAUCUCAUGGUUAUACAAGCUAACUGCUAGCAUCUGCUUCACUGCAUUAUGCUUCAAAAACAAUCAUACUAAAUGUCACAAUUCUGGUAUAUAAAAGUUCAGCCGUCUACGCCAUUCAAGUUGAGCAUUUGACUGCAUCUCUAUGGGUACUAUUAAGGGAUGGCAAUAAUCAGUUAUGAUACGAAUAAUUGACAUCCGUAAUCCGAUAUAUCCGUCCGCACCCAUGUCUAAUUUUAGAGGUUUGAUAUGGAUAUUGAUUUUUGUUUAUAUGGAUAUUGAUAGGCAUAGAUAUUCGGGAAAAAAAAUUCUACUUAACACUAUAACGAAUAGGAUACUUCUUUUAUUAGAGCGUUGUCAUGCUGAUGAUGUGCAAGAUAUCAUAAAUAAAGGGGAUCGUAGGGAACGAAAUGAAAGAAGUUUAAAGAAUUUGAAAGAAACUGAUUAUUCUCUUAUUCAACAACUCGGUGUGCAAUUACAUUUUACACGAGGUCCAUGUAAUUAUAUUUGUCAUUAAGAAUGAGCAUUUGCCAAAAGAAGAGACACAUGUCAUGACAAUGAGUGAUUGACAAGUGACAAAAUUGAUAGACACCCGCCGAAUAUGUCAUAACACAAACUUCUUACUGCCUGAAACAACAUGGCUGGAGCAGAGAUUUUUCUAUCAAAGCGUGUCCAGGAAAUGGUCCUCAAUGGUGAAGAACCGCCAGCACCACAUAUUUGUAGAGAUGGUGAUUCAAUUCAAGAGGUUUCUGCUCCAUUAUCUCCGGUUCCGAUCAUUGACCUCAAUCUGCUCUCAUCUUCAACACCAUACGCCAAGCAAGAAGAAGAACUGCAGAAAUUAAGAUCAUUGACCUCAGUCUCAUCUUUAACACCAUACGCCG